rnacentral:lncRNA from 1 species
GUCGCCGCAUGUGGCCCCCGAGCGCCUGGCCCAUCUCGAACCCGAGCCCGCAGAUGUGGCACUCGUGUUGCCGCUCCUCCUGCUUCUUCCGCUCCCUGAUGGCCCUGGCAACGCCGACGCCGAGCUCCAGCCCGUGGCGGCCCCGGAGGUGGCUGGUCCGGUGCCCGCCCAGCGCCUGGAAUGACGCGAAGGCGCGGCUGCAGGUCUUGCAGACGAACUCCCCCUCCCCCGACGUGGCCACCAUCCUGCCCCGCCGCGCCCUCUUCCUGGACGCCGCCGCCGCAGGCCCGCCGGCCGAGUCGGCCGACGUGGUGGACGACGCCGCCGAGUCCGUGGUCAGCGCCAGCGCCAGCGACACCGGCUCCUCCUCCCUCGCUCGCUUCAUCCCCACUCCCAUGGCCGGAUCCGUGUGGACUCUGACGCCUUUUGUUGGAGCAGUCCUUGAUGCGUCUGUUGUGUGGCAAGCAGGGAAAGAUGAUGGAUGGAUGGAUGGGUUGAUGGAGCUAAGCUAGCGGCGGCGCGGUUUUAUAUAUAGGUUGCGUCGCGACGGGUGGAGGCGGUGGCGUGCCGGCCGCGUAGUGGAGCGGGGGAGCUUACGUGGGUGUCAAGUCGGCGGGUGGUGGCCGACCUCGGGUGGCCGGCCAAUCGUGGGAAGCCACGGCGACGUGGAUGGAUGUCACGCGACGGAUCGGAUAUGCUCGGGCCGACGCGCGCGACGAGCGUGUGGUGCGCCGCGAGGCGCGUGGUGGCUUAGCCGCGCGGGCAACGUAGCUUAGCCGCGUGGGCGGGUUCGGCGGUCUGACGAUUUAUUAAUGGGAAUGAGAUAGUUUUGUACUACUGUAGAAUAGUCUGCGCGUUUCGGCAGGAGGCUCACUGGAUCGAGCUGGGGACGGGAACGUUCUGGAGUUUCUUCCUGUCCAAGGUCGACCGUCCGGGAUAUUUUUCUGCCAGACGUGUGUGUAAAAGUACUUCGCUGCGUCGACAAAGAUGGGCAAGAGCUGGCAUGACGUGCGGGGGUAGUUGCGCUGCGAUGGUGACCUGCUCUCUCGCUUCUUCUUUCCAUGGCAGAUCUGGCGCUUGCAUGGACUAUUUUUUAAACAAAGCAAAUGUAUUUAAUAUUGUGAAGGUACAAAUUACACUUAGCUUUGAAGAAGACACAAAGAAAAUUCCGCCACUACGAUGAUUCCUUCCAACUAUACGGAAUAAACCACCAUCAAAGACAACACCGAGUGUUCAUAUUCUUCAAAAGGGACGCUUACAAGAAAAAAAAAACAAUACGUCGUCGCCGUCGCUUGAUCAAAGACUUUAGGUUUUCACCUGGUAAAAAGUCGGCGCUCUCAAAACAAUACUUUCAACAAGGUCAUUGCCGCACUGAAUCGAUUACGGCCAGACUUAGAGAUUUCAUCAUGAACGAUAAGAUUAUGUACUCCUCCAGUAUUGCUUCUUCCACUUGCCAAUGCCAAUGGCGGAGCUAUAGGGUGGUCAGGUGCGCCGCGACCCACCCUGGAUUUAAGAAUCAGGCUUUAUACAAUGGCGAAACAAAUCAAAUAAAAAAAAUCAUUAGUGUAUGAACUGUUGGCCCAUCCUCGCCUAUUAGGCUGGGUCCACCACUGGUCGAUGCCGCAGCUACAACUCACGACACACCAAGCAUGUAUUCAUCGCCUUGAAGACAGAGUCCACCAUUACUGGUCCUCAAAUCUCAUUCGUCAUGACAUUCUCUGGCACUGUAUACAAAAUUGAAAGACCGCAUGCCCCACAAUGUUAACAUGCAAAGGAGCUUCGCGCCACACCCUCCCGAAGCUACACAUCCUCAAAUGCGGACAUACACGCUCGGAUCCCAUUCGAUCCAACAAUCUAGAGGCACAACCUUCUGGAACUCAUCAACGGGGAGAUCAAGGAGGACAUGCAUCAAGUAGAGCACCGCCUUGACGCGAGAAGAACCAUAGGAUCGCCUCCUUAUAAAAGCAAAUAUAGCAGUUCCCAUGCCGUCGAUAAGAUUAGCGAAGAGAAGGCGACCACGACGUCGCACACUCACACAUACCCAGAACGCCUAGAUCAGACCCAGAUGCCCGGUUUGGACCCGCCGUAGCUGCAAUGUCGAUGCACAGACGUCGAGUCGCACGCCUCUGCCUCACCUCAUUGGCUUGUGACAUGACCCCGACCACUAGGGCCGCGACAUCUUGCGUCUCGAUCUCCCGGAGGCAACCAAAGGCAUCGAAGAGGUUCAUCAACAACCUAGAUUUUUUGUGAGCGACCCCUGAAGCUAACGAACAAUGCCACCUCUGCGAGGUCCUCGCCACCUGGAAGAUUGCCGCGAGUAUACCAACGCUGGGCGUCGCUCUAGUCCCCAUGCGUCUACGAACCACCGUCAUCACCCCAACAGCUCCCAUAGUCACCUACCAUCCGCCCCAUACUACCUUUGGUAGCUUGUCCCACCGUCGUGGUGAGGGCCGACGGGAGUGUAGACGAGGGGAGCCAGGGAUGGGGGAGGAGGCUGGCGGUGCGAGGUGUUGCCCUGGGGAUCGAUACGGGAGGGGUCAUGGAGAGCAUCACAUUUGGGAACCACUCUGGAUCUAUAUAGAGUAUGUGUUUUCUGUCAAACAACCGCUCAAACUCGUAAACUUUCAGCAAAAGCAGAAACCCUGUAAACUAAUAGAAAUUCCACCAAGGUCCCUUGGGAACUGACCAAUUCCAUCAUCCUGAGCAGGCCUUGGCACGUCGCUGCCGCUACUCAAUAGCCAUCGCGUUAUGGGUCUGUCACUACUUAGAUGAUGUGGCAAUUAGAAAGUCACUGUACCUAGGCCCCUGGACAACCUAUACCCUUGAAGCAAGGUCAUGAUCGUCGGAAAGAGAAUAUAUCUCGAAGCCGAUGCACUGGAUCCCACAAUGAUGACGAGCAUCGCUGCAACGAGGAAGGUGGCAAAGGACAUAACUCCAUUACACAACUAUCGUUCUUGCCUCAACGUCGGCACCUGGAACCACCAAACGACCGCCCAUGUAGGACGACGACCAUAUCAAACUUGCACUCCUCCACGCCAUUUGCAAAAGCUACCAACUUGGUGGAUGAAAAGACGGGGAACUUUAUUUCACUUGGCGACAUCGUCCCCCCCUCCCUCCACCGCGCCACCGUCGGAGAAGCCUAACCUAGGGCUAGACGGCAUAUCUAUUAUUCUCUAUGUUCAAGUAUUCAACCAUGAACCGUUAACUAAAAGUGUAGUGAAAGUUAUAAAGGUGCCGACCAAUUGACGGUGUGUGACGAAAAGAUCUCCAAACAAAUACUUGGGGUCUAAGCUUCUCCCCUAGGUGGAGUGGAUAUCAGGUGAUUCACCUAGAAACUUUUAGGUAGACUUGGCGGUUGAACCAGAAUUUCUUUCCCUACAAGAACUUUCACAAUCAAUGGCAUAGGCUUUUUCCUUUUUGGAGGGACUCAGGCAAUUGCGCACUUAGGACUGCACAUGGUUUGGCAACACCAUCCUCGAUAGCCAAAUACCCAUGCCUGAGUGGUUGUUUGGGUAAACGAAAAUAGUGCCUACCUUUAGUAUAUUUUUUCUGGAAAAAUAUAGUUUUAUUAGGAACUCCAUUAAGAACAAGUAUGCAUGUAAUCUCGUUUGCAUAAAAAUGCAUGCAAGAGAUUUCCUAUUUUGGUUUAUAGAAAGGCUGGAACAUGGUUUUGUGGUUUUACGAAAACAAGGGUAUGCUUAUCCAAACAUUUGUAAAGUUAAUCAAACUAAACUAUUGUAGUUAUAACCAUGUAAUUUUUUUAUGCCAAUCAAUUAUUUUACGUACUACUACACGGGUGAGGGUCUGAGCAAAUUAAAGCUCCAGGUUGUUGUGAGUCUGCUUCUUCUGUCUAGGCUCCCAGUGAAAAUUGUAGAAGUGUAUGCUCUAGAAAAUGAAACCAAAAGACCGAUCUGAUGGAACAGACUAGGCAGCACAUUAUAUGUCAACGCUCCCCCUCACGUGUGGCUCCCUCAGGCCUAAACGUGGACCGAAAGUGGGCUGCAAUUUAAUUGCGUCAGCCGGGUCUUGAACCCGAGACCUCUUGACUCUGAUACCAUGUAGAAGUGCAUGCUCUAGCCAAUUCAACCAAAAGACCGAUAUGAUGGAAGAAGACUAGGCAAUACAUUUAUACGUCAACACUCUCCCUCAAGUGUUGCUUCCUCAUGCCUAAACGUGGACUGAAAGUGGGCUGCAAUUUAAUUACGCCAGCCGGGUCUUGAACUCAAGACCUCUUGGCUCUGAUACCAUGUAGAAGUGCAUGCUCUAGCCAGUGCAACCAAAAGACCGAUCUAAUGAAAGAGACUAGGCAUCACAUUAUACGUCAAUAAAAAUGCUAGUUUGUCAUCACACGUAUUGACGGAGCGGCAACUUCGUGUAUGCUUUGAUCCUGGUGUCUAGCUCCCUCGGCUCUAGCAUGGGACGGUCUCGGUUGUACCCUAUCCUCUACACUGUCCUAGUUGCCAUCGUUCUUGGUCCGCGCUAUCCAUGGACAGGAGUGGGGUUCCACAGCAUAGUGUGAUAGGGCAGACAAACCUCUUUGGCAAUUAUUUGAUGUGUUCAGUGCAACAAAAAUACCUAUGAAUUUUCUUGAAGUAGCGGUUUCGUUUCGUCUAAUAGUCUCAUUAGCUUUUUUGCUAGUGUGAUGUCUCAUUUAUUAAGUUCUGCUUUGAGUUGAUGGCGUUUAAUGUUGCUCGGUUGUCACCUUUUGUGCUCUAAUAUGUACGAGGGUUUUUCGACCAUUUAUAUUGAUCCAGAAACCUAAUAUAAAGUGGGGCUAAACAUGUUAUAUAAUGUCAGACUAAGACAAUCAUCUAAAUCUUGCGAAUUUUGUUGAACAAAUGGACGAUUAAGAAUACUUAUAGUCGUAUUUGUAAUGAGCACCCCCUGCUUGACAAAAGGCAGCUCGAGACAAUAAAUAUUGGUGCUGAGAGGAUAAAUAUGAAAGACACCUUAUAAAUUACACGUCGAUUCAAACAUAUAUAACAAUUCUGCUAGAGUGCUAUUUUCUCCGUUUUUAGAUAUAAGUCCUUUUAAAGAUUUCACUUUUAAAACGUAUGUUCAUUCACUUGCACCGUGUGUAGUGUCUUAAUGAAAUGUAUAAAAAGACUUAUAUUUAAGAAUGAAGGGAGUAUUUUUUUUUCGAAAUCAUCAUCGUAUUGACGGGCACUCUCGUACCAUCUGAUGGAGGGUACAGUCAGCUUCACGCGGCUUUACGACGGGUACGUACGUAUGUAUGCCACUGCAACUUGCCAAGCCGGCUCGGUCGCUGACAGCUAGUUUCGGAGCCGACGGUGAGGCAAACACGACCUACAUACAAGCUGGGGCGCCGCCUCGGCACCUGGUCCGCACGAUAAAGCCGUCAACAGCUACACACGACAAAAAAAUGGGCAGAACCAGUGAACCACAUCCACAUGUCAUCGUCAAUGGAUUACUCCUGUACGUACACAGCUCGGUUCCAUACCUGCAUUCGCCGCACGUUUUCUUGUCUGUUCCCAACUGCAUGUCCACAGCUGCACACGGCUCCCGCUUACCUCCGGAGUAAGCAAGCAAGCAAGCUAGCAAGCUCACGCGGCAGCUCGUCAGCCGGAUAACCAUUGAUAUCAACUCGUAGCCCGGUUGUAAUUGAUAUCGUCGUGAUAUUAAUAUAUCCUAUAAAAAACAGUUCCGGCCGGUGCGCCUACGCGGACGAGCUUGUCAAGUGUCAACUGCAAGCUACCUGAUUCUAUUUAGUACGACUAGUUUAUUUGUGCUUUCCGGUGCUGCACUUUUGGGUUUCUAUAAUCUGCAGGCAAGCGAGCCGGCGUGAUGAGCUGCUCUUGCACUCAACGAGACGAUGGGGUGGUGUAUGUUGACCAAAAUACCAAUCACCAAAGCGGUGUGCAUGUGCAUGCAACAUGGUCCAUCGUACUAGUCGUGGCUGAUGAGCUGAUCGAAGGUCCGCCAAGUUGAAUCGCACCAACACCACAUGGUCGCUCGUGUUUACUCCUUCUGGAUGGCGCGCGGUGCUGGGUGCUCGAUCCGAUCGGCACAUGUUUCAACCGAGGACGAAGUUUCAUUACAAGAGAAAAAUAAAACGCCGGACGAGUCAACUGUUUCACCAAGUGGUGUAGCAAGUGCAUGGAAUAUUUUCGAUAAGCAGUGAUGUCAUGAUUUCGCGCUAGUGUUAUAUAUGUGAGCACCGAGGACGUGCCCCUCGCAUUAAAGAUUAACCAUUAUUUUUCACCGAGGUCUCUACACAUAUACUCCUUUUCAUGAUGCUUUUUGUCGUAGUCCAUUUGUUUUCAACCAUUAAAUCUCGACCGAACGGUCGCCCAACCCUCUUCCUUCUUGCACAGCCCGACGAGGGCCGCCCCUAUACUGUCCUGCACUCCAACCAAAGCUUAACCACCGACCUCCACCACCAAUGGAUGGCGCUGUUGCUGGGCCAUCAAAUCGCCCCUUAAACUGUGCAGCCACCAAGCCAAUCAUCAUUCUAUGCCGCCCCCUUCUACUUUGGUGCUAAGAGUAUGGUUAGAGCAUGGUUAACAGUACAGCCAGCUGCUGGUUAGACACGUCAUCUAUAGCCAAGCUUAUAGCCCGCAAGUACAAUAGAUAGAUGUAAAUAAGUACUACUUUAUUGAUACAAGGUCCACCAUCCUCUCUCACACAAUGUGUCUAGGAGCACGUGUUACAGCUGGCUAUUAGUUUUGUAGCCCGAUUCUCUUCUCUCUCAUCUUCUCUCUCUUUCAACUCAUCAGAAAUAUAUUAUUUAAAGUCUUGCAGCCCGUCUACGUCAUCCUAUUGUACUUGCUCUUAAUAGUACUCCCUCCGUUCCUAAAUAUAAAACAUUUUAGAUAUUGCACUAUGAACUAGAUACGAAGCAAAAUGAAUGAAUCUACAUCUUAUAAUAUGACUACAUACAUUCAUAUGUAGUUCAUAGUGAAAUUUUUAAAAGGUCUUACAUUUAGGAACGGAGGGAGUACUACUAUAGCCAACUGCUGGCUAUAAGCAGUCUUAUAGCUCAUCUUAUAUCUACCUUGUACUAUUUUUAUUAUAUAUGAUCCAUCUUUCAUUCUCACAAAACGCCUAGGAGCACGUGCUAAAGCUGACUCUUCACGAAGAGCCCGCUUUCCUUCUCUCUCCUCUUCUCUUUUAUCCAACUCAACAAAAAUAUAGUAUUUUAAUUUUUACAGCCUGUUGACUAUACCUUAUUGUACUUGCUCUAAUGGUCCAUCAUGCACCUGCAUUCAUAUUGAAACUGCCAGCCGCCGUUGCACCUCCAUCUGUGACCUUGGGCGCAACAUUUCCAUUGAAACUGCCAACGCCUCUUCUUUCAGAUUUCCAUCUAGUCGUGACAUUUCCAUCUAGAGCCGCCAUAUUCUAUUUAUGUUUUUGUGCACCGAGGAUUACAAAUUUGAACAAAUUAACUAUGUUCUACUCACAUUACUUCAAAUCUUGACAUUAUACAUUUCUCAAAAGUUAAAUCAAUAUACAUUUGACCAUAUUUAUGUAAAUAGAUGCUAAUAUCUAAAACAUCAAAUACCUAUAUAUAUAUAUCGUACGGAAACAUUAUUAUGAUGUAUUUUAUAGACUUAACCAAACUUAAAUAAAUGUGACUUGGAACAAAUUAAUUUAUAUGGAACUAAAGGAGUGCAUAGGGCCGAACACAAUUAAAAAUUCUCGCACACAGACUUUCCAGGUUCCUAACACAUGACACGUUGUUACAGAGAUGAACGGCAGUCCGAAGGGAAGAAAAAGAAGGGAGGGCUCGGUCACAAGGUACCAAUGACUGACACCCAGGUGACUAGCGGGUGAUGGUAACACACUCUCUCCUAGACUAGUGAAGUUGUUAGAGUUUUUGUCGCAUGGAUGCAGAUUUUUUUUUCUUUUGACAAAAGGGAUUUCUUCACAAUUUCGUUAAGAAAACUGAAUUGUGAAGGUUUUUUACUCCCUCCGUUCCUAAAUAUAAGUCUUUUAAGCGAUUUCAAUAGAUGUCUACAUACGGAGUAAAAUGAUUGAAUGUAUACUCUAAAGUAUGUCUAUAUACAUCCGUAUGUAGUCCACUAGUGAAAUCUCUACAAAGAUUUAUAUUUAGGAACGGAGGGAGUAUAUGUUAUUGCAAUCACGACCCAAAAUAAAGAGAGCGGGAAGUUUACAAGCCGUUGGACCACAAAAGAUAGGAAACGAGACAUUGAACAUCUAAAAAACAGAUAGUCAAUAGAUUCAUCAUAUAUGAGGAACUUUGCCACAGUUCUCAGAGGAAAUAGGGCGGAGGGGUACUUCUUUUUUCUUUAUAUGUCUGGUCAUUUACACUUGAUUGAUGGAGAGGACGAGAGAGAAAGAAAAUAAUGAGCAAAGAAAAGAAAAAUAUGAACCGGGAUAGGGUCACGUCCUAUGUGACGGAUUGACCGGGCGUCGCGUCCGCGAGCCCUCAUUUCCUUUCCAUAUUUGAGAUGUAUAUGAGGGUUUCGAACAAUCCGGACAUAUAAGAACGAUAUAAAGGGUCCCGUUGGGUAAUUUUUUUCAUUUUCUCAUGUCAUGUCGUUGACAGGAUGCAUUCGCACAUGUUAUUUAAGAGUAUCUCGGGCAGACCCCCUAUAAUGCCGACCCGUAAAAGUUGUUUACGGUUCGUGAAAAACGGAUUUUACGGGUCGGCGCGGACGCGGACAAAGACAGACCUCCAAAACAGACUCGUAUAAAAGAAUAUUCACAGAAGAUGCUAUUAUAUAGGUCUUCAGUGCCGGAUCUUCUCGGGCGCCACCGCGUCGUCCCGCAAACCUAAUACCCCAUAAAUCAAAAUUACUCAUCAUGUGCAAUUCAGACGCUUUCCUACUUUUGGGUUCUUUGAUGCUACGCACAAAUGCGCGUCAAGAAGGGUAUAUACCAUCUCAAAGGUAGUAUCCUUUUGUGUAUUCAUGUUCAUUGAUAAUGUAGUUGCAAGUUGGAGCAUCACCACUAGCAAGCCUAUCAAGCAAAUGAGACCGCUGCAACGCAUUGAUAUUAUUUAGAGUACCCGACAUACCAAAAACCAAUGCCAAAUUCAUAAAUCAUGUGAAGCCACGGCAUCUAACAUAAUUGUUGCAUCACGAGACUUGCCAUAAUACAUUGUCUGCCAUGCUUUUGGGCAAUUUUUCCUAGUCCAAUGCAUACAUUCUAUGCUUCCUAGCAUGCGAGGCCAACCUCUUCUUUCGUUAAAUGCCAUGAAAUUUUUUGUCUCUUCCUCGUUCGGUGCCCGAAGAUAUUCAGGAGCAAAGACACGGACAAACACUUUGGUAAACCAACGCACUGACUCAAUUGUACUAUCUUCCCCAAUGCGAAGGUACUCAUCGGUAUAUAUAGUCAGCCGGAACGUCGUACGAAAUUAUCCGCAUAGCUAUCGAAAUUUUCUGAUAUGCACUAAAUUCCUUCAAGUCCGCGACAUUCCUUCUUUGAGUAAAAUAUGGACAAUUGGCCUCGCAAGCUUCAACAAUUUUAACAAAGAGGGAUCUGCGCAUACAGUACCUUCUCCGGAAGAGUUGCGGCGGAUAUGUUGCAUUGCCGGCGAAGUAGUCUCGCAUCACCAUCUCGUUGCCGAGAUGGCGAUUUCAAGGAAUGCAAAGAUGGCCGACAGUCGAUCGAUGCCGCCUCUUUCGGUUCUCGUCUUCGUACUUCUUCAUGGCAAGGGCCAUCACCAAACUCUGCUAGCGAAAUGUGUGAAGCAUCGUCUCAACAUCCGAGUCAUCCGAAUCGGAUGAAUCCUCGAACAGAAACUUCUCGCACAGGCUCAAGUCCAUCUCCGGUGAUGUCUCUCUCGCCGCCGUGGAUUGACGGAUCCAGGUAGCAGGGGCAGCGGCGCGCGAGCAACACGAUUCACCCCGCAGAUUCGGCGAAAAUCGCCGGCGGCUGACUGGGGGAAUCAAUGGCGGCGCGGCGGCGGAAGGAUGUGAAGGAAGGGUGCGGGCUGAAAUGUUCGUGACGCCAACCGCUUUUCUGGGAUACAUGGCACCGUAUAGGCCAGGCGAAAACCUGUCUUUUCGCAGGUCGGGGAGGGGAUUUUGCCGCGUUCCUUACAGUACGGAUCGAACAUGUUUGCGAGGUCUGAUCUGACAGCAUUUUUCACAUAGAUCCUUAUUUUAUCAGUUAUAUUAAGGAUUGGGGUACUAUACGAGGUCUGUUAGAGAUGUUGUAAGAAUUGCGCUCGUAGAUGCUCACGGCUCACCCGUACCCAACAACAGUUCACCUGGAUCAGUGUCGUUGCUAUCGCUUUCUCCGGUAUCCAUCCACAAGGUCAUGAUCUGCCGUGCAAAAGAACUGAUCAGUGCAUCCGUAUUGAGGUUAGGUUGUCCGAAUUUCAGAAAAGAGACGCGCGCACCCGCGUACGGCUGUAAAUGCACAUUGACGAUGGAUCGAGUGCGUGGUGCGUGUACCUCGACGAGAAAUCCCACCGCUGUGGUGCAGCAAUUUAUGUGAACGCGGCAAGCCGUUUUUGGACUAGAGUAGGGAAAGAGAGCCAAAAUCGGAAAUGUGGAAUCGUGUGAGUUCUUCUCGCACAAGGCUUGUCCCUUACUAGCCUGUCAAAUCGGGUGCCUCUUGAAUUAUCGCUCACAGCAAAUUAACAUGUGAUUAGAUGCUUAUAGGGAUACAGUGAAUUAACAUACGGUUGGCUAGUUAUAGGAACAAUGAUAUUUUCAAUUCAUCAUGGUUCAAGUCCUUAUACUCAUCUUUUUUUUUAAUUUAUUUCAUAAGUUUCAACUAUUCGUUUUUAAUGAAAGGAAACAUUUCACUCGACGAGGACAUACCUACGUGAAUUCAUAAAUCUGAAGAUAAUAUGAUAGUUCAGUCUUUUAAAAAUAUUCAUAAGGUUAGAUGUGCAUCUGCGCAUUCAUAUGAACGAGGGUAUGUAAAGUCUUGCGUCUUUAUUGUGUUAAGAAAAAAUUAGGGUGCACAUUUGCAACAACAAUCUAUGUUUGGGUACCACGCAACAGACAAGGAGUGCGUGCGACCCCGGUCUCUCUGGGUCCCACAGCUCAGUAGUUCAUCAACGCCUUGUAUCUUUUGCACCAUGCUUAACACCGUCAGCUAAUUAUUAAUUAAGCUCCGGUCCCAUUUCGCGUGCCCUUCCGUCCAACCGCGUCUGCCGUCUGGGCUACCUGGGGAGCAAGCUAACUAAGUACUACUCCCACUCCCAACUGACGCGAGCGAACCCAGAAGAUUCUGCCUUUUCAGACAUGCGCUUGAGCCGGGUCGACGCCGAUCGCGACUGCGACUGGCUCCAAGCUCAUAACCCUCCACACGUCAAGAACGACGUGGUGUAGACGUGACGCAACCUGGCUCCUACAACUCCACAUGCCUAGUAUAAAUAGCCAACAAUCCACACGACCCAACCACACCCACAGCAAAUUCCGAGCUCUUCCAAGUGAGCUCAUUCCACCUCCCGCCUCGCUCCUACAUCCUUUUGCACUUCGCACAGACGCACGAGCUCCCGUUGUGCAGCUCAUACCUGACCAGACGCCCAUGGUUUCCUCAAUGAAGCAGUGCAGAGACCAGGCCGAGGUGCCCUUCGUGUCCCUCUCGCUCUCCCUCGGCGCCAUGGCCGACCGCAUCAGCAAGAAGCAGCGCCGCGGCGCGGACGGCGAGUUCGUCUGCAAGACGUGCAGCCGCGCCUUCCCGUCGUUCCAGGCGCUGGGCGGGCACCGGACAAGCCACCUGCGCGGCCGCCACGGGCUCGCGCUCGGCCUCGCCGCCGGGUCCGAUCAGCCGGCGACCAAGAGGACCACGGACCAGAAGCAGGCGCACCAGUGCCAUGUCUGCGGGCUCGAGUUCGAGAUGGGGCAGGCGCUCGGCGGCCACAUGCGCCGGCACCGCGAGCAGGAGGCGCCCGCCACCACGGCGCAGGCGCCGCCCGUCCUGCUCCAGCUCUUCGUCUAGCGCUGGAUUGAUUUCUCUCAAGUUCAAUAGCUAGGCAUAUAGAGUAUAUCUGGUUCUGGUCCAGAUUUACAGGUUGACCUAUGUGUGCUAUUUGGUUUGUACAUUUGCUGCACACUAGGUUGUCUACUCUUGAUCCUUGGCUCGUUUGAGCAUUGUAUUGGGUAUAUAUGUACAUAUUUAGGACUCGUUCAUUCGUUCAUUACUGUUAUUAUCCAUACUUUUUGAUUCAUACUUUUAUUUUGUUCUACUUGAAUCGACUACGAGUUCGAGUUGAGUUAAUCCUAUUACUGAUCUCCCUAACACGGAUUUUCUUUUCUUGAAAAGGAGGCAGGACGGGUCUCGGCAUAUGCAUCAAUUGACACACAAAACAAUUUUUAGUAUAAUAAAAAUCUAGGUUAUAUGUAAAAGUGCAAAAAGGAAAAACAUUAGGCAAAAAGAUUACGUAUGUAUGAGUCCAAAAAGUUAUAUGGAGUAAUGACUUUGUUGCAAGAGGUGGAAUUGGCGGGCUGAUUGACACGAGUAGAUCUACAAUGUGGAUGAUGUGGUGAUUAUGUGCAAUGAGAGCUCUAUUGUUGUGGCACUCGAUAAUUGGAGCGUCGGUAUUCGUCUGAGAGGCAUAGUAUGUGGUAUGUAAAGAUAACAAAGAAGAAUUUAUCUUGAGAUGUGCUUGGGAGAGCAUGACUUUGAUUUAAUGGUGUGCCCUGCUUAGGUCUAACGAGCCAAGCAAGGAAGAGAGUUGAAUCACUCGCUGACUUGUCGCUGGUUCUUUGAAGUACAGGACAUGCACAAUGGUUGAUAAGAUAGUCUUAUUUUAAAACUUGCAUAUAAUUGAAAGAUGAUAAAAAAAGAGUCUACAAUGAAUCAUCUUUUAGCCUUAUCUUUUAUAAUUAGUUAUUCUUAAAAACAUGAUGAGACAUAUUGUGCUAAGAGAUCACCACUUGACUUCUCUUAAAUAAGAGAAGGCAAAACUUUUUUUUUUGAGUUCUCUCUCUUUCACUUCAUCAUUUAUCCUAUGUGGAUUCGCUGGUCCACUUGUCAACGCCAUCAUUUUGCGGGAUAGAGAGAGGGACCAGGUUCAAUUAAUAAUUCAGCAGCUACCCUUUUAUAGUAACAAACAUCAACAAUUAUGUGCUAGGGCUUUUUGCUGAGCCUCCCUUUUGUGCAUCUAUUCUUUUAAAUCAAUUGAGGUAUUUGUUAGGUUUUAUUGUUACUGUAAUUUCAGCCACUUCAGCUGACUUGUUGUACUUUUGUUCGCACAAACGUAAAAAUCAAGAUAAACAUAAAAUCGAGAGAAAUCUCCUCAGGUUGUCUAAACAGACAAACAUAGUAAAAGAGAGACUAGUUCAACACGUCUCAUUUCUCUCUAACAAAUAGUGCACUAGCUCAGUAUUUUAGUGAUUUAUAAAACGUCUUAUGAUAGUUUAUUUAUAGAGGAAGUAGACCAAUAGGACGAUGGGCGUGUUUUUUACAAUUUAACUUUAAUCAUCAAUACGACAAAUAAGAUUUAAGUUAUGUGACUCGAAAAUUAUUACCAGGAAAGCCUCAUUGGAGAGAAGAGAGCCAGCACCAUUCCGUAUGUCAUGACGAUAGUUCACCUAACAUUUUCCUCUCUAUAGAAAUACAGGAGUACAGACAAGGUACGUAGCAAACUCGUAUACCUGUGAAGCACGGACGUACUGACGUACGUACUGUAGCGUAUUCCCCAAAAAGAUACUUGUACAUACGUAGCCUUGACGAGUCUGAAAGUUCCUUCUCGAUCAAAAAAACAUUCCAUGAAAAAGAAAGAUAUUUUCGAACACACAAAAAAAGAAAGAUCAAAGAUGUUUUCCCGGGCUCUGGAACGUUCCAGGCCUUUAAUAUCCUCACACCCACGCUAACGCUCGCGCCGCCGGCCAACACAAACUAAAUUAUUCAGCGACGCCGGUUACUGGCCGGAUGUGCCGCUGAAUCCCGCCCACCGUCCCGGCGGCCAAGCAGCGUCGCGCCGCCACGCGUCUUGUGGCGUGACAGCUGACUCCACUCCGCACCACACGUUUCGUCUCCGGUCGGCCGCGCUACGCACGACGGAAAUAUCCUUCCUAUCGAGCUCGGUCCAAUCCAUCACGUCGUGGUGGAUUCCAGCGAAUGGUCCACAUACGUCAAAGGUAACUGGCCACACGUAAGCUCCAUCCGCAGCAACACGCACGCCACCUCAUCCUCGCUGCCUAUAUAUAACUGCUGCGGCCGCCUCCCCUGCCGAUCCAUCCAUCCAUUCUUGAUUCUUCCUAGUUCCUACCGAGCUCUCACACAACUUAUUACAACAACGCAUAAGAGUAGAGCAUCGACCGAAAUCCAGUAGAUCAUCAGGAGGAGGAGCAAAUCCAUCUCCAUGGGAGCGGGGAUGAAGCGCGCGAGGGAGGAGCAGCCAAUGGUGUCGCUCGCGCUGUCCCUCACCACGGACUCCUCGGCGUCCACCACGUUGUCGGACAACUCCUCCACCGGUGCGCCUAGGAAGAGGACGCGGCGGGGGAGGGUGGUGGCCACGUCGGGGGAAGGGGACUUCGUCUGCAGGACUUGCGGGCGCGCCUUCGAGACGUUCCAGGCGCUGGGCGGGCACCGGACCAGCCACCUCCGCGGCCGCCAUGGGCUGGAGCUCGGUGUCGGCGUCGCCAGGGCCAUCAGGGAGCGGCAAAGGCGUGAGGACAAGCAGCAACACGAUUGCCACAUCUGCGGGCUGGGCUUCGAGACGGGCCAGGCGCUCGGCGGCCACAUGCGCCGGCACCGCGAGGAGAUGGCGCUCGACCGGUGGGUCGCGCUUUCGGAUCAGGAGGCGGGGCACCAGGCCGCCGCCGCCGACCGGCUGCCGAUCUUGCUCGAGCUGUUCGUCUAGCCUGCUGCUAGCUGGAGUAGAUCUCAAUGCUUGUUAAUUCAGGACUGCUCCAGCUGUUCGUCUAGUCUGCUAGCCUUCUUAGUCCACCUUGUAUAGAGUAUGUUCUUGCUGGUAGCUGGUUAGAGAAUGUUUUUGCAAGUUAGCUGGAUGUUUGCUUUGGAUCUGACAUUGUUUUUAACUGAUGGACUGGAGUGGAGAUUUACAUGCACUUGUAUACAUAUUGCAGAUAAAUUCGUUUGUUCUAAAUGCAAUUGAGAGAUUCUUGCACUCAGAUUCCUCUUAUGUGAAUGUGCUUUCUGUUUUUUGCGGGAACUUCUAUGAAUCGGCUCGACCUCGGAUUCAUUUUCGGCCAAGAAAUCCGGAUUUUGGCCAUCUCGGCCUCGGACGAAACAUAGCUUUCAGCCGAGAAGUGGAUUUUGAUCAAAUUUCCUCCAAUUUUUGGUUAAAUGUUGGUAAAAAUUCUAACCAAUUUUUUUGAAAUAACCAAAAUUUGGCCAUCUCGGUGUAGGACGAAAAGAGUCCCAAACCCAAAGAAGUCCCAAACCAAAAACUCUGGUUCACCCCUAUUGUAUAGAUGACCAGUAGAAAUGACCAUGCGUUGCAUCGGGCAAGAAAAAAAAUACAAAACCUUCUUGUUAUAUCAUUAUGCGGCAUUAAUUGUAAUAAACAUGUAUAAUAAUGUUAAAUGUUUUUUAAAAAAAUAUUAGGUACUGCUUACAUAAAAAUGGAUGAAUUUUUUAUAAUAGUUAUAUUUUUUGUUAAAUUUUUAAAUUUCUUGUAAAAGAUAAAUUGUUAAACAUUUUUUUCAAAAGGAUCUUUUUAUUGUGGGGUAAUAAUGUUGUUUUUUUGAUGGGUAAUGGCAUUUUUAUGUAGAACAUAUUUCCAUAAAUAUUUUUUGAAUCAUAUUUUCUUAUUUUUUUGCACAACUUGCUUCAUGUGCCAUUAUGCAUCAUUUUUAUAUGGAUUUUUAAUAAUUGUUGAUGAUAAGUUAAAUGUUAAAUUAUUUUAAAAAUUGAUGUAUGCAUAAAAAUUGUAAUACUUUCUAGGAAGUAUUGUUUUUAUGAAUUUUUUGCUUUUCUUUGAAAAGGAACUUUUUAAAAUAAUUUUUUUCUUUAACAUUUUAUGAAUUUUGGGCUUGACCCAAACAACUCGCAGUACAAUAACAAUUGACGGUAUUAAAAAAACAUUAUCGUUUGGUACAGAAAAUGCAGCAUCAUCUCUUUCGUCUCUCCCGUUCCCAUUUCAUUUUUCGCAUUGGCUACCUGUUUCCUCUGCAUCGAGGCUACACCAAACCCGCACGGCCCGAGCGAAAAAACAUCACCACACCACGAGCAUUGGCUCGGCUGUCUCCUUGCCCACGAAGUCGCCGCCACUGCCGCCGCCACCACCCACGCUGGCCGCUUCCGACGACCUACGGCUCCGCGCAGCACGCUCCCGAGCUCCCCACGGUCCGCGCGUCCCUCCCCUCCGGCCAAAAUCUUCGCUCCCGUCCUCUACCGCCCGCUCGGAACCACCCUGUGGCUAGGGUUUCGGGCAGUGCUGCACCGGCGCAUCUCCAGCGGCCUUAGGUUAGUCCCUCCGACGCAUCUCCAGCGGCCUUAGGUUAGUCCCUCCUUCCUUCUUGGCUGGGAUCCGCCACCGUGCCUUACCUCUUCGUCGCCCCCCUGUUGCCUUCCUGCUGCUCUCCAACUCCCCCUCUCUCAGUUCGUCUCUCUCUGUUUUCUGCAGGAGCUCCGUGGCGUCGAGUCUCUCCGACGUUUGCUCACCAGCAGCGGACGGACCUCGCCGGCGACGUGCAGGUCAUAUGCCAUGGUAAUGAACUUCCUGCAGUUCAGUUGCGUGAUUUUGCCUAUAUGGUAUUUUCAUAAAUUCAUAAAUAAGUCAAAAGGUAUUAGAAUCUAGGUCUUUAUUGUGAGAUGCAACUAAAAGAGCUUUUACUGUAGGCUACUACAAUUAUUUUCUGUAUUCCUCUGCUUGCCAAGUUAUUAAGCGUAGAGAAACGUAUGCACUAAUCAGGCUAGAGAGACUUACACACUACAAAAAUAUUUUUCUGCUCCUACUAGUUACACCGUUGCUCUCCUCUGUGUUCAUGUAACUCCACAUAUCUUUCUGCUUCACAAGUUAUUGUGCACCUUUAGCUGUAUAACUUACACACAAGGGCCGGGUGAUUUCGCCACAGGCUCUAGCUAGCAGCCACAAGUCCAGGAGCAAGCAGCAAGAAGCGAUAGCCACAAGUCCAGGAGCUAGCUAGCGAUCCGGGUGUUUUCGCGGCCACCACAAGAGCAAGAAGCACAAGUCCAGGAGCCAUUGCGCCAUGGUAGGACCUCGAGCUCCUGGCCCGCUUCCAUGUAACCUUCAUGACCUCGCCAAGCCUCGAUCUAGCUGGCCACCGACCGGAUCCGCCGGAUCCCACCCUCCCCGACUCGUUCCCGGCUUUCCCUUCGCGUGACAUCGUCGUUCAUCACCAACUUGUUGCCGCUGCUGCUCCUAUUUGUCAGAGAUCGAGGAGGACCUUGCUGCGUUGACCACGCCCCCGUCGUCUGUUUCCUCCCACUCGAUCUGCCCACAUGGACCCAACCUGUUGCCAGCCCGCGAUCGAGCCGAGCAAGCUAGCCCACGCACGCACCUCACCUCGCCGCUGCACCGCCCCUCACCUCGCUGCUGCAGAGUCUGGAUACAGUAGACUAAAUACAGUAAAAUACAGAAGAAACUCAGAUCACUGUAUUUGUUCCUCGCAAUGGACCUCAAUAACAUGGUCGGAAUAAUCCAUUUUUUCCGCUGAUUUACAGCACAAGAUCCUUCAUUAUUGACAAAUGAGUUCUGCAGACCGGCUAGCACAGAAUCAAAAUUACUUUCUUCAGGUAUACUAUCGUGACCAGAUAGAUGUUGACGCCGCAGCAGGUGACUGCAUCCAUUGUUGUCCCAUGGAGUCGUCUCCAUGUUCAGCAAAAUUUUCAUUAACAGUGUGAAAUUGUCUAGAUUCUGGAAUGGUUCCAUUAUCCACUUUCGGGGUAAUUAAAUCAGUGUUUGCAUUAUAAAAUACCCGAUGUUGCUCUGCAAAAUGAUUUUAUCAACACAAAGAAGUUUUUUGAGAUGAAAAUAGGAAGUAAUGAGAAAAGAAGAAAUUUGUAUGACAUUUAGUGGACCAGAUGAGUGCAGAAAUCUUACCAUGAAUAUCUGAAUCGUCAUUCGUGUUUGCAUCAUUGUCAUCUGCAACACCAUUCGGGAGGACAUUACGGAUAACAUAAUCUGCUGGCAGCUUUCUCCUCCCCCAACUCAUACCGCUGGAACCAAGGCUAUAGGCGGGGACGAACGCAUCAGGGUGCUCUUCCAGGCGGCGGCGAGGAGGCUGGGGGUGACCAAGAUGGAAGGAGGGACGUCGUGGGUUGUGAGCGGGCGGUAGAGGACUGGAGCGGGCAGCUGGCCGGAGGGGAGGGAGGCGAGGACCGUGGGGAGCUCGGUGGCGUGCUGCGUGGUGCCGGAGGUCGGGUGGUGGCGGCGGCAACUUUGUGGGCGAGAGGGAGAGGAGGCGAUCCCGAACGAAACUUGACUACGUCUCGACAUUGACAAUACAAUGAUUCGAUUGCCCGUCGGAGUUGAGGACAAGGGCGCGGAUCAUUGCAGAGGAACGUGGGGACAGAGUGGAACGUCGAGGCAAAGCGUGAUCUUCAACUUGUUGGCGCCAUCUUUUGAUAGGAAGAAGAGGGAAGAGGUUCAGUUUGUUAAUCAACAGCUCCCUUUUCGUAGUAGUAACAAUCAUCUACAAUUAUGGGCAACAAAUUUUCGCCGAGCUUCCCAUUUCCGCCUCCAUUCUAUGUAAAUAAUUAAGGUACUUAUUAGCUUUUAUUGUUGCCCUAACUUUAGCCACAUCAAUUGAAUAUUGUUGUAUUUUUGUUCCAUCAACCUGAAAAGCAACAUAAACAUAAUAUCAAGAGAAAUCCGCUCAGGUUUUCUAUAUAUACAAAUAUCAUGAAAGAGAGACUACUUCGAUACAUUUCAAUUUUCUCUACAAAUAACACCUUUGUACUUUAGUGAUCUAUAAAAUGUCUAAUACUAGUUUAUAGAGGAAGUACUUAAUACGGUCAAUAAGAUUAAGUUAUGUAACUUGAAAAUUAUUACCAUGAAAGCCUCUUUCAAGAGAAGAGAGAGAGAGAUCAUUCCAUAUGUCGUAACGACAGUUGACCUACCAUUAUUUUCUCUCUAUAUAGAAAUAUGGAGUACUCCCUCAGUUCCUAAAUAUAAGUUUUUUUAAAAGAUUUCACUAGGAGUCUAUAUACAGAGCAAAAUGAGUGAAUCUACACUUUAUAGUAUGCCUAUAUGCAUCCGUAUGUAAUGUGGAACCUCUAGAAAGACUUAUAGAAAUUACACCAAGGUCCCUUGGGAACUGGCCAAUUCCAUCAUCCUGAGGAGGCCUUGGCGUGUUGCUGCCGCUACUCAAUAGCCAUCGCUGCAUGGGUCUGUCACUACCUAGAUGAUGUGGCAAUUAGGAAGUCACUGUACCUAGGCCCCUGGAUGACCUAUACCCUUGAAGCCAGGUCAUGAUCGUCGGAAAGAGAAUAUAUCUCGAAGCCGAUGCACUGGAUCCCACAAUGAUGACGAGCAUCGCUGCGACGAGGAUGGUGGCAAAGGACAGAACUCCAUUACACAACUAUCGUUCUUGCCUCAACGUCAGCACCUGGAACCACCAAACGACCGCCCCUGUAGAACGACGACCACAUCAAACUUGCACUCUUCCACGCCAUUUGCAAAAGCUACCAACUUGGUGGAUGAGAAGACGAGGAACUUUAUUUCACUUGGCGACAUCGUCCACCCCCCCCCCCCUCCACCGCGCCACCCAUCCGAUCCGACCCAACAAUCUAGAGGCACAACCUUCUAGAACUCAUCAACGGGAGAGAUCAAGGAGAACAUGCAUCAAGCAGGUCACCGCCUUGACGCGAGAAGAACCAUAGGAUCGCCUCCUUAUAAAAGCAAAUUUAGCAGUUCCCAUGCCGCCGAUAAGAUUAGCGAAGAGAAGGCGACCACGACGUCGCACACUCGCACAUACCCAGAACGCCUAGAUCAGACCCAGAUGCCCGAUUCGAACCCGUCGUAGCUGCAAUGUCGAUGCACAGAUGUCGAGCCGCACGCCUGUGCCUCACCGCAUUGGCUCGUGACAUGACCCCGACCACUAGGGCCGCGGCAUCUUGCGUCUCAAUCUCCCGGAAGCAACCAAAGGCAUCGGAGAGGUUCAUCCACGACCUAGAUUUUUUGUGAGGAACCCCUGAAGCUAACGAACAAUGCAUGCUCUGCCAGAUCCUCGCCACCUGAAAGAUUGCCGCGAGUAUACCAACGCUGGGCGUCGCUCUAGUUCCCGCGCGUCCACGAACCACCGUCAUCACCCCAACAGCUCCCAUAGUCACCUACCAUCCGCCCCAGACUACCUUUGGUAGCUUGUCCCACCGUCCUGGUGAGGGCCGACGGUAGUGUCGACGAGGGGAGCCAGGGAUGGGGGAGGAGGCUGGCGGUGCGAGGUGUUGCCUUGGGGAUCGACACGGGAGGGGUCAUGGGAGAGCAUCACAUUUGGGAACCACUCUGGAUCUACAUAGAGUAUGGGUUUUCUGUUAAGAAUGCUUAUGCACUAUCUAUUUGUUACAUUUUUGUUUUGUGAAACAAUUGCUCAAACUCGUAAACUUUCAGCAAAAGCAGAAAUCCUGUAAACUAAUAGAAAUUACACCAAGGUCCCUUGGGAACUGGCCAAUUCCAUCAUCCUGAGGAGGCCUUGGCGUGUCGCUGCCGCUACUCAAUAGCCAUCGCUGCAUGGGUCUGUCACUACUUAGAUGAUGUGGCAAUUAGGAAGUCACUGUACCUAGGCCCCUGGAUGACCUAUACCCUUGAAGCCGGGUCAUGAUCGUCGGAAAGAGAAUAUAUCUCGAAGCCGAUGCACUGGAUCCCAUAAUGAUGACGAGCAUCGCUGCAACGAGGAUGGUGGCAAAGGACAGAACUCCAUUACACAACUAUCGUUCUUGCCUCAACGUCAGCACCUGGAAUUUAUAUACGGAGUCUAUAUACGGAGCAAGAUGAGUGAAUCUACACUUUAUAGUAUGUCCAUAUGCAUCCGUAUGUAGUGUGGAAUCUCUAGAAAGACUUAUAUUUAGGUACGGAGGGGGUACUUGUGAAGCACGCACUUACAGUAGUGUAUACGUAAUUACGUAGCCUUCACAAGUCUGAAAUACCCUGCUCCGUCAAAGAUAUUUUCUAAGGCUCUGGAACAUUCCAGACCCUUCCGAUCCUCACGCUCGCGCUUGCGCUUGCGCUUGCGCCGCCGUCCAAACCAGGGUCUGGACCAAAUUAUUCGCUCCGGUUAGCCGCCGAAUUGAUCCCGCACACCGUCCGGCGACCAAGCAGCGGCGAGCCGCCACGCGUCUUGUGGCGUGACAGGUGACGCAUUUCCGCACCACACGUUUCGUCUCCGGUCGGCCGCGCUAUGCACGACGGAAAUAUCCCAGCUAUCUGCCAAACUAAUACUCUAUCGAGCUCGAUCCAAUCCGUCACGUCGUGAACGUCGCGGUGGCUUCCAGCGACUGGUCCACAGACGCUAAAGGUAGGCCAACCCACACCAACUGGCCACACACGUAAGCACCAUCCGCAGCAACACGCACGCCACCUCAUCCUGACUGGCUGCCCAACCUAUAUAUUCUCCCCCGCCGAUCCAUCCAUCCAUUCUUCCUCCUACCGAGCUCCCAGAGAACAUACUAUCAAGAGAGCAUCAAUCAAAGUCAGCAACAAAUCCAUCUCCAUGGGAGCGGGCAUGGUGUCGCUGGCGCUGUCCCUCAGCACGGACUCCUCGGCGUCCACCACGACGUCGGACAACUCCUCCACCGGUGCGCCGGCGACGACGGCGGCAAGGAAUAAGGUGCGGCGUGGGAGAGUGGUGGCGACGUCGGGGGAGGGAGAGUUCGUGUGCAGGACGUGCGGCCGCGCCUUCGAGACGUUCCAGGCGCUGGGCGGGCACCGGACCAGCCACCUCCGCGGCCGCCAUGGGCUGGAGCUCGGCGUCGGCGUCGCCAGGGCCAUCAAGGAGAGGAAGCGGCAAGAGGACAUGGAGCAGCACGAUUGCCACAUCUGCGGGCUGGGCUUCGAGACGGGCCAGGCGCUCGGCGGCCACAUGCGGCGGCACCGCGAGGAGAUGGCGCUCGACCGGUGGGUCGCGCUGUCGGAUCAGGAGGCAGGGCACCAGGCCGCCGCGGCCGACCGGCUUCCCGUCUUGCUCGAGCUGUUCGUCUAGCCUGCUGCUAGCUGGACCUCAAUGCUUGUUAAUUCAGGCCUGCUCGAGCUGUUCGUAUAGUCUGCUAGCCUUCUUAGUCCAGGACUUGUGUAUAAAUUUCUUCAGAAUCAUAUAGGUUCAUUGUUCCACCUUGUAUAGAGUAUGUUCUUGCUGGUUGCUGGUUAGAGAAUGUUUUUGCAGGUUAGCUGGAUCUUUGCUUUGGAUCUGUCAUUUUUUUUAACUGAUGGACUGGAGUGGAGAUUUUUUUUUUCUUUUUUUUUGCGAUAGAAAGAGAGUUUUAUUCCAUAAUUAUAGGGUUACAAUCAAGAGGCACCAACUCCUCAAUACAAGGUAGGCUCCUCCCCAGCCAUACGGCAGUAGUAGACUCCGUACGACUGUACAAUGCCAACCGAUGUGCUACCCUAUUUUGCUCACGCUUUAGUUUUGAUGGAACAAACUCUCGAUCCUGAAGAUGACGCUUGAUCUCUAAUACCAAGUGCCCAUAAGCUGACCUGGAUAAGCUAUCCCCGGUCAGUGCGCCUAGUGCCGUAGAUGAGUCUGACUGAACCACAAUUGGCAGGGCCGAGUGCUGCAGGGCCAAGGCCAUGCCCUGCAUUAUCGCAUGUAGCUCCGCUUCCAGCGCAUCGUUGCAGUUAAAGAUGCAUCUAUACGCCGCGAAGAUCACACUUCCUUCAUGAUCCCGAAGUAUCAUACCUGCUGCCGCCGACCCGUCCUCUUGCAUGAAUGCCCCGUCCACCGAUAGCGCCGCCCAGCCCAAGGGCGGUCGUGGCCAGUGCAGACCCGUUGGAGGAGCGGGAACCUCGACGAUUGCAUCCCGAACGACAGGCAUUUUCCCUUUGAGGAUAUCAUCUGUAGAGAAUCGACCACACAAGUUCAAGGAGUUCAUAUAGCUCUGAAGGAAGUCCGACGUUGCCGUUACGGGAGGAUCAUCCUUUUCGUGCGUAAGGCCCGAUCGUAACGACCAGAUCCUCCAUAUUAACAUGAUCGUGCAAUCCCGCAUGUGGUCAUCGCAGUUAGCCAGGACAUUUAAUAGCCACUCCUUCCCUGAAUCCUGGAGAAGCUCUUGGCUCGGAAGACGCCAUACUGUUCUCAUCUGAUUCCAUAUCCUCUGCGCAUGCUCACAUGACACUAGAGCAUGGAAGCUAGUCUUCUUUUCUCGUCCGCACACCCGACAGCUAUCCCUAGUCGAGAUGUGUCUAUACUUCUUGCACUCAUUUGUGGCGAGAGCCCCAGAGACAACCUUCCACGCCAUAAUUCUCAUCUUAAGAGGCACUUGAGAGCUCCAAAUUCGCUGCCAGAUGGGCCUUCGACCUGAAGCAUUAUUACUUGACGAGCUUAGCUGCAUUGAGAAUUGAGCUUCUGUAGCUAGAUGAUAGACGCUACGAACGGAGAACUGUCCAGACCGCUCCGGAGCCCAAGCGAUGAAAUCCUGCCCGUUCCUUGGAGAUGUGCAGAUCAUCAAGAUCGCCCUAACAUCCAUGUCCCAAACAUGCUCCCUAAGCCGUUCCAAAUCCCAUGCACCAUGCUCAUUCAGAAAAUCAGUCACCCGAUUGUACCGACAGUUCCCUUUAGGGGUGAUCGGCCUGAAGUUGUGGCCACGAGGAAUCCAAGCAUCUCUCCAGGUUUUAAUCAUAAGACCGUUGCCGACUCGCCAUAUAAUGCUCUUUUUCACCAGCUCAAGACCAUGAACAAUACCCUUCCAGACCGCCGAACUGUUAGACGAGAAUACCGUGUCUAGCAAAUUUCCCCUUGGAUAAAUUGCAGAUAAAUUCGUUUGUUCUAAAUGCAACUGACAGAUUCUUGCACUCGUAUUCUUCUUAUAUGAAUAUGCUCACGUCUUUUUACAGGAACUUCUAUGAAUCGGCUCGAGCUGUCGUUCACCCCUGUGUUUUAAUUUUCGGCCGUGAAAUCCCGAUUUCGACCGAAUUUCGACCGUCUCGGCUUAGGGCGAAUAGUACCUUUCAGCCAAAAAUGGAUUUUGAUCAAAUUUCAUCCAAAUUUCAGUUAAAUGUUGGUCAAAUUUCAGUCAAAAUUUUAAAAUGACUGAAAUUUGACCAUUUCGGUCUAGGUCGAAAAAAGUCCCAAUCUGAAAACUCUGGUUCACCCCCAUUUUACGUAUGAUAAUUCCAGUACGGGGCUUCCAUUUGUAAAUUCCGGCAAUAUAAACUAGCUUCACAACUUGAGCCCGCCGGAGUUAAUGACGACGAGGGCGCGGAUCAUUGCAGAGUGAUGUGAGAACAGAGUGGAACAUCGAGGCAUAGGGAGCUCAAGGGAGAUCUCCUUGGUUCUCUUUGUGUUGCCGUGGUAAUGUGGACUUGCCUUCGAACAAAAUCAAAGACGCCUAGUCUUCCGCUAGACCGGAGGCUUGAUGGCGAAUAAAUGCAAUCUCAAAAAUGGCGUGUGCCAUUGCCAUCGCACUCCACCACCUCCAUCCCGGUUUGAUUCGUGUUGCUCACUUGUAACGGCCACACGGACACGGGAAGUGUGCCUGAACACCCUCAGCAAUCCUCUCUUUUCUUCGCAGCAUACGCGAUUAUCGAUGACAUGGCCCUACUUGUUGAGAAUAAUAGGUGCUCGAUGGAACUUUAGAUCAUCUACAACAGGUUACUCAAACUUCUUCUACAUGCUCAGGCAGAUGGUUCGGUCCGUGACCGAUCAUAAAAUCUUGAUUCACACGUGCUGCUCAAACAGGUACUAUACGCCAGGGCUGACAUGCAUCCCAUAUAUCCUGUCCAUAUCAAGGCAGAUAUAAGAAGGCACGAACCUGGCCGGACGCGUCCACCGCGUCCCGUUGAGGUGCGCGACCCAACGCCCACGUCACAAACUACACUACACGGACGUCACGCUGUAGGCGUACCUAACAGCAAUGGACUUGGAUCGGCGUCGUCGCAAUGGAUCUCUCAAGAGUCUCCCCAUGGUCAAGGCUUGCUUUGCAAAAGAACUACAAUUCAGUUCGUAUCGAUGUUAGCUAAUCAGAAUUCUCAGCUUUUUCGGUAUAUAUAAGUCUAACGCAAACUAACGAUCGCGUGUAACUCCAAUGCACGGAGAAAUUCCAUAGCCGUGGUGCAGCAAUUUUGGUGAACGCGGCAAGACAUAUUUGCACCAGAGAACGGGAGCAAGAGCCAAAAUUGAAAAUUUGGAAACGUGCCGGCAAAAGAAAAGGAAGUGUGGAAUCGUCCUCCGCGGUUUCUUGUUCUACUGGCUGAUGACUGGUCGUCGACUGGCCAGUCAAUUAGGUUCCAGUCAAAUUAACGUUCACCGGUGCAACCACAAAUACGUACCAGCGAUAUGUGGUGGCGUCCAACGGCACCGGAUAUGGAUUGCGUCCGCGUCCCACCGCGCACCAACUUGUACAACUUGUAAUGUACUUCCUCCGUUCCAAAAUAUAAGACCUUUUAAAGAUUUCACUAGAAGACUACAUACGGAGCAAAAUGAAUGAAUCUAUACUCUAAAAUAUGUCUAUGUACAUCCGUAUGUAGUUUAUAGUGCAAUCUUUAAAAGGUCUUAUAUUUAGGAACGAAGGGAGUACGUAACUUGUGCAGUAUGCUUUGCUUAACAUAGUGAACUAAUUAAUGAAGGUUCCGUUCAUUUCGUGGGAACUUCCGUCCAACCGCGUUAGGCGAGUACAUGGGAGCUAGCUAAGAAUAUCUACAACCGUACGCCUCAAAAGAUCCAUCAUACGCUUGUAUAACUGAUUGAUCUUGUAACGCUUUUGCUGGUUAGCGUUCCUGUUCUUUGCUGAAGUAUCUGCAUUGUAUUGGUCUACUUUUUUCUAGCCAGCUAUAGAUUUACGUGCUUGUAUUGACAAGGACAAUUUUUAUUGUGCUAAAUGCAAUUAACAAAACCUUGUCCUCAGACUGUUGAUCUAUGAAUAUGUUGUUGUUCACUCCAUUGAUUAGUACAUGUUCCAGUGUGUUGCAAUGUAUCAAUCCAAAUAUCACUCAUCCUCCACACGGUCCUCCAGCGGUCCCUCGUGAUGGCGGUGACGGAUGCGUGGUGGCUCCGCAGCAAGAACGUCAAAGUUCUCUGGCUUGUCAUGAGCAGUCGGAACACGAGGCAACGGCGAAGGCGUCGGGCAAGGUGCAUGACCGCAUGGUCUGGAGAAUGACCAACAAUAUCUCCGUUCGACGACGAUUAAGACCUCACCGACGUCUUCGGUCGAAGGCAAACUCCUACACGGAGAGGUAGAGCCGUACCUAUGCAAAGGGAAGGAACCGGCGAGGAAAUGAUGAUUUCCUCUGCCCUUCUCCAUCUCUGCAUAAUAUGUAAUUUUUAGUACUGUCCGACGAUGAACACUUGUUCUUUUGAUUGUACGAUGACUACUAGUAUGUGAAUUACGUGCUUUGAUUGCUACUGUGUAGUUCAUGUUUUACAUUGCAUGAGUUUGGGGGUUCGGAUGUGAAGAAACAUUUGCGGUGACAGCAAAUUAAGGGGUGCCCAGCUAGUCACGGUGCGGGAACGCUCCAGACGCGUCCUCAGACAUUAGAGGGGCUAGAUAAGCUACUCGCAGUUGUAGAUGUUCUAAUGAGCGCACAGGAGAGUAAUAACGACGUGAAAAGGAGAGAGAUGUACGUCAUAAGCUCUAGAACAUGGACGUCACGCCAAUAGCAAUUGACUUGGAUCGGGGUCGUUGUAUGGAUUUCUUGAGAGUCUCCGCGUGGUCAUGGUUUGCCGUGCAAAAUAACUAACCUAGCCCGUAUUGCUGUUAGCUCGUCAGAAUAUGUAGUAAUUUCCGUGAAAAACAAGCACAUGCACACGCGUACGAUUGUACUACAUGAACACUGACGAUCGUUCGAGUCGCGUGGCGCAUGUGCCAGCACGGAGAAAUGCCAUAGCUGCAUGUACGCGCUGCAGUAAUUCAGGCGGACGCGGCAUUUGGAUCCAACGUCCAACUCUUGAAACCCAAAACGAUCCUUGCCACCUGCCAACAUAAAAGGGAUUAGAGGACGCACCACCAUGACGGUGCACGGUUUCUUCUCUCAUGAUUAACCUUGGCUUCAAUACUCACUUUUUUUUGUCUAACAUGAAUGACUUGAUCGGCAUGAAAACAAAAACGUCGAUACGAGAAAGUUGACGACAUCUUUGAGAAGGAAGGAGGUUUUUUCUUUUUUUUUAAAGAAGGCAUAGCCUCGAUCUCUACAUCGAAAGAUGCAUGCGGUCAUAUAUUAAAAACGAUACCAAGUCUCAAAAUAGUACACAGAAGUCUUAACAAAAAUAAAAAGAUACACGACGUCUGACACGUCACAACUGAAGGUGAACAUAGGCCUAGACGACUAACCAUCUUUUUUUUGAAAAGGAGAUGACUAACCAUCUAUCCUAUUAAUAUGUCGCCAUUCAAACCGGUUGAAGAUACCCUUGGCUACCAUCUUUCAUCGGACACACCCAGUAACCAUAGGCUCUCUGACUUUCACAGGAGUGAGUAAGGACCACGUGCGGAUCAAGGCAGUAGCCUGAAAAUGACCUGCAAAAAGUGAAUAUGUCGUUGUUUGUUAAAUACUAAGUCAUUUCUAAAAUUCCAUGUAGCCCAUAAAAGUGCACAUGAUCCUACACGGAUAAGUUUAGCAGUUUUAACAUCGAUCCCCUUUAACCAUCGAAGGAGGGUGGCAGAGGGACAUUUUAGAUGUUCUAUUUUUUAAUGAUAUAAUUUUUAUGUUAAACAAUAUAUUUUAUAUAAAUCAAAUUGACGAUCUAGAUACACGUGCAUGUCUUCUAAACUGUGAUGGAGGGAGUAUUAUUUAUGUAGUGUUUUCACAAACAGAAACACGAGUUCAGAUUUUUAUUUUUGCAUGCUGCGAACUUUUUAUGGCUCUGCCCAUGCUCAUGCGUAUGGAGCUCUAUUCCUGGCUCCGUCUCUGAUUCCCGGUAGAUUUAUUUUCCUUUGUACUCUCUGAACCUUGUAAAAUUUUGCCGAAUCCAAUUUAUGGGGCUAUAUUAUAUAAAACAGGGUGUACCCUAAGAUUUUCGUCUAAAAAAUAAUGCCAUGCCUGACGGAGUGUGGAUGCAAGGUUGGGUGCACCACUUGAUGCAGAAGUCAGGGGCAAUUCUUUUUUUAAUAGAAAAAUUGAGCGUGGAUACGAGAAAGUUGACGACAUCUUUGAGAAGGAAGGAGGGUGGCAGAGGGACACUAAUGAGACUAUAUAUUAAGAGAGUAAUGACGCGAAAGGGAGAUAAAAUUAUGUCAUAAGCUCUAGAGCACCGACGUCACUGCCCAGCCGUACCACCAACAGCAAUUGACUUGAAUCGGCGUCGUCGCUAUCUGUUUCUGCAGUCUCGAUCUACAUGCUUAUGUCUUGCCGUGCAAAAUAACUAAUUUAGCGCGUAUUGCAGUUGGCUAGUCAGAACUUGUAGUCAUUUGCGUGAAAAACAAGCACAUGCACACAUGUAUACGAGUCCAAUGCAUGCACACCUAUGAUCCGUUCGAGCGCGUGGCGCAUGUGCAGCCACGGAGAAAUUCCAUAGCUGCAUGCAUGUGAUGCAGUAACUCAGGCAGACGCGGCAAGCCAUUUCUGGAGCGGAGAACAGAUUAAAGCAGGAGCCAAAACUGGAAAUACGGAACCGUCCCGGCAAAAGACGAGAAGGGAAUGUGGAAUCGUAUGUAUGCGUGCUCUCGUUCUUCUCGCCAAAGAAUCGUCGUCAAAUCAUGGUUGAACAACAAAACACCCAACUACGUACGUACAAGUACAACGGACAUGGACUUCCUGCUAAACCGUCCACAUGCACGUAACCGCGUGACGGGCUACCUGGGACGACCGGGAGCAAAGCUGAGCAAUUACUCCAAGCUGACGCGAUCGAGCAGAGGAGAAGGUUCUAUAUAUCUUUCCAGACCUGCGCUUUAGCUAGGUCGCCGUCGAUCGCGACGGACUCCAAGUCGUGCCUCCGCAGUCGUCAAGCCAGACAUGGUCUACAAGCGAUGUACCUGGUGGCUACUACUAGUACCAGCCAGUACCCAGCACUAUAAAAGGCCAACCAUGCACGAUCCCAGACACAUCCACAGCCAACUCCGAGCUCUAACGACUGACUGAAUCCGCGCAGAACUACGAACUCUUGUGACUCAUACCCGACUAGCCGCGAUAUGGUUUCGUCAAUGAAGCAGUACAGGGAUGAUGCCGAUGCGCCCUCGUCCGUCUCCCUCUCGCUCUCCCUCGGCGCCGUGGCCGACCGCAUCAGCAAGAAGAUGAGGCGCGGCGGCGCAGACGGCGAGUUCGUGUGCAAGACAUGCGGCCGGUCGUUCAGCUCGUUUCAGGCGCUGGGCGGGCACCGGACAAGCCACCUGCGUGGCCGCCAUGGACUUGCCCUCGGCCUCGCCGCGGGGUCAGAACAGGUGAGCAGGAAGAGCAGGGACCAGAAGCAGGUGCACCGGUGCCAUGUCUGCGGGCUCGAGUUCGAGAUGGGUCAGGCCUUAGGAGGCCACAUGCGCCGGCACCGCGAGCAGGAGGCCACCACCACGGCGCAGGCGCAGCCAGUUCUGCUCCAGCUCUUCUUCUAGCGCUAGCUCCAUUGGUUUCUCUCUAGUCCGAUAUGGAUAGACUGCCUGCUGUGUAGUUCUGCUGGUGUUGAUCGAUGGUUCGUUCCUUCACUUUGACGAACAUGUACAUAUGUCUCAUUGAUUCCUUCGUUAUUUCGGUCCAGUUUAGUUCCCUACAAGUUGAGCCUAUCAAUAUCCUGAUAAAUAACUCUCGGAAGAAGAAUUCCAAGUGGAAUACUUUUUGUUUCGGAAUAGGUCGUUGAACAAAUCCCUUGCUACCCUCUCCAAAUGGCUGCAUCCCUAAUCCCUUGCUACUUCUCCGGCGGGUGCAGCGGUUGCCGGUCUUUUUCUUUUAUUUUUCGUUUGAGUUUCUUGUGAUGUGGCCCCGGCAAGCUGCAUGUAUCGGUUGGUUUCUUUGUAAUACAAAGUGGGGGGAAAACCCUUUUUUCAUCAGUUGCUACUUGCUACCAUCUCCUAAUGGCUGCAUCCCUAAUCCCUUGCUAGUUGCUACUUGCUACCAUCUCCAAGUGGCUACACUAGAGGAAAGAAACUCCCGGCGCAAUUCUUCAGAACCUUCUACUCUUCAAUGGAUCACAUAGUAUGGAAAGCUUGCAUGCNNNNNNNNNNNNNNNNNNNNNNNNNNNNNNNNNNNNNNNNNNNNNNNNNNNNNNNNNNNNNNNNNNNNNNNNNNNNNNNNNNNNNNNNNNNNNNNNNNNNACCUCCACCGCAGAGGGGCCCGAACUCAUACAUCCUCGCCGUAGCUGGGACUUUGCCCAUCCUUUUCGUACCCUACACAUCUACUGUCAGGCUUAUACCCACGACAGUUGGCGCCCACCGUGGGGCAGGCGUCUAAGCGACUUCCGGCGAGUUUGCGACUACUUCCUUUCGUCAUGUCGUCCGGUGGAGAUUCAAGCAUGGGUCACCAGAUCUUCUUCGGCGAUCUCUCCUUCAUCAUCGACAAUUCGGCGUUGCUUCGGGAUGCGCCCCUCGACGUCGAGGCGCUUCCCCGUCACGGGGCUACGCACUUCCGUGCCGGCGCCCGCGGCAUUCUUCUUCUCCAGCAGUCGGCUCCGGUGUUGACCUACACCGCCGUCACGCGCCACGUCAAGUGGUCCCGCCGUCCGCGGCUCCAGCGUUGGGUGCAACACGCCCAGGCGCGCCAGAACGCAUCUUCACAAGUGGCGGUUCUAGAGUCAGUUGUGGUUGCCCUGCUGUCCCAGCGCUCGGGCUCGGUUCCGACUGAGUUUCCUUCCAAGUACGCGGGUCACGGGCCUGCAGCAGAAGUACACAUGGCCAAUUCCCAUGAAGAUCCCCGUCAAGCUGGCCGGAACGAGCACGAGAUCGGCGAAGCGUCCGGCGCGCGUCGUCCACCUCGCCGUUCUGCUAGUCGGCACACUCGGCGGAGCAACGUGGAGCUGUUCCGCACACCCCUCCUCAACUUGGUUGCAGCUGCCAAGAUAGCCGAUUCCCUCCAGCCGACUGAUUCAGAGGCUGGUAGAGGGAUCGAGCAGAUCCGAGCCCUGUUGCACAUGGCGCAGCAGCAGAAUUCGGCGGUCUCCCAGUCGCACAACAGGAUCUAUAUAGUUCUGUUCAUGCGAAUACGCAUCGGUCGGUUCACAGCCCAGGUUCCCAUCAGCGGCACAGAGGAGGCAGCCGUUCCAUAAAUCACGAAGAUCGCCGCCGUUCACGCACCCCUCCGUGGGGUGGGCCCUAUGGGCCCCGACAUCAUGAUGAUCGGUGUUCAGUCGGUGACACUUACGACCCAAGGCCCGACGCAAGAGGGCAUAUCGCCCAGCGGAGGGUCGACAGGGGUCGGGCCCACCGCGAUGGUCACGAUAUCGACCGUCCGAGUGGAAGCAGGGCCACCUUUUUCUGGUCCCGAGUGUUUCAGUCGAGCCAUCCGUUCGGCUGACAUCCCUCCCAACUUCCGAUUGGCAACGGGAAUUAGCAAGUUCACAGGAGAGUCCAAGCCAGAAACGUGGCUGGAUGACUACCGAGUGGCAGUCCAGAUCGGAGGAGGGGACGACCAUGUCGCCAUGAAGCACCUCCCUCUGAUGCUCGACGGCUCGGCGCGAGCGUGGCUGAACCAGUUGGCCCCCUCAAGCAUCUACAGUUGGGCAGAUCUGGCCCGAGUGUUCAUCAGGACCUUCGAAGGGACGUGCAAGCGCCCUGCUGGCCUUGUGGAGCUCCAGCACUGCGUCCAGAAGCAGAAUGAGCCCCUGCGUGACUUCAUCCAGCGCUGGACAACUCUCUAUCACACGGUGGAGAACGUCACCGAGCAUCAAGCAGUCUGCGCCUUCAAGGCAGGCGUGCGGUACACGGAUCUGUACCUGAAGUUCGGCCGAACAGGCGACAUCUCCAUGAGCAAGAUGAUGGAGAUAGCAACACGCUAUGCAAAUGGUAAAGAAGAGGACCGCAUCCGAAGCGGCAAGCACAAAACAGUCGCUGAUGGCGAUGGGGGCCACACUCGGAAGCAGAAGCAGAAAGCUCCGACCGCUCCGCAAGCAGAAGCUGCAGCCGUAACCAAUGCCAAGUUCAAGGGCAAAGGGAAGGCUCAGUUCACCCUCAAGAAGAACCAGUUCAAUAACCCCAUCCUGGACCAGCCAUGUCCGGUUCAUACGAAGAUGGAUGAAGAGGGAAACCCCAUAUAUGCGAAGCAUACCACUCGACAGUGUCGCCUCCUGAUCCAGGGGUUCAGCGAAGGGCAACUGAGUGAGAAGGACCAUGAACAGGAUGAGGAGGAUAAGGAGGAUCCGUUCCCCCAAGUCCAUGCAACCCUGAUGAUCUUUGCUUACGUCGAGAGCAAGAGCCGACUGAAGCUGGUGAACAGAGAGGUGAACAUGGCCACCCCUACCAACCCCAAGUUCCUCAAAUGGUCUCAGACUGCGAUCACCUUCGACCAGUCGGAUCAUCCAGCACAUGUACCCACCCCGGGGAGACAGGCCCUAGUCAUCGACCCGGUGGUAGAAGGAGUCCGACUGCGCAAAGUCCUCAUGGAUGGCGGCAGCGGCUUGAACAUCAUGUACGCCGACACCCUCAAGGGGAUGGGCAUCCCGAUGUCCAAACUCAGCGAGAGCAGCAUGCAGUUCCACGGAGUCGUCCCUGGACGGAAGGCCAAAUCACUCGGCCAGAUCGCGUUGGACGUCGUUUUCGGCUCCGACAAGAACUUCCGCAAGGAAAAGCUGACGUUCGAAGUGGUUGACUUCCAGAGCGCUUAUCACGCAAUUCUAGGUCGCCCAGCGUAUGCGCACUUCAUGGCCCGUCCAUGUUACGUAUACCUGAAGCUGAAGAUACCAGGCCCGAAGGGUGUGAUCACCAUCACAGGCAAUCGGCAGCGGGCUGAAGAGUGUCUGCAGCAGGGAUCAAGAAUCGCCGACCAGCAGAUGGCCGUCCUCGAGCUGGACGAGUACAAGAAAAUAGUCGACCCCGCCGACCUGAUGCGCUCGAAGAAGCCAGCUUCAGAGUCUGCAUUUCAGUCGGCAGGAGAGACGAAGAAGGUCAGCAUCCACCCGACGGACGCCACUGCUGCCCCGACGAACAUCUCCACCACCCACGAUCCUAAAUAGGAAGCCGAGCUCACCCAAUUCCUCCGUGAGGACUAGGACAUCUUCGCAUGGAAACCCUCCGACAUGCCAGGUGUACCCAGGGAGUUAGCUGAGCACCGACUGCACGUGGAUUCCACGGCUCGGCCUGUCCGAGAGCACCUGCGCCGGUCCGCCGCGCACAAGAGGAAGGCAAUCGGGGAAGAGGUGGACAAGCUGCUGGCAGCCAACUUCAUUCGCGAGGUUCACUACUCCGAGUGGCUCGCCAAUGUUGUCAUGGUGCCCAAGAAGGACAAGUCGCUCCGAACGUGCAUCGACUUCAAGCAUCUCAAUAAGGUCUGCCCGAAAGACCAUUUUCCGCUCCCCCGCAUAGAUCAAAUUGUCGAUUCGACUGCGGGUUGCGAGCGUCAGUCAUUUCUUGAUGCCUACUUGGGCUAUCAUCAGAUCCUUCUGUAUGGUCCCGAUGAGUUAAAAACAGCCUUCAUCACCCCAUUCGGGUGCUUCUGCUACAUCACUAUGCCGUUCGGUCUGAAGAAUGCAGGAGCUACCUUUAUGCGCAUGAUCCAAAAAUGUCUCCUCGAUCAGAUCGGUCGGAAUGUGGAGGCGUAUAUGGAUGAUAUCAUAGUCAAGUCACGCAAAGGUUCCGACCUGCUGACUGACUUGGCAGAAACAUUCGCCAACCUUCGUAGGUACGAUAUCAAGCUCAACCCCGCCAAAUGUUCAUUCGGCGUUCCCAGCGGAAAGUUACUCGGUUUCUUCAUUUCCGAACGAGGGAUCGAUGUCAACCCCGAAAAGAUCAGGACCAUCGUCCGAAUGGAGAGGCCGGUCAGAAUACACGAUGUUCAACGUCUCACAGGUUGCCUAGCGGCUUUGAGCAGGUUCAUCAGUCGACUCGGCGAAAAAGCACUUCCUCUGUACCGACUCAUGAAGAAAUCAGAUACUUUCGAGUGGACAGAUGAAGCCCAAGUCGCAUUCGACGACCUCAAAGUCCUACUUUCCACCCAGCCGGUUCUUACUGCUCCGCUCAGUAAAGAGCCCCUUCUUCUGUAUAUCGCGGCUACAAAUCAAGUCGUCGGUACUGUUCUUACAGUCGAACGAGAAGAAGAAGGCCAAGCAUACAAAGUUCAGCGGCCAGUGUACUACAUCUCCGAAGUCCUGACCCCUUCCAAGCAGAGGUAUCCCCACUAUCAAAAACUUAUCUACGAGAUUUACAUGACUGCGACGAAGGUGGCCCAUUAUUUCCAAGACCACGCGGUGUCUGUCGUUUCUGAUGCUCCAUUGUCGGAAAUUCUCCACAAUCGAGAUGCGUCAGGCCGAGUGGCGAAGUGGGCGAUGGAGAUGCUGUACUGCGAUAUUAAGUUCGAGGCCAAGAAAGCUAUUAAGUCUCAAGCUUUGGCUGACUUCAUAGCAGAAUGGGUAGAACAACAGCAACCGACCCACAUCUGCUCGGCCCAUUGGACAAUGUUCUUCGAUGGGUCCAAGAUGUUGAAUGGCUUCGGCGCUGGCGUUGUGAUCAUAUCACCAAAGGGCGACAAGCUCAAGUUCUGGUCAUGGAGAUUCUUGCCGUCAUCCCCGAUUGGACUGUGCCGAUCGUUGCAUAUAUUCUGAGGCAGGAACUACCAGAAGACGAAGUCCAGGCCAGGCAGAUAGUCCGCAGGUCGAAGUCAUUCACUGUCAUUGAUGGCCAAUUGUACAAAGAAAGUAUCUCAGGCAUUCUUCAACGAUGCAUCUCCCCAGAGGAGGGGCAGCUGAUUCUGGAGGAUAUUCACUCGGGGACCUACGGUCAUCAUGCUUCUUCGAGAGAAAUCGUCGCCAAGGCAUUCAGGGCUGGUUUCUUCUGGCUGCAGGCUAACGAGAUGGCUAAAGAUAUGGUUGAUCGAUGUGAGGGCUGCCAGUUCUACUCCAACAAGUCCCACAAGCCGACGUCUGCGUUGAAGACGAUCCCUCUUGUGUGGCCGUUUGCAGUGUGGGGAUUAGAUACAGUCAGCCCGUUCAAGACAGGCCUAGGUGGAUACACACAUCUGUUGGUGGCAGUCGACAAGUUCACGAAAUGGAUCAAAGCGAAGCCCAUCAAGAAGCUCGACGCCUCAACAGCCGUCAAGUUUGUCAGGGACAUCAUCUUCAGAUUCGGUGUACCUCACAGCAUAAUCAUGGACAACGGGACAAACUUUGACUCGGACAGAUUCAAAGGUUUCUGUACAAGCCAAGGCAUCCGAGUGGAUUUUGCUUCCGUAGCGCAUCCUCGGUCCGAUGGACAAGCAGAGCGGGCAAACGGACUUAUUUUGCAAGGUUUGAAGCCCCGACUCCUGCGAGAGAUAGGAUAUGCCGCUGGCGCUUGGGUUACCGAGCUACCUUCAGUGCUUUGGGGACUUCGCACAACCCCGAACAGAUCUACAGGGCGAUCAUCGUUCUUCCUCGUUUAUGCAGCAGAAGCGGUCCUUCCGAGUGAGUUGCUUCACAAUGCGCCACGAGUCGAACUCUUCUCCGAAGCCGAAGCAGAACAAGCAAGGCAAGACGAAUUGGAUCUCCUGGAGGAGGAGCGCGAGAUGGCACUAACUCGCUCGACCAUUUAUCAACAAAAUCUGCGGCGUUUUCAUGCACGCCACGUCAAAAGUCGCACGUUCCAAGCAGGCGACAUGGUGCUCCGAGUGGAUCAGCAAAGACCUCACAAGUUGGCUCCGGCCUCGAAGGACCCUUCAUCAUCUCCAAGGUGCUGAACAACGGAGCAUACAGACUCUACAACAUCGAGAGGGAGACAGACGAGCCGCGUGCAUGGAACGGAGAUCUCCUGAAGCGCUUCUACACGUGACCGUCGACUGAAGCAAUGUAAAGAACAAGUAUUGGUGAAAUAAUAUAAAGCAGAUUGAGUUUUUUGCAGGUUCAAAGUUCUUCCGCGGUCGCAGACUCCGGUCUAAACAAAAAACUUAGUUGCGAUCCAGAAUCGCCUAAGUAUUAACUUUCUCCGAGUGUGCACUUCACGUCACACGUCGGGGACUUAGCUGCGAUCCAGAAUCGCCUAAGUAUUAACUUUCUCCGAGUGUGCACUUAACGUCACACUCGGGGGCUUAGCUGCGAUCCAGAACCGCUUAAGUAUUAACUUUCUCCGAGUGUGCACUUAGCGUCACACUCGGGGGCUUAGCUACGAUCCAGAAUCGCCUAAGUAUUAACUUUCUCCGAGUGUGCACUUAACGUCACAAUCGGAGGCUUAGCUGCGAUCCAGAAUCGCCUAAGUAUUAACUUUCUCCGAGUGCGCACUUAACGUCACACUCGGGGACUUAGCUGCGAUCCAGAAUCGCCUAAGUAUUAACUUUCUCCGAGUGUGCACUUAACGUCACACUCGGGGACUUAGCUGCGAUCCAGAAUCGCCUAAGUAUUAACCUUCCCCGGGUGUCCACUUAACAUCACACUCGGGGACUUAGGGAAUUCCACGGACCCUCAAUGAGGUUCAUGCAGAUGUCAAAACAAAAACAUGUCCCGAAUGUUUGCCUUUGGCUUCACCAAGAAACGCCAAACAAAAACUCGAUUCAACAUUGCAACAGAAGAGCAAAAGAUUCGAUUCAAAGUUCAACCAAAGAUAGUAGUUCGGUGUGGAUCAAGCUUACCCACACCGAACCACGAAUGUGACGGCCAACAGCAGUGGCCAAAGUUUCUUACAGAUUAACACUCGGCAUACUGAGAAUAAAAGUGUUUUUACGCUUCAUCUGGAUUAACACCAGGACUGGAGGGCUCUACGAACGUGUCCAGAUCAAUACCGUCGGCGAUGCGGGUAGCACUUUCAAGGAAGGUUUCCAUGAAGUCUUCAAAUCAAAGUUUCUUCGUGUUGGCCACCUUCAACGUCUUGAACUUCUCCUCGCGCACCUCCUUGCAAUGGACUCGGACCAGAGAUAGAGCAACAUCUGCACCACAACGAGCUGCAGAUUUCUUCCACGACUGCACUCGGUUCGGAAUCUCCUCCAGUCGGGUCAUCAGGUUCUCCAUCUCCUGCGGCGACUCAUCUUCUGGCCAAAGCUCCUUGUUGAUUCGGCCGACGACUUCUCUUAGUCGACCGAUGAAAGGACCAACUUUGCCCACGCGGAUGUGCGCACGGAGCAGAUCUCGAUUGGCGUCCUCGCCGAGUGGAACAUUCUCGAGAAUCGGCCGCUCUACAUCCGCCGCUUCAGCUUCAGCGUCAAAGCAAAAAUCUGCGACAACAGGACAAGCAGACAAUAAGUGCCGAGUGUGACGCGCAUAACACAACCACUCGGAAAGAGCAAGACUUACCAGCCAGACGCGUCAUCAUCUGCCGAGCCCAGUCGCUGACGUAUUUCUCCUGUGCUCUGCAUCGUUUGUUCAGCACGUCCAUCUGACCCAUCAGCGCAGUCCUCUGUUUCCCCAUCUUUUCCACUUCCUUAGUCAACACCUGGUUCGCUUCACGCGCCUGCUCCAAUGACUUCUCUCGUCCCGCCAGAGCAUCCUUCAUGCCAGCCAUUGCAAGCAGCGCCGCAUCAAGCUCACCAGCUAACUGAUUCUUCUCCGCCCUAAGAGUCUCAUAGGUUGUUCCCAUUUCACAAGUUUUCUGCCAGCAAACACCAAGGGACAAUCAGAAAAUCCAACAACAAAAGUUUAAAUUCUUCAGACUCCUGCCGACGCAAGCAGUCGACAACGGCCUCGGGGACUACACCCAGUGGGUUCACUAAGAGUGACCCCACUGGCAUGCAACUCAAGCAGGCCCGCCCUAUUGAGAUGCAUGUUACCACCUACGCCUACGAGGCCAAUACUACCCGACCUGAGUACAAAUUACUCUCGGGGACUCUUACAGUAAGUGCACUCCGAGUGCCACAACUACGCGCACUCGGUCAUGUUAUUUACAGACCUGACCAAAGCAAAGACAAUAUGUAUAAAGACAACUGCCGGUGCAAGCACUCGACAGAAGUCUCGGGGACUACACCCACUGGGUUCACUCAGAGUGAACCCAUUGCGAACAACAGAUGCUAUCCAAAAACACCCAGUGGGUUACAAGAGAAAAGUAAAUACUUACUAGCCCACUUACUCGGAUAUCAUCCCGCAGCUCCAGGCUCCGCUGGUACAAGGACGCGACGGAGUCGUAGGCCCUCUUGGCCUCCCCAGCCAUCAGCUCCGCCUGCACCAUGGCUCCCUUCGCCGCUCCCACCUGCUCCUCCGGGAGACGCUGGACGUUGAACUCGACAUUCGACGAGCCUGGCAUCGUCGGAAGCUCCUGAGGCAUCCCGAGGUCUGCUCCAGUCGGCACCUCAACCACCAGCGCCGGUACAGUCGGCGGCACGUUGGCGGUGAGAGCAGCAACAGGCAGAGCGGCCUCAAGAACGGGCUCUGCAGCCUGUUCAGCUCUCCCCUGAUCGCCCUCGUCCACGCAAAUCGCCCCUCAUAGACCGAACGACGCAAGACCUCAGAAAAAGAAAGAGGCAGAACCUAUGAUAGAAUAAAACACUCGAAGUCACUACAACGCACCUGGCUGGGACGAGACGACGUUGUCCGUGUCCAUGGGGUCAUCUUCUUGGCGCGCCGGAGAGGUGGCAGAAGUAGCAACUCUGUCAAGUGAAGUCCGUUCGACCAAUGAACAAGAAUUCACUCGGAUAUCAGAAGAAAUUAGAGGAUCGAUACACUUACGUGGAGGUGACGGGGACAACAACCCUCAUCCGCGGCAGAGCCUUCCGAGGUUUGGACCCACUCGGUUUGGCCGCCUUGGAAGACUGACCCGCAGGCUCAGCGGCAGCAUCCCUGGCCCUUUUGGUGCUCCGAGCACUCGGGACCACCAGGGCAGUGGGCGGAGCACUCGAAGAUGCUGGAGGGGCCGAGGGAACGGCAGGCUCGUGUCGGCGCUUGGUCCGAUGCUCUGUUUGCGGAGGCGGCGAGUCCUGCUCUUCGUCUUCCUCCUCUUCCUUGCUGGUCUCUUGCUCCGACUCCCCGCUGUCGGAGACAUAUUCAGCGCUCUCCACGCUGCCCUCCUGGCUGCCUUCCUCCUCCUCGGUCGGGUUCCCGUUCGAGACAGGAGAAAACCAGUUGGUCCACUCCUGCAUAAAAUUCAGUCGGCGACAUCAGACGUCACACAGAUAUUCAAGCAAGCGAUAAGAUUAAGACAGUUAGGAGCACUCGACAAGUGCCACUCACCUGAUUCGGAGGAGAAUUAUCCGCGCAGAAGGGCUUCACUCGCCGAGAUCCUUUGGGAUUCUCGCAGGGGCCUGUGAUCUGGAGCACCCACGAGGUCACCCUCUCCUCAGUCACACCCACGACGUUGGUCCGAGUGGAAUCCUCGGGCCCCGUAUAAUGCCACAUGGCGUGGUCGCGAGCCUGCAGGGGCUGGAUACGCCGACCGAGGAAGACCUCCAGCAAGUCUAUGCCAGUGACCCCCCUCUCGACGACAUCUACGAGCACCCCGACCAGAGGCUGGAUGUCGUUCUUCUCCGCCCUCGUGAGCGCGAGUUGCUUAGGUGGGGCGGGCCGAUCUAAGCUAAAGGGAGGCAGCCAUGUCGAAGCAUUCGGGCAGGCGAUAUCCUGGCAGUAGAACCACGUCGACUGCCAGUUCCUGACCGACUCACUUAGCUGGAGGGUGGGAUAACUGCUCCGACUCUUUUUCUGGAACCUAGACCCCCGGAGAGAUGGAGAAGAUGUGUUUUAUCAUCCGACUGGCUAAGUCGUUUGAUGGUCUGGGAUCUAGCAGAAAAUAUGUGCUUGAACAGCCCCCAAUGGGGAGGACAGCCAAUGAAACACUCGCACAGAACUAUAAAGGCAGAGAGAUGGGCAAUGGCGUUCGGGGGAAAGUGGUGAAGUUGUGCCCCGAAGUGAUUCAUGAUGCCCUUGAAGAAAGGAUGCGGGGGCAAGGAGAAACCUCGAUAGACGUGGCUGAGAAGCAAGACGCGCUCCCCCUCCCGGGGCGCCGGCUCGACCUCGUUCUCCGUCGGCGGCCUCCAAGUCUUGUGCACGAUCAUCCCGUGCUCGACCAGCUGCAGCAGAUCCCCCUCCGUCACCGUGGAGGGGAGGAAGUCGCCUUGAAUCCACCCCGCCGGCAGCGGCCGCUGCCGCCGCUGAGCAGGAGCCGCCGCCUUCCCCUUCUUCUUCCUAGCCUCCAUCUUGCUCGUCUGACCCUUGGUCAUGGCGGAAGCUGCGAGCCCGCGGGAGGAAGGGGGAGGGAAGAGUGUAGAGGCGCUGGAGGUGGCGAGAGAGACGGAGCAGGCGAAGGCAAGAGAUUCGGCGAGCGUAACGAAGAACCCUCGCCACCGAGAUUUAAGUAGGGCUCCGACUAGGUCGCUCACGGGUGGGCCCGAAACCUUAUCCCCCGACCCACCGCGGCGAUAUUAGUGGAGAGGUUGAAGGCGCGAGAAUCGAGGCGUCAGGCGCUACUCGAGCGCGAUGGCGUCAUCCCCGCUGAGCGCGCGGAACCCGAAAUUUGAGAUCCAGGAAAAUCCGCCGCUGUCAGUUGACCGGUCGCGUCAAAAGAUGCCGCAGAAGCACUCGGCUUCUGACAGUCUGUUUCGCGAGUACUUCCACUCGAAUCGUUGGUCAGAAAAGAUAAAAUGGAUCGGGGCAGGCAACGCCCAAGCCAAAUCUGUUCCAGUCGGAUCCAAACUUCAAGCACCGCUUCGUCGUUUCAACCCCAAUCCAUUCGGGGACUAAUGAUGGGGUCAUAGUCCUAGGGUAGGGUCAUAGGCCUGUCAUGUAGGUCCUACCCAAGGACUACCCCUCACAAAGGACAACGCCCUUAGUCAGUCCCGACUGAAUUAAGGAGUCCCCAUCAUCCAGUCGGUAACAGGUCCUCAACCAUCCAGUCGGAGACUAGCAUUCGGAGGAUACCAAGCUAACCGACUGGCUACACUCGGUACAUCGUAACCUCUCUGGAGGGAAACGGUCGUACGUUUCCGAGUGCAUUUAUUAGCAUUUAGAGCAUACGUUACCUGUAACGUACGCAUUCAAUCCCCACUACUCCACCCCUGUACCGGAACCGUUGUGGAGGACAUCGCACUCUAUAUAAGCCGCCCUCCCCCACUGGUAGAGGGGUUAGCAACUCAUUGUAUUCCCUAUUCCACUCGACAACAAAGCUCCCUGAGCACUGAGACGUAGGGUUAUUACCUCCACCGCAGAGGGGCCCGAACUCAUACAUCCUCGCCGUAGCUGGGACUUUGCCCAUCCUUUUCGUACCCUACACAUCUACUGUCAGGCUUAUACCCACGACAGUGAUGCAUGGGAUUCGCUCAUWAGCGACUUCCGGCGAGUUUGCGACUACUUCCUUUCGNNNNNNNNNNNNNNNNNNNNNNNNNNNNNNNNNNNNNNNNNNNNNNNNNNNNNNNNNNNNNNNNNNNNNNNNNNNNNNNNNNNNNNNNNNNNNNNNNNNNACUAAACAUUUCUAGAAUUAGCAUCUACUACCACUAGAAAAGGAAGAGAGGGCAGAUCCAACUUUAAAUCUGGACCUUCUAAUCAUUAAACAAUGCUCUAAAAUCUAUGUUAACGAAACGAACGAAUCUUCGUUAGCGCUAAUCGAACGGCUCGCUCACCUCACACGUCGUCUCGCCCGCACACCUCGUCCGCGCGUUAACUGGCGACUCGCCUUGACUACGCCGGUCGCCGCCCCCUCGCCCCGCACGCUCGCAGUGCCGUGCCGGUCUCUGCCCCUCGCCCCGCCGCGUCGGUCUCUGCAUCGCCCCACACGCUCGCAGCGCCGUGCCGGUCUCCGCACCCUCGUCCCGCCACUCCAGUCUCCGCAGAACCACUGUUGGGGAACGUCGCAUGGGAAACAAAAAUUUUCCUACGCGCACGAAGACCUAUCAUGGUGAUGUCCAUCUACGAGAGGGGAUGAGUGAUCUACGUACCCUUGUAGAUCGUACAGCAGAAGUGUUAGUGAACGCGGUUGAUGUAGUGGAACGUCCUCACGUCCCUCGAUCCGCCCCGCGAACCGUCCCGCGAUCAGUCCCACGAUCUAGUGCCGAAUGGACGGCACCUCCGCGUUCAGCACACGUACAGCUCGACGAUGAUCUCGGCCUUCUUGAUCCAGCAAGAGAGACGGAGAGGUAGAAGAGUUCUCCGGCAGCGUGACGACGCUCCGGAGGUUGGUGAUGACCUUGUCUCAGCAGGGCUCCGCCCGAGCUCUGCAGAAACGCGAUCUAGAGGAAAAACCGUGGAGGUAUGUGGUCGGGCUGCCGUGGAAAAGUCGUCUCAAAUCAGCCCUAAAACCUCUGUAUAUAUAGGUGGGAGGGAGGGGAGGAGGCAGCCUCAAAACCUAAAGGUUUGGCCGAAAUUGGAGGUGGAGGAGUCCUCCUUGCCUUGGGGCUCAAGGAUCCCCAAGGGGGUCGGACGAACCAAAGGGGGGAAGGUCUCCCCUUCCAAACCGAAUCCAACUUGGUUUGGAAGGUGGAGUCCUUCUUCCCUUUCCCACCUCCUCCUUUUUUNNNNNNNNNNNNNNNNNNNNNNNNNNNNNNNNNNNNNNNNNNNNNNNNNNNNNNNNNNNNNNNNNNNNNNNNNNNNNNNNNNNNNNNNNNNNNNNNNNNNGGCCCCCGACCUCCUCCUUCCUCGCUGCUCGCCCCGCUGUUGUUACUGAUGCUCUCGCCGAUGCUCUUGUUGCUUGCUGCCUGCCAGCUGCCGCCUGCUGUAGCUGUGCCUGCUUGCGUGGCCUGCUAGUAGCUUGCUGCUUGCCAUUGCUGCCGCUUGCCGCCGUUGCUGCCAGCUUGCUGCUGUUGCUAUGCCUGCCUGCCGCUAUGUUGCUGUUGUUACUUAAGCUGCCGCUGCUGUCGAGGCUUGCUGCUAGUUGUUGCUGUCGCCGCCUGAUGCAUGCUGCUGUGCUUGCUUGCUAUUGCAAUGUUGAUGCUGUUGUUGCUUGUUGCCUGCCUACUGCUGUCGCCGAGGCUGCUAGUUGUUGCUGCCGUCAUCGCCGUGCCUGAUAGCUGUUGUCGCUGAUGCCGCUGCUGCCGUAGUUGCUGUGCUCGUGCUGUUGUGUAGUGCUGCUGUAGCGGCUUGUGUGCUCGCUUGCCGUUUUUAUUGCUAGGCUAGGUUGUCGUGCUUGGCAGGCUUGCUGUAGAUGCAUAGCUGUAUUUGCUGUUGCUUAGUGUUGUAGUUGCUAUAGCUAUUGCCCUGGCUGCUGCAUGCCGAUUGCCUUGCGUGAGGCUUGCAUUUUGUUGCUGUGUUGCUGCCGCUUGCGUCGCUGUGUGCACCAUCCCCGCCGCCGAGGAACGUCGACAAGAUCGGUGAGUACUACGAUGUCCUCGCCGAACCCCGAACAUCGACGGAGACGUGACCGACUACCGACGCCAAAGACCGUGAACCACGACGCCGAGCGAACGACUACCAUCGACGAGACCCGAGUACCACGACUUCCACGACGACCACGAUGACCACUACUUCCAGGACGUCCACCACGAUCGUUGAUCUCCUUCACCGAACCGAUUCGCUUCGAAUUGCACGCUUCGAAGGUAUACCGAUGAGAUGUGUCGUGUAACGAACGAAUGUGUUGUAUGAGUGGAAUGUAUGUUGCAUCGUAUGUUGCCCGUUGCACGUGUACCUCUUUUGUUGUGCCCUCGANNNNNNNNNNNNNNNNNNNNNNNNNNNNNNNNNNNNNNNNNNNNNNNNNNNNNNNNNNNNNNNNNNNNNNNNNNNNNNNNNNNNNNNNNNNNNNNNNNNNUAUUUAACAUGUGGUAGGCAACGAGACAUAAUCGAUAGAAGCGAUGAAACUAGCAUGGCAAUGAUAGUAAUGGUAUCUGGGGAAAUGAUCAUCUUGCCUGAGAUCCCGCUUGGAAGAAGAAUGACUUCGUGAAGCAGACGAACCAACGUAGUCGAACGGGUCCUCACAAUCCGACACGCUUGCGGAACUCUAUUGAGACGAAGGAAACCGGAAACAAGAAUCAACACACGAUAUUCACCACACGAUGCACAACACAUAUGAUGCAUGAGCAGCUGAAUACAUGCAAGUCACGACAUGGCAAAUCACACAAACAAACACUACACAUUAAGUGAAGUUCAAUAUGCAACGAGUUGCAUAUCGACGAAACUCCACGAUUGAUUAUUUAGUUCACUCCCGAUUAUUAAGACGACAAUAUUUAAUUGUUGUUAACAUGGCAAGGGUGAAGCGAUGAUCCUACAUGGCAUCCUAGACGGUUAACACGCAGAACAGAGAACGGAGCUACGACACAAGAACAUGCAACACAAGAUUAUAUGCCAUGAAUGCGUUAUGCAUGCAAGUUCAACCACGACAAGAAGGGAGAGAAGCAGGUGUCGCCACGGCGACCGAAAGGGGAACUAUGUCGGCAAGACGGAAACGAUGCCAUGGCAACGUACCUAUCCCGAUACUCAACGAGAUAUCGGUGCUACGAUCUGGAAGCGUGUGCGGGAACGUUAAAUAAAGAUGGGGUGAUCCCGUAUCUCGGGUUCCCAUGUGUCGAGGGCACAACAAAAGAGGUACACGUGCAACGGGCAACAUACGGUGCAACAUACAUUCAACUCAUACAACACAUUCGUUCGUUACACGACACGUCUCAUCGGUAUACCUUCGAAGCGUGCGAUUCGAAGCGGAUCGGUUCUGUGAAGGAGAUCAACGAUCGUCGUGGACGUCGUGGAAGUAGUGGUCGUCGUGGAAGUCGUGGUACUCGGGUCUCGUCGACGGUAGUCGUUCGCUCGGCGUUGUGGUUCACGGUCUUCGACGUCGGUAGUCGGUCACGUCUCCGUCGAUGUUUGGGGUUCGGCGAGGACGUCGUAGUACUCGCUGAUCUUGUCGACGUUCCUCGGCGGCGGGGAUGGUGCACGCGGCGACGCAAGCGGCAGCAACACGCAGCAACAAAAUGCAAGCCUCACGCAAGGCAAUCGGCAUGCAGCAGCCAGGGCAAUAGCUAUAGUAACUACAGACUAAGCAACAGCAAACGCAACUAUGCAUCUACAGCAAGCAUGCCAAGCACGGCAACCUAGCCUAGCAAGCAAAAUGGCAAGCGAGCACACAAGCCGCUACAGCAGCACUACACAACAGCACGAGCACAGCAACUACGGCAGCAGCGGCAUCAGCGACAACAGCUAUCAGGCACGGCGAUGACGGCAGCAACAACUAGCAGCCUCGGCGACAGCAGUAGGCAGGCAACAAGCAACAACAUCAUCACUAUAGCAAUUGCAAGCAAGCACAGCAGCAGGCAUCAGGCGGCGACAAAAAAAACUAGCAGCAAGCCUCGGCAGCAGCGGCAGCUUAAGUAACACCAACAACAUAGCGGCAGGCAGGCAUAGCAACAACAACAAGCUGGCAGCAAUGGCAAGCAGCAAGCUACUAGCAGGCCACGCAAGCAGNNNNNNNNNNNNNNNNNNNNNNNNNNNNNNNNNNNNNNNNNNNNNNNNNNNNNNNNNNNNNNNNNNNNNNNNNNNNNNNNNNNNNNNNNNNNNNNNNNNNUAAGGGCUGGUGCGCCACCCCCAAGGCCUAUGGGCUUCCCCGGGGUGGGUUGCCCCCCCGGUGAACACCCGGAACCCAUUCGUCAUUCCCAGUACAUUCCCGGUAACUCCCAAAACCUUCCGGUAAUCAAAUGAGGUCAUCCUAUAUAUCAAUCAUCAUUUCCGGACCAUUCCGGAAACCCUUGUCACGUCCGUGAUCUCAUCCGGGACUCCAAACAACAUUCGGUAACCAACCAUAUAACUCAUAUACGCAUAAAACAACGUCGAACCUUAAGUGUGCAGACCCUGCGGGUUCGAGAACUAUGCAGACAUGACCCGAGUGACUCCUCGGUCAAUAUCCAAUAGCGGGAUCUGGAUGCCCAUAUUGGAUCCCACAUAUUCUAUGAAGAUCUUAUCGUUUGAACCUCAGUGCCAAGGAUUCAUAUAAUCCCGUAUGUCAUUCCCUUUGUCCUUCGGUAUGUUACUUGCCCGAGAUUCGAUCGUCAGUAUCCGCAUACCUAUUUCAAUCUCGUUUACCGGCAAGUCUCUUUACUCGUUCCGUAAUACAAGAUCCCGCAACUUACACUAAGUCACAUUGCUUGCAAGGCUUGUGUGUGAUGUUGUAUUAUCGAGUGGGCCCCGAGAUACCUCUCCGUCACACGGAGUGACAAAUCCCAGUCUCGAUCCAUACUAACUCAAUGAACACCUUCGGAGAUACCUGUAGAGCAUCUUUAUAGUCACCCAGUUAUGUUGCGAUGUUUGAUACACACAAAGCAUUCCUCCGGUGUCAGUGAGUUAUAUGAUCUCAUGGUCAUAGCAACAAAUACUUGACACGCAGAAAACAGUAGCAACAAAAUGACACGAUCAACAUGCUACGUCUAUUAGUUUGGGUCUAGUCCAUCACAUGAUUCUCCUAAUGAUGUGAUCCCGUUAUCAAGUGACAACACUUGCCUAUGGUCAGGAAACCUUGACCAUCUUUGAUCAACGAGCUAGUCAACUAGAGGCUUACUAGGGACAGUGUUUUGUCUAUGUAUCCACACAUGCACUGUGUUUCCAAUCAAUACAAUUAUAGCAUGGAUAAUAAAAGAUUAUCAUGAACGAAGAAAUAUAAUAAUAACUAAUUUAUUAUUGCCUCUAGGGCAUGUUUCCAACAGUCUCCCACUUGCACUAGAGUCAAUAAUCUAGUUCACAUCACCAUGUGAUUCCAACGAAUCCAACACCCAUAUAGUCAUGGGGUCUGAUCACGUCUUGCUCGUGAGAGCGGUUUUAGUCAACGGUUCUGAAACUUUCAGACCCGUGUGUUCUUUACAAAUCUUUAUGUCAUCUUAUAGAUGCUGCUACUAUGUGCUAUUCGGAAAUACUCCAAAUAUCUACUCUACUAUACGAAUCCGUUUCAGUACUCAUAGUUAUUCGUAUUAGUGUCAAAGCUUGCAUCGACGUAACCCUUUACGACGAACUCUUUAACCACCUCCAUAAUUGAGAAAAAUUCCUUAGUCCAUCAGUUACUAAGGAUAAAUUUUGACCGCUGGUAGUGAUUCAAUCAUGGAUCACUCUCUGUACCUCUCAAGAGAUUUUGAGUCAAGGUACACAUCAGGUGUGGUACCCAGCAUGGCAUACUUCAGAUUCUACGGCCAAGGCAUAGAAGACGACCUUCGUCUAUUCUCUUUAUUCUGCCGGGGUCGGGUUUUGAGUCUUACUCAAAUUCACACCUCACAACGCAACCAAGAACUCCUUCCUUGCUGAUCUAUUUUGAACUCCUUCAAAAACUUGUCAAGGCAUGGAUCUUGUUGAAAUUUCCAUUAAGUGCUUUCGAUCUAUCUCCAUAGAUCUUUGAUGCUCAACGUUCAAGUAGCGGAAUACAGGUAUUCCUUUGAAAAACUCUUUUCAAACAACCUUGUAUGCUUUACAGAAAUUCUACAUUACUUCUGAUCCACAAUAUGUCAACCACAUAUACUUAUCAGAAAUUCUAUAGUGCUCCCACUCACUUCUUUGGAAAUACAAGUUUCUCAUAAACCUUGUACAAACCCAAAAUCUUUGAUCAUCUCAUCAAAGUGUAUAUUCCAACUCCGAGAUGCUUGCACCAGUCCAUUGAAGGAUCGCUGGAGCUUGCAUACUUGCUAGUAUCUUUAGAAUCGACAAAACCUCCUGGUUGUAUCACAUACAAUGUUUUCUCAAAGAUGUAACUACUAACAACAAUGUUUUGACAUCCUAUGUGUAAUAUUUCAUAAAAAAUGCAGUAACUACUAACAUAAUUCUAACAGACUUUUAGCAUCGCUACGAGUGAGAAAGUCUCAUCAUAGUCAACUGUUUGAUCUUGUCGGAAACAUCUUUGCGACAAGUCGAGCUUUUCUUAAUAGUGACUUAUCACCAUCAUCGUCUAUCUUCCUUUUAAAGAUCCAUCGUUACUCAAUAGUCCUAUGACCAUCAAGUAGUUCUUCCAAAGUCUACACUUUGUUUUCAUACAUGGAUCCUCUCUCGGAUUUCAUGGCCUCCAGCCAUUUGUCGGAAUCCGGGCCCACCAUUGCUUUCUCCAUAACUCGUAGGUUCACUGUUGCUCAACAACAUGACCUCCAAGACAGGGUUACCGUACCACUCUGCAGUAGUACGCGACCUUGUCAACCUACGAGGUUUGUAGUAACUUGAUCCGAUGCUCGAUGAUCACCAUUAUCAGCUUUCACUUCAAUUGGUGUAGGCGCCACAGGAACAACUUCCUGCGCCCUGCUACACACUGGUUGAAGUGAUGGUUCAAUAACCUCAUCAAGUUCUACCACCCUCCCACUCAAUUCUUUCGAGAGAAACCUUUCCUCGAGAAAGGAUCCGUUUCUAGAAACAAACACUUUGCUUUCGGAUCUGAGAUAGGAGAUGUACCCAACUGUUUUGGAUAUCCUAUGAAGAUGCAUUUAUCCGCUUUGGGUUCGAGCUUAUCAGACUGAAACUUUUUCACAUAAGUGUCGAAGCCCCAAACUUUCAAGAAACGACAGUUUAGAUUUCUCUAAACCUCAGUCUAUACUGUGUCAUCUCAAAGGAAAUACGUGGUGCCCUAUUUAAAGUGAAUGCAGUUGUCUCUAAUGCUUAACCCAUAAACGAUAGUGGUAAUUCGAUAAGAGACAUCAUAGCAUGCACCAUACCAAAUAGUGCGUGGCUAUGACGUUCAGACACAUCAUCACACUAUGAUGUUCCGGGUGGCAUGAACUGCGAAACAAUUUCCACAUUGUCUUAACUGCGUACCAAAACUCGUAACUCAGAUAUUCAUUUCUAUGAUCAUAUCGUAGACAGUUUAUCCUCUUGUUACGACGAACUUCACUCCGAAACAGAAUUGAAUUUUUCAAUAUUUCAGACUUGUGAUUCAUUAAGUAAAUACUCUUGUAUCCACUCAAAUCGUCAUUGAAGUAAGAACAUAAUGAUAUCCAAUGCGUGCCUCAGCACCCAUUGGACUGCAUACAUCAAAAUGUAUCACUUCCAACAAGUUACUAUCUUGUUUCAUCUCAAUGAAACCAAGGCCUUGCUCAUGUGGUAUGAUUUGCAUGUCACUAGUGAUUCAAAAUCAAGUGAGUAUAAAGAUCCAUCAGCAUGGAGCCUCUUCAUGCAAUUUAUACCAACAUGACUCAAGCGGCAGUGCCACAAGUAAGUGGUACUAUCAUCAUUACCUCGUAUCUUUUGGCACCAAUAUCAUGAACAUGUGUAACACUACAAUCGAGAUUCAAUAAACCAUUGAAGGUGAUUAUUCAAGCAAAUAGAGCAACCAUUAUUCUCUUUAAAUGAAUAAUCGUAUUCCAAUAAACAUGAUCCAAUCAUGUUCAUGCUUAACGCAAGCACCAAAUAACAAUUAUUUAGGUUUAACACCAAUCCCGAUGGUAGAGGGAGCGUGCGAUGUUUGAUCAUAUCAACCUUGGAAACACUUCCAACACGUAUCGUCACCUCGCCUUUAGCUAGUCUCUGUUUAUGACGUAGCUUUCAUUUUGUGUUACUAAUCACUUAGCAACCGAACCGGUAUCCAAUACGCUCAUGCUACUAGGAGUACUAGUAAAGUACACAUCAACAUCAUGUAUAUCAAAUAUACUUCUUUCGACUUUUGCCAGCCUUCUUAUCUACCAAGUAUCUAGAGUUGCUCCGCCUCAGUGACUGUUCCCCUCAUUACNNNNNNNNNNNNNNNNNNNNNNNNNNNNNNNNNNNNNNNNNNNNNNNNNNNNNNNNNNNNNNNNNNNNNNNNNNNNNNNNNNNNNNNNNNNNNNNNNNNNNNNNNNNNNNNNNNNNNNNNNNNNNNNNNNNNNNNNNNNNNNNNNNNNNNNNNNNNNNNNNNNNNNNNNNNNNNNNNNNNNNNNNNNNNNNNNNNNNNNNNNNNNNNNNNNNNNNNNNNNNNNNNNNNNNNNNNNNNNNNNNNNNNNNNNNNNNNNNNNNNNNNNNNNNNNNNNNNNNNNNNNNNNNNNNNNNNNNNNNNNNNNNNNNNNNNNNNNNNNNNNNNNNNNNNNNNNNNNNNNNNNNNNNNNNNNNNNNNNNNNNNNNNNNNNNNNNNNNNNNNNNNNNNNNNNNNNNNNNNNNNNNNNNNNNNNNNNNNNNNNNNNNNNNNNNNNNNNNNNNNNNNNNNNNNNNNNNNNNNNNNNNNNNNNNNNNNNNNNNNNNNNNNNNNNNNNNNNNNNNNNNNNNNNNNNNNNNNNNNNNNNNNNNNNNNNNNNNNNNNNNNNNNNNNNNNNNNNNNNNNNNNNNNNNNNNNNNNNNNNNNNNNNNNNNNNNNNNNNNNNNNNNNNNNNNNNNNNNNNNNNNNNNNNNNNNNNNNNNNNNNNNNNNNNNNNNNNNNNNNNNNNNNNNNNNNNNNNNNNNNNNNNNNNNNNNNNNNNNNNNNNNNNNNNNNNNNNNNNNNNNNNNNNNNNNNNNNNNNNNNNNNNNNNNNNNNNNNNNNNNNNNNNNNNNNNNNNNNNNNNNNNNNNNNNNNNNNNNNNNNNNNNNNNNNNNNNNNNNNNNNNNNNNNNNNNNNNNNNNNNNNNNNNNNNNNNNNNNNNNNNNNNNNNNNNNNNNNNNNNNNNNNNNNNNNNNNNNNNNNNNNNNNNNNNNNNNNNNNNNNNNNNNNNNNNNNNNNNNNNNNNNNNNNNNNNNNNNNNNNNNNNNNNNNNNNNNNNNNNNNNNNNNNNNNNNNNNNNNNNNNNNNNNNNNNNNNNNNNNNNNNNNNNNNNNNNNNNNNNNNNNNNNNNNNNNNNNNNNNNNNNNNNNNNNNNNNNNNNNNNNNNNNNNNNNNNNNNNNNNNNNNNNNNNNNNNNNNNNNNNNNNNNNNNNNNNNNNNNNNNNNNNNNNNNNNNNNNNNNNNNNNNNNNNNNNNNNNNNNNNNNNNNNNNNNNNNNNNNNNNNNNNNNNNNNNNNNNNNNNNNNNNNNNNNNNNNNNNNNNNNNNNNNNNNNNNNNNNNNNNNNNNNNNNNNNNNNNNNNNNNNNNNNNNNNNNNNNNNNNNNNNNNNNNNNNNNNNNNNNNNNNNNNNNNNNNNNNNNNNNNNNNNNNNNNNNNNNNNNNNNNNNNNNNNNNNNNNNNNNNNNNNNNNNNNNNNNNNNNNNNNNNNNNNNNNNNNNNNNNNNNNNNNNNNNNNNNNNNNNNNNNNNNNNNNNNNNNNNNNNNNNNNNNNNNNNNNNNNNNNNNNNNNNNNNNNNNNNNNNNNNNNNNNNNNNNNNNNNNNNNNNNNNNNNNNNNNNNNNNNNNNNNNNNNNNNNNNNNNNNNNNNNNNNNNNNNNNNNNNNNNNNNNNNNNNNNNNNNNNNNNNNNNNNNNNNNNNNNNNNNNNNNNNNNNNNNNNNNNNNNNNNNNNNNNNNNNNNNNNNNNNNNNNNNNNNNNNNNNNNNNNNNNNNNNNNNNNNNNNNNNNNNNNNNNNNNNNNNNNNNNNNNNNNNNNNNNNNNNNNNNNNNNNNNNNNNNNNNNNNNNNNNNNNNNNNNNNNNNNNNNNNNNNNNNNNNNNNNNNNNNNNNNNNNNNNNNNNNNNNNNNNNNNNNNNNNNNNNNNNNNNNNNNNNNNNNNNNNNNNNNNNNNNNNNNNNNNNNNNNNNNNNNNNNNNNNNNNNNNNNNNNNNNNNNNNNNNNNNNNNNNNNNNNNNNNNNNNNNNNNNNNNNNNNNNNNNNNNNNNNNNNNNNNNNNNNNNNNNNNNNNNNNNNNNNNNNNNNNNNNNNNNNNNNNNNNNNNNNNNNNNNNNNNNNNNNNNNNNNNNNNNNNNNNNNNNNNNNNNNNNNNNNNNNNNNNNNNNNNNNNNNNNNNNNNNNNNNNNNNNNNNNNNNNNNNNNNNNNNNNNNNNNNNNNNNNNNNNNNNNNNNNNNNNNNNNNNNNNNNNNNNNNNNNNNNNNNNNNNNNNNNNNNNNNNNNNNNNNNNNNNNNNNNNNNNNNNNNNNNNNNNNNNNNNNNNNNNNNNNNNNUAUGAAUUGCUAUUUAACCUCAUCCAAGGACCUCCUCGGUCAAAUCCGAUUCAACUAAAGUUGGAGAAACCGACACCCGCCAGUCAUCUUUGAGCAACGGAGUUACUUGUAGCGAUGAAACCAGUCUCUCGUAAGCGUACGAGUAAUGUCGGUCCAAGCUGCUUCAAUCCAACAAUACCGCGGAAUCAAGAAAAGACUAAGGAGGGCAGCAAAACGCACAUCACCGCCCACAAAAUUUUUUGUGUUGUUCUACUCGAGAAGACAUCUACGCAUGAACCUAGCUCAUGAUGCCACUGUUGGGGAACGUCGCAUGGGAAACAAAAAUUUUCCUACGCGCACGAAGACCUAUCAUGGUGAUGUCCAUCUACGAGAGGGGAUGUGUGAUCUACGUACCCUUGUAGACCGUACAGCAGAAGCGUUAGUGAACGCGGUUGAUGUAGUGGAACAUCCUCACGUCCCUCGAUCCGCUCCACGAACCGUCUCGCGAUCAGUCCCACGAUCUAGUGUCGAACGGACGGCACUUCGAUCCGCCCCGCGAACCGUCCCGCGAUCAGUCCCACGAUCUAGUGCCGAAUGGACGGCACCUCCGCGUUCAGCACACGUACAGCUCGACGAUGAUCUCGGCCUUCUUGAUCCAGCAAGAGAGACGGAGAGGUAGAUGAGUUCUCCGGCAGCGUGACGGCGCUCCGGAGGUUGGUGGUGAUCUAAUCUCAGCAGGGCUCCGCCCGAGCUCCGCAGAAACGCGAUCUAGAGGUAAAACCGUGGAGAUAUGUGGUCGGGCUGCCGUGGCAAAAGUUGUCUCAAAUCAGCCCUAAAACCUCCGUAUAUAUAAGUGGGAGAGGGGGGGGGCCUUGCCUUGGGGCUCAAGGAGCCCCAAGGGGUUCGGCCGAGCCAAGGGGGGGAGUCCUCCCCUGGCCUUGCCUUGGCGCUCAAGGAGCCCCAAGGGGUUCGGCCGAGCCAAGGGGGGGAGUCCUCCCCUUCCAAACCGAAUCCAACUAGGUUUGGAAGGAGGAGUCCUUCCCUUUUUUUCCACCUCCUCCUUUUUUUCCUUUUUCUCUUUGAUUUUCUUCCUAUGGCGCAUAGGGCCUUCGUGGGCUGUCCCACCAGCCCACUAAGGGCUGGUGCGCCACCCCCAAGGCCUAUGGGCUUCCCCGGGGUGGGUUGCCCCCCCGGUGAACACCCGGAACCCAUUCGUCAUUCCCAGUACAUUCCCGGUAACUCCAAAAACCUUCCGGUAAUCAAAUGAGGUCAUCCUAUAUAUCAAUCUUCGUUUCCGGACCAUUCUGGAAACCCUCGUGACGUCCGUGAUCUCAUACGGGACUCCGAAUAACAUUCGGUAACCAACCAUAUAACUCAAAUACACAUAAAACAACGUCGAAUCUUAAGUGUGCAGACCCUGCGGGUUCGAGAACUAUGCAGACAUGACCCGAGUGACUCCUCGAUCAAUAUCCAAUAGCGGGACCUGGAUGCCCAUAUUGGAUCCCACAUAUUCUACGAAGAUCUUAUCGUUUGAACCUCAGUGCCAAGGAUUCAUAUAAUCCCGUAUGUCAUUCCCUUUGUCCUUCGGUAUGUUACUUGCCCGAGAUUCGAUCGUUAGUAUCCGCAUACCUAUUUCAAUCUCGUUUACCGGCAAGUCUCUUUACUCGUUCCGUAAUACAAGAUCCCGCAACUUACACUAAGUCACAUUGCUUGCAAGGCUUGUGUGUGAUGUUGUAUUAUCGAGUGGGCCCCGAGAUACCUCUCCGUCACACGGAGUGAAAAAUCCCAGUCUCGAUCCAUACUAACUCAAUGAACACCUUCGGAGAUACCUGUAGAGCAUCUUUAUAGUCACCCAGUUACGUUGCAACGUUUUAUACACACAAAGCAUUCCUCCGGUGUCAGUGAGUUAUAUGAUCUCAUGGUCAUAGCAACAAAUACUUGACACGCAGAAAACAGUAGCAACAAAAUGACACGAUCAACAUGCUACGUCUAUUAGUUUGGGUCUAGUCCAUCACAUGAUUCUCCUAAUGAUGUGAUCCCGUUAUCAAGUGACAACACUUGCCUAUGGUCAGGAAACCUUGACCAUCUUUGAUCAACGAGCUAGUCAACUAGAGGCUUACUAGGGACAGUGUUUUGUCUAUGUAUCCACACAUGCACUGUGUUUCCAAUCAAUACAAUUAUAGCAUGGAUAAUAAACGAUUAUCAUGAACAAAGAAAUAUAAUAAUAACUAAUUUAUUAUUGCCUCUAGGGCAUAUUUCCAACAAAAAAGUAUGGUGUCAUCCGCAUAUUUUAGAACAGAUAGACCAUUUUCUAUCAAAUGAGGAAUGGUACCGCUAAUCUGACAGGCCACCUUAUCCCGCUCAAUAAGGAUGGCUAACAUGUGAGCCACAAUGUUAAAGAAAAUAGGGAUAUGGGGUCCCCUUGCCGAAGCCCCUUCCUAGUCUGAAAGUAGUUGCCAACAUCAUUGUUGACUUUGACAGCCACAUCACCUCCAGAAACAAAGCUCUCUACCCAUCUACACCAUUCUAGAGAAAACUCUUUCAUGCGUAAAGUUUGCAAAAGAAAGGACCACUUAACGUGAUCAUAGGAUUUUUUGAAGUUAAAUUUGAAGAUGAUUCCACUCAACUUUUUAUGGUGAAGAUCGUGAACAACUUCAUGUAGUGCAAUAACUCCAUCUAAUAUGUUGCGUCCUUGCAUAAAUAUUGUUUGAGUGAGUUUGAUCACGUGGUUAGCCACCCCGAUCAACCAAUUGGUUGCAACCUUGAAAGAUUUUGAAGUUGGCAGUCGGAAGGGAAAUUGGUCGAUAUUGUUGAAUACGACUAGCCUCGUUACUCUUGGAUAGUAGAAUAAUUUCCUUAAAUUUUAAAUGGACAAUAUCAAGGUUUUCGGCAUGCAGUCUGUUAAACAAAAAAUCAAGUCCGCCUUAAUGACAUCCAUAAACAUUGAUAAAACUCCGCAGAAAAACAGUCCGGUCCCGGAGACUUGUUGUGUUUCAUUUAAAAGACAGCGGUCCGAAUUUCCUCCUUUGAAAAUGGAGUGGUUAAAUACUCAAUUUUGGCCUCCAAAACUCAAGGGAUGUCAUAAUAGUAAUAUAGAUUUGUAAUAUUACUCGUCUAAAUUACUUCCAAAUAUAGGUAGUCUAAUUGACUGGCUUCAGUUUUGAACAUGGAUAACUGUGUCAAGUAUGGAACCUGCAUAAAGGCGUGGAUGGAACUUAUCCGAACCAGCUGUCCACUACCGAAGAACUAACCAGGAUCAAUGUCGCUAAUGACAUGAAGUAAGCCAGAGUGCCACAUAUAUACAUGUCUGGAGAUGUCACUGCAGGCUCAUUGUGACGUAGCUGCCGGGUCGCCGGUUGCGCUGCGGCUACCUUCAACGGCACUAAAGAACAAGUAAACUAAAUCAAAUCCUUGGAAAAAAAGAUCGAUCAACAUUUAGUCUCACCUCGAAGCCUUGGGGUUGAGCAGGGUCACGGUUGCGUAAAUAAAUACAUAGUGGCGGAGAUUCGUGGGGUCAACCUUGGCCAUGGCCCCCAAGCUCACAAGAAAAUACAUAUACACCCAUUUGUAUUAGGUCAUUUUUUAAACUCAAAAUCAGUAGAAAGUAACUGUGUUUGCCCCCCCAACCCAAUUGUAUCGGCUCAACAAUGAGCGAAUCCCAUGCAUCACUGUCGUGGGUAUAAGCCUGACAGUAGAUGUGUAGGGUACGAAAAGGAUGGGCAAAGUCCCAGCUACGGCGAGGAUGUAUGAGUUCGGGCCCCUCUGCGGUGGAGGUAAUAACCCUACGUCUCAGUGCUCAGGGAGCUUUGUUGUCGAGUGGAAUAGGGAAUACAAUGAGUUGCUAACCCCUCUACCAGUGGGGGAGGGCGGCUUAUAUAGAGUGCGAUGUCCUCCACAACGGUUCCGGUACAGGGGUGGAGUAGUGGGGAUUGAAUGCGUACGUUACAGGUAACGUAUGCUCUAAAUGCUAAUAAAUGCACUCGGAAACGUACGACCGUUUCCCUCCAGAGAGGUUACGAUGUACCGAGUGUAGCCAGUCGGUUAGCUUGGUAUCCUCCGAAUGCUAGUCUCCGACUGGAUGGUUGAGGACCUGUUACCGACUGGAUGAUGGGGACUCCUUAAUUCAGUCGGGACUGACUAAGGGCGUUGUCCUUUGUGAGGGGUAGUCCUUGGGUAGGACCUACAUGACAGGCCUAUGACCCUACCCUAGGACUAUGACCCCAUCAUUAGUCCCCGAAUGGAUUGGGGUUGAAACGACGAAGCGGUGCUUGAAGUUUGGAUCCGACUGGAACAGAUUUGGCUUGGGCGUUGCCUGCCCCGAUCCAUUUUAUCUUUUCUGACCAACGAUUCGAGUGGAAGUACUCGCGAAACAGACUGUCAGAAGCCGAGUGCUUCUGCGGCAUCUUUUGACGCGACCGGUCAACUGACAGCGGCGGAUUUUCCUGGAUCUCAAAUUUCGGGUUCCGCGCGCUCAGCGGGGAUGACGCCAUCGCGCUCGAGUAGCGCCUGACGCCUCGAUUCUCGCGCCUUCAACCUCUCCACUAAUAUCGCCGCGGUGGGUCGGGGGAUAAGGUUUCGGGCCCACCCGUGAGCGACCUAGUCGGAGCCCUACUUAAAUCUCGGUGGCGAGGGUUCUUCGUUACGCUCGCCGAAUCUCUUGCCUUCGCCUGCUCCGUCUCUCUCGCCACCUCCAGCGCCUCUACACUCUUCCCUCCCCCUUCCUCCCGCGGGCUCGCAGCUUCCGCCAUGACCAAGGGUCAGACGAGCAAGAUGGAGGCUAGGAAGAAGAAGGGGAAGGCGGCGGCUCCUGCUCAGCGGCGGCAGCGGCCGCUGCCGGCGGGGUGGAUUCAAGGCGACUUCCUCCCCUCCACGGUGACGGAGGGGGAUCUGCUGCAGCUGGUCGAGCACGGGAUGAUCGUGCACAAGACUUGGAGGCCGCCGACGGAGAACGAGGUCGAGCCGGCGCCCCGGGAGGGGGAGCGCGUCUUGCUUCUCAGCCACGUCUAUCGAGGUUUCUCCUUGCCCCCGCAUCCUUUCUUCAAGGGCAUCAUGAAUCACUUCGGGGCACAACUUCACCACUUUCCCCCGAACGCCAUUGCCCAUCUCUCUGCCUUUAUAGUUCUGUGCGAGUGUUUCAUUGGCUGUCCUCCCCAUUGGGGGCUGUUCAAGCACAUAUUUUCUGCUAGAUCCCAGACCAUCAAACGACUUAGCCAGUCGGAUGAUAAAACACAUCUUCUCCAUCUCUCCGGGGGUCUAGGUUCCAGAAAAAGAGUCGGAGCAGUUAUCCCACCCUCCAGCUAAGUGAGUCGGUCAGGAACUGGCAGUCGACGUGGUUCUACUGCCAGGAUAUCGCCUGCCCGAAUGCUUCGACAUGGCUGCCUCCCUUUAGCUUAGAUCGGCCCGCCCCACCUAAGCAACUCGCGCUCACGAGGGCGGAGAAGAACGACAUCCAGCCUCUGGUCGGGGUGCUCGUAGAUGUCGUCGAGAGGGGGGUCACUGGCAUAGACUUGCUGGAGGUCUUCCUCGGUCGGCGUAUCCAGCCCCUGCAGGCUCGCGACCACGCCAUGUGGCAUUAUACGGGGCCCGAGGAUUCCACUCGGACCAACGUCGUGGGUGUGACUGAGGAGAGGGUGACCUCGUGGGUGCUCCAGAUCACAGGCCCCUGCGAGAAUCCCAAAGGAUCUCGGCGAGUGAAGCCCUUCUGCGCGGAUAAUUCUCCUCCGAAUCAGGUGAGUGGCACUUGUCGAGUGCUCCUAACUGUCUUAAUCUUAUCGCUUGCUUGAAUAUCUGUGUGACGUCUGAUGUCGCCGACUGAAUUUUAUGCAGGAGUGGACCAACUGGUUUUCUCCUGUCUCGAACGGGAACCCGACCGAGGAGGAGGAAGGCAGCCAGGAGGGCAGCGUGGAGAGCGCUGAAUAUGUCUCCGACAGCGGGGAGUCGGAGCAAGAGACCAGCAAGGAAGAGGAGGAAGACGAAGAGCAGGACUCGCCGCCUCCGCAAACAGAGCAUCGGACCAAGCGCCGACACGAGCCUGCCGUUCCCUCGGCCCCUCCAGCAUCUUCGAGUGCUCCGCCCACUGCCCUGGUGGUCCCGAGUGCUCGGAGCACCAAAAGGGCCAGGGAUGCUGCCGCUGAGCCUGCGGGUCAGUCUUCCAAGGCGGCCAAACCGAGUGGGUCCAAACCUCGGAAGGCUCUGCCGCGGAUGAGGGUUGUUGUCCCCGUCACCUCCACGUAAGUGUAUCGAUCCUCUAAUUUCUUCUGAUAUCCGAGUGAAUUCUUGUUCAUUGGUCGAACGGACUUCACUUGACAGAGUUGCUACUUCUGCCACCUCUCCGGCGCGCCAAGAAGAUGACCCCAUGGACACGGACAACGUCGUCUCGUCCCAGCCAGGUGCGUUGUAGUGACUUCGAGUGUUUUAUUCUAUCAUAGGUUCUGCCUCUUUCUUUUUCUGAGGUCUUGCGUCGUUCGGUCUAUGAGGGGCGAUUUGCGUGGACGAGGGCGAUCAGGGGAGAGCUGAACAGGCUGCAGAGCCCGUUCUUGAGGCCGCUCUGCCUGUUGCUGCUCUCACCGCCAACGUGCCGCCGACUGUACCGGCGCUGGUGGUUGAGGUGCCGACUGGAGCAGACCUCGGGAUGCCUCAGGAGCUUCCGACGAUGCCAGGCUCGUCGAAUGUCGAGUUCAACGUCCAGCGUCUCCCGGAGGAGCAGGUGGGAGCGGCGAAGGGAGCCAUGGUGCAGGCGGAGCUGAUGGCUGGGGAGGCCAAGAGGGCCUACGACUCCGUCGCGUCCUUGUACCAGCGGAGCCUGGAGCUGCGGGAUGAUAUCCGAGUAAGUGGGCUAGUAAGUAUUUACUUUUCUCUUGUAACCCACUGGGUGUUUUUGGAUAGCAUCUGUUGUUCGCAAUGGGUUCACUCUGAGUGAACCCAGUGGGUGUAGUCCCCGAGACUUCUGUCGAGUGCUUGCACCGGCAGUUGUCUUUAUACAUAUUGUCUUUGCUUUGGUCAGGUCUGUAAAUAACAUGACCGAGUGCGCGUAGUUGUGGCACUCGGAGUGCACUUACUGUAAGAGUCCCCGAGAGUAAUUUGUACUCAGGUCGGGUAGUAUUGGCCUCGUAGGCGUAGGUGGUAACAUGCAUCUCAAUAGGGCGGGCCUGCUUGAGUUGCAUGCCAGUGGGGUCACUCUUAGUGAACCCACUGGGUGUAGUCCCCGAGGCCGUUGUCGACUGCUUGCGUCGGCAGGAGUCUGAAGAAUUUAAACUUUUGUUGUUGGAUUUUCUGAUUGUCCCUUGGUGUUUGCUGGCAGAAAACUUGUGAAAUGGGAACAACCUAUGAGACUCUUAGGGCGGAGAAGAAUCAGUUAGCUGGUGAGCUUGAUGCGGCGCUGCUUGCAAUGGCUGGCAUGAAGGAUGCUCUGGCGGGACGAGAGAAGUCAUUGGAGCAGGCGCGUGAAGCGAACCAGGUGUUGACUAAGGAAGUGGAAAAGAUGGGGAAACAGAGGACUGCGCUGAUGGGUCAGAUGGACGUGCUGAACAAACGAUGCAGAGCACAGGAGAAAUACGUCAGCGACUGGGCUCGGCAGAUGAUGACGCGUCUGGCUGGUAAGUCUUGCUCUUUCCGAGUGGUUGUGUUAUGCGCGUCACACUCGGCACUUAUUGUCUGCUUGUCCUGUUGUCGCAGAUUUUUGCUUUGACGCUGAAGCUGAAGCGGCGGAUGUAGAGCGGCCGAUUCUCGAGAAUGUUCCACUCGGCGAGGACGCCAAUCGAGAUCUGCUCCGUGCGCACAUCCGCGUGGGCAAAGUUGGUCCUUUCAUCGGUCGACUAAGAGAAGUCGUCGGCCGAAUCAACAAGGAGCUUUGGCCAGAAGAUGAGUCGCCGCAGGAGAUGGAGAACCUGAUGACCCGACUGGAGGAGAUUCCGAACCGAGUGCAGUCGUGGAAGAAAUCUGCAGCUCGUUGUGGUGCAGAUGUUGCUCUAUCUCUGGUCCGAGUCCAUUGCAAGGAGGUGCGCGAGGAGAAGUUCAAGACGUUGAAGGUGGCCAACACGAAGAAACUUUGAUUUGAAGACUUCAUGGAAACCUUCCUUGAAAGUGCUACCCGCAUCGCCGACGGUAUUGAUCUGGACACGUUCGUAGAGCCCUCCAGUCCUGGUGUUAAUCCAGAUGAAGCGUAAAAACACUUUUAUUCUCAGUAUGCCGAGUGUUAAUCUGUAAGAAACUUUGGCCACUGCUGUUGGCCGUCACAUUCGUGGUUCGGUGUGGGUAAGCUUGAUCCACACCGAACUACUAUCUUUGGUUGAACUUUGAAUCGAAUCUUUUGCUCUUCUGUUGCAAUGUUGAAUCGAGUUUUUGUUUGGCGUUUCUUGGUGAAGCCAAAGGCAAACAUUCGGGACAUGUUUUUGUUUUGACAUCUGCAUGAACCUCAUUGAGGGUCCGUGGAAUUCCCUAAGUCCCCGAGUGUGAUGUUAAGUGGACACCCGGGGAAGGUUAAUACUUAGGCGAUUCUGGAUCGCAGCUAAGCCCAGGGUGUGACGUGAAGUGCACACUCGGAGAAAGUUAAUACUUAGGCGAUUCUGGAUCGCAGCUAAGCCCAGGGUGUGACGUGAAGUGCACACUCGGAGAAAGUUAAUACUUAGGCGAUUCUGGAUCGCAGCUAAGCCCAGGGUGUGACGUGAAGUGCACACUCGGAGAAAGUUAAUACUUAGGCGAUUCUGGAUCGCAGCUAAGCUCCCGAGUGUGACGUGAAGUGCAUACACGGAGAAAGUUAAUACUUAGGCGAUUCUGGAUCGCAGCUAAGCCCAGGGUGUGACGUGAAGUGCACACUCGGAGAAAGUUAAUACUUAGGCGAUUCUGGAUCGCAGCUAAGCCCAGGGUGUGACGUGAAGUGCACACUCGGAGAAAGUUAAUACUUAGGCGAUUCUGGAUCGCAGCUAAGCCCAGGGUGUGACGUGAAGUGCACACUCGGAGAAAGUUAAUACUUAGGCGAUUCUGGAUCGCAACUAAGUUUUUUGUUUAGACCGGAGUCUGCGACCGCGGAAGAACUUUGAACCUGCAAAAAACUCAAUCUGCUUUAUAUUAUUUCACCAAUACUUGUUCUUUACAUUGCUUCAGUCGACGGUCACGUGUAGAAGCGCUUCAGGAGAUCUCCGUUCCAUGCACGCGGCUCGUCUGUCUCCCUCUCGAUGUUGUAGAGUCUGUAUGCUCCGUUGUUCAGCACCUUGGAGAUGAUGAAGGGUCCUUCGAGGCCGGAGCCAACUUGUGAGGUCUUUGCUGAUCCACUCGGAGCACCAUGUCGCCUGCUUGGAACGUGCGACUUUUGACGUGGCGUGCAUGAAAACGCCGCAGAUUUUGUUGAUAAAUGGUCGAGCGAGUUAGUGCCAUCUCGCGCUCCUCCUCCAGGAGAUCCAAUUCGUCUUGCCUUGCUUGUUCUGCUUCGGCUUCGGAGAAGAGUUCGACUCGUGGCGCAUUGUGAAGCAACUCACUCGGAAGGACCGCUUCUGCUGCAUAAACGAGGAAGAACGAUGAUCGCCCUGUAGAUCUGUUCGGGGUUGUGCGAAGUCCCCAAAGCACUGAAGGUAGCUCGGUAACCCAAGCGCCAGCGGCAUAUCCUAUCUCUCGCAGGAGUCGGGGCUUCAAACCUUGCAAAAUAAGUCCGUUUGCCCGCUCUGCUUGUCCAUCGGACCGAGGAUGCGCUACGGAAGCAAAAUCCACUCGGAUGCCUUGGCUUGUACAGAAACCUUUGAAUCUGUCCGAGUCAAAGUUUGUCCCGUUGUCCAUGAUUAUGCUGUGAGGUACACCGAAUCUGAAGAUGAUGUCCCUGACAAACUUGACGGCUGUUGAGGCGUCGAGCUUCUUGAUGGGCUUCGCUUUGAUCCAUUUCGUGAACUUGUCGACUGCCACCAACAGAUGUGUGUAUCCACCUAGGCCUGUCUUGAACGGGCUGACUGUAUCUAAUCCCCACACUGCAAACGGCCACACAAGAGGGAUCGUCUUCAACGCAGACGUCGGCUUGUGGGACUUGUUGGAGUAGAACUGGCAGCCCUCACAUCGAUCAACCAUAUCUUUAGCCAUCUCGUUAGCCUGCAGCCAGAAGAAACCAGCCCUGAAUGCCUUGGCGACGAUUUCUCUCGAAGAAGCAUGAUGACCGUAGGUCCCCGAGUGAAUAUCCUCCAGAAUCAGCUGCCCCUCCUCUGGGGAGAUGCAUCGUUGAAGAAUGCCUGAGAUACUUUCUUUGUACAAUUGGCCAUCAAUGACAGUGAAUGACUUCGACCUGCGGACUAUCUGCCUGGCCUGGACUUCGUCUUCUGGUAGUUCCUGCCUCAGAAUAUAUGCAACGAUCGGCACAGUCCAAUCGGGGAUGACGGCAAGAAUCUCCAUGACCAGAACUUGAGCUUGUCGCCCUUUGGUGAUAUGAUCACAACGCCAGCGCCGAAGCCAUUCAACAUCUUGGACCCAUCGAAGAACAUUGUCCAAUGGGCCGAGCAGAUGUGGGUCGGUUGCUGUUGUUCUACCCAUUCUGCUAUGAAGUCAGCCAAAGCUUGAGACUUAAUAGCUUUCUUGGCCUCGAACUUAAUAUCGCAGUACAGCAUCUCCAUCGCCCACUUCGCCACUCGGCCUGACGCAUCUCGAUUGUGGAGAAUUUCCGACAAUGGAGCAUCAGAAACGACAGACACCGCGUGGUCUUGGAAAUAAUGGGCCACCUUCGUCGCAGUCAUGUAAAUCUCGUAGAUAAGUUUUUGAUAGUGGGGAUACCUCUGCUUGGAAGGGGUCAGGACUUCGGAGAUGUAGUACACUGGCCGCUGAACUUUGUAUGCUUGGCCUUCUUCUUCUCGUUCGACUGUAAGAACAGUACCGACGACUUGAUUUGUAGCCGCGAUAUACAGAAGAAGGGGCUCUUUACUGAGCGGAGCAGUAAGAACCGGCUGGGUGGAAAGUAGGACUUUGAGGUCGUCGAAUGCGACUUGGGCUUCAUCUGUCCACUCGAAAGUAUCUGAUUUCUUCAUGAGUCGGUACAGAGGAAGUGCUUUUUCGCCGAGUCGACUGAUGAACCUGCUCAAAGCCGCUAGGCAACCUGUGAGACGUUGAACAUCGUGUAUUCUGACCGGCCUCUCCAUUCGGACGAUGGUCCUGAUCUUUUCGGGGUUGACAUCGAUCCCUCGUUCGGAAAUGAAGAAACCGAGUAACUUUCCGCUGGGAACGCCGAAUGAACAUUUGGCGGGGUUGAGCUUGAUAUCGUACCUACGAAGGUUGGCGAAUGUUUCUGCCAAGUCAGUCAGCAGGUCGGAACCUUUGCGUGACUUGACUAUGAUAUCAUCCAUAUACGCCUCCACAUUCCGACCGAUCUGAUCGAGGAGACAUUUUUGGAUCAUGCGCAUAAAGGUAGCUCCUGCAUUCUUCAGACCGAACGGCAUAGUGAUGUAGCAGAAGCACCCGAAUGGGGUGAUGAAGGCUGUUUUUAACUCAUCGGGACCAUACAGAAGGAUCUGAUGAUAGCCCAAGUAGGCAUCAAGAAAUGACUGACGCUCGCAACCCGCAGUCGAAUCGACAAUUUGAUCUAUGCGGGGGAGCGGAAAAUGGUCUUUCGGGCAGACCUUAUUGAGAUGCUUGAAGUCGAUGCACGUUCGGAGCGACUUGUCCUUCUUGGGCACCAUGACAACAUUGGCGAGCCACUCGGAGUAGUGAACCUCGCGAAUGAAGUUGGCUGCCAGCAGCUUGUCCACCUCUUCCCCGAUUGCCUUCCUCUUGUGCGCGGCGGACCGGCGCAGGUGCUCUCGGACAGGCCGAGCCGUGGAAUCCACGUGCAGUCGGUGCUCAGCUAACUCCCUGGGUACACCUGGCAUGUCGGAGGGUUUCCAUGCGAAGAUGUCCUAGUCCUCACGGAGGAAUUGGGUGAGCUCGGCUUCCUAUUUAGGAUCGUGGGUGGUGGAGAUGUUCGUCGGGGCAGCAGUGGCGUCCGUCGGGUGGAUGCUGACCUUCUUCGUCUCUCCUGCCGACUGAAAUGCAGACUCUGAAGCUGGCUUCUUCGAGCGCAUCAGGUCGGCGGGGUCGACUAUUUUCUUGUACUCGUCCAGCUCGAGGACGGCCAUCUGCUGGUCGGCGAUUCUUGAUCCCUGCUGCAGACACUCUUCAGCCCGCUGCCGAUUGCCUGUGAUGGUGAUCACACCCUUCGGGCCUGGUAUCUUCAGCUUCAGGUAUACGUAACAUGGACGGGCCAUGAAGUGCGCAUACGCUGGGCGACCUAGAAUUGCGUGAUAAGCGCUCUGGAAGUCAACCACUUCGAACGUCAGCUUUUCCUUGCGGAAGUUCUUGUCGGAGCCGAAAACGACGUCCAACGCGAUCUGGCCGAGUGAUUUGGCCUUCCGUCCAGGGACGACUCCGUGGAACUGCAUGCUGCUCUCGCUGAGUUUGGACAUCGGGAUGCCCAUCCCCUUGAGGGUGUCGGCGUACAUGAUGUUCAAGCCGCUGCCGCCAUCCAUGAGGACUUUGCGCAGUCGGACUCCUUCUACCACCGGGUCGAUGACUAGGGCCUGUCUCCCCGGGGUGGGUACAUGUGCUGGAUGAUCCGACUGGUCGAAGGUGAUCGCAGUCUGAGACCAUUUGAGGAACUUGGGGUUGGUAGGGGUGGCCAUGUUCACCUCUCUGUUCACCAGCUUCAGUCGGCUCUUGCUCUCGACGUAAGCAAAGAUCAUCAGGGUUGCAUGGACUUGGGGGAACGGAUCCUCCUUAUCCUCCUCAUCCUGUUCAUGGUCCUUCUCACUCAGUUGCCCUUCGCUGAACCCCUGGAUCAGGAGGCGACACUGUCGAGUGGUAUGCUUCGCAUAUAUGGGGUUUCCCUCUUCAUCCAUCUUCGUAUGAACCGGACAUGGCUGGUCCAGGAUGGGGUUAUUGAACUGGUUCUUCUUGAGGGUGAACUGAGCCUUCCCUUUGCCCUUGAACUUGGCAUUGGUUACGGCUGCAGCUUCUGCUUGCGGAGCGGUCGGAGCUUUCUGCUUCUGCUUCCGAGUGUGGCCCCCAUCGCCAUCAGCGACUGUUUUGUGCUUGCCGCUUCGGAUGCGGUCCUCUUCUUUACCAUUUGCAUAGCGUGUUGCUAUCUCCAUCAUCUUGCUCAUGGAGAUGUCGCCUGUUCGGCCGAACUUCAGGUACAGAUCCGUGUACCGCACGCCUGCCUUGAAGGCGCAGACUGCUUGAUGCUCGGUGACGUUCUCCACCGUGUGAUAGAGAGUUGUCCAGCGCUGGAUGAAGUCACGCAGGGGCUCAUUCUGCUUCUGGACGCAGUGCUGGAGCUCCACAAGGCCAGCAGGGCGCUUGCACGUCCCUUCGAAGGUCCUGAUGAACACUCGGGCCAGAUCUGCCCAACUGUAGAUGCUUGAGGGGGCCAACUGGUUCAGCCACGCUCGCGCCGAGCCGUCGAGCAUCAGAGGGAGGUGCUUCAUGGCGACAUGGUCGUCCCCUCCUCCGAUCUGGACUGCCACUCGGUAGUCAUCCAGCCACGUUUCUGGCUUGGACUCUCCUGUGAACUUGCUAAUUCCCGUUGCCAAUCGGAAGUUGGGAGGGAUGUCAGCCGAACGGAUGGCUCGACUGAAACACUCGGGACCAGAAAAAGGUGGCCCUGCUUCCACUCGGACGGUCGAUAUCGUGACCAUCGCGGUGGGCCCGACCCCUGUCGACCCUCCGCUGGGCGAUAUGCCCUCUUGCGUCGGGCCUUGGGUCGUAAGUGUCACCGACUGAACACCGAUCAUCAUGAUGUCGGGGCCCAUAGGGCCCACCCCACGGAGGGGUGCGUGAACGGCGGCGAUCUUCGUGAUUUAUGGAACGGCUGCCUCCUCUGUGCCGCUGAUGGGAACCUGGGCUGUGAACCGACCGAUGCGUAUUCGCAUGAACAGAACUAUAUAGAUCCUGUUGUGCGACUGGGAGACCGCCGAAUUCUGCUGCUGCGCCAUGUGCAACAGGGCUCGGAUCUGCUCGAUCCCUCUACCAGCCUCUGAAUCAGUCGGCUGGAGGGAAUCGGCUAUCUUGGCAGCUGCAACCAAGUUGAGGAGGGGUGUGCGGAACAGCUCCACGUUGCUCCGCCGAGUGUGCCGACUAGCAGAACGGCGAGGUGGACGACGCGCGCCGGACGCUUCGCCGAUCUCGUGCUCGUUCCGGCCAGCUUGACGGGGAUCUUCAUGGGAAUUGGCCAUGUGUACUUCUGCUGCAGGCCCGUGACCCGCGUACUUGGAAGGAAACUCAGUCGGAACCGAGCCCGAGCGCUGGGACAGCAGGGCAACCACAACUGACUCUAGAACCGCCACUUGUGAAGAUGCGUUCUGGCGCGCCUGGGCGUGUUGCACCCAACGCUGGAGCCGCGGACGGCGGGACCACUUGACGUGGCGCGUGACGGCGGUGUAGGUCAACACCGGAGCCGACUGCUGGAGAAGAAGAAUGCCGCGGGCGCCGGCACGGAAGUGCGUAGCCCCGUGACGGGGAAGCGCCUCGACGUCGAGGGGCGCAUCCCGAAGCAACGCCGAAUUGUCGAUGAUGAAGGAGAGAUCGCCGAAGAAGAUCUGGUGACCCAUGCUUGAAUCUCCACCGGACGACAUGACGAAAGGAAGUAGUCGCAAACUCGCCGGAAGUCGCUUAGACGCCUGCCCCACGGUGGGCGCCAACUGUCGUGGGUAUAAGCCUGACAGUAGAUGUGUAGGGUACGAAAAUGUGUCGGCGUACAUGAUGUUCAAGCCACUGCCGCCGUCCAUGAGGACUUUGCGCAGUCGAACUCCUUCCACCACCGGGUCGAUGACUAGAGCCUGUCUCCCCGGGGUGGNNNNNNNNNNNNNNNNNNNNNNNNNNNNNNNNNNNNNNNNNNNNNNNNNNNNNNNNNNNNNNNNNNNNNNNNNNNNNNNNNNNNNNNNNNNNNNNNNNNNCGCCUCACAGCUCCCCUGCGCGCCGUCAGCCCGUGCCCCGCCGUCCCCGUGCUCGCCAUGGCCGCCGUUCCCCUGCCGAUUUGCUGCUGCCGUGAAUGUUGCUGCUACGCUAAGCUGUUGCGUUGCGUGCUGCCGAAGCUGCUGGUUCCUGCUGCUGCCUGCUAGUGCUGAUGCAUAGGCUUGCCUGCGUGAGGUUGUUGUCCCGUUUUGCGUUGCUUGUCCGCUGUGCUGGCUGCAGACAGUUGUUGUUGCUGUUGCCUGCAUGCCGCUGCUGCUCUUGCUGCCUGUGUGCCUGUUCCUGUUGCUGUUGAUAGCUGCAGCUGUUAUGUUUGCCAGAUGCUUGCUUGCUUUGCUGUUGCGGGCUACUGCUUGGAGAUGCUCAUGCUGGUGCUUGCUGCUGGCCGAGCUUGCUAGCUUUGCUUUGCUGCUUGCCUACAGAUGAUGUUGCCGUUGCUUGCUAGUAGCUGUUGUCGAGUUUAGUGUUUGCUGCUAGGUGUAGUUGCUAGUUGCUAGGCUUGCUGAUAGAUGCUAGGCUUGGUUGCUGUGCUGCUUGCCGUUGUCUGCCGGCGCCGAUGCAUUUGCUGUGGUGCCACAUGCGUCGCCGCGUGCGCCGUUCCCCUCAGCCGAGGAACCGACAAGAUCACCAUGCACCACGUCGUCCUCGACGGCCUCUUCAGAAACGUGUUUGACUCCCGACGCCGAAGAUCAUCUACCGACGCAAGAGAACGACUACCGUCGACGAGACCGUGUACGACUACUUCCACGACGACCGUUGGUCCGCUACGACCCGAACCGCUUCGAAUAGCACGCUUCAAAGGUAUACCGAUGAGACGUGUCGUGUAACGAAUGCUUGUGUUGUAUGGGAUGAAAGUAUGUUUUGCGUCGUAUGUUGCCGUAGCACGUUGUAUCACUUUUGUUGUGCCCCGACACAUGGGAACCCGAUAUACGGGAUCACCCCAUUCUUUAUUUACCGUUCCGCACAUGCUCCCUAUUCGUUGGCUCCGAUACCCCGUUGAGUUAUCGGGAUAGGAACGUUGUCGUGGCAUCGUUUUUGUUUUGCCGCCCUCUCGCUCGCCGUGGCGACAUAUGCUUCUUUCCCUUCUUGCCGUGUUGUUGUAACUCGCAUGCAUGAUGCAUUCAUGGCAUAUAUCUUGUGUUGCAUGUUCUUGUGCCGUAGCUCCGAUCUAUGCUCCGCGUGUUAACCGACUAGGAUGUCAGGUAGAAUCACUCGCUUCACCCUUGCCAUGUUAACAACAUUUAAUAUUGCGUGUUAAAUUAACGGGAGUGAACUAAGAAUUAAUCGUGGAGUUUCGUCGAUAUGUAACUCGUUGCAUAUCGAGCUUCACUUAAUGUGUAGAGUUUGCGUGAGGUGAAUUGCCAUGCCAUCCCAUGCAUUUUGAACUAAUCAUGCAUCAUAUUAGGUUGUGCAUCAUGUUGUGCANNNNNNNNNNNNNNNNNNNNNNNNNNNNNNNNNNNNNNNNNNNNNNNNNNNNNNNNNNNNNNNNNNNNNNNNNNNNNNNNNNNNNNNNNNNNNNNNNNNNAGGCUCCGUCCAAGGGGAAGUUUUUCGCCUGGCUUACCAUCCAGGAUCGGAUUUGGACGGGUGAUCGCCUAGCACGCCGGGGAUGGCCGAAUUGCCAUCUUUGCCCCCACUCCAAACGGGAACAUGAGUCUGGGCCACACAUCUUUGUCAAGUGUCGUUUCAAAACAUCGAUAACCUUGACACUUCAACAUCGCACCUUCAGGAUCCCAUUAAGGAUUGGUGAGUGAGCCAAUUGACUUCGACAACUCCCAACAGGAAAGUCAUCGCAUCUCUCACCAUGCUCAUUGGAUAGACCAUUUGGAACGAGAGGAAUGUCCUGUGCUUUCGCAACAAGAGCAUGACACCCCCAAUUCUGCUAAACAAUAUCAAGAGUGAAGCCCUCACUUGGGUCACCACCGGGGCUAAGAAACCGGGUACUAUAAUGUCGGGAGACUAACACCACUUUGUACUUGUUGGCUCGUGUAUUUGAAAACUCUAUUUAUUCUCCCUUAAUUAAUGUAGAACAUGAUCAAAUAUUUUGCCUUGGUUUCAAAAAAAAAAAGCACAACAUGAUCAAAUGUGUAUGCUUUAUGUCCUACACCCCUUCUUCAUCGGCACGGAUGGUCAAUCCCACACCCAAACCCACACCCGAACAAUCAACUGCCGCCCAGCCUCACACCACGAUGUUGCGGCCACCCGCGUCGUCGCCACCCUUGUUAUUGAUGAGUCUUCGAUCACAGUGUUCUCUUCUCCAGUUCGAUGUUGCCUCUUCUCUCCUCUCAUCUCAUAUCUAAAAUUGGUUAAUCCAACUUUUGUUUGUAGGCAACUAAGGAUUAGAGCAUUCAAACAAAUUAAAUAUGUUCUACUUAUUUUGUGGCAAUAUUUGAAAUUGUAGUUUUCUCCAAAUGUCAAUUCUAUAUAUAUUUGACCAUGUUUAGGAAAAUACACGUUUUUGAUUGAUAUAACAAAAAUUCAUGCUAAUAUAUAAUAUAUUGAAUAUCAUUCUAUAUAUAAAUAUGAAAAUAUAAAUUUGAUGAAUUUAGUGUGAAUAAUUUGGUGUAGUUAUCAUUUGUAUUUAUCUAUGGACCUAAGUCAAACUUAAAUAAAUAUGACUUAGAAUAAAAUAAAUUUUUUUGGAACUGAUCAAAGGAGUGCAUAAGAUAAAACACGACCAAAAAUUCUGGCACACGGAUAUUCCAACAUCCUAAGACACGACAUGAGCGUGGGUAGGGAGGAAUGAGGAAGAAAAUGACAAGACGAAGGCGGGAAGGCCUCGACGACAAGGAGGCAACAGUGACAACACCGAGGAUGCCUAGGAGGUGAUGGGUAAGACACUCUCCUAGACUAGAUAAGCGCAUGAUGAUGCGCGAUGGCUCCUAGAGUUGGGUUCGGUGCGAAUAUGAAGAACUUGACGCCAGCUUUGAGGAGAAGUGGCAAGGGUAGAGUGAUACCAACGAGAGCAUGACCAUCACUCCAGCAUGGACGAGUGGCCCCGUGUAUUCAUGUAGGCUUGGAUACCAAGUGAAGGCAAAGGUAUAGCUCCGAAAAUGUCAGGUGUAUCCAGUAUCGUGCAUUUGCAGAGCUCGGUGCUUUGGGACGAAAUGGUGAAGUUAUCAAAAUGAUGAGAGAGGAAAUGAGAAAAGAAUGGAGAGAGAAACCCCUGUACUACGACAGUGAAUGAUUGAAGAAGAAAGCAUGUAGGGGGGAGAUGUGGUUCGGGCCAUCUUCAAAAUGAUGCUACUGCAGUCUACAUUAGACAUUCAUCAAUCUACCAGAAGGGUUGAGCACAGUUCACUGCACCGUUGGUGUUGUUAAAAUUUCAUAUUUUUUGUUUAUUAUUUAGUUUGGCACGUGGAAAAAUGGUGUGUAUUUUAUUUUGGUGGGCUUUCUUUGUGUGAUUUUGUGAUGUCUGUUAAUCAGCUCAUAAUUAUUAUUAUUUUCUGUUGGGGGGGGGGGGGNNNNNNNNNNNNNNNNNNNNNNNNNNNNNNNNNNNNNNNNNNNNNNNNNNNNNNNNNNNNNNNNNGGGUGGGGGGGGGGAGGUUAUCUUAUUAGGCUGGUUGUUGCUAAUUAAUUGUAGGAAUCGUCGAGCCGGUUAAAAUUAUGAAUCCAAUUCAAAUUUUAACACAUUAACUAAAUGUGAAGAGUCUAAAAUUAGAAAGCAUGGUGUAUUAUAGAUGAUUCGGUUGUUUCACGUCAGUUAAUCAUAUGAAUGGCACAUAGCUCAUACAUGAGACAAUCGGCAGUAAUGACGUGGAAGGGACGGAGAAAUAUGUCAUUAGCUCUAGAACACUGACGUCACGCACUAGCUAUGCCCAGAGAUAAUUGAUUUGGAUCGGCGUCGUCACUAUCGAUCUCUCGAGUCUACACAUGGUCGUGUAUUGCCCUGCAAAAGAGCUAGUCAGUCUGUACCGUUGUUUGUCAUAAUUUAUACAGUAGUCAUUUCCGUGCAAAACAAGCACAUGCACACGCGUACGAGCGUAAUGCGCAGUGAAGAAUCUUCGAGUGCGUGGAGCAUGAUGGGCGACCACCGAGAAAUUCCAUAGCCGCAUGUCGUGCAGCAAUUUAGGUGAACGCGGCAACCCAUUUUUCGAGUAGAGAACAGGGGCAUGCCUCCAAUUUUUUUUCUGUAUCCGUCUGCGGACACGAGGACGAUCAGCCCAGGAACAUAGAUGCGGAAGACUGUCAUCCGAUACUAUCCGCAUACAACCAAAUAUUUUACGAACCAAUAGGACAGCAUUGGUUGAAACACGACGAAUUUCAUAUAAACCGGAUAAAAACAUAUAUAUUUCAAACAUAUUUUAACUAAACAGGUAAAAUUAUAUGCACGUCGGACCGCGGGGAGCUACAUCCGUACAACGCUGAUACACUAUAUAUACUAGUGUACGUCUGGCCACGACGGAUCUCUUGGUCUUCCCAUGUCCGAGAGCCCGAUUAUCAGACUGUCGGGAUCUCCGGAGACACAUUCCUCUCCCUUUCCCUAUCUCUGACUGCGACGCUUGCCAGAGUGACAAAGAAGAUGCUUCAUCCGGAGGGGAAGGGUUGUAUUCGCUUCCGUGAAGCGCAAAUCCUUGCUUUUCUUGGGGGCUACGGGUGAACAAUGGCGUGCGUUAGAGGAUUGGACACUUGUUUUGGACGUUGGCGACUCACAUGUGGUGACCUUCUUGGGACCAAAGCGGCGACGGCCUCCCGUGUUUUAAUUUUCCUUGUCGUCGUUGGUGGCCGCGAACGCCCUGGCCAGUGACUCGUCCAGUUUCGUGUAGCCAACUUCUUCUUUCAUUGAUUAGGCGCGAUUUUGACAACGUUGAUAACCGAUGGCACGAUGUUUAACAUUGCCCCCUCGUGAACGGACGUGUGGCAGGAGAAGGUUUCUCGGCUUUGAUGUGAGUUUAAUGAAGGCGUUUGACUGCGAUGAGGAGUCGUAUUCAGUCGGACAUGCAAAGGGCAGCGCCCACGACCGGCACGCCGCUUCAAUGGCGGAUGCAGCGAGAGAUCUUGUCCGGUAUGAGUAGUCUUCAACAUAGAGCGGUACAAUCUACAACAGCAUAAAUGCGCGCAACUCGUGCCGGUUAAGAACGGGCACGAGCAAGGGAGGAGGGGAUUUGAUGGCCAGGGUGAUGAGAUGCGGGCUUGGGUGCUGUCCGGACACGUGCAAAGCCUCCCCCAUCACACAUUUGUCUUCGAUUUGUGAAAGAAAGUACGUCCGGACCACUUACAGAUCGAUACAAACCUGUGUUGUAUGAAUUUCACAAUCUAGACAGCACAAUUCAAACGGAUGAGGAUGAUGAUUUACGAGUCGUCGUUGGAGAUGGCGUAGAGCCCAAACUUGAAAUCGGCCCGAGAAAAGUAAGGAAUGUGGAACACCAUGCGGUUUCUCCUUCUUAAAAUCAUCGUUGACUGACCAUUCAAAAAUCGGUGCCUGUCAAAUUAACGUUCACCGGUGCAACAAAUGACCCCAACCUCCGGUGAUACCUGGGUACCACAGCACAGCAAAGCUCCCUUCACUGUCCUUAACAUCGUGAGCUUGCUAAUUGAGAUUCCGUCCCAUUUCGCGGUCUCCUCCGUCCACUAGCAUUUAAUCUCGUCAGGGGCGACUGCCUAGGAAGCAAGCAAGCAAUUACGUACUCCAAGCUGAUGCGAGCAAGCAAUUACGGACUCCAAGUCGUGCCUGCGCAGGCGUCAAGGCUCAUGCCAGACAUGGUCUACAAGCGAUGUACCUGGUGGCUACUUCUACCAGCCAGCAGCCACCGCUGGCACUAUAAAAAGGCCAACCCUGCACGAUCCGAGACACAUCCACAGCCAAUUCCGAGCUCUUCCNNNNNNNNNNNNNNNNNNNNNNNNNNNNNNNNNNCUCUUCCGACUGACUGAAUCCAUAUCUCAUCUCCUACUCCGUCGUUCCGCGCGCACAGAACUACGAACUCUUGCAUGUUGAGCUCAUCCGACUAGCAGCGAUGGUUUCGUCAACGAAGCACUACAUAGAUCAGGCCGUCGCGUCCUCGUCGUCCCUCUCCAUCUCGCUCGCCCUCGGCGCCGGCCGCAGCAAGGAGAUGUGCCGCGGCGCCGAUGGCGAGUUCGUAUGCAAGACCUGCAGCCGUUGGGCGGGCACCGGACAAGCCACCUGCGCGGCCGCCAUGGGCUUGCGCUAGGCCUCGCUGCAGGUUCCGAACCGGACCACCAAGAAGACCGCGGACCAGAAGCAGGCGCACCAGUGCCGCGUCUGCGGGCUCGAGUUCAACAUGGGGCAGGCGCUCGGCGGUCACAUGCGCCGGCGUCGCGAGCAGGAGUUGGCUACCACGGCGCAGGCGCAGCCAGUUCUGCUCCAGCUCUUCGUUUAGCCUUUAGCGCAAGCUCCAAUGGUUUCUCUGUAGUCUGAUAUGGACUAUGGAUAGACAUCCUGUAUAGGUUCACUGGUUCACUUGUGCGCAAUUGGACUUUGUACAUUUGCUGGUUGCUGCACACUAGUCUCUACUGUUAUAAGGGAUCUGCCGUCGUCGUGAUGGUUCAAUCUUUUAACGCUAGCUAUCCUCCCACCCACAUCCUUCCACUGAUUUUUUUUUCAACCCUUUAAAAAUCAAUUGGUUUAAUAAAAAAAAGUACAAUAAAAAGCCCCUCUACCUCUCGUUCGACCACGCCUCUUAUCCCUCGCACGACCUCCUCGCUUCCACCGAUUUUUUGUGACCCAACCUCUUCGUUGCCGGUUUGUUUCUCAGCUCAUCCUAUGUGCACAAAAGAGAACCAAAAAACCAAUGAAAACCUACCCACGUACGUCAUCACUUGCCUAAUCUCUGAUCGUGCGGGUCUCUUCCUUCGGGUUUCCAUCGCCGCCGUGGCACACUCUCCCGAUCUCCCAUCGCCACCGCGCACCCCUAUCACUCUCCCAAGCCACCGUGCAGCGUCCUUGAUCCUCCCCUCUACGCGUCACCGUUGCACGGUCUCCAUCAUAGUCGCGCCGAUCGUGGCCCUUUCCAGGCGAAUAGGAUGGCGGUGGCACUCUUCUUUGGAUCCGGUUAACUGCAGGUGGUGGAGGGCACUCUUCUUCCUCUCAGAGCGGUUGACUAUCGGGCUGCUCCGGUCGCGCCACAUCGCCGUCUUUAGGCGUGCGCCCAUGCCAUGCGGCAGGCCAGAUGGAGCGAGCGCCGCCGCGCCUCGCGUUGGAGGUCGCGGUUGUGCCUCAGCCAUGCUCCGCUCUGGGAGUCGCCUCCGCUGCCGGAGGGUCUUGCGCCGUUGCGCUAUGAGCGGCCGUGGCGUGUGGAGAUGGGCGGCCACGGGCGCGGCGUGGCCGUGCGGCAGCCGGGCGGCUACGGACUCCACGGCCACUGGCAUGGCGCUGGGCACGGCCGGACGGCCACGGUCCUGCGUGACCAAGGUCAGGCGCGGCCACGGACACGCGCGGGCGACGAGGCCAUGGCGCCAGCACGGACUGGCGCAAUCACGACCAGCGGCCGGAGCGGCUGCUCGACGGCGAGCGCCCGUGCGCGAUGAAGGCGACGCCAGAGCGCCUGUUCUUCUCAGAUGUCGAGCUUGCUGGAUGGAGCGCUCAAACUGCUUGCUGGCUGUUGGUCGUCCAUACCGUGGAUUCGAACCGAGGCUGCUGCCUUCAGUCUUGGAUAUGAGACCGCAUCAUGGACAACCUCAUUCACCGUUUGAGGUUAGUGCCCAAUAGGAAAAGUAAUGAUAAUAGAAUAGCAUCACCUGAUGAUUUAGUAAUUAAGAUCAAUAAGUUUGAUCGGUAGGCUUCAUAGAUGAACUAGAGAACCAAAACGCUGGUUGUUCGUGACUUGAUUUUGGCGAUUUGUGCUUCUGGUUCUCCCAUUGAUCCAUCUUUGAUCUGCUCUUUUACUUCCUGUGAAGAAAACCACAGGAAGAGUGUCGAGAGAGUCUCGGCGUCGGCAGUGUGGCCGCCUCAGGCUGGUGCAGGAGGUCGGGGCUGCGGGGUCACCCGACGACUGGAGACAUGCGCCGACGUGCCAUCAUCAGUGUACGAGGUCCCCCGGAGCCCCGAAUGUCAUCGUACGGCAGCAGCAAUCUCACCAUCUCCCUGUUCCAUCCGUAUUCAUAUGAAAUUUUUUAACUGACUGUUUAUGGAGUUGAUAUAGGAUGGUUUGUUGUCAGAGAUCAGGUCGCUACUGGAUUCAAGUCUGCACUCUUCUCCCCACGUUUUUCUUCCCCCACACAUACUGAACCACAAGGAGAGCAAAACGAGGAGGCGAAGUACCAGCGAAGGCGACGAGAACGGCGUUGCAGGUGAGUUCAUGUUCCGCCCGUGAAGCCAUGUCUCUCUUUUUCCCCAUGUCCAGCGCAUAUAGACCCACCUGUACAAAUUCCACUCUCUCUUUUUUUACGUUGAGUAGAAAUUUCUCUCUUCUUUUCCAUGCUUAGUUGCACAUUACUCUGGCACUUUUGGUCCCUUCUGAUGUCAUAGCAUUCUGUGAUAUAAUAAAUAUAAACAACUAGAUGCUCCAAAUGCACCGUCACGCCAUCAUCAGUGAGGGACUAGGAAGGAAGAUACGUAACAACCACUACAGAAAUCAGCUUCUUUGCCGUCUGCCAUCACAGACGGCAAAGACAAUAUCCCGGACGGCAAAGACAAUAUCGCAGACGGCAAAUAUUCUCACGACCGGCAAAAUUUCUGCGUCAGCCUACGACGGCAUAGGACCUUCUUUGCCGUCUGCCCAGGCAAAACGGACGGCAAAGCUCUUUGCCAUCAGCUUUCAUUAGGAGCAGUCGGCAAAGUGCUCGAGACGGCAGCCGACACACGUUGCCUCCGUUAGGGGUUAACGGAGGCUUUGCCGUCUGCCUCCCCAUCCAUCUUUGCCGUCUGCCUCCCCGUCCAUCUUUGUCGUCUGCCUUCUCCUCCCCUCCCCUCCCCCCCUCCAUCUUUGCCGUCUGCCUCCCCGUCCAUCUUUGUCGUCUGCCUUCUCCUCCCCUCCCCUCCCCCCCUCCAUCUUUGCCGUCUGCCUCCCCGUCCAUCUUUGUCGUCUGCCUUCUCCUCCCCUCCUCCUCUCUCCACUCUUUGCCGUCUGCCUCCUCCUCCCCCCUCCUCUGUUCCCUCUUCUUUGCCGUCUGCCCACCCAGCAGGCUGACGACAAAGAGACUACAUAAACACCCCAGGAUGCACAGCUGGGUGCCAUGUGGCACCUUUGCCGUCUGCCAGCUGAUGGCACAGGUCUUUGCCAUCAGCUGGCACACGGCAAAGAGCCCAUAUAGUUCCUAUUUUUUUGUUUUAUAUUAUUUCACAGCACACACACACACACACACACACACAUAUAUAUAUAUAUAUAUAUUUGAUAGCACAUUUAUAUAAUUCACCACACAUAUAUGAUAUAUAGUUCACCACACAUAUACUUGCCAACACAUAUAUAUAAUUCACCACACAUAUAUGAUUCACCAAUAUACAUCCCCAUAUAUCCAAAGAACCAACAUACCAAGUAUUGCACUGUUUAUCCAUAUAUACAUAUACAUAUAGUUGGACAUUGUUCAUCAACUCAAAUGAAAACUAGAUGAUAUACAUAUAUAGUUCAUUCAUUGACAUUGUUCAACUCCAUGAAUGCCAGCUUCCAUGCAUGUAGUAUAUCCAAUCUGCAAAAAUGUGAAUAAGAAAGUUAGGAGAAGAACAAAAUAUGAUGUUUCUCAGCUAAUUAUGUCAUUUUAGCGGAAAACAAGCUAAGUAUAUGUGUGGUGAACUAUAUAUCAUUUAUUGGAGCUAAAUUACCUAAUUAUGUCUUUUUUGAGCUAAAUGGGCUAAUUAUCCCAUUUUUGAGGACAACUAGCUAACUAUAUAAUAUUAAUGAGCUAACCAAGGUUCUUAUGCCAUCUUGAGCUUAUUAUGGUAUUUUGGAGCUAAAUGGGUUAAUUAUGUCAUUGUUGGGUUAAUUAAAGCAAGGAUAAUAUGAAAGAGGAGAAGAAAGAGGAGGAGGAGGAGAAGAAGAAGAAAUCAAGAAGAAGGAGGAGGAGGAGGAGAAGGAUAGAAGGUCCUUGGCCUUCUCCUCCUCCUCCUCCUCCUCCUUCUCCUUCUUCUCUUCUUCUUCUUCUUCUUCUUCUUCUUUCUUUUCAUUUUGCCUAUUUCUUCUCCUCUUCUCCUCUUGUUGGAGCUAAAUUACCUAAUUAUGUCUCUUUUGAGCUAAAUGGGCUAAUUAUCCCAUUUUAGAGGAAAACUAGCUAAGUAUAUAAUAUUAAUGAGCUAACCAAGGUUCUUAUGCCAUUUUGAGCUUAUUAUGGUAUUUUGGAGCUAAAUGGGAUAAUUAUGUCAUUGUGGGGUUAAUUAAAGCAAGGAUAAUAUGAAAGAGGAGAAGAAAGAGGAGGAGGAGGAGAAGAAGAAGAAAUCAAGAAGAAGGAGGAGGAGGAGGAGGAGGAGAAGGAUAGAAGGUCCUUGGCCUUCUCCUCCUCCUCCUCCUCCUCCUUCUCCUUCUUCUCUUCUUCUUCUUCUUCUUCUUUCUUUUCAUUUUGCCUAUUUCUUCUCCUCUUCUCCUCUUGUUGGAGCUAAAUUACCUAAUUCUGUCUUUUUUGAGCUAAAUGGGCUAAUUAUCCCAUUUUAGAGGAAAACUAGCUAAGUAUAUAAUAUUAAUAAGCUAACCAAGGUUCUUAUGCCAUUUUCAGCUUAUUAUGGUAUUUUGGAGCUAAAUGGGCUAAUUAUGUCAUUGUUGGGUUAAUUAAAGCAAGGAUAAUAUGAAAGAGGAGAAGAAAGAGGAGGAGGAGGAGGAGAAGAACGUUAAUUACCCUCGUGCAUGGACAUGCACCUACCACGCAAAGUUCGCAGGUCCAGAAGUUGCCCUUUUGGUCCACAGGACUUUCCAGGUUACCUAUACUACUUUUCAGGUUAUAUAAAACUUUUCGAUAUUUUCUACAUUUGAGGAUGGCAAUAUUAUUUAUGUUGUCCUGUUUUGCUCCGGUACCAAUAAAUAUAGACGAUACAUUAUUUUGACAGACUUGAUUUCAACAAAAGAACAUGUGAUCUUCUUUGAAGUAGUCUUGAACCUAAGCAAUAAUGAUGGGCGAAUAAACUAACAUAAUCUACCACUAAAUCUACUAAUUAACUAACAGAAUCUACCACUAAAACUACUAAUUAAUUCCAAAAAACUAAAUACCAAACAUGUGAUCUUCUUUUUGUCUUCUCCUCCUCCUAUUCUUCUUCUUCUUCUUCUUCUCCUCCUCCUCCUCUUCUCCUCUUCUCCUCCUCCUCCUCUUCUUCUUCUUCCUAUUCUUUCUAGUAAUCUAACUAACUAACUAACCUAACUAACCAAGCUAACUAAACCUAUCGCUAAACCUAGAUAGCACUAAACAGCAAAAAAUAACAAAAACACCACAACGGAGAUAUAUGAAUUGCUAUUUAACCUCAUCCAAGGACCUCCUCGGUCAAUUCCGAUUCAACUAAAGUUGGAGAAACUGACACCCGCCAGUCAUCUUUGAGCAACGGAGUUACUCGUAGCGAUGAAACCAGUCUCUCGUAAGCGUACGAGUAAUGUCGGUCCGAGCCGCUUCGAUCCAACAAUACCGCGGAAUCAAGAAAAGACUAAGGAGGGCAGCAAAACGCACAUCACCGCCCACAAAAACUUUUGUGUUCUACUCGAGAAGACAUCUACGCAUGAACCUAGCUCAUGAUGCCACUGUUGGGGAACGUCGCAUGGGAAACAAAAAUUUUCCUACGCGCACGAAAACCUAUCAUGGUGAUGUCCAUCUACGAGAGGGGAUGUGUGAUCUACGUACCCUUGUAGACCGUACAGCAGAAGCGUUAGUGAACGCGGUUGAUGUAGUGGAACAUCCUCACGUCCCUCGAUCCGCUCCACGAACCGUCUCGCGAUCAGUCCCACGAUCUAGUGUCGAACGGACGGCACCUCCGCGUUCAGCACACGUACAGCUCGACGAUGAUCUCGGCCUUCUUGAUCCAGCAAGAGAGACGGAGAGUUAGAUGAGUUCUCCGGCAGCGUGACGGCGCUCCGGAGGUUGGUGGUGAUCUUAUCUCAGCAGGGCUCCGCCCGAGCUCCGCAGAAACGCGAUCUAGAGGAAAAACCGUGGAGGUAUGUGGUCGGGCUGCCGUGGAAAAGUCGUCUCAAAUCAGCCCUAAAACCUCUGUAUAUAUAGGUGGGAGAGGGGGGGCCCUGCCUUGGGGCUCAAGGAGCCCCAAGGGGGUCGGCCGAGCCAAGGGGGAAGGUCUCCCCCUCCCAAUACGAGUCCUACUUGGUUUGGAACGUGGAGUCCUUCUUCCCUUUCCCACCUCCUCCUUUUUUUUCUUUUCUCUUUGAUUUUCUUCCUAUGGCGCAUAGGGCCUUCUUGGGUUGUCCCACCAGCCCACUAAGGUCUGGUGUGCCACCCCCAAGGCCUAUGGGCUUCCCCGGGGUGGGUUGCCCCCACCCCCCCGGUGUACUCCCGGAACCCAUUCGUCAUUCCCGGUACAUUCCCGGUAACUCCGAAAACCUUCCAGUAAUCAAAUGAGGUCAUCCUAUAUAUCAAUAUUCGUUUCCGGACCAUUCCGGAAACCCUCGUGAUGUCCGUGAUCUUAUCCGGGACUCCGAACAACAUUCGGUAACUGUUGGGGAUAUUGCGUGUUAAGUGACCCGCCGAAUAUGGGCCGGGUUACAGUUAAGGCGAUUCAUCCUUUAGGGCUAGUUGGGCCUCAGCCUGGGCGGUUCAAAGUCGCAGGAUGGUUAUGAUUUAUGGAAGGACUCUGGGUUUUGCAAGACGGUGACUUAGAGACCGCGGUGGUCACGAUUUGUAAAAAGGAAGGGACUCUUGUAAACCCUAAGGCUUCGACCUAUAUAUAAAGGCGAGUUUGGAGGGGGAGAGGUAGGUUAGAAAUCAUCGAGUGCUAGGUUUAGGCGAGUUACGCCUUCCUUGUAAUCGAAUCCAUAUCAAUACACACAAAAGCAGGACGUAGGCUAUUACCUCUUCUCGAGGGGCCGAACCUGGGUAAAUCGCCGUGUCUCUCCCGCUUAACCCCUUUGAGUCGCCACCAAGGUGCGAUGGCUCCAGUACUAAGUCCUUUCACGAGGACAUCUGCCGUGACAAAACCACGGCAGUUGGCGCCCACCGUGGGGCCUGCGCACGGUGGAGUUGAGUUCUCAAAGGGAGCCCUACCAGGGUCUGGGAGUUAUGCGGCGGCGCUCAUGACUUGGAGCCGACGCGGCAUCGCCUACAUCGACAACCGGCGAUGGGGACCUGAAGCAAAUUCUCUCGAAUCAGGCUACAGGGUCCCCUUCGGCAAGAUCAACGUCUUCAUCGGCAUGAUCGGGUCAUCUGCUCCUGAGCCGGACAUCUCCUCCGACAUCGUCGAGCCGGCCAGGUACGUUCAUCCAGUCGUAACCCGGAAUCUGACCCGCCCGGUCUUUGUGGGCUUCACCCAGGGGUCGGAGGAGCCAGAGCACGCGGCAGCUCAGGAGGUUACCCCCAUCAACUCUGACGACGAGUCAUCCAUGGGCGAUUCCGAUUCCAUCCAGUCCCUCCACGGAGACGGCCUCGGGGGCUUGUCAUUGGCCAUGGAUCCGGAAAUCCUCGAUCGAACCCGCCGCCAGAUCGCCAUCUACAUGGCCGGGGUGACUCAACCCGCACACAAUCCCGCCGGAGGCGAUGGAACCGGCGGGACGUCCAGAAGUGCGUCAGCAGUCCUCGUGGAUUUAGCGGCGGAAAUCACAAGACUAAUGUCAACCCCCCUCACGCCUGAGAACCAAGAAGAGAUAAAUGCGGAGUUAGCAAAACUGAGGGAGGCGGUGGCAAAGGCCCAUCAGGAUGCCGAGACGGAGUCCACCAGGAUGGAAACUCGACAAGCCCAGAUUACGGCCGAAAGGAUGCGGUUGAACACCGACAAUUGGCGGCUUGAAAGACAGCAGCGCGCAUCCGACGCCGUCCAUCAGCGGAGGCACCAGGGACGCCUGCCCCAUGAUCUUAAUCCAACUCGCCUGUUCGACACUCCCCAAACACCCGGGAUGGGAGCCGCUCCAGCAGGAGGGCUCGGCCGCCCUCCUAACCCGCCGAUUCAGACGACUGAGGGUCAAAUUCCUCGUUUCCGUACCCCUCGAGGCCACUUCUCUAACCUGGUGGAUAACGUGCUUGCCGCAACUCGCCAUUUGGAGUCUCUCCCGAUCCACGGCAACACCCCAGCUGAGAUCGAAGCAAGGAACGCCAUCGAGAUGUUGAAAACGGCGGUGGUCCAAAACGCACAGUUCUCGCACAGCCCCGAGCGAUUGCACUCCACCCCCCAGGCGAGCUAUACCAGGGGUUGUCCGGAGGAUCAGCCAGCCGUAAACAGCGCCCCGCGACACCUCCCGCAGGACAACCCGCCCGAGCGGGACCCGCCGGGCAAAGGCCCACCCAACAUUCAAGAGGCCCAGACUCAUCCCGCGGGGACCGGAGGGCGAGUUGGGGUGCCCUGCUUGUCCCUGGCCCUUCGAAACGAGAGAAUGCCCAAGGAUUUCAAAGGACCGAGAAAGGUGCCUAAUUACACACCAGAUCUCGAACCAACAUCUUGGAUCGAGGGCUAUGAGAUCGCCAUGGACAUGCUCGACGUAAACGAGGCGGUUUGCGCCAGAUAUUUCACCAUGAUGCUCGAGGGAUCGGCGCGCACUUGGCUGAAAAAUUUACCCCCCAAUUCUAUCCAGUCCUGGGCCGAGUUGAAGGAGCGUUUCAUCAAAAACUUCCGGGGAACCUGUAAACGGCCGAUGACAAUCGUCGACUUGCAACACUGCGUGCAACGCCCGGAUGAGUCGGCGCAUCAUUGGUCGCGGCGAUUCGCGGAAAUUAUCCAUUCAUCGGAUGGCAUCACGGCAGCGCAAGCUGUGCUUAUCCUCGAGCACAACUGCCACUACGAACCGCUGGUCCAGAAACUGGGACGACUCAAACGGAAAGUUCAGGAUAUGGGCGAGCUGAUGGAUACCCUCACUAGGUACGCCGAAGCCGAUGAUACCAAGGAUCCCGACGAGGAUGGUAAGGGUAACUCGCCCAAGAAGGGCGAUUCAACGAAUAAGCAUACCCGCCUCCAAGGCCGCAACCGUCAUAACCAGGGGACCAACGGCAAGCGUAGGCCGCAUGAGGAGCCCUCGGAUCUGGUUGCCAACACCAACGCCAAUGACGGCAAAAAGAAGAAUCGAGGCUUCAGUGGGAAAAGACCGCGUAACUACGAAGAGCUGCUCAAAGGCCCUUGCCCGCACCACGCCACGGCCGACGGCCCGGCGGGCCACUCCUGGGAGAACUGCUUCGUGAUGCGGGAAUUUCGGGCCGAGGCAAUCAAGAAGAGCCAGAGCGAAGAUCCGAACCAUCGCCAAGACCAACUCGCCGCGCCCAACCAAAGGCACAACCCCUUCGGUGGUUUUCCCGAACAAGAGGCUCAGGGGGGGCCGCAGCCAGGCGGCGACCAGUACCCGGUGCACCACCAUCGGCGGUACAACCCGUCGGGAGUUUUCCAAAAGCCGCCCCCACAGGGGGCUCCGCAGGACCAGGAUGACCAUGGGGGCUUCCGCAACAAUCCUAAACAGCUAAGUAAUGGGCAAUAUCAUGUUUUCACCACUAAUACUUGCAGACGUGAUAAAAAGGUAAAUCACCGGGCGUACAGCGUAAUUGAGCCGGCAGUUCCCAGAUAUCUCCACUGGUCCGAACAGACCAUAACAUGGAGCAGAGAGGAUCACCCGCCGAGAAUAGAUAACCCGGGCGACCUGGCCUUGGUCGUGGCUCCCCAAGUGGCGGGUUACACUCUAUCGAAAGUACUAAUGGAUGGCGGCAGCAUCAUUAAUAUCCUAUACUUCGACACCUUCCGGAGGAUGAAUCUAUUAGAGAAAGACUUGAUGCCUUCAACCACGGUUUUCCACGGCAUCGUCUCGGGCAAAUCGGCUUAUCCGAUUGGCCGGGUCAGGCUCUCAGUAGCGUUUGGAACUGCACAGAACUACAGGUCGGAGUCUCUGCUCUUCGAGGUGGUCAAAUUAAAAAGCCCGUACCAUGCGCUGUUCGGGCGACCGGCUUACGCUCGCUUCAUGGCCCGCCCGUGCUACGUCUACCUCAAGCUCAAAAUGCCUGGUCCUAAAGGGCCCAUCACGGUCGACGGAGAUAGAAGAAUUGCAAAGGAGUGUGAGGAAGGAGACGUAGCCUAUGCGGAAGUCGCCUGCGCGGCGGAAGAGUUCAAAAACCACCGGGCCAAUGUUGACCCGGCAGACAUGUCACCACUCAAGAAACCGACUACAGAUUCCGAGUCGCCCCUCAAGUUUAAACCAACGGAUGACACGAAGACAGUCGACUUCGUCCCUGGCGAUUCAUCCAAGCAGUUUACCAUUGGAACGGGUCUGGACCCCAAAUAGGAAAGCGCGCUCAUCGAAUUCAUCCGUGAGAAUCGGGACAUCUUCGCAUGGAAACCCUCUGACAUGCCGGGUGUACCGAGAGAAUUCGCUGAGCACCAUCUUAAUAUUGACCCAAAAUGCAAACCUGUCCAACAAUACCUUCGCAGGUUUAACGAGGAGCGACGGAAGGCUAUUGGAGAGGAAGUCGCCCAUCUUUUAGCCGCCGGGUUCAUCGUGGAACUCUUUCACCCCAAAUGGCUAGCUAACCCGGUGUUAGUACUCAAGAAGAAUGGCACGUUCCGUAUGUGUAUUGACUAUAUGGACCUCAACAGAGCUUGCCCCAAGGAUCCUUUCGCUCUUCCUCGCAUCGACCAAAUCAUUGACUCAGUGGCGGGAUGCGAACGAUUGUGCUUUUUGGACGCUUAUUCAGGUUAUCAUCAGAUCAAAAUGGCUGUGGAAGAUCAAGAGAAGGCUGCUUUCAUAACCCCCUUCGGGGCCUUUUGCUAUGUGUCCAUGCCGUUCGGGCUCAAGAGCGCAUGAGCGACUUACCAACGUUGCAUCCAGAAUUGUCUUCAUAGCCAAAUUGGCCGCAACGUCCAUGCUUAUGUUGACGACAUUGUGAUCAAGACCCGCCGGGAGGAGACACUUCUAGAAGACCUUAAGGAAACCUUUGAUAAUUUACGGGUAUAUCAGAUGAAGCUAAAUCCUACCAAGUGCGUUUUCGGCGUACCUGCGGGAAAACUAUUGGGUUUCUUGGUAUCGGAGCGCGGCAUCGAGGCUAACCCGGACAAAAUUGAAGCGGUUACUUCCCUCGGCAAGCCGACGAAUGUUAAUCAAGUUCAGCGAUUGGCGGGUCGCAUUGCGGCUCUCAGUCGUUUUGUGAGCCGCCUCGGAGAAAAGGCGAUUACUCUUUAUCAAUUGUUGAGGAAGUCUGACCGAUUCGUGUGGACAGAGGAGGCUGACGAGGCACUUCAGGCCUUGAAACAUCAAUUGGUUAACCCGCUGGUCCUGGCGGCCCCGACUAAAAAGGAGCCUAUGCUCCUGUAUAUCGCCGCGAAUUCCAAAGCGGUGAGCGUGGCUGUGGUCGUCGAAAGAAAGGAGGAAGGAAAGGAAUACCCGGUACAACGCCCGGUGUACUUUAUCAGUGAGGUGUUAACUCUUUCCAAACAGCGAUACCCACAUUGGCAGAAACUGGUCUAUGGGGUGUUCAUGGCGAGUCGAAAGCUUAAACAUUAUUUCCAAGAACACCCGAUCACCGUGGUCAGUUCCGCGCCCCUCGGCGACGUCAUCCAAAACCGCGAGGCAACAGGGCGAAUCGCCAAAUGGGCAAUAGAACUUGGGUCACAUCACAUACAGUAUACCCCCCGCACGGCCAUCAAGUCCCAGGCACUAGUUGAUUUCGUCAAUGAUUGGACGGAGCUUCAGGCUCCGGAAGAUCGGCCUGACCUUACCUAUUGGACUAUUUAUUUUGAUGGAUCCAGGAAGUUGGAGGGCUCGGGGGCGGGUGUGGUGUUGAUAUCCCCUCAAGGAGAUAAGUUCUGCUACAUCCUCCGACUCAUGUUUCCUUGUACAAAUAAUGUAGCAGAAUAUGAAGCUCUGCUUCACGGUUUGCGACUAGCAAAAGAGAUGAACCUAACCCGAGUCAGAUGUUUUGGGGACUCAGAUUUGGUGGCGCAACAGGUUUCGGGCACCUGGGACUCUCGAGAUCCUAUGAUGGCGGCUUACAGGCGAGCCGUAUCUGACGUGGCGGGCUAUUUUCAUGGGUACCAGGUUGAUCAUGUUGAUCGGCGACUCAACGAAGCAGCUGAUGCCCUCUCGCGACUCGGCUCACAGAGAAAACCGGUCCCCCCUAAUGUCUUCUUGGAUGUCCUGCAUAAACCGUCCGUAACUGUACCCACGGAGGAGGAAUUGGCGAUACCAGAUCCCGAGUCUCAGCUUGUGGCGGCUCUCCAUGUCGCUCCGGAUUGGGCUCUUCCUUAUCUAGCUUAUCUUGCUCGUGGCGAGUUACCCACUGACGAAGUUUUGGCUCGCCAGAUUGUUCGGCGUAGCAAGUCCAUGGUCAUCAUUAAUGGCGAGCUAUAUAAACGAAGUGCUUCAGGGGUCUUUCAGCGGCGCGUUUCCUCCGAGGAAGGAUGCAUAAUCCUAAAUGACAUCCAUUCUGGAGACUGCGGACAUCACGCCGGGUCACGUUCUUUGGUAUCAAAAGCCUUUCGACACGGUUUCUUCUGGUUGACGGCUCACGCAGAUGCAGAAGAUAUAGUACGGCGGUGUGAGGGGUGCCAACGUUAUGGGAGACAGGUUCAUGUGCCGGCUCAAGAAUUGAGGAUGAUCCCCAUUACUUGGCCUUUCGCGGUCUGGGGGCUGGACAUGGUCAGUCCCUUUAAGAUGUCCUCCAACAAGAAAACUCACUUAUUGGUGGCGGUUGAUAAAUUCACUAAAUGGAUUGAGGCGGAGCCUGUUGGGACUUGCGAUGCGGAUACUGCGGUAAAUUUUUUGAAGAAGCUGAUUUUCCGUUUUGGAUAUCCACACAGUAUCAUCACGGACAAUGGUACUAACUUGUCCCAAGGAGCGAUGCUGGAUUUCUGUCGCCGUGAACAUAUCCGGCUUGAUAUCUCUGCAGUUGCUCACCCGCAGUCAAACGGACAGGCCGAGCGGGCGAAUCAGGAAGUUUUGCGAGGGAUCAAACCUCGGCUCAGAAUUCCCCUGGAAAGAACUCCAGGAUGUUGGGUGGAGGAGUUACCUUCGGUAUUAUGGAGCAUCCGGACCACCCCGAAUUGGUCCACGGGGUUCACCCCUUUCUUCUUGGUCUAUGGUGCAGAGGUCGUCCUCCCUACCGACAUAAGGCAUGAUUCUCUUAGAGUCGCCGCAUAUGUGGAGCGAGACAACGAGCUGGCGCGUCAGGACUCUUUGGAUGCCUUGGAAGAGGCACGUGACUUAGCAGCGGCUCGUUCGGCGAUCUAUCAGCAAGAUCUGCGGCGUUAUCAUAGCCGCCGGGUGAAGAGUCGGACCUUCCAGGAAGGCGAUUUGGUGCUUCGACUGAUACAAGAUCGGGCAGGCAUGCACAAGCUUUCGCCCCCUUGGGAGGGACCUUUCGUUGUCAGCAAGAACCUCCGCAAUGGUUCUUACUACUUGAUGGAUCUUCGGCCUGAUCGACCGACUACGGGGGCUGAGUCAACUCGCCCUUGGAAUAUUGCCCAUUUGCGGCCUUAUUACACUUGAGUUCUUAAAACUCCAUGCUUUGUAAGUUUUUCAGUUUUCAUUAUGGAAUAAUAUAAUGUUUCCCUGACUCGGGGGCUUCUUCUUUAAGAAAAAGAGAGAGCAAUUUCAUGACAUCCUGUUGCGACCUUAUGAGCCGACAGAACAUGCAUUAAGGGUGGGUGCGCGAGCUUUCUGACUCGCCUCCCCCUGUCGCGACCGUAUGAGCCGANNNNNNNNNNNNNNNNNNNNNNNNNNNNNNNNNNNNNNNNNNNNNNNNNNNNNNNNNNNNNNNNNNNNNNNNNNNNNNNNNNNNNNNNNNNNNNNNNNNNUCUUGGAGGUCAUGUUGUUGAGCAACAGUGAACCUACGAGUUAUGAAGAAAGCAAUGGUGGGCCCGGAUUCCGACAAAUGGCUGGAGGCCAUGAAAUCCGAGAGAGGAUCCAUGUAUGAAAACAAAGUGUAGACUUUGGAAGAACUAUUUGAUGGUCAUAGGACUAUUGAGUAAAGAUGGAUCUUUAAAAGGAAGACAGACGAUGAUGGUGAUAAGUCACUAUUAAGAAAAGCUCGACUUGUCGCAAAGAUGUUUCCGACAAGAUCAAACAGUUGACUAUGAUGAGACUUUCUCACUCGUAGCGAUGCUAAAAGUCUGUUAGAAUUAUGUUAGUAGUUACUGCAUUAUUUAUGAAAUAUUGCACAUAGGAUGUCAAAACAUUGUUUCCUCGAUGAUUUCCUUGAGAAAACAUUGUAUGUGAUACAACCAGGAGGUUUUGUCGAUCCUAAAGAUACUAGCAAGUAUGCAAGCUCCAGCGAUCCUUCAAUGGACUGGUGCAAGCAUCUCGGAGUUGGAAUAUACACUUUGAUGAGAUCAUCAAAGAUUUUGGGUUUGUACAAGGUUUAUGAGAAACUUGUAUUUCCAAAGAAGUGAGUGGGAGCACUAUAGAAUUUCUGAUAAGUAUAUGUGGUUGACAUAUUGUGGAUCAGAAGUAAUGUAGAAUUUCUGUAAAGCAUACAAGGUUGUUUGAAAGGAGUUUUCAAAGGAAUACCUAGAUUGAGCUACUUGAACGUUGAGCAUCAAGAUCUAUGGAGAUAGAUCAAAACGCUUAAUNNNNNNNNNNNNNNNNNNNNNNNNNNNNNNNNNNNNNNNNNNNNNNNNNNNNNNNNNNNNNNNNNNNNNNNNNNNNNNNNNNNNNNNNNNNNNNNNNNNNUCCGCCAUGAAUCGCCUCCUUCGUCGUUCGCGCUCGGCCGAUCUCGACUCACCAGCCUCUGACGGCCGCCCCUUCGCUGCUGUUCCCGUCGCCGUCGCUGCCACGCCCGUCGCCACUCGCGUGGCCGCCGCCGCGUCUGCCGUGCUCCCCACAGCUCGACUCGCACCUGCUGUCGUCCAGGGGAAGGCGCCUGUCCCCGAGGGUGCCAAUGCGCCCUCCUCGACUGCACCCGCCGUCCACCUCACGCCGCCACCUGUAGCGGGCAUUCUCCGGACCGCCGGGAGCUUCCCCGUCCCGCACGUCGACCUCGGGGUCCCAAACGGCGACCUCGUCCCGCAUGUCGGCUCCUCCGAUGCCGGCCCUUCUUCCGUCAAUGGACUACCGUCGUCCAUCACACACUACUUCAACUCCAAGCUGGCGCUUGAAUCCGGUAACUAUUCUAAAUGGCGCCACAUCUUUUACAUGGUCUUGUGCAAGUACAACGUCCAGCACCACCUUGCCAUCGCCGCCAUGCCACUCGAGCAGAGUGCCGUCUGGCGCAAUGACGACCUGACCAUGGUGCUCUGGAUGCACGGCGUCGUCGCCGAGGAGCUCAUGGACGUCGUCGCAUCCCCAACAAGCACCUCCUACGACGUCUGGACGUAGCUCCAUAUCUUCUUCAUGGACAACCAGCCAGGGCGCGCCGUCAUCCUCGGCGCCGAGUUCCGCAACCUCGUUCAAGGCGACCUCACCGUCACCGAGUACAGCUGGCGGCUCAAGUCGCUCGCCGACGCACUCGAGGAUGUCAGCGAACACAUCUCCGACCAGUCGCUCACUCUGCAGCUCAUCCGCGGCCUCAACCAAAAGUUUCAUGUGAUGGCGACACUCCUACCUCUGCAGUCGCCGUUUCCUUCCUUCGUACAGGCACGAUCUCGGCUGCUCAUGGAGGAAAUCUCGGCUAACGAGCGGGCCCGCCUGGAUGGUCGUCCCGAAGCCACCGCUACCGCGCUCACCAUCGGGCAGGGCGGCCCCGACCGUGGCGCCUCCGCCCCUGACCGCGGCGGCUCCUCCUUUGACCGCGGCACCAACACGCGGGGCAGGGGCCCUGCCUCCUCCUCUCCCACCGGCGACAAGGGGGCGCGUGGACGUGGCCGCGGCCGUGGCCGUGGCCGCGGCGCCCAACCCUCUUGUGCUGCUCCGACUGGACGCGGAGCGCCUCCUCCAGCCCACGGCAUGCAGCUGCCCACAGGCUACUUCACGCCUUACGGCACCCUACCCCCCGGCCUCCCACCGCCUCGUGCGCCUUGGGCUGCACCCAACGCCGUCGGCGUCCUCGGGCCGCGCCCACCACCACCACACCAGGCAUACCCGGUGGCUGCCGCGUCAUCGUCCAGCGGGCCGACAUGGGAGCAGUACCAUCAGCUGUACGCUGCCCUUCAGAACCUCUCCGUGCAGCACCAGCAGGCCGGCGGCGCCUCAGGCUGGUUCCUUGACACAGGCGCGACUUCGCACGUUGCAGGUAACACGAGCUCACUCACCUCGUAUGAUUCUCCAUCUGCGCGUCAUUCUUCUGGCAUACUCGUCGGUGACGGGUCUCGCAUCGCCAUUACUGCUGUCGGCUCCACCUCUCUCUCAAAUUUCUCUCUUAAUGAUGUUCUUAUCUCUCCCACAAUUAUUAAGAACUUAAUCUCUGUUCGUCGUUUCACCAUCGAUAANNNNNNNNNNNNNNNNNNNNNNNNNNNNNNNNNNNNNNNNNNNNNNNNNNNNNNNNNNNNNNNNNNNNNNNNNNNNNNNNNNNNNNNNNNNNNNNNNNNNNNNNNNNUUUCUGUGAAGGACCUAGCCACGGGGAGGAUACUCCUGAGAUCCAAUAGCCACGGAGAGCUCUAUCCCUUCUUCAACAACUCCAGCGUUCAGGCAUCGCUCUCCGUCGUCACCAAUGGCCUCUGGCAUCAACGUUUAGGGCAUGCUAGCAAUAAAUCUGUCUCUAUAUUAGCUCGUCACUUCCUUCCAACUUGUAAUAAAAACCAGCCUAGUUCCUGUGUCUGCACCGCAUGUAACUUAGGCAAGCAGCCUCGGCUGCCCUUUUCACAUUCUGUAUCCAAGACUAGUGCUCCCUUUCAGUUGGUACAUUGUGAUUUAUGGACCUCCCCCGUACUUAGCUUCUCUGGAUUUCAGUACUACCUGUCAUUCUCGAUGAUUAUUCGCAUUACUCGUGGACAUUCCCAUUGCGCAACAAGUCCAACACCGUCGACACCAUCUCGCGCUUCUUCACUUACAUGCUCACGCAAUUUCAGGUUCCCAUCCAGUGCAUGCAAUGCGACAACGGUGGUGAAUUCCUCACUUCUUCCUUGCGUGAUCUCUUCUCUCGCCACGGUACAUCCUUCCGUCUCUCCUGCCCUCACACCUCCCCCCAAAACGGAAAGGCUGAAUGCCUCAUCCGCACCACCAACGAUAUACUACGAGUCCUUCUCAUACACGCCAACCUCCCACCUCCCUUUUGGGUCGAGGCCUUACACACCGCCACCUACAUCUUAAACCGACGCCCAUCUUCAGCGAUCAACUUCGCCACACCUUUCUUCCUCCUCCUCGGACGUCAUCCCACGUACGAUCACAUGCGUGUGUUUGGAUGCCUCUGUUUCCCUAACACCAUUGCCACGAGUCCUCACAAACUCGCGCCGCGCUCAACUCGGUGUGUUUUUCUGGGCUAUCCUCUAGAGCACAAAGGAUACCGGUGCCUGGACUUGUCCGCCCGCAAAGUCAUCAUCUCUAGACGCGUCACAUUUGAUGAAACAAGAUUUCCCUACUGCCCACCCAGCACUUCUCCAGCCACAGACAAACCCGGCACUCCGGUACUCCCUGAUCUACAGGCGUCUUUCCCGCAGCAUGCCCACCUGCGAGCGUUAUCUCCUCCGGGGUUUGCGCCCGCCGCCACGCCGGCUAGCUCGCUCGCUGAGCCGGCUCGUUCAUCCACCACACGCACGCCACCCAGCUCUCCUCGUGUCUCUGCUAAUUCUCCUGCACCAUCCACUCCCUCACAUGCAUGUAGUUCCCAUGCACGUAGCAGCACCAGCCGCUCCCCUAAUGAUGUUUCCCAUGCACCUUACCAUUCCCCCCAUGCAUCCAGUCCAUGUGCGCCACGUGCCCCGCCCCUAUCACUGCGCGCCCAUGCAUGUGACCAUCACCAUGCACGUAACGUACCCCGACCCUCCGCUAUUGCUGGUUCUCCUGCACCCUCCCAUACCCCUGAUCGUCCCCAUGCAUCGAGUCCCAGCGCGCCGCAUGCCCCGCCUUUACCACCGCGCGCCAUACCGGUGGUUCCACCCACAAACGCGCAUCGCAUGCAGACCCGGAGCAAAACCGGUUUUUCUCAGCCUAAAACUCUUCAUGUCGCUGCUUCUGCCAUCAGUCCACUCCCUUCCUCCUACCGCGUUGCCCUGCGAGAUCCCAACUGGCACGCUGCAAUGCUAGAGGAAUAUAAUGCACCGAUGCAGAAUGAUACUUGGUGUCUAGUGUCUCGUCCUGCAGGUACAAAUGUUGUCACGGGCAAGUGGAUUUUUCGGCACAAGUUUCAUCCGGAUGGUACCCUCGCCCGGUACAAAGCACGGUGGGUGCUUCGAGGCUUCACCCAGCAGGCCGGCGUUGACUACGCCGAAAUAUUCAGCCCCGUCGUCAAGCCGGCCACCAUCAGGACCUUCUUGAGCAUCGCCGUCGGUAGGGCGUGGCCCAUUCACCAGUUGGACGUGAAGAAUGCGUUUCUUCACGGUCACCUCGCCAAGACCGUCUACAGUCAGCAGCCGUCCGGCUUCGUCGACGCUGCCUCGCCCUCGCAUGUGUGCCGGCUGAACCGUUCUCUAUACGGUCUCAAGCAGGCGCCUCGCGCGUGGUUCACUCGCUUCACCACCUACCUGCGAACACUUGGCUUCGUCGCGUCGCGGGCGGACUCUUCGCUCUUCGUCCUACGCCGCGGUGAUCAGCUGGCCUAUCUUCUUCUGUACGUCGACGAUAUCAUCCUCACCGCCAGCUCCACCGCCGUUCUCGACUCCGUCAUCCAGGCUCUUCAUCGCGAGUUCUCGAUGAGUGACCUCGGCACGCUCCAUCACUUUCUCGGCAUCAACGUCACCACCAUCGCGCACGGGUUGUUCCUCUCCCAGGAACAAUACGCCCUGGAGAUACUCGACCGUGCGGGCAUGCUUAACUGCAAGCCCAUCUCCACUCCGGUCGACACAUUGGCCAAGCUCUCCGCCGACACCGGGCCACUCUUCCACGACCCGUCGCUCUACCGCAGUUUGGCUGGUUCUCUACAGUACAUCACACUGACGCGCCCCGGGCUCUCCUACGCCGUCCAGCAGUGUUGCAUGUUCAUGCAUGCGCCUCGCGAUUGCCACUUCCAGCUUGUGAAGCGCAUCCUUCGCUACCUGCGCGGCACCACUCACCUUGGGUUGCAGAUUCAUCGCGGAACCGACACCGAGCUUGUCGCCUACUCCGACGCCGACUGGGCCGGUUGCCCUGACACACGGAAGUCCACCUCGGGCUACUGUGUCUUCCUCGGCCCCAACCUGCUCUNNNNNNNNNNNNNNNNNNNNNNNNNNNNNNNNNNNNNNNNNNNNNNNNNNNNNNNNNNNNNNNNNNNNNNNNNNNNNNNNNNNNNNNNNNNNNNNNNNNNGCUUUAAAUAUAUAUAUUCACUCUGUAUCAAUGACGUGGACGCGUGUUCUACAUGCCCGCCAUUUUCCCGUCAUAAAAAACCCAAGGGUUGCCCCCACAUUUAAUAAAAGGAUCUUUUAAAAGAAGAUGAAUCUUUUGACGGGGUNNNNNNNNNNNNNNNNNNNNNNNNNNNNNNNNNNNNNNNNNNNNNNNNNNNNNNNNNNNNNNNNNNNNNNNNNNNNNNNNNNNNNNNNNNNNNNNNNNNNNNNNNNNNNNNNNNNNNNNNNNNNNNNNNNNNNNNNNNNNNNNNNNNNNNNNNNNNNNNNNNNNNNNNNNNNNNNNNNNNNNNNNNNNNNNNNNNNNNNNNNNNNNNNNNNNNNNNNNNNNNNNNNNNNNNNNNNNNNNNNNNNNNCCAUGCAUGAUGCCAUGAUGCAAACUACAUGAUGAUGCAACAAAUAAAACUAACCACACGACGGAAACGGAAAAGAAGGGGGAAUCUUCUGGGGUGUCGGCAUCGGGCUGUCACAGAAACCAAAGGAGAUUGUUGCGAAUCAAGCCAGUUGGAGCAACUUUCUUGAAGAGAGCAUUGUCAACAAGCGCAACAGAGUGAAAGACGACCUUCCAUACGACCGCAUGCGCUCGUUUGAGCGGUCGUUUGGAGUGCACAUAGCUCCUACUCCUCUAUACAAGAAACUUUAGUGAAGGGACCAUGAGGAGAAGAGAACCCUAGGCGCCACCACACCAUCUAGNNNNNNNNNNNNNNNNNNNNNNNNNNNNNNNNNNNNNNNNNNNNNNNNNNNNCGCCACCACACCAUCUAGAACAUGAGAAGGGAGGAUCUGAAGAACUCGUGAGGAUCAUCGUAAUUUUUAGUCCUUUCAUUUCCAUCAUCAUCAUCACCUCCUUCAUUAUUGUAAGAGGGAUAGGAACUUGUGAUCUCUACUCCAUCUCAGCUGAGAUCAAGACUAUUUGAGCACCAUUUCAUCUCAUUGUGGAUCCCCUCAAUAUUAUUGAUAUCGUUUUCAUGGUUUUUCUCUUUGUUGUGAUUAAUUCCCCUCUUAUGAUGUGUGAGUAAUUCCCCUAGGUGUGGGAGACGUAGGUAAGUAGUAUUGNNNNNNNNNNNNNNNNNNNNNNNNNNNNNNNNNNNNNNNNNNNNNNNNNNNNNNNNNNNNNNNNNNNNNNNNNNNNNNNNNNNNNNNNNNNNNNNNNNNNCGUCAGUACACACUCCUCCACUCCCCCUGUUUGACUUUGAGCAUCACUACCUGGGUGGAUUUCUUAGGAUUCAAUCAGCUUCAAUCGAUCUAGAUUCUGUACUGUGCCUAAAUGUUCAGCUUAGUUUGCUCGAUCGAUUCUGUACUGUGACUCGCUCUUGACUUUAGCUGCUGUUCGGUCUGAAGCUGGAUUGCAGGGACAAGCUGCGGGAGCAAGAAACAGAGGAGGACGGGCUCGGAGAUGAGCAGCGCCGCCAUGGCGAUGGAGGCAACUACACCUACGGGGCUCGGAGAUGAGCAGCGCCGCCAUGGCGAUGGCGGCAACUACACCUACGGGGACCUGGGGGAGCGAUGCUUCGGCCCCGUCGGCAGGCACUUCACGGAGGCCAUCAUCGUCCUCUGCCAGACCGGCGGCACCGUGGCGUACCUCGUCUUCAUCGGCCAGAACAUCAGCUCCGUGCUCCCCGCGCUCUCGCCGGCCACAGUCGUGCUGGCGUUCCUGCUGCCGGCCGAGGUUGCGCUCUCCUUCGUCCACUCCCUCUCCGCGCUCGCGCCCUUCAGCAUACUCGCCGACGCCUGCACCGUGCUGGCCGUGGCUGCCGUGGUCAAGGAGGACGUCGAGCUCCUGGUGGAGCGCGGGCGGCCGUNNNNNNNNNNNNNNNNNNNNNNNNNNNNNNNNNNNNNNNNNNNNNNNNNNNNNNNNNNNNNNNNNNNNNNNNNNNNNNGCGCGUUCGCGGGGCUAUGGGGCGUCCCGUUCGCCUGCGGCGUCGCCGUGUUCUGCUUCGAGGGGUUCUGCCUCACGCUGGCGCUGGAGGCGUCCAUGUCGAACAGAGCCAAGUUCAGGUCGGUGCUCCUCCAAGCCAUCGCCGGGGUCACGGUUGUGUACGUCGGCUUCGGCGUCUGCGGCUACCUGGCCUACGGCGACGCCACCCGAGACAUCGUCACCCUCAACCUCCCGAACAACUGGUCCACCGCCGCCGUCAAGGUGGUGCUGUGCGUCGCGCUGGCGCUCACGUUUGCGGUGAUGAUGCACCCGAUCCACGAGAUCGUGGAGUCGCGGCUGCUGGCGCCGNNNNNNNNNNNNNNNNNNNNNNNNNNNNNNNNNNNNNNNNNNNNNNNNNNNNNNNNNNNNNNNNNNNNNNNNNNNNNNNNNNNNNNNNNNNNNNNNNNNNGUUGUAGUUAUUUCUGUUAACUAUACCUUUGAUUUAACCCUUAACUAGCAAUUGCACUCAAUGUUUAAUUGAAUGGUUAAUUUAACUGUUAGCUGAAGUACAUAUUUAACUGUUAUCUAAACCUUCCAGUUAAUUGUUAUGUGAAUCUUUAAUUUAACUAUUAAGUUUGAAAAGAACAAAAUAUUUAUGUGAAUAUUUAAUGCAGGGAGAUGGUAAUUAUGGAGUAGUGGAAUGGCUAGAUGUAGACUCGCCACAUCAUCUGUAGAAUGCUCUUCACAAACUUUGGCUUAUGUAUGAGGAUAGCCAUCAUUUUCAUAGGAUUGCAUGCGUGGAACAUUCAGCUACUAUCCACAAUCUGACAGAACAGAAAAAUGAGUUGUAGGUGACUUAUGAGAAUCUUGUUGAAGAUGUGAACAACAUAAUGGAUUUCCAGGAUAACCUUCCACAGCCACAUACCAACAUUGGUGAGGAUAACAAUAGUAUCCAUGUGGAUAAGAGCAAUGGAGUAUAUCUAAAUGAACAACUGGUUGUAAAGGAUGCUGAGCUCACUAAAUUGAAGGAUGUUAUUGNNNNNNNNNNNNNNNNNNNNNNNNNNNNNNNNNNNNNNNNNNNNNNNNNNNNNNNNNNNNNNNNNNNNNNNNNNNNNNNNNNNNNNNNNNNNNNNNNNNNNNNNNNNNNNNNNNNNNNNNNNNNNNNNNNNNNNNNNNNNNNNNNNNNNNNNNNNNNNNNNNNNNNNNNNNNNNNNNNNNNNNNNNNNNNNNNNNNNNNNNNNNNNNNNNNNNNNNNNNNNNNNNNNUGUGCAUUGAGAACAGUAACCUGGAUUGCAUCAUUGCUCAUCUAAUGAAAUAUAAUCAGAAGUUGGCCAGUGAUAAUAAUUCUUUUGAGUGCUCCAUUGCAUACAUGAAGAAAGUUGGUGAAAACCACAAGAGAAAGCUCAANNNNNNNNNNNNNNNNNNNNNNNNNNNNNNNNNNNNNNNNNNNNNNNNNNNNNNNNNNNNNNNNNNNNNNNNNNNNNNNNNNNNNNNNNNNNNNNNNNNNNNNNNNNNNNNNNNNNNNNNNNNNNNNNNNNNNNNNNNNNNNNNNNNNNNNNNNNNNNNNNNNNNNNNNNNNNNNNNNNNNNNNNNNNNNNNNNNNNNNNNNNNNNNNNNNNNNNNNNNNNNNNNNNNNNNNNNNNNNNNNNNNNNNNNNNNNNNNNNNNNNNNNNNNNNNNNNNNNNNNAAGUUGUGUCAAUUAUGGUCACUUUGAUGUGUUACUUCAUUUAUGUUAUGGUUUGUGAUUAAUGCCAUGUGAGGAAUGAGUAAUUAUAACAACCAUCAUCAUUAAUAAUAGAUAAGCAAUCAUUAGGCUGUCCGUAAUGGUAGUAUCAUAGGUAGUAUCAUGCAUGCCAACUAGGCAAUUUUGAUGAGGUGGCAUAGAAUUAAAUGAAGAAAGAGAGGGUUGAGUAUCAUAUCAUGAUACUGUAUCAUAUUAAAUGAUGUGCUACUAUGUGUCUUGCAUGACAAUAAAUGAACUACCUUAUCAUACUAACAUAUGAUACUAUGCAUUACGGAUGUGGUAUCAUAUGCUAGUAUCAUAUGCAUGAUACUAGUAUAUGAUACUACCCAUUACAACCAGCCUUAUAGCAACCAUCAUCAUCAACAAUAGAGAAGGAAUCAUCAUAACAACCAGCACUCAUGCAUCAAAGUCUUCNNNNNNNNNNNNNNNNNNNNNNNNNNNNNNNNNNNNNNNNNNNNNNNNNNNNNNNNNNNNNNNNNNNNNNNNNNNNNNNNNNNNNNNNNNNNNNNNNNNNGUCACAUCAGUACAUUACAUAAUCAUCAAGAGUAAGAGCAGGGUCUGACUACGGACGAAAACAAACGAGAAAAAUAAGAACGACGUCCAUCCUUGCUAUCCCAGGCUGCCGGCCUGGAACCCAUCCUAGAUCGAUGAAGAAGAAGAAGAAGAAGCAACUCCAAAUGAACAAUCAACGCGCUCGCGUCAAGUAACCUUUACCUGUACCUGCAACUGGUGUUGUAGUAAUCUGUGAGCCACAGGGGACUCAGCAAUCUCAUUUCCAAAGGUAUCAAGACUAGCAAAGCUUAAUGGGUGAGGUAUGGUUAAGUGGUGAGGUUGCAGCAACGGCUAAGCAUAUAUUUGGUGGAUAAACUUACGAGUACAAGAAGUAAAAGGGAGAAGAUCUACGCAUAGCGGACGUGAACUACAGAUGAUCAAAUGAAUGAUCCUGAACACCUACCUACGUCAGACAUAACCCCACCGUGUCCUUGAUCGGAGAAGGAACUCACGAAAGAGACAGACACGGUUACGCACACAGUUGGCAUAUUUUAAUUAAGCUAACUUCAAGUUAUCUAGAACCAGUGUUAAACAAAGUUUCCACGUUGCCACAUAACCACGGGCACGGCUUUCCGAAAAGAUUUAACCCUGCAGGGGUGCUCCAACUAGUCCAUCACAAAUUACCACAAGCCGCAUAGAAAUCCUCAAUCACGAAGCUCGCGAUCUCGUCGGAUUCCCUAGUGGAAAACCUCAACUCUGAGAUUACCCAAAGCAUCACCGGAAUCCCGAUGCACAAGAUACCUCGUCAAAGGUAAAACUAAUCUCUGUCAAAGGUAAAACCAAUCCAGCAAGGCCGCCCGACGUGUCGACGAGCCCGAUAGGAGUCGCGUACCUCGUUCUCAGGACACGGCGGAUGAGCUAGACGUCGGGCGUAUCUCGUUCUUAGGACACGACGGAUAAGCGAAGUGUACGAGUGCCAAACCUCGAGUUUCCUCGCGGUGGCCCCGCACAGUGCUCUGUUUUGGACCAGCACCAUCAGCACUGGCCCUCCCUAUAUUAUGUAGAAUUACUCCUCGGGUAGCGCUAACUCCCUAUGCAUUUCAAUAUUAUCAAAUUAUUAUGUUGGGCAAAUAGUACCAAUGUUGGGCCUUGCCAGACCAGCUUUAAUCUAAAACGAAUUAUCAAGGGGGUCCCCAUAACAACCCCGAUCGUGUUAGGAGCGCUCAUUUAUGGAACAUAACACCGGUAGCCGAAACUAAGGGGGCAAAGGUGGAACAAAACGCCAGGAUAGAAAGGCCGAGCCUUCCACCUUUUACCAAGUAUAUAGGUGCAUUAAAUUAAAUAGCAUUUAAUAUGGUGAUAUAACAAGGAACCCAUGCUUUCACAUGGAAGCAUCUGCACCUGCAACUAGCAACGCUAACAACAGGGUUAAGCAAGCGGUAACAUAGCCAAUCAGUGGUUUGCUAGGUCGUACAGGUUGNNNNNNNNNNNNNNNNNNNNNNNNNNNNNNNNNNNNNNNNNNNNNNNNNNNNNNNNNNNNNNNNNNNNNNNNNNNNNNNNNNNNNNNNNNNNNNNNNNNNCCUCGUCUUCUCAUCCACCAAGUUGGUAGCUUUUGCAAAUGGCGUGGAAGAGUGCAAGUUUGAUGUGGUCGUCGUUCUACAGGGGCGGUCGUUUGGUGGUUCCAGGUGCUGACGUUGAGGCAAGAACGAUAGUUGUGUAAUGGAGUUCUGUCCUUUGCCACCAUCCUCGUCGCAGCGAUGCUCGUCAUCAUUGUGGGAUCCAGUGCAUCGGCUUCGAGAUAUAUUCUCUUUCCGACGAUCAUGACCUGGCUUCAAGGGUAUAGGUCAUCCAGGGGCCUAGGUACAGUGACUUCCUAAUUGCCACAUCAUCUAGGUAGUGACAGACCCAUGCAGCGAUGGCUAUUGAGUAGCGGCAGCAACACGCCAAGGCCUCCUCAGGAUGAUGGAAUUGGCCAGUUCCCAAGGGACCUUGGUGUAAUUUCUAUUAGUUUACAGGAUUUCUGCUUUUGCUGAAAGUUUACGAGUUUGAGCAAUUGUUUCACAAAACAAAAAUGUAACAAAUAGAUAGUGCAUAAGCAUUCUUAACAGAAAACCCAUACUCUAUGUAGAUCCAGAGUGGUUCCCAAAUGUGAUGCUCUCCCAUGACCCCUCCCGUGUCGAUCCCCAAGGCAACACCUCGCACCGCCAGCCUCCUCCCCCAUCCCUGGCUCCCCUCGUCGACACUACCGUCGGCCCUCACCAGGACGGUGGGACAAGCUACCAAAGGUAGUCUGGGGCGGAUGGUAGGUGACUAUGGGAGCUGUUGGGGUGAUGACGGUGNNNNNNNNNNGGACGCGCGGGAACUAGAGCGACGCCCAGCGUUGGUAUACUCGCGGCAAUCUUUCAGGUGGCGAGGAUCUGGCAGAGCAUGCAUUGUUCGUUAGCUUCAGGGGUUCCUCACAAAAAAUCUAGGUCGUGGAUGAACCUCUCCGAUGCCUUUGGUUGCUUCCGGGAGAUUGAGACGCAAGAUGCCGCGGCCCUAGUGGUCGGGGUCAUGUCACGAGCCAAUGCGGUGAGGCACAGGCGUGCGGCUCGACAUCUGUGCAUCGACAUUGCAGCUACGACGGGUUCGAAUCGGGCAUCUGGGUCUGAUCUAGGCGUUCUGGGUAUGUGCGAGUGUGCGACGUCGUGGUCGCCUUCUCUUCGCUAAUCUUAUCGGCGGCAUGGGAACUGCUAAAUUUGCUUUUAUAAGGAGGCGAUCCUAUGGUUCUUCUCGCGUCAAGGCGGUGACCUGCUUGAUGCAUGUUCUCCUUGAUCUCUCCCGUUGAUGAGUUCUAGAAGGUUGUGCCUCUAGAUUGUUGGGUCGGAUCGGAUGGGUGGCGCGGUGGAGGGGGGGGNNNNNNNNNNNNNNNNNNNNNNNNNNNNNNNNNNNNNNNNNNNNNNNNNNNNNNNNNNNNNNNNNNNNNNNNNNNNNNNNNNNNNNNNNNNNNNNNNNNNCAAAAUGCAAACCUGUCCAACAAUACCUUCGCAGGUUUAACGAGGAGCGACGGAAGGCUAUUGGAGAGGAAGUCGCCCAUCUUUUAGCCGCCGGGUUCAUCGUGGAACUCUUUCACCCCAAAUGGCUAGCUAACCCGGUGUUAGUACUCAAGAAGAAUGGCACGUUCCGUAUGUGUAUUGACUAUAUGGACCUCAACAGAGCUUGCCCCAAGGAUCCUUUCGCUCUUCCUCGCAUCGACCAAAUCAUUGACUCAGUGGCGGGAUGCGAACGAUUGUGCNNNNNNNNNNNNNNNNNNNNNNNNNNNNNNNNNNNNNNNNNNNNNNNNNNNNNNNNNNNNNNNNNNNNNNNACGCUUAUUCAGGUUAUCAUCAGAUCAAAAUGGCUGUGGAAGAUCAAGAGAAGGCUGCUUUCAUAACCCCCUUCGGGGCCUUUUGCUAUGUGUCCAUGCCGUUCGGGCUCAAGAGCGCAUGAGCGACUUACCAACGUUGCAUCCAGAAUUGUCUUCAUAGCCAAAUUGGCCGCAACGUCCAUGCUUAUGUUGACGACAUUGUGAUCAAGACCCGCCGGGAGGAGACACUUCUAGAAGACCUUAAGGAAACCUUUGAUAAUUUACGGGUAUAUCAGAUGAAGCUAAAUCCUACCAAGUGCGUUUUCGGCGUACCUGCGGGAAAACUAUUGGGUUUCUUGGNNNNNNNNNNNNNNNNNNNNNNNNNNNNNNNNNNNNNNNNNNNNNNNNNNNNNNNNNNNNNNNNNNNNNNNNNNNNNNNNNNNNNNNNNNNNNNNNNNNNGCUGGCAGCGACAAUCCUCUCCAAACAUAUAGCAUCCCCUUCUCCAUCAAUUCCCAAGUCUGGGCCUUCCAAGGCGAAACUUUCUGACUAUGGAGGUCUGGAGUUUAAAUAACUCUAUUCUGGCUUCGCAAGUCGCCUGGAAGCGAGUUACGAGAUGGAAAAGAAUCUGCUGAAGAUGUUAAAUAACACGCAUGAGGUAAAAUUUAUACUCUAUAUUACCCCCAGUAACCCCCAAGGGCCGGGUCAUCAGUAAAAUGAUGAGCCGGGUCUUUUAAAAGCNNNNNNNNNNNNNNNNNNNNNNNNNNNNNNNNNNNNNNNNNNNNNNNNNNNNNNNNNNNNNNNNNNNNNNNNNNNNNNNNNNNNNNNNNNNNNNNNNNNNNAGUAACCCCCAAGGGCCGGGUCAUCAGUAAAAUGAUGAGUCGGGUCUUGAUUUCUGUAUAAUUUCCCUUGAGAAAUUAUACAUUAGCCCCCAAGUGUCAGGGGUAUUGCCUUGCAAUAAUUCUGAGACUUGUCUUUGUUUUAAAUUUUGAACAGGAAAGCCUUGCCCAAACCGAACUGGCCCUGGGCGACUUAAGGAAAAACUUGGCUGACCAACAAGAUGCCCGAACUCAGUCGGAAGACAAAUAUAAGUUGGCUCUGGUNNNNNNNNNNNNNNNNNNNNNNNNNNNNNNNNNNNNNNNNNNNNNNNNNNNNNNNNNNNNNNNNNNNNNNNNNNNNNNNNNNNNNNNNNNNNNNNNNNNNGAGAACUAUGUAGACAUGACCCGAGAGACUCCUCGGUCAAUAUCCAAUAGCGGGACCUGGAUGCCCAUAUUGGAUCCUACAUAUUCUACGAAGAUCUUAUCGUUUGAACCUCAGUGCCAAGGAUUCAUAUAAUCCCGUAUGUCAUUCCCUUUGUCCUUCGGUAUGUUACUUGCCCGAGAUUCGAUCGUCAGUAUCCGCAUACCUAUUUCAAUCUCGUUUACCGGCAAGUCUCUAUACUCGUUCCGUAAUACGAGAUCCCGCAACUUACACUAAGUCACAUCGCUUGCAAGGCUUGUGUGUGAUGUUGUAUUACCGAGUGGGCCCCGAGAUACCUCUCCGUCACACGGAGUGACAAAUCCCAGUCUCGAUCCAUACUAACUCAACUAACACCUUCGGAGAUACCUGUAGAGCAUCUUUAUAGUCACCCAGUUAGGUUGCGACGUUUGAUACACACGAAGCAUUCCUCCGGUGUCAGUGAGUUAUAUGAUCUCAUGGUCAUAGGAACAAAUACUUGACACGCAGAAAACAGUAGCAACAAAAUGACACGAUCAACAUGCUACGUCUAUUAGUUUGGGUCUAGUCCAUCACAUGAUUCUCCUAAUGAUGUGAUCCCGUUAUCAAGUAACAACACUUGCCUAUGGCCAGGAAACCUUGGCCAUGUUUGAUCAACGAGCUAGUCAACUAGAGGCUUACUAGGGACAGUGUUUUGUCUAUGUAUCCACACAAGUAGUGUGUUUCCAAUCAAUACAAUUAUAGCAUGGAUAAUAAACGAUUAUCAUGAACAAAGAAAUAUAAUAAUAACUAAUUUAUUAUUGCCUCUAGGGCAUAUUUCCAACAGAUAGGGGCGGCGACGCGACGGUGGUGGCGGCGGCCGUUACAGAGAGAGGGGCGCACGGGGUGGGGAGAGAGAGAGAGGGGCGCGCGGGGUGACCGUUACAGAGAGAGAGGGGCGGGUGGGGGGAAGGAGCCAUUAACGGUGUUAGAGCAUUGCCGUCUGCCAGCGGACGGCAAAGAGUCUAGACUCUUUGCUGUCUGCCUCCGGACUCUUUGCCGUCCGCUAGCAGACGACAAAGGUCCGACUCCUGUUUGACCUAGCCACCCCGCGAUCAGGUGGGCCUAUCUAUAUCUUUGCCGUCUGCCUCUGGACUCUUUGCCGUCCGCUAGCAGACGGCAAAGAUGUGACAGAUGGCAAAAAGACUGUAUGCCAUCAGCCUGUGCUUUGCCGUCUGUUUUGCUGAAGCUGACGGCAAAGACACUCUUUGCCAUCAGCUAGCAGACGGCAAAGACUAGGCAGAUGGCAAAAAACUGUUUUCCAAUAUUGAACAGUGUGGGAUGUCGUGCUAAAAUAAAGAACAUAGAUAUAUGUGGGCAUUGAGCCACAUUUUUAUUAGAUUAGGGCAUUAUAUUUUUAUAUUUCGUUGCAACGCACGGGCUCUUUUGCUAGUUACUAGUAGGUGUUGAUCGUUUGUUUAUUUUUUUUACAUCUGUGCCAUUGGUUUCUUAACUGUACUCAUUCAUUCCUAUGCUUUUAACGUUUGCUCAGUUUUUUCUUACUUUAUUGUCUGAAACCCAUAAAAAUGGUCACAAUGAAGGAUGUCGACGGGUCCAUGGUUUGACCGUUAACUGCUGAUGAGUGGGUCGCGUUGGACUAUGUCGUCCGUUGGACCUGACGAGUGAGUCCGGCUCACCCCAUUUUCGGCCACACAGACGCUGAACGGACGUACACGCACUUUCUCCUUGUUCGUCUUGGGACGCGUGGCGGCCUUUCAACUACCCCCACAGCCAAAGUAAAUGCGCACGUGUGGCGGGUCCCGGUCGUCAGCCAUCAAUGUUCGGGUCGUCAUCCUUCUUUAAGUGGAAUCUCGUGGGCCGGCCAGUCCACCCUUGCAAAGUCAAGUUUGUCCCUUGAUGACCCACAAGUAUAGGUUGUCAAUCAUAGUCCUUUUAAUAAGUAAGAGUUUCAAACCCAACGAGGAGCAGAAAAAAAUGACAAGCGAUUUUCAGUAAGGUAAUUUAUACAAACACUGAAAUAGGGGUAACAAGUUGUUUGAUAUCAAGAUAAUUGUAACAAAAACAAGUAGCCAUAGUAACAACAGGUGGAGCAAGGUAGCCCAAUACUUUUGUGGCAAAGGACAAGCCAGAACAUUUUUUUAUAAUAGGCAAAGCGUUCUUGAGGGCACACGGGAUUUUCAUCUAGUCACUUUCAUCAUAUUGGGUUAAUUCACGUUUGGUAUUUUGAUAAUUUAAUAUGUGGCUGGAACGGUGCUUGGGUGUUGUUCUUACUUCAACAACCUCCCACUUAUGAUUAACCCUCCCGCAAGCAUCCGUAACUAUGAGAAAAGUAUUAAGGAUAAAUUCGAAUCAUAGCAUUAAACAUAGGGAUCCAAAUCAGCCCCUUACGGAGUAGUCAAUAGACGGGGGUUUAAGUUUUUGUCACUCUCGCAACCCUCCCUCUAAUUACUACUCCACAAUACAUUUCCAUAGGCCCAAAGAUGGUGAAUUAUUAUAUAGUCGAGGUUCACAUAACACCCAUAAGGGAAUCACAAUAUUCAUAUCAUCGAAAUAUCAAAUGAAUAUCAACUUCACAUGACUGCUUACAACAUGAUCCCUCUCCUGGCCUCGAGAACAAGAGUAACUACUCACAAGUGAUAAACAUAUUCAUGAUCAAAGAGGUAUUAAAUAGCAUAAUGGAUCUGAACAUAUGGUCUUCCACCAAAUAAACCAUAAAGCAUCAACUACAAGAUGUAAUCAACACUACUAGUCACAGCCCAGGUACCAAUCCGAGGUUCCGGUAUAAGAUUGAGUACAAGAGAUAAACCAGGGUUUUGAGAGGAGAUGGUGCUGAUGAAGAUGUUGAUGAAGAUUGGCCUAUCCAAGAUGAGAGGGUUGCUGGUGAUGAUGAUGGCCUCGACUUCCUCCUCCGGGAGGUAAGUUUCUCCGACGGAAUCGUUCCGCCGGAGGGCAAAAGUGCUCCUAUCAAGGUUUUUGCCCCGAGAUGGCGGUGCUUCUUCUCGAAAGUCCUCCUCUUUUUUUUCAGGGUAAAAGAGAAUUUAUACAAGAAGAUGAUCGGCAGAGGUGGGCCAGGGGACCCACUAGACAUCAGGGCGCGCCAGGGGGCUUGGCGCGCCCUGGUAUCUAGUGGGCCCCUGGUAGCCCCCCUCCGGUACUUAUUCCCUCCAAUAUUUUUUAUUUAUUAUAAAAUAAAUCUCUGUACAUUUUCAGCUCAAUUGGAGAUGUGCAGAAUAGGUAUAUCUGACGUAGCUUUUUCAUGUCCGGAAUUCCAUCUGCGGGCAUUCUAUCACUUGAUGUAAACCUUGCAUAUUAUGAAAAAAAAGGCAUUAGAAUUACUCCACCAAGUGGCAAAAUGCAUAAAAACACUAUAAGUAACUAUAACAAAACAUAGUGCAAAAUGAACGUAUUGCCCUCCACCCCCGGCAGGAUCUACAAACCCUAGCCCGCUCGCGAAAAACCCUCGCUAUGUUCACGGAGAUUGAUGAGGUGGUGGAGGAAUUUUAAGACGGUGCCGAUGCCUUCACCCGCUCCGCGUCGGCACGCCUCGCUGCCAUGACGACGAGACGGCCGACACGUCCUUGGGCGACAUCGAUAAUGUGGAGUGAUAGAAUAUGGGAGGCUGCGAUCGCUCCAAAUUCACGAAAGCCACCGCCACGUCUCGGCGGGCCUCCCAGUCGGUAAGCUUGCGUGCUUUACAAAGGCGGGAGCCACUAUUCUUCCCCUUGCGCUGAAGCUAAACUUGGUGGACUCAUCGCCGGCCGGUAAGCUUGCCCGCUUUGCGGAGGCGAAGGGAUACUCUUCCCUUCCCGCUGAAGCUUUGGUUCUCUGGCCUCAUGGCCCACCGACGAGCUUACAACUAGACAUGAAAACAUAUGUUGUGGAAAAUGGAUGUCGGCGACCAUUUAAACUAGGUUAGAAUAGGAUUUAACUAAAUAUAUCAAAAUGUAAUAAAUGCGUUCUAGUUUAGAUGAAAAUCAUCCGGUCUCAUGUAAAAAAUCAUCUAAUUUUGAAUUGAAAGUUGUCUAUUUCUUUUAAAUUUGCAUCAAAUAUGACCGAGCGUUUGCGGUCAUCUUUGAAUGGUCGACUUUCUUAUUAAUAUCGUAACACCGUAUGAAUACGCGAAUCGUUCCGCUGACGAAUGCAGUGUCUAUUUUAGGGGUCGUGUUGAAGAUGCCAUAAUUCCCUAUUGGAGAGAGGAUCCAUCAGAAAAGAGGCAGCAUCACUAUGUGUGUUACGACAGGUGACCUAACCCUUUUUUUUCUUUUAUACCCGAUGGCGUACGUACGUACGUACGUGCUAGAUUACUCACCACAAAAGUGUCAACAGUGAAAGAUUUGGCCCGAUCGAAGAUCUCUCCACAUACUAGAACGUUCCAGACCCCUCCUGCCUGCAUGAUCACGCACGCAGACGCCGCCGUCCAACUCUAGAGUCUGGAUUAUACUAUGAUUAUGAUCGAUUCCGGCCACCGUCCUCGCGGGCGAGCAGCGGCGCGCCGCCACGCGCCUUGUGGCGUGACAGCUGACGCUACUCCGCACCACACGUUCGCCGCCGGUCGACCGCGCUACAUACGAUACGACGGAAAAAUAUCCAGCCGAGCCAGCUGCCAAAACAAUAUAAUAUCCGAGCUCGAUCCAAUCCGUCACGUCGCCCACGUCGCGGUGGCUUCCGGCGAUUGGUCCGCAGACGCGGGAGGUCGGCCGGCCCCCACCAACUUGGCACACACGUACGUAAGCUCCCUCCGCAGCAGCACGCACACGCCAGACGCCUCCUGCCCACACAACUCCUCGACUGGUUCUCCGUAUAUAUAUAUAAUUGCGGAGUUCUCACAGACACAGCAGAGCAUCGAUUGGAAUUCGAGAUCAUCAAGACAAGCAGCGAAUCCAUCGCCAUGGGAGCGGGGAUGAAGCGCGCGAGGGAGGAGGAGCCAUUUGUGUCGCUGGCGCUGUCGCUCAGCACAGACUCCUCGACGUCCACCACGACGUCGGACAACUCCUCGACUGGUUCGCCGGCGACGGCGCCCAGGAAGAGGACGCGGCGGGGGAGAGCUGUGGCCACGUCAGGGGAGGGAGAGUUCGUCUGCAAGACUUGCGGCCGGGCCUUCGAGACGUUCCAGGCGCUCGGCGGGCACCGGACCAGCCACCUCCGCGGCAACCAUGGGCUGGAGCUCGGCGUCGGCGUCGCCAGGGCCAUCAAGAACAACAAGAGGAGGAUGCCGCAGGAGGACGAGCAGCAUCACGAUUGUCACAUCUGUGGGCUGGGCUUCGAGACGGGCCAGGCGCUCGGCGGCCACAUGCGCCGGCACCGCGAGGAGAUGGCGCUCACCGCCUCCAUCGACCGGUGGGUCGCGCUGUCGGAUCAGGUGGCGGCCGCCGACCGGCUGCCCGUCUUGCUGGAGCUGUUCGUCUAGCCUACUAGCUGGGUCUGUCAGUUUCUUAGCCAAGGACUUUACAUAUUAUCUCUUUAGAAUGAGAAAGGUUAAUUGAUCGACCUUGUAAUUACGAACUUACAGUUAUACUAGUACCAUAGCAUAGACUACUUCUUAGCUCUGGUUAGUUUUGUUAACUGAUAAACCACUUGGGAUUUAUACAUGCACUUGUACUUCCUCCGUUCUUAAAUAUAUACGUCUUUUUAGAGAUCUCGCUAAAGGAAUAUAUAGAAGCAAAACGAGUGAAUUUAUACUUGAAAACAUAUGUAUAUACAUCUGUAUAUAGUUUUUUAGUAAAUCUUUUAAAAAAAUUAUAUUUAGAAACGAAGAGAGUACAUGGUUAAGACAGGUUCUUUUGUUAUAGAUGCGAUUGACAGAAUCUUGUCCUCAGAUUGCUGUUCUAUUAAUAUGAUGCUAUUCACUCCAGUUUGCACAUAUUUUUUGCGAGGCCAUUUUGUAUAUAUGAUCAAGAGGAAAACGGAAUUCGGAGCCUAAAGUUGUAAAAUUUGGCAAUAUAAAGCUACAUUCAAAAUUUAAUAUUGUCGAAACGUUGACAGUAUAGUGGUGUCCGGAACAUUAGGCGGUUUGAGAUUUAGAAACGGCGAUCCACUACGUGUCUUUUAUCCAUGAUUUGACGGCUCCAAAACAACUGCAAUAAAGUCUACAUCCUGACAAAGUGAUACAUCGAGAGAUACGAGCACAGUAUUGACAAGUGUCGAGAGAUAUGAGCACACUAUUGACAAGUCUCGACAUUUGGGUGGGAGUGGAGUGGCUACUGUUUGGUUUGAGAUGUGCAUACGAACGGAUGUGUGUGGGAUGAGGGUGGACCAACUUUGGUUGGAUCUAAACGAGGGACGCGCCCGGAACCGUCCUCCCUCCCUGUAUCCGCCUUAGAUAUGGACAAAUAUGGUCUGGAUGUGAAUAGUGCCGGUCCACCCAAACGUAUGAUACUCGUAUGAGGGGCCGACAGGAUCGCGAUUGUUCGGCCGGUUACCGACCAAAAAGUCUACUCGGAUGUACAAGGGGCAUUGGAGGAGUCCGUUGUACAUGCCCUAAACUGGUAUCCCUAGAAUUUUUUACAUUCCCUUGAACUCUCUCAAGCUUGUAAACCUUUUGUUGGUUCUGCUUUAUGCAGUGGGUGUUUCUUUUGUCUAAGAAAAACGACCUAGUGACCCUCUUGAUAGGUGCUCCAUGGGACUUUAGAGCAUCUUCAUGUGAUUCAAACACCUUCUACAUGCUAGGACAGAUGGUUCGGUACGUGAUCGAUCAUAAAAUCUUGAUUUACAUGUGCUCCUCAAACAGGUCGAUAUACAUCCCGUGUAUCAUGUCCAUAUCAAGGGAGCUAUGAGAAGGCGCCAACGUGGCCGUUGACAUGCGCGACCCAAAGGCUUACGUCACAAACUAUACUACACUGACGUCACGUUGUAGCCGUACCCAACAACAAUUGACUUGGAUCGGCGUCGUCGCUAUAGAUCUCUCAAGAGUCUCCGCAUGGUCAAGGCUUGCCUUGCAAAAGAACUACAAUUCAGUUCGUAUCGAUGUUUGCUAAUCAGAAUUCUCAGCAUGCCGGAGUAAAACAUACACACGCACACGCGUAUAUAUGAGUGUAACGCAAACUAACGAUCAAUCGAGCGUGUGGCGCAUGUAACUCCAUGCACGGAGAAGUUCCAUAGCCGUGGUGCAACAAUUUUGGUGAACGCGGCAAGAUAAUUUUGGACUAGAGAACAGGAGCAAGAGCCGAAAUUGAAAAUUUGGAACCGUGUCGGCAAAGGAAAAAAGAAUUGUGGCAUCGUCCUUCACGGCUUCUUGUGUUGGAAAUAUGCCCUAGAGGCAAUAAUAAAAUGGUUAUUAUCAUAUUUCCUUGUUCACGAUAAUCGUCUAUUGUUCAUGUUAUAAUUGUAUUAACAGGAAACAGUAAUACAUGUGUGAAUAAUAGAUCACAAUGUUUCCCUAGCAAGCCUCUAGUUGGCAAGCUCGUUAGUCAAUAGAUGAUCAUGGUUUCCUGAUCAUGGUCAUUAGAUGUCAUUGAUAACGGGAGCACAUCAUUGGGAGAAUGAUGUGAUGGACAAGACCCAAUCCUAAGCAUAGCACUAGAUUGUAUUGUUCGUAUGCUAAAGCUUUUCUUAUGUUAAGUGUCUUUUCCUUCGACCGUGAGAUUAGGCAACUCCCGAAUACCGUAGGAGUGCUUUGGGUGUAUCAAACGUCACAACGUAAUUGGGUGACUAUAAAGGUGCACUACGGGUACCUCUAAAAAUGUCUGUUGGGUUGGCACGAAUCGAGCUCAGGAUUUGUCACUCCGUGUGACGGAGAGGUAUCUCUGGGCCCACUCGGUAGAACAUCAUCAUGAGCUCAAUGUGACUAAGGAGUUAGUCACACGAUGACGUGCUACGGAACGAGUAAAGAGAAUUACCGGUAACGAGAUUGAACAAGGUAUAGGUAUACCGACGACCGAAUCUCGGGCAAGUUCUAUACAGACGGGCAAAGGGAAUUGUACACGGGAUUGAUUGAAUCCUUGACAUCGUGGUUCAUCCGAUGAGAUCAUCGUGGAGCAAGUGGGGGCCACCAUGGGUAUCCAGACCCCGCUGAUGGUUAUUGGCCGGAGAGGUAUCUCGGUCAUGUCUGCCUGUCUCCCGAACCCAUAGGGUCUACACACUUAAGGUUCGAUGACGCUAGGGUUAUAGGGAAUUGUUAUACAAGGUUACCGAAAGUUGUUGGAAUUAUGCCCUAGAGGCAAUAAUAAAUAUAGUUAUUAUUAUAAUUCCUGUAUCAAGAUAAUUGUUUAUUAUCCAUGCUAUAAUUGUAUUGAAUGAAGAGUUAUAUACAUGUGUGGAUACAUAGACAAAACACUGUCCCUAGCAAGCCUCUAGUUGGCUAGCCAGUUGAUCAAAGAUAGUCAGGGUCUUCUGACUAUGUACAAGGUGUUGUUGCUUGAUAACUGGAUCACGUCAUUAGGAGAAUCACGUGAUGGACUAGACCCAAACUAAUAGACGUAGCAUGUUGAUCGUGUCAUUUUGUUGCUACUGUUUUUUGCGUGUCAAGUAUUUGUUCCUAUGACCAUGAGAUCAUAUAACUCACUGACACCGGAGGAAUGCUUUGUGUGUAUCAAACGUCCCAACGUAACUGGGUGACUAUAAAGAUGCUAUACAGGUAUCUCCGAAAGUGUUCGUUGAGUUAGUAUGGAUCGAGACUGGGAUUUGUCACUCCGUGUGACGGAGAGGUAUCUCGGGGCCCACUCGGUAAUACAACAUCACACACAAGCCUUGCAAGCGAUGUGACUUAGUGUAAGUUGCGGGAUCUCGUAUUACGGAACGAGUAUAGAGACUUGCCGGUAAACGAGAUUGAAAUAGGUAUGCGGAUACUGACGAUCGAAUCUCGGGCAAGUAACAUACCGAAGGACAAAGGGAAUGACAUACGGGAUUAUAUGAAUCCCUGGCACUGAGGUUCAAACGAUAAGAUCUUCGUAGAAUAUGUGGGAUCCAAUAUGGGCAUCCAGGUCCCGCUAUUGGAUAUUGACCGAGGAGUCACUCGGGUCAUGUCUACAUAGUUCUCGAACCCGCAGGGUCUGCACACUUAAGGUUCGACGUUGUUUUAUGCGUAUUUGAGUUAUAUGGUUGGUUACCGAAUGUUGUUCGGAGUCCCGGAUGAGAUCACGUACGUCACGAGGGUUUCCGGAAUAGUCCGGAAACGAAGAUUGAUAUAUAGGAUGACCUCAUUUGAUUACCGGAAGGUUUUCGGAGUUACCGGGAAUGACGAAUGGGUUCUGGGAGUUCACCCCAGGGGGGGGGGUAACCCACCCCGGGGAAGCCCAUAGGCCUUGAGGGUGGCACACCAGCCCUUAGUGGGCUGGUGGGACAGCCCAAAAGGGCUCUAUGCGCCAAGAAGAGAAAAUCAAGAGAAAAGGAAAAAAAAAGGAGGAGGUGGGAAGGAAGGGGGACUCCCUCCCACCAAACCAAGUCCAACUCGGUUUGGGGGGAGUCCUCCCCCCUUGGACUCGGCCGACCCCCUCGGGNNNNNNNNNNNNNNNNNNNNNNNNNNNNNNNNNNNNNNNNNNNNNNNNNNNNNNNNNNNNNNNNNNNNNNNNNNNNNNNNNNNNNNNNNNNNNNNNNNNNGGCAGGCUCGUGUCGGCGCUUGGUCCGAUGCUCUAAUUGCGGAGGUGGCGAGUCCUGCUCUUCGUCUUCCUCCUCUUCCUCGCUGGUCUCUUCCUCCGAUUCCCCGCUGUCGGAGACAUACUCAGUGCUCUCCAUGUUGCCUUCAUGGCUGCCUUCCUCCUCCUCCUCGGCCGGGUUCUCGUUCGAGACGGGAGAAAACCAGUUGGUCCACUUCUGCAUAAUAUUCAGUCGGCAACAUCAGACGUCGCGUAGAGAUUCAAACAAACAAUAAGAUUGAGAUAGUUAAGCGCACUCGACAAGUGUUACUCACCUGAUUCGGAGGAGGAUGAUCCGCGCAGAAAGGCUUCACUCGCCGAGAUCCUUUGGGAUUCUCGCAGGGACCUGUGAUCUGGAGCACCCACGAGGUCACCUUCUCCUCAGUCACGCCCACAACGUUGGUCCGAGUGGAAUCCUCGGGCCCCGUAUAAUGCCACAUGGCGUGGUCGCGAGCCUGCUGAGGUUGGAUAAGUCGACCGAGGAAGACCUCCAGCAAGUCUAUGCCGGUGACCCCCCUCCUGACAACGUCUACGAGUGCCUCAACCAGAGGCUGGAUGUCGUUCUUCUCCGCCUUCGUGAGCGCGAGCUGCUUAGGCGGGGCGGGCCGAUCUAAGCUAAAGGGAGGCAGUCAUGUCAACGCAUUCGGACAGGCGAUAUCCUGGCAGUAGAACCACGUCGACUGCCAGUUCCUGACCGACUCACUUAACUGAAGAGCAGGAUAACUACUCCGACUCUUUUUCUGGAAACCUAAGAUGUGUCUUAUCAUCCGACUGGCUGAGUCGUUUGAUGGUUUGGGAUCUAGCAGAAAAUAUGUGCUUGAACAGCCCCCACUGGGGAGGGCAGCCAAUGAAACACUCGCACAGAACUAUAAAAGCAGAGAGAUGGGCAAUGGCGUUCGGCAGAAAGUGGUGAAGUUGUGCCCCGAAGUGAUUCAUGAUGCCCUUGAAGAAAGGAUGCGGGGGCAAGGAAAAACCUCGAUAGACGUGGCUGAGCAGCAAGACGCGCUCCCCCUCCCGGGGUGCCGGCUCGACCUCGUUCUCCGCCGGCAGCCUCCAAGACUUGUGCAUGAUCAUCCCAUGCUCCACCAGCUGCAGCAGAUCCCCCUUUAUCACAGUGGAGGGGAGGAAGUCGCCUUGAAUCCACCCCGCCGGCAGCGGCCGCUGCCGCCGCUGAGAAGGAGCCGCCGCCUUCCCCUUCUUCUUCCUCGCCUCCAUCUUGCUGGUCUGACCCUUGUUCAUGGCGGCAGCUGCGAGCCCUCGGGAGGAAGGAGGAGGGAGGAGUGUAGAGGCGCUGGAGGUGGCGAGAAGGACGGAGCGGGCGAAGGCAAGAGAUUCGGCGAGCGUAACGAAGAACCCCCGCCGCCAAGAUUUAAGUAAGGUUCCGACUGGGUCGCUGGCAGGUGGCCCCGAAACCUUAUCCCCCCGACCCACCGCGGCGAUAUUAGUGGAGAGGUUGAAGGCGCGAGAAUCGAGGCGUCAGGCGCUACUCGAGCGCGAUGGCGUCAUCCCCGCUGAGCGCGCGGAAACCGAAAUUUGAGGAUCCCGGAAAAUCCGCCGCUGUCAGUUGACCGGUCGUGUCAGAAGAUGCCGCAGAAGCACUCGGCUCCCGACAGUCUGUUUCGCGAGUACUUCCACUCGGAUCAUCGAUCGGAAAAGACAAAAUGGACCGAGGCAAGCAACGCCCAAGCCAAGUUCGUUCCAGUCGGAUCCAAACUUCAAACAUUGCUUCGUCGUUCCAACCCCAAUCCAUUCGGGGACUAAUGAUGGGGUUAUAGUCCUAGGGUAGGGUCAUAGGCCUGCCCUAUAGAUCCUACCCAAGGACUACUCCUCACAAAGGACUAGGCCCUUAGUCAGCUCCGACUGAAUUAAGGAGUCCCUGUCAUCCAGUCGGUAAAGUACCCUCGAUCAUCCAGUCGGAGACUAGCAUUCGGAGGAUAUUGUUAGGAAUAAAAUAUCUUUAGAUUUAGGCUAAUUAGGCAAUUAGCAUAUUCCUUGGAAUAUUCUAUUUAGCAGUUAGGAUAUUGGCUUUGUCCAUAUGCUGUGUCUCUCAACCAUCGUCGUGCCUUUUCCAAACGACGCAACUAUUGUAACCGGCAUGUACUCACGACUGUUCAGGACAUAUAAAUACUUGCAGUCACUAUCAAUGAAAUCACUCCAUUCACUUUAAUCACUCUUUUCUCUUCACGUUAUCAUGCACGCAUCGCUCUUACAGAGAGAAUAGGCUACAGGAGAGAAGAAAGGUGAGAAGAGAUGGAUUCUCUGUCGGACCUUGCUUUUGCUUUUGCCAGGUUUGUGGCCAGGGAGCAUCGUGGUUUUCGCUUUCCUCGUCGGACCUUCGGUCUGGCCGUCGCUCGUCGCCGGAACUUCGGCCGCCGCUAUCAGCGUCGCCCGAACAGGAACGGUGGCCUCCGUCACCGUGGGGCACCAUACCGUGUUCCUCGAUGUCGAUAUGGACCGGGUGGUGGCCUCCGCCGCCGCCAUACCCAUCGCCAGCACUUCCAUCAUGUGCAUCGCCGAGUGGUAGUCGAGCCAAGGGAAGAGGCCCCGAUGAUACCCCAGGAAGUUGUUGUUGCUCCAAUGGUGGUUGCUGCAGUGCCGGAAGUUGCUGCAGACGUUGGCAUCGAUGAGGCCUCUGCCUCCAACAUCACCACUCAACUGCCGCCUCCUCCGCCGGUGUACGCACCUAUGGAAAGGAUGCUUGCCGGACCAAGCGCCGGAUGGCUCGUUGAUGACCCAGAUCGCUCCUUCACCGACGAGGAACUCGCGGCACUGCCUCCGCCUCCGCCUCCGCUGAUGUAUUCUUGCCCAGCCUACCGGUACGGGUCGAGACUCCCGUCCCCAACACCAUCCGACGAAGAUACGGAGCACUUCAAUCCGCCGGGCUAUGAUGCACUGCCGGAUUUCUCCUCGCUGCCGGCUGCAGUCCCUCUGGACACGCCCAAGCACCGGCUCGUCAUCAACCUCCUGCCGCAGGUGAAGACAGAGGAGAUCAAGGCCGCCGCACCGACGGUUGCUGUCCCGAUGCUUCCCGAUCUCAACCACCCAACAUCAGAUGUGGAGGAGGAGGAACAUCAGGAAGCAGCACCGCCAUCCGCCCUCCCGAGCCCUCGCCGGAAGCUCGUGUGCUACUGCGCCGCUUUGCAUCCGCCAUGGCUGCUCGCCCCGCUGGAGUCCGCGUUGGCAGCUGGUCGCCCGUGGCACUCGGCCUCACCGGCCGGGUCGCGGAUCUCCGCCUCCACGAGGCCGACCUUCCCUCCUCCUCUACAGAUGAGCCGCUCCGUCGCUGAAGGAGGAGCCGGCCCUGCGCGCUGCCAUGGAGGAGAGCCUGCAGUAGUACUCUCGAAUGGAUGAGAAUGGAUGCGUGGUGUGGUUUGUCCCUUAUCCAUUCGAUUCCUGUUUAACUAGAUGCUUCAGCGGUGCUGGUGCUAGCUAUGAGCCACGAUGCAUGGGCCACAAAAAGACAAACCGGCCACUCUGAUUGGGAUGUGCUAAUCAAGCUUGUGAUGUGUUAAUUUACUAUUGUAUUUUCUAGUUGAAAAUCUAUCCCUUUAGCAAUAUUAAGUGUGCUAUANNNNNNNNNNNNNNNNNNNNNNNNNNNNNNNNNNNNNNNNNNNNNNNNNNNNNNNNNNNNNNNNNNNNNNNNNNNNNNNNNNNNNNNNNNNNNNNNNNNNCAUCAUUCGAAUCAUCUGCAUUGCAUCGGCAUCUCCGUUGCCGCCAGUUUUCAAAACUCGCAUCCGUUGUUAGUUGCCGGUUCUCGUCGUUGACCGUUCUGAGCCCGACCGCACUCGCACGCGCCCGCGGCAUCGUCGAAACCCUGUUUUACACGCGCCCGCGGCAUCCUCGAAACCCUGUUUUAAAAGUGUGCGUAAAACUUUCUCUGAUCAAGGUGAAAGCACCUUGUUCGCUUCACGAGCCUGCUCCAAUGACUUCUCUCGUCCCUCCAGAGUAUCCUUCAUGCCAGCCAUUGCAAGCAUGGCCGCAUCAAGCUCACCAGCGAACUGAUUCCUCUCCGCCCUGAGAGUCUCAUAGGUUGUCCCCAUUUCACAGGUUUUCUGCCAACAAACACCAAGAGACAAUCAGGAAAUUCACCAAUAAAAGUCUAAGUUCUUCAGACCCCUGCCGACGCAAGCAGUCGAUAGCGGUCUCGGGGACUACACCCAGUGGGUUCACUAAGAGUGACCCCACUGGUAUGCAACUCAAGCAGGCCCGCCCUANNNNNNNNNNNNNNNNNNNNNNNNGGCCCGCCCUAUUGAGAUGCAUGUUACCACCUACGCCUACGAGGCCAAUACUACCCGACCUGAGUACAACUUACUCUCGGAGACUCUUACAGUAAGUGCACUCCGAGUGCCACAACUGCUCGCAGUCGGUCAUAUUAUUUACAGACAUGACCAAAGCAAAGACAAUAUGUAUAAAGACAACUGUCGGUGCAAGCACUCGACAGAAGUCUCGGGGACUACACCCACUGGGUUCACUCAGAGUGAACCCAUUGCAAACAACAGAUGCUAUCCAAGAACAUCCAGUGGGUUACAAGAGAAAAGUAAAUACUUACUAGCCCACUUACUCGGAUAUCAUCCCGCAGCUCCAAGCUCCGCUGGUACAAGGAUGCAACGGAGUCGUAGGCCCUCUUGGCUUCUCCAGCCAUCAGCUCCGCCUGCACCAUGGCUCCCUUGGCCGCUCCCACCUGCUACUCCGGGAGACGCUGGAUGUUGAAUUCAGCAUUCGACGAGCCUGGCAUCGUCGGAAGUUCCUGGGGCAUCCCAAGGUCCGCUCCAGUCGGCUCUUCAACCACCAGCGCCGCUUCAGUCGGCGGCAGCACGUCGGCGGCGAGAGCAGCAACAGGCGGAGCAACCUCAAGAACAAGCUCCCCAGCUUGUUCAGCUCUCCCCUGAUCACCUUCAUCCACGCAAAUCGCCCCUGAUAGACCGAACGGCGAAAGAUCUCAGAAAAAGAAAGAGGCAGGACCUAUGAUAGAAUUCGAGACGCGAUAGUAUAUAACACUCGGAGUCACUACAACGCACCUGGCUGGGACGAGAUGACGUUGUCCGUGUCCAUGGGGUCAUCCUCUUGGCGUGUCGGAGAGGUGGCAGAAGUAGCGACUCUGUCGAUUGAAAUCCAUUUGACCAAUAAACAGGAGUUCACUCGGAUAUCAGANNNNNNNNNNNNNNNNNNNNNNNNNNNNNNNNNNNNNNNNNNNNNNNNNNNNNNNNNNNNNNNNNNNNNNNNNNNNNNNNNNNNNNNNNNNNNNNNNNNNUUCUACCUCUCCGUCUCUCUUGCUGGAUCAAGAAGGCCGCGAUCAUCGUCGAGCUGUACGUGUGCUGAACGUGGAGGUGUCGUCCGUUCGGUACUAGAUCGUGGGACUGAUCGCGGGAUUGUUCGCGGGGCGGAUCGAGGGACGUGAGGACGUUCCACUACAUCAACCGCGUUCACUAACGCUUCUGCUGUACGAUCUACAAGGGUACGUAGAUCGGAAAUCCCCUCUCGUAGAUGGACAUAACCAUGAUAGGUCUUCGUGCGCGUUGGAAAAUUUUUGUUUCCCAUGCGAUGUUCCCCAACAGGAACCAGCCCCUAGGUGGGCUGGUGCGCCUCCCCACUCAGCCCAAUGCGCAGGGGAGAGGGAAGGGGGGCAAGGGUGCGCACCACCCCUCCUCCCCUCCUGGCGCAGAUGGGGCUGUCGCACCCCUUGGGGGUGGGAACCCUAAGGGCUGCGCCCCCCUCCCUCUUCCCCUAUAUAUAGUUGAGGUUUCGGGGCUGUUUCGCACACGGUUUUCUGAGUAACUCCGUUGCUCAAAGAUGACUGGCAAGUGUCGGUUUCUCCAACUUUAGUUGAAUCGUAAUUGACCGAGGAGGUCCUUGGAUGAGAUUAAAUAGCAAUUCAUAUAUCUCCGUUGUGGUGUUUACGUAAGUAAGAUGCGAUCCUACUAGAUACCCAUGGUCACCACGUAAAACAUGCAACAACAAAAUUAGAGGACGUCUAACUUGUUUUUGCAGGGUAUGCUUGUGAUGUGAUAUGGCCAAUGAUGUGAUGUGAUAUAUUCGAUGUAUGAGAUGAUCAUGUUGUAAUAGAAAUAUCGACUUGCACGUCGAUGGUACGGCAACCGGCAGGAGCCAUAGGGUUGUCUUUAUACUAACGUGUGUGCUUGCAGAUGCGUUUACUAUUUUGCUAGGAUGUAGCUUUAGUAGUAAUAGCAUGAGUAGCAUGACNNNNNNNNNNNNNNNNNNNNNNNNNNNNNNNNNNNNNNNNNNNNNNNNNNNNNNNNNNNNNNNNNNNNNNNNNNNNNNNNNNNNNNNNNNNNNNNNNNNNUUUCCUCUAGAUCGUGUUUCUGCGGAGCUCGGGCAGAGCCGUGCUGAGAUUAGAUCACCACCAACCUCUGGAGCGUCGUCACGCUGCCGGAGAACUCAUCUACUUCUCAGUCUCUCUUGCUGGAUCAAGAAAGCAGAGAUCAUCGUCGAGCUGUACGUGUGAUGAACGCGGAGGUGUCGUCCGUUCGGCACUAGAUUGGAGCGGAUCGUGGGACGAAUCGCGGGAAGGUUCGUGGGACGGUUCGCGGGGAGGCUCGAGCGGGAAGGUUCGUGGGACGGUUCGCGGGGAGGAUCGAGGGACGUGAGGACGUUCCACUACAUCAACCGCUUUUAUUAACGCUUCUGCUGUGCGAUCUACAAGGGUACGUUGAUCUGAAAUCCCCCUCGUAGAUGAACAUCACCAUGAUAGGUUUUCGUGCGCGUAGGAUUUUUUUUCCCACGCGACGUUCCCCAACAAAACCUACCUACAAAGCACCAUGUCCUAAGAAAGGUUGCGGACUGUCGGCACUGUGGGGCAUUGCGGUUUCCAUUCAAGGGGCCAGCAUUUUGUUGCAGAAAAGGAAAAGUCGGAUUAUUUACUCGAGAUGUUCCAGAAGAAUUGAAACGGUUGUUCACAAGUCAAGAUGACGAGGACGCUAAACAUUUCAGAGAGCAUAUACGGUAUUUCAACUCGCACUUCUCAUUCACAAGUCUAGGAGUCACCCUUGAUCGUCGAGUAAGCACUGCGGCAGGAACUGGCGUAUAUACAUUCCGCGCGUGUGGUGGGUUGUACCACGCUCUCGACGAUCUGGUGCCCGCUAAUAAUGGCCCUCGACAUUUGCAACUCUAAUACGUAUCCAGAUCUUAAUAUAGACCUCAUACGAAAGAUUCUGAGAAUACUAGAGCGUAACCCUUAUGCACAAGCUUUCAGAAGCCUUGGGUCGGUUCCAAAUCUAGAUGAGUACAAAAUCUCACUAAACACGGAUAUCAAGUUGGAUCAACGAAGGUACAAUGCCCCAACGACCUCCCAAGUGGCAGCCAUAUGGGUUGAAGGGAGUGACUGUGAUAGCCCAACACCGACGCUCCAGAAGAUUCCCCUUUUAAUUCGUUGUCGCAGUGUGUUUUAUUUUGUUUGUUGCAUUCAUCACGCAUCAUGCAUCAUCUCCAUCAUCUUUGUUGUGAUUGCUUCCCUUAUUGUGUUCAUGUUUUUUUCUUCUUCUUCUUCUGCUACUCCUAGCCACUCCUUGACCCUUCAUUUUUUCCUAUUCUCAACUUAUUUCAAUCCAUUGCAUCCNNNNNNNNNNNNNNNNNNNNNNNNNNNNNNNNNNNNNNNNNNNNNNNNNNNNNNNNNNNNNNNNNNNNNNNNNNNNNNNNNNNNNNNNNNNNNNNNNNNNUAACUGUAACCCGGCCCAUAUUCGGCGGGUCACUUAACAGGCAAUAUCCCCAACAUUAGGCCCCAAAUUGACUUGAAUCUUCAUGCCAAUGCUACCAUUUUAGUCGAAGGCGAUUCACUCUUCUGUGUUCCUCCGUACACCAGAAAUCUUAACUCGCCAACUGGUACCGGAAAAAGUCUCUGAGCCGCCAACGCAUUUCCCAUCAGUACUUUCCUUAGCCCUCGAUUUUCGGGAACUCCAACACAAUCCCAACGGAUAUUUUAGUGCGUCAUUAUCCCAAAAUUUUCGGACGUCAUCAUGGCGAAUCUUUCCUUCCUCGACGGUUCCCGCUCAUAGCGCCUCGAUCCCCGCGCCCGUCCUGAUAAAUAGGCGGAAGGGACAGGGCUGACACCGGCCACCUACCAGUCUCGUCAAUCCCUCCACCAUCAUCUCAGCGAGAAGAAACGCUCCGCAUCCCGAAGGCUUUGCCGCCGGCCGCAAUCUCCACCCCCGUCUGAAGAACUCCAGUGCUGCCCGCAAGCUGUUGCCGUUCGAGGAGCUCCGGCGCCGCCCGCAAGCCGUCGCCGUUCGAGGAGCUCCGGCGCCGCCCGCAAGCCGCUGCCGUUCGAAGAGCUCCGGCGCCGUUCGAGGAGCUCCAGCGCCGCCCGCACGUCGUCACCGUCGCCAGGUUCCGCCGCCGCCGAGGGUCCCCUCAUUCUCCAACAGCCUCCAUCAUCGCCGAUCUUCUUCGACCAAGAUCUUCAGGUUAGGCCACUGUUUCCCCUUCUUUAAGGGUAGAUUUAUUUCUUGUUCUUGCUGCCGCCAUUGCCAUAGUUCCGAAGCUCUAUGCUGGUCACCAUCUUAACUGUCGAACUGAUUAGUCCGAGCGCCAUUAGGGCACCCAGUGCUUCGAACAAUCCUAUCCAUCUGUCCCUUGCAAAUUUUCUAAAUAGACUAGUCUUUUCAAACAUGAGGCACCAUCCUGAUCACACAUCGUUCAUGUUUUAGCCACGUCCGUAAGCUUUUAUAUAUGUUGAAUAGAUCCAUUCCUCUUUCACUGUUUGCAAAAAGCUGUUUGGAAACCUCGUCCUUCCCUUAGUGUUUCGGAAAGAAUAAAUUUUACCACCCACAGUAGCGUCGCUUCUGAGAAUAGCCCUGCUCCGGUAGGUCGCCACAUCAGCCCAACCCGGCCUCCCAAUCCGGCGGGUUAAGCAGAAGCUAGUCCCGACUCACAUAGUAAAUGUUCGAGACAUGUAAUACCAUUUCCUUGCCUAUUUGUAGCAUGGGUGCCGUUUUCAAGAGCGAUUGGCUUCCCACCAAAGUCGAUGAUGCUGUUUUGGCGAAUUACGUGAAAGCGGGCUGCUUGGAUCCUCAAGACGUCAUUGGAUGGCGCACCGGGUUAGGAGAAGACCUACCCAACCCCAAGGAAGGGGAGAUAGUAGUUUUUGUGGAACACUUAGAACGGGGUUUUAAGCCGCCCGGAUCUAAAUUCCUUAGAGACGCCCUGAAUUUUAUGAACGUCCGACUCCAGGAUUUGGGACCCAAUUCCAUAAGCAACCUAAGUCAAUUCCAAGUCCUUUGCGAAGCUUAUUUGCGGAUCGAGCCUUCCGUCCCUCUGUUUUGGUACUUUUUCCACUUGAAUCGCCAGACGGAAUUCCACAAUGGCCCCAGUUUGGAACUCGGCGGGGUCAACGUCCAGCGUCGCAGGGACAGUCCGUUCCCUUCACUCACUAUGCCUAGCCAUCCCAAAGGCUGGGGUGAAUCUUGGUUCUACUGCAAAGAAACAUCCCCUGCCGACGAGAACAAACUUCAGGGCUACAGGCCAAGCCGCCUUCCGGUCAACUUCAAGCUCCCUGACAAGCUCACCGAGGAAGAAGAGUCGGAAUUCGUCCCAAUUCUGUCCGAACUGAGAUCCUUGACUAACAACGGCCUCACCGGGGUUGACCUGAUCCGCUGCUGGGUCGAAUGGCGGAUCCUUCCUCUGAGCCGCCGAGAAGGCUUGAUGUGCGAAUUUGACGGUACUUUGGAUCAUCCCCAAUGCUACUUUCACGCAGCAUUAACAGAAAAAGACAUCGUCGCCAUCAUCAAGAAGCUGACCGGCGAGGCUACAGCAAAGUGCGGCCAAAUCGGCCUUAAGCCCUUCUGCAAGAUUAACCCGGCGCCCAAGGUAACCAAGGCUAACUCGCCCUCAAUUUUUAUUCCAUCUGUUUUACUGUCAUCUUGACUUCAUGCCACAUCCCUUUCCAGAAAGGCGACAAGUUCUGGUCUCGGAGACCUAAGAAACAAGCCAUGAAGAGUGCUAAGCCGCCUUCCAAGAAAAACAAAGGCAAAGGUAAAUCGGCUGCGGCCGAGCCAUCUGAAGUCGACGAAUCUCAAGCUGGCGACGCACUCUCCGAGGUACCAAUCCGUCCUCUUUUUCACUCGCCACCUAUUACCUUUUAACUUUAAUUUAUCUCUCACUCCUCUUAUAAUAGAAUGAAGAUAACGAAAGCCAGGAAGAUUCUGUCGAGGUAAUUUCCGUCUCCUCCGAUUCAUCUCCUUCUCCACCUAAGCCGGCCCGGCGAAUAUGUGGAAAAGUACCUCUCUCACAUCCAAAUGCCCAUUUGGACCCAAAUUUCUUACUGAAGAAAACGCAGCACGCCUCGAAACGGAAAACGGGAAGUCAUUCUGGCGACCUAACAUCUCGCUUGCCAACAACGAACAAAAGAAAACCAAGUGAGGUACCUCCUUUUUUUUAUUUGAGCAACCAUUGUUCGUGUUGCUUUGGAUCACAGUCAUAACACGCCUGUAUUAUCGAUGUACAAAUUCUACAGGAUUCUCCCCCUACUUCUGGCGACUCAGUGAUGUCGACCCUUCCACCAAUGAUCCGAGUCCCGGGGUAAGUUUCUUGUCCUGAUCCUUGAGAAUAGCACUCUUUUUAAUUUUUUAACACGCCUAUCUCAUUCAUUAGGGCGCAAGCCAAAAAGAGGAAAACCAGUGGAUCAAUCCCUGACGCCACUUCUGAACCUCCGAGGAAAGCAACUCCGACUCAAGAAGAUCCGAGUCAAAACGAGCCGACAAUUCAAGCAAACUCUCCUGAGUCGCCCAAAGGAUCAACGGAUGUCCCUAGAUCACCGGUCGUAAUGGCGACAGCUGAUGACCCAGAUGCUGUGGUCAUUACUGGUUUUGGUUUCUCCAAGCCGGCAGCGACAAUCCUCUCCAAACAUAUAGCAUCCCCUUCUCCAUCAAUUCCCAAGUCUGGGCCUUCCAAGGCGAAACUUUCUGACUAUGGAGGUCUGGAGUUUAAAUAACUCUAUUCUGGCUUCGCAAGUCGCCUGGAAGCGAGUUACGAGAUGGAAAAGAAUCUGCUGAAGAUGUUAAAUAACACGCAUGAGGUAAAAUUUAUACUCUAUAUUACCCCCAGUAACCCCCAAGGGCCGGGUCAUCAGUAAAAUGAUGAGCCGGGUCUUUUAAAAGCUUCGCGACCAGUAACCCCCAAGGGCCGGGUCAUCAGUAAAAUGAUGAGCCGGGUCUUUUAAAAGCUUCGCGACCAGUAACCCCCAAGGGCCGGGUCAUCAGUAAAAUGAUGAGCCGGGUCUUUUAAAAGCUUCGCGACCAGUAACCCCCAAGGGCCGGGUCAUCAGUAAAAUGAUGAGUCGGGUCUUGAUUUCUGUAUAAUUUCCCUUGAGAAAUUAUACAUUAGCCCCCAAGUGUCAGGGGUAUUGCCUUGCAAUAAUUCUGAGACUUGUCUUUGUUUUAAAUUUUGAACAGGAAAGCCUUGCCCAAACCGAACUGGCCCUGGGCGACUUAAGGAAAAACUUGGCUGACCAACAAGAUGCCCGAACUCAGUCGGAAGACAAAUAUAAGUUGGCUCUGGUUGAACUGGAAAAGCUCAAAGCCGAGUUAGAAAGAACUCAGGCUGACCACAGCUCGGUUUUGACGAGAGUCGAAAAAGCAGAAGCAAAGCUGGCAACUGUGCAGCAGGAGCUAUCCGGCUUAAAGCGCCAUAUUUCCAACAUGACACAAGCCAUCUUUGGUAAGAUUUACCUAACUCUCCAAUCUUAUCCUCUUCCUUGGGCAAAUUCCUUAAUGUUUAACUUACCGGUUAUUUAAUCACAGGCUCGAGAGUCGCCAAUCUGCAAGACGACAGCGUGUUGAUGCUGAAGGCGAUCUAUACACUGACGGAACAACUGUACACAGGCAGUGUGCUGACUGUCAAAGCUGUGAUAGGUGCAAAGGAGCCCAUAACUUCCAUCAAGAAGGUGCUUGGAUAUCUAUCCACACUGCCUCCCUAGAUCGGCGAGUUAACCCGAUCAGCCGCCCGGAAGGGUGUCCUGACGGCUCUGAGUCGCUGCCUGGCGUAUGCUCCAGAAAUUAAUUUGGAAGAAGUAGCUGCCGGCUUCCCUCAGCUUAAAGAUGACGGCUCGGAGUUCGUGGAAGAAGACUACCAGAAGGUUGUCAAGGAUUCUCGACUGGCCGCGACUCAACUCGCCGCCAGCCUUGACUUGACAAAAUAUCAGGCGGCUUACAAUGACAAGAAUAAGAAAAUCAGCCCGCCAACCUUCGUGGUGACCAACCUUAUCCCUCGGCGACCCAAGAAUCCCUUCGACUGGGAAACAGACCUGGCAUCAAUCUUGACCGAUGAAGACGAUUUUGCCUCUUUGUCCAGAUGCAAUUGGGUCUUGGGCGAUUUACAAAUCGAAGCUGGUCAGAGCUCACGCCAGGACUUAGCGGAAUAGAUUUUCCUUGAUUUUGGCCCAAGAGCCAUGUAAUAGUCAGUACUAUCAUUUGAUGACAUCUUCUGCAAAAAACCCUUAUACCGCUUUUGAGGCGGUUUUAAAAUAUUUUGUUAAUCCUUAUCAGAAUCGCCUGAAAUGCUCAAUUCGCCAAGGAUGAAAACCUUGAGCACAUUAUCUGUGAAAAUAAAAGAACUACAAACAGUUUCAACGAAUAAGCAGUGAGGAUAAAAAUCUUCAAGGUCAAAUCAUAACACGAGUAAUUUCGUCGGCUCAUACGGUCGCGACAGGAGGGGGCGAGUCAGAAAGCUCGUGCACCCAACCUUAAUGCAGGUUUCGUCGGCUCAUACGGUCGCGACAGGAGGGGGCGAGUCAGAAAGCUCGUGCACCCAACCUUAAUGCAGGUUUCGUCGGCUCAUACGGUCGCGACAGGAGGGGGCGAGUCAGAAAGCUCGUGCACCCAACCUUAAUGCAGGUUUCGUCGGCUCAUACGGUCGCGACAGGAGGGGGCGAGUCAGAAAGCUCGUGCACCCAACCUUAAUGCAGGUUUCGUCGGCUCAUACGGUCGCGACAGGAGGGGGCGAGUCAGAAAGCUCGUGCACCCAACCUUAAUGCAGGUUUCGUCGGCUCAUACGGUCGCGACAGGAGGGGGCGAGUCAGAAAGCUCGUGCACCCAACCUUAAUGCAGGUUUCGUCGGCUCAUACGGUCGCGACAGGAGGGGGCGAGUCAGAAAGCUCGUGCACCCAACCUUAAUGCAGGUUUCGUCGGCUCAUACGGUCGCGACAGGAGGGGGCGAGUCAGAAAGCUCGUGCACCCAACCUUAAUGCAGGUUUCGUCGGCUCAUACGGUCGCGACAGGAGGAGGAGAGUCAGAAAGCUCGUGCACCCACCCUUAAUGCAGGUUUAGNNNNNNNNNNNNNNNNNNNNNNNNNNNNNNNNNNNNNNNNNNNNNNNNNNNNNNNNNNNNNNNNNNNNNNNNNNNNNNNNNNNNNNNNNNNNNNNNNNNNCGGGGGGCGUUAAGCUCGUCUCCAGCAUAUUCUAUCGCACCCCGUCUCCAUCCUCAACCGAUUUUGGUCACUCGUGGCACUAGAACACCUCCACCGUCGACUCCUUGGUUUUUCUUCCUCUGCCCGAGCCGCCUCCUCGUCCCCAACCGAGCACCUCGGACGACCACCCAGGUCAUGUCGCUGCCCUCUCCUGCUGCUUCUCUCUUCCCUCUUCCCUCUUCCCUCUCUCACCUCGUCUCUCUCUCUCUCUGUUCACACGAGCAGCACCACCCCUNNNNNNNNNNNNNNNNNNNNUCACACGAGCAGCACCACCCCUCCAUGGAAAUAAAAGAAGCUUGUAGCUCGUGCUCCACUCGUCCCCAACUUCGAUUCGAGCUCCUGGUGAUGGGAAUGGAGCCCCAACCGCCGGGUCUGGCACCUCUGUUCCCCUAGGAUCCGCGCGGGAGAGCCGCUGCAGCACCGCGCCGCCGCGAGCAGAGCCAGGGUCGGCCGUGUUCGUCAGGUUCCGUUUCCCCCUUCUGUGAUUCAGAUUUGUUCAGGUUCCACGUUCAGUGUGGACUUUGUACAUGUAGCAUAGGAAUCUCUUUUUUCCACAAGACUCCACCUAGCCCAGCUGGUCAGCGCGCUCAGUAGCAACCCUGUGGUCCAGGAAUCAAAUCCCGCCGGCGCCCCCUUUUGUUUAAUUCGUUUUUUUCCUGUUGCAGUACCAGUACAGUGAGUUAAUUCGUUUUCCCCUCUGUUGCAGUAGCAGUAGAGUGAGUUUAGCUAUGUUAAGUCCCCAUCUAUGGUCAGCUAAGCUGCAGUAGCAUAGUGGUGUGGAGUUGUGCAUAGGGUACCCUAGGUUCAGGGUUCGAUUCCCCGUGCACCCCAUUUUAUUUUUUCUUUUAGGUGUGUGGUGCUGUAGUUGGGGUGUGUGUGUAUUGUGGGGGUAUGACCCACUUGCAUACACCCAUUAGGGGCCCUGGUGAGUAUGACCAGUGGGACCCCCUGAUGUUUAUAUGUUUUUCUUGUUUAGUUUAGUUUUGUGAAGUAUUUCCAAAUCUGGAAUACUCCAGAAGAGGAACAUGCCAAGUCUGGCAUAUCAAGAACAGCCCCUGUUCUUGUUAUUAGCGGAGUUUGAUCUUGGUAGUUUUUCCUUUGCUGUUUCUGGUGUUUUUCCGCACGCAUAUAUAGCAGUGUUAUAUAUGGUUUUGGGGUAGGAGAACCCAAGGAUUCCAAUGGAGACACUAGUUUCCAGUUCUGAACAGUUCCGCAGAAGUGUCACUUUGUGAUGAGGUGGCACUUGAUUACCUUUGUAGGUUGGAGUAAGAGCAUAGUUAGGGAUUGAGCAUCCAUGCAUCAUUUUAGUUAGUGCUUCCUGUUGUGCAUGUCUCUUGAAAUGUAGCUCCGUUCUAUGUUCCACGUGUUAACCGACUAGGAUGACACGUAGAAUCAUCCGCUUCACCCCUUGCCAUGUUAACAACAAUUUAAUAUUGUUGUGUAUAUAACCGGGAGUGAACUAAGUAAUUAACCGUGGAGUUUCGUCGAUAUGCAACUCGUUGCAUAUCGAGCUUCACUUAAUGUGUAGUGUUUGUGUGAUGUGAAUUGUCAUGCCGUGGCGUGCAUAUUUGAUCUGUUCAUGCAUCAUAUUAGGUUGCGCAUCAUGUUGUGCAUCGUGUGGUGAAUAUCUGUGUUGAUGUUUGUUUCCGGUUUGCUCCGUCUCGAUAGAGUUCCGCAAGCGUGUCGGAAUGUGAGGACCCGUUCGACUACGAUGGUUCACCGACUUCACGGAGUUGUUGUUCUUCCAAGCGGGAUCUCAGGCAAGAUGACCAUUUCCCCAGAUACCAUUACUAUCAUUGCCAUGCUAGUAUUACCGUUUCUAUCGAUUAUGUCUCGUUGCCUACCACAUGUUAAAUAUCAGCCUCUCAACAAUGCCAUGAAAACUUUCAACCUGUUCGACCUAGCAAAGCACUGAUUGGCUAUGUUACCGCUUGCUUAACCCUGUGUAGCGUUGCUAGUUGCAGGUGCAGUUGCUUCCAUGUGAUUACAUGGGUUCCUUGUCAUAUCACCAUAUUUAAAUGCUAUUUAAUUUAAUGCACCUAUAUACUUGGUAAAAGGUGGAAGGCUCGGCCUUUCUAGCCUGGUGUUUUGUUCCACCUUUGCCCCCUUAGUUUCGGCUACCGGUGUUAUGUUCCAUAAUUGAGCGCUCCUAACACGAUCGGGGUUGUUAUGGGGACCCCCUUGAUAACUCGUUUUAGGUUAAAGCUGGUCUGGCAAGGCCCAACUUUGGUACUACAUUUGUCUAAUCACCUAAUAAAAUUCCAUAGGGACUUUCCGGACCCCGAGGAUAAUUUAAUCAACCCCCGGGCCAGUGCUCCUCAUGAGUCUUGGUCCCACCUGAGCGAUGUCCGGCGCCCCUCUGGUCACCCAGAGGUUUAGCGAUCCCGACGUCUAGCUCAUCCGUCGUGUCUUGAGAACGAGAUACGCGGCUCCUAUCGGGAUCGUCGACACGUCGGGCGGCCUUGCUGGAUUAGUUUUACCUUUGACGAAAUAUCUUGUGCAUCGGGAUUUCGGUGAUGCUUUGGGUAAUCUCAGAGUUGAGGUUUUCCACUAGGGAAUCCGACGAGAUCGCGAGCUUCGUGAUUGAGGAUUUCUAUGCGGCUUAUGGUAAUUUGUGAUGGACUAGUUGGAGCACCCCUGCAUGGUUAAAUCUUUUCGGAAAGCCGUGCCCGCGGUUAUGUGGCAACGUGGAAACUUUGUUUAACACUGGUUCUAGAUAACUUGAAGUUAACUUAAUUAAAAUAUGCCAACUGUGUGCGUAAUCAUGUCUGUCUCUUUCGUGAGAUCUUUCUCCGAUCGAGGACACGGUGGGGUUAUGUCUGAUGUAGGUAGGUGUUCAGGGUCAUUUAUUUGAUCAUCAGUAGCUCACGUCCGCUGUGCGUAGAUAUUCCCCCUCUUAUUUCUUGUACUCGUAAGUUUAGCCACCAAAUAUAUGCUUAGCCGUUGUUGCAACCUCACCACUUAACCAUACCUCACCCAUUAAGCUUUGCUAGUCUUCAUACCUUUGGAAAUGAGACAGUUGAGUCCCCUGUGGCUCACAGAUUACUACAACACCGGUUGUAGGUAUAGGUAAAGGUUACUUGACGCGAGCGCGUUGAUUGUUCAUUUGGAGUUGCUUCUUCUUCUUCAUCAUCGAUCUAGGAUGGGUUCUAGGCCGGUAGCCUGGGAUAGCAAGGAUGGACGUCUUUCUUCUUUUCUCGUUUGUUUUUGUCCGUAGUCGGACCCUGCUCUUACUCUUGAUGAUUAUGUAAUGUACUGAUGUGACUCUGAUGUAGCUUGUGGCGAGUGUAAGACAAUUCUAUAUAUAUCUCUCUUCUUUUCAGUACAUGUACUUGUAACGAUAUCCAUUCUUGCGACACGACGAGAUGCGCUUCUAUCCUUGACGAGGUCUUCAUGCCAAAUUGAGGAUAGGCUCGCAUCUUGGGCGUGACAAGUUGGUAUCAGAGCAGUACCGACCUAGGAGUCCCCUUGAUUGAUCGAACUUGGCCGAGUCGAGUCUAGUAAAAACUAUUUUGAGUCUAGUUAUAUAUCGGAGAGUAGGAUUCUUUUUUCUCCUCUUCUAUGCUCUGGUGAGGAAUCUUGACGUAAUAAUAUAUUCUACUCCUUUUCUCGCUCAAAUUUUUUUAGGAUCACGCGGGUAUUUGUGAAAUCUAUAUGAUUUCGAUGUGACGGAGUCCUGUCCUGGUGCCUCCUAUCUGCUUUGAGUUUCAGGGGAGUUGAGCUCCAGGGGAUUCUUGCGCACAUCGCCAUCAUUCAGGUUUCUUAGUAUCUAAGAACGAAGGAUGUUCGUAAUUGCUUCAAUACUAGUAGUGGCGAGAUAACCCCGAUGUCCCCAGUACUGGUGCUGAUUGUUCGGGAGUACUGCCAUACUUUGUAUCGUUGUGAUCACGAGGGUGUGUUGUAGAUGAAGCUCCGAGAUUCUAGUUGUGUGUUGACGGAUGUGAUACAGGUGACGGGUUAGUAUAGGAGUUGUGUGAUAUUACUCCUUGUAUCCGUGUACCAGAUUGCAUUACCAGAUAUUUCGGGAAUUCAUAGGUGGGAAUUCAAGUAGUUGCUUAUAGGACAAUCUUCCAACAAAUGCAUGAUGUUAGGUUGGGGUUCGACAUCUAGUGGAUUCGUUUGUUCAUGGUCGACUUACAGCGGUACACGUUGUGUCUUAAAGAGUCCUUGUAGCUUGCUACGACUCGGGGACGCUUCGUAUGUCGGGUGCACUGCCUUGCACUUGAUGGCUACUGUAAAAUCGAGCUCGUGCGAUCUUGUCCACAAAAAUAUCGGACGAAAUCUUUCUCAUGAGUUUGUUCUAGCUUGANNNNNNNNNNNNNNNNNNNNNNNNNNNNNNNNNNNNNNNNNNNNNNNNNNNNNNNNNNNNNNNNNNNNNNNNNNNNNNNNNNNNNNNNNNNNNNNNNNNNUCCUCUACCCGAGCCGCCUCCUCGUCCCCGACCGAGCACCUCGGAUGACCACCCAGGUCAUGUUGCUGCCCUCUCCUGCUGCUUCUCUCUUCCCUCUCUCACCUCGUCUCUCUCUCUCUCUCUUUGUUCACAGGAGCAGCACCACCCCUCCAUGGAAAUAACAGAAGCUUGUAGCUCGUGCUCCACUCAUCCCCAACUUCGAUUCGAGCUCCUGGUGAUGGGAAUGGAGCCCCAACCGCCGGUUCUGGAACCUUGGUUCCCCUAGGAUCCGCGCGGGAGAUCCGCUGCAGCACCGCGCCGCCGCGAGCAGAGCCAGGGUCGGCCGUGUUCGUCAGGUUCAGUUUCCCCCUUCUGCGAUUCAGAUUUGUUCACGUUCCACGUUCAGCGUGGACUUUGUACAUGUAGCAUAGGAAUCUCUUUUUUCCACAAGACUCCACCUAGCCCAGCUGGUCAGCGUGCUCAGUAGCAACCCUGAGGUCCAGGGAUCAAAUCCCACCGGCACCCCCUUUUGUUUAAUUCGUUUUUUCCCCUGUUGCAGUAGCAGUAGAGUGAGUGUUGGGGCAUAGUUUAUGCCUAAGUAAUUUUGGUGAUUGAUGACAGUAUCGUAAAGGACUAACCGUGUGUGUUAAGGUUUCAGAUAACACACGUCAAUGGCACAAGACGACUCAUCUCCUCAUUCAUGGAACGGAAGCACGGCGCUCUCUACGAUUCUCUUUAUUUGAGUCAUAGGAAAGUCGUACUAUUAAGAGGGGAUCCGUAGUGGAAAGGUUUGGGUGGAAUCUAUCUUUGCACGCGCACACUUCACAUAUUCUCCCUUACCUUCUUCAUUGGAGCGGCCCCCGCCACUGUGUUUCUGUCCUCCUUGCAAAUUGGUCCCCAGCGGUAGUACCGCUGGCCCUAGAGGUAGUACCGCUGGAAUGCUAGCGGUAGUACCGCUGCAGCCAGCGGUAGUACCGCCCCUGGUCAGCGGUAGUACCGCUGGCUGGCGGUAGUACCGCCCCUGGUCAGCGGUAGUACCGCUCCAGGAGCUCAGUACCGCCUGCCUAGCGGUAGUUCGUGGACGGACCUUUUUGCAAAGACUUUCUUGGCGGUGGUAGUGCUUUUUGCACUACCAGGGGGGCAGCGGUAGUACCGCUCGGGUGCCAGCGAUAGUACCGCUGCAGCCAGCGGUAGUACCGCUAGGCGGCGGUAGUACCGCCCCUGGUCAGCGGUAGUACCGCUGGAGUGCCAGCAGUAGUACCGCUGGAGCUCGGGCAGAGAGUGGGAAAACGGUCUGAUUCCCCCCCCCCCCACUAUAUAAAGGGUUCUUCUAGCUGCGGAACCUUAUCUCUUACCUCUCUAAGCUCCAUUGUUGGGCCCAAGCUCAAAAGUGCCCGAUCUCUCUCCCUAGCCAAUCAAACUUGUUGAUUCUUUAGGGAUUGGUUGAGAAGGCCUAGAUCCACACUUCCACCAAGAGAAAAGUUGAUUCCCCCACCAAUCCCUUGCGAAUCUUGUUAUUCUUGGGUGUUUGAGCAUCCUAGACGGUUGAGGUCACCUCGAAGCCAUAUUCCAUUGUGGUGAAGCUUCGUGGUCUAGUUGGGAGCCUCCAAUCUUUGUGUGGAGUUGCCCCAACCUUGUUUAUAAAGGUUCGGUCGCCGCCUUCAAGGGCACCUAUAGUGGAAUCACGGUACCUUGCAUCGUGCGAGGGUGUGAGGAGAAUACGGUGGCCUUAGUGGCUUUUUGGGGAGCAUUGUGCCUCCACACCGCUCCAACGGAGACGUACUUCCUGUCAAAGGGAAGGAACUUCGGUAACACAUCCUCGUCUCCAUCGGUUCCACUUGUGGUUAUCUCUAUCCUUUACUUUGUAUUUGCUUAUGCUUGUGACUAUAUCUUACUUGUCUUAAUAGCUCUCGUUGUUAGCUUCUUUAGGGUUCACCUCAUUGUCGUAUUAUUUGUGAACCCGUAUGUUGUUUGCCUUAACUUGCUAAGAUUAUUUAAAAAGUGGUCAUUGUCUAUNNNNNNNNNNNNNNNNNNNNNNNNNNNNNNNNNNNNNNNNNNNNNNNNNNNNNNNNNNNNNNNNNNNNNNNNNNNNNNNNNNNNNNNNNNNNNNNNNNNNCAACAAUGACAUAAUUAGCCCAUUUAGCUCCAAAAUACCAUAAUAAGCUCAAAAUGGCAUAAGAACCUUGGUUAGCUUAUUAAUAUUAUAUACUUAGCUAGUUUUCCUCUAAAAUGGGAUAAUUAGCCCAUUUAGCUCAAAAAAGACAUAAUUAGGUAAUUUAGCUCCAACAAGAGGAGAAGAGGAGAAGAAAUAGGCAAAAUGAAAAGAAAGAAGAAGAAGAAGAAGAAGAGAAGAAGGAGAAGGAGGAGGAGGAGGAGGAGGAGAAGGCCAGGGCCUUCUCCUCCUCCUCCUCCUUCUUCUUGAUUUCUUCUUCUUCUCCUCCUCCUCCUCUUUCUUCUCCUCUUUCAUAUUAUCCUUGUUUUAAUUAACCCAACAAUGACAUAAUAAGCCCAUUUAGCUCCAAAAUACCAUAAUAAGCUCAAAAUGGCAUAAGAACCUUGGUUAGCUCAUUAAUAUUAUAUACUUAGCUAGUUUUCCUCUAAAAUAAGAUAAUUAGCCUAUUUAGCUCAAAAAAGACAUAAUUAGGUAAUUUAGCUCCAACAAGAGGAGAAGAGGAGAAGAAAUAGGCAAAAUGAAAAGAAAGAAGAAGAAGAAGAAGAAGAAGAGAAGAAGGAGAAGGAGGAGGAGGAGGAGGAGGAGAAGGCCAAGGACCUUCUAUCCUUCUCCUCCUCCUCCUUCUCCUUCUCCUCCUCCUUCUUGAUUUCUUCUUCUCCUCCUCCUCCUCCUCUUUCUUCUCCUCUUUCAUAUUAUCCUUGCUUUAAUUAACCCAACAAUGACAUAAUUAGCCCAUUUAGCUCCAAAAUACCAUAAUAAGCUCAAGAUGGCAUAAGAACCUUGGUUAGCUCAUUAAUAUUAUAUAGUUAGCUAGUUGUCCUCAAAAAUGGGAUAAUUAGCCCAUUUAGCUCAAAAAAGACAGAAUUAGGUAAUUUAGCUCCAACAAGAGGAGAAGAGGAGAAGAAAUAGGCAAAAUGAAAAGAAAGAAGAAGAAGAAGAAGAAGAAGAGAAGAAGGAGAAGGAGGAGGAGGAGGAGAAGGCUAAGGACCUUCUAUCCUUCUCCUCCUCCUCCUCCUCCUCCUUCUUCUUGAUUUCUUCUUCUUCNNNNNNNNNNNNNNNNNNNNNNNNNNNNNNNNNNNNNNNNNNNNNNNNNNNNNNNNNNNNNNNNNNNNNNNNNNNNNNNNNNNNNNNNNNNNNNNNNNNNGAUUUCUGUAUAAUUUCCCUUGAGAAAUUAUACAUUAGCCCCCAAGUGUCAGGGGUAUUGCCUUGCAAUAAUUCUGAGACUUGUCUUUGUUUUAAAUUUUGAACAGGAAAGCCUUGCCCAAACCGAACUGGCCCUGGGCGACUUAAGGAAAAACUUGGCUGACCAACAAGAUGCCCGAACUCAGUCGGAAGACAAAUAUAAGUUGGCUCUGGUUGAACUGGAAAAGCUCAAAGCCGAGUUAGAAAGAACUCAGGCUGACCACAGCUCGGUUUUGACGAGAGUCGAAAAAGCAGAAGCAAAGCUGGCAACUGUGCAGCAGGAGCUAUCCGGCUUAAAGCGCCAUAUUUCCAACAUGACACAAGCCAUCUUUGGUAAGAUUUACCUAACUCUCCAAUCUUAUCCUCUUCCUUGGGCAAAUUCCUUAAUGUUUAACUUACCGGUUAUUUAAUCACAGGCUCGAGAGUCGCCAAUCUGCAAGACGACAGCGUGUUGAUGCUGAAGGCGAUCUAUACACUGACGGAACAACUGUACACAGGCAGUGUGCUGACUGUCAAAGCUGUGAUAGGUGCAAAGGAGCCCAUAACUUCCAUCAAGAAGGUGCUUGGAUAUCUAUCCACACUGCCUCCCUAGAUCGGCGAGUUAACCCGAUCAGCCGCCCGGAAGGGUGUCCUGACGGCUCUGAGUCGCUGCCUGGCGUAUGCUCCAGAAAUUAAUUUGGAAGAAGUAGCUGCCGGCUUCCCUCAGCUUAAAGAUGACGGCUCGGAGUUCGUGGAAGAAGACUACCAGAAGGUUGUCAAGGAUUCUCGACUGGCCGCGACUCAACUCGCCGCCAGCCUUGACUUGACAAAAUAUCAGGCGGCUUACAAUGACAAGAAUAAGAAAAUCAGCCCGCCAACCUUCGUGGUGACCAACCUUAUCCCUCGGCGACCCAAGAAUCCCUUCGACUGGGAAACAGACCUGGCAUCAAUCUUGACCGAUGAAGACGAUUUUGCCUCUUUGUCCAGAUGCAAUUGGGUCUUGGGCGAUUUACAAAUCGAAGCUGGUCAGAGCUCACGCCAGGACUUAGCGGAAUAGAUUUUCCUUGAUUUUGGCCCAAGAGCCAUGUAAUAGUCAGUACUAUCAUUUGAUGACAUCUUCUGCAAAAAACCCUUAUACCGCUUUUGAGGCGGUUUUAAAAUAUUUUGUUAAUCCUUAUCAGAAUCGCCUGAAAUGCUCAAUUCGCCAAGGAUGAAAACCUUGAGCACAUUAUCUGUGAAAAUAAAAGAACUACAAACAGUUUCAACGAAUAAGCAGUGAGGAUAAAAAAUCUUCAAGGUCAAAUCAUAACACGAGUAAUUUCGUCGGCUCAUACGGUCGCGACAGGGGGRGGCGAGUCAGAAAGCUCGUGCACCCACCCUUAAUGCAGGUUUCGNNNNNNNNNNNNNNNNNNNNNNNNNNNNNNNNNNNNNNNNNNNNNNNNNNNNNNNNNNNNNNNNNNNNNNNNNNNNNNNNNNNNNNNNNNNNNNNNNNNNUGAAGCAGUGCAGAGACCAGGCCGAGGUGCCCUUCCGUGUCCCUCCUCGCCUCUCCCUCGUGCGCCAUGGCCGACCGCAUCAGCAAGAAGCAGCGCCGCGGCGCGGACGGCGAGUUCGUCUGCAAGACGUGCAGCCGCGCCUUCCCGUCGUUCCAGGCGCUGGCGGGCACCGGACAAGCCACCUGCGCGGCCGCCACGGGCUCGCGCUCGGCCUCGCCGCCGGGUCCGAUCAGCCGGCGACCAAGAGGACCACGSGACCAGAAGCAGGCGCACCAGUGCCAUCGUCUGCGGGCUCGAGUUCGAGAUGGGGCAGGCGCUCGGCGGCCACAUGCGCCGCCACCGCGAGCAGGAGGCCGCCUCCGCCGCGGUGGCGCAGCCGCCGCCCGUCCUGCUCGAGCUGUUCGUCUAGGUUGAUGAUUAGCUAACUUUACUUAUGCUACAGAGUUCGUGAUCGACCUGUGUAGAUUUGUACGUCGCUGCACAUCAGACACACAUACUCGUAGCUUAGCUAGGUAUUGAUCGUUAGUUGGUUCAUUCAUUCGUGUACUUUUGUGGACAUAUUUGGUGACUUGAUUCAUUCAUUCAUUCAUUGGUUCGGAGAUUAUGUAUACACGUUAACUGAUUGGGUUGCUCGUCUCUUUUGAUCCAACUAGCCCGGUGUACAAUUUUAACUCGGAGGAACAAGUGUGAUGCUUUUCUUGUUUACAAAUAUCUUCAAAUAUAUGGCCUUUUCGUUCCAUUUUUCUUUCCACUUUAUUGAUUGUUUUUUAGCAUCUUGUGGGAUGACUGCGAGCCACUGUUGUCAAACCGUUGCCGCAUCAAUGUCAAAUGCAUUUAGUGGGGGCGAGAAUUAAAGCAAAUCUUGCUAGUUUGAUAUUCUUGUUUUUUACUGGAAGGCAACUUGAUAUUCGAAGACCAAAGUAAAUUUGGAUUUUGAGAUAUCAAAAUAUGGAAUGUGUUUCUGUCCGCCUAGCAUGCAUUUGUCUCCAGUGGAUCUCAUGGGAUUCGAUCGGCAUUUGUCUUUGAUGGAUCCACGUGCAUCCGGUCUCCGUUAGAUUGUGGGCUACAUGUUUUAUCCCUCUAAUUUAAGCUUUUCUUCAUUUGUGACGAUUGUUGCUCGAGUGCCUGGCCUUGUAGGGUCUUACACUCUUAUCACGACUACUUUUUGAUUGUGGUUCGGGUGAGGGUGAGGCGAGAACGGCGGCACACCUUUGGCUUGCUCUAGUGCUUGUAGUCGUCGUUAGUUGGUAAACGGACCUAUAUGUUUUUUUUUCAUUGUUGAUGGAAUCGUUAACUGGUAACUGCUCAGUUAAUAGGCUAAUCGGUAAGUUAAUCAGUCAUUUAAUCCAUUAAUCGGGUUAUUUAUCAGUUAAUCCACUACUCGGUGACCCUACGAGUAGGAAUUAAUCGACAGGUUAACUGGUCGACUGGACUAAUUUUUGAACAUGAAUUUUUUACUUUUGAUGUUGUUUGUACUGCCUUGAUAGUUGAUGAAUAGAUUGAAAGAUUUCUUGCAAAAAAGGGAUAUCAAAAUAUUGAUCGGUCAUUUCUAUAGUUAAGUGGAAAACAAUCAUUUUUUAUUUUAAUUCUGUUGUUCAGAUUUUUUAAAAGGGUAUUAUAUUAUUAUCAAGCUGAUUUAAAUUACACACAACCUUUUCAACAACAUGAUAUCCAUAGAUGUCGAGACAUCUAAGAUGAACACAACCAAAAACAAAAAGGAAAGAAAGAGAGACCUGACAAAGUAAGACGAGGGAAACAAACUGUUGUAGCACAACAAUAAAAACUACUACCACCAUACGAAACGCCAUAACUCCAAGAAGGUCCCCCAAUAGCGACACCAACUGGAAAGUAAUCAUGCAUGAACGUCAUAUUGGACAUAUCCAAUCAUAUACUGCGUUCGUCUCAAAAAUAGUGUCUCAAAUUUAAUACAAUUUUGACUAAAUCUAGUAUAAAGUUAAGACAUUUAUUUUAAAACGGAAGGAGUAGUACAGAUCAUUGAUUUUUCACCUUUCUAAGAAGGUCUGAGCAGACUCCGGCUAGUGUCUUCUACAAGGGAGCAUAGCCCCCUCUACCAAGUACAACUAAGAGCAUGGUUAAUAGUACCCCUCUACCAAGUACAACUAAGAGCAUGGUUAAUAGUAUAGUCAACUGCUGGCUAUAAGCCAUCUUAUAGCCCAUCUUACAGUUAUCUUGUACAAUGGUUAGCUAUAAAAGAAUACUAUUUUUAUUAUAUAUGGCCCACCUUUCAUUCUCACAAAGCACCUAGGAGCACGUGCUAGAGCUAGCUCUUCACGAAGAGCCCGCUUCCCUUUUCUCUUGUCUUCUUUCUCAUCCAACUCAGCAAAAAUAUAGUAUUUUAAUCCUUACAGUCUGCUGACUGUAUCUUAUUAUACUUGCUUUAAUAAGUGUCAGAGUAGAGUUUUCACCCCAAAACUCCAUGCUUGGUACUCAAAGAGCACCACCAAAAACGAAGCUCCCAAAGGAGUUGCCACCACCAACUUGCCAAGAAGAAGUCUUGCUCUAAUUAAUGUCCAUGUUGCCACCAAAUUCCGAAAACAAGAAUGAAAUAGUCACAUUGGAUACCUGCUAAAGUUCACCCCUCGCAUUGGCAGGGUGCGGAGGGUAAACUGUCAUAAGGGACCACAUGGCCACAUCGCAUGUGCCACCUCCAAUGGCCUCUUUGGCCAAGUUGCGUAGCCUAUGACUCCAUCGGUUGCAUCACCAUCGGUAUCUGCGCCAAAGGGAUCAUGAAGAACAAGACAUAUACGUAGUAGGGGAUGCCAAUUCUCAGCGGAUUAGGCUGGUUGUAAUGGGUAGUAUCAUAUGUUAGUAUCAUGCAUAUGAUACUAGUGUAUGAUACUACAUCCGUAAUGCAUAGUAUAAUAUGUUAGUAUCAUAGUAUAGUUCAUUUAUUGACAUGCAAGACACAUAGUAGCACAUCAUUUAAUAUGAUACGGUAUCAUGAUAUGAUACUCAACCCUCUCUUUCUUCAUUUAAUUCUGUGCCACCUCAUCGAAAUUGCCUAGUUGGCAUGCAUGAUACUACCUAUGAGAUACUCCCAUUACGGGCAGCCUUAGGGCGCCAUCCACUCCUUUGUCGCACCUUGAGGUGCGAGCCAUCACCGCCAUAUGUCCCCUAUAACCAAGACAUGAAAUAGGAUCUCGGUCACACCAUUGGAUGACUAGAACACCUUCCGCUGCAGACGGGAAAAUGGUCAAAUGAUCCACCAUCGUGUCAUGCUGACACGGCAAACCACCACCAGGCAGUUGGGGGGGGGGGGGGGUCCUUCGAUGGAAUUUGGGCUCCGUUGGAGUGCACACUAUCUAGGGCCGCGCCGCUCCCUAGCUGGAGGGCUCCCUGCGGCAAGGUGACGAGCCCACCGCCGUCAGCAGCCUGGUUGGCUUAGCAUGCCGGCUUCUUUCGACGGCGACUUAAUAGGUAGGAGGGCACGGGGGGGAGGCUAGGGUUGCAUGCGAGCCGCCUGAGCGGUGUGAGCAUUUUAUUGACUCUACUAUGGAUGUAUUCCCUCUGUUUUCAUUUAUUCCGCAUAUUUGCUUUGACCUAAGUCAAACUUUAUAAUGGUUGACCUGUUUAUAAAAAAAACUAAGUUUCAUAAUAAAAAUAAAUAUGGUAUGAUAAUAUAUUGAAUGAUGACUCUAAUGGUGUUGAUUUGGUAUCAUGGAUGUUAAUAUUUUUUUGUAUAAACUUGGUCAAAAUUUAAUUUUUUUGACUCUAGACAAAUCUAAUAUGCAAAGUAGAUAAAAAGGGAGGGAGUAAGUACUUAGCAAAGGCAUGCAAGUCUCUUUUAGGGAAUUAACUAAAGCUCUACCAAUUAAUCUGGUGAACGUGAUUAGGUGAACGAAGUGCUUUCCUCAAACAAAGAAUACAUCCUAGAUUGAAACAGUGCACCUAUACCAUAUAUAGCCUAGGUACAAGAACCAACAGAGUAUAUGUUUUAAAUCAGAUCUAAAUCUGGGCUUGUACAUCGUGUGGACAUUAAAUGAGUAUCAAUCUCUUUCCUCACAACACGUCCCAAGAUCGUGUAAGCAAGGUAAUUACUACAACGCAUCAUCUGCUACUACUACAUGCACCAACCAACUUCCUCAGGUUCGUUGGCCUAUAAAUAGCCUGCUAGAACAGCCAUAGGCGAUGUGGAACAACAAAAAGGCAUUGUAACUUCGGCAUGGACUCCAAACUAGUAGCGAUCCUUGUCGCCGGCUUGUUCUUUUGCAUUGCCAACACAGGUAUAGUAUUCCAAACAAUCUCCAAGUCGACAAUCCUAUUACUCCCCAUGCCAUCCACUGUUCAUGAAUCCCCAUGCCAUCCACUGAGACUCUUUUCCUUUCCAGGUGUUCACGCAGGCAAUGCAGAUGCAUCGUUGUGCAGAGCUUCGGAUCUCGUCGUCAACACGAACAUAGAGGCUGGCCCGGGAGGAAGACCUCAGCACUUCGUGAGCGUGAUCAACACGUGCAACUGCGCGCAGAAGAACAUCAAGCUGGCGUGCCCGGGCUUCAACUACACCAUCAAUGUCUUCCCGGCCAGCGCCAUCAGGCGGGACAGCGACGGCGCCAACUGCAUCCUCUUCGGCGGCCGCCCAGUGGGGUCUGCCUGGUCGGUUAGCUUCAUCUACGAGUCGAGCACCAACUUCAGCUUCCAGCCCGUUUCCUCCACCACCGUCUGUUAGAUCGAUCUAUAACGGGUGAAUAGAUAUGAUUGUAUGGCAAAUCUGUUUCGUUUCUUGAGACCAAAAAGAUCUCUCCCUAUUCUGGCAAUAAGAGAUCUGGAGUGUAAUUGGAACUUUUGAAGGGAUCAAGCUCCUCCUUGUAUUUGUCCUCCUUUUCGAAAGGAAAAAGAACUUGGUCGCAGCUUAUGUUUUUCUGCGAAUUUUCUUUAUCUCGUAAUCACAUGUGGUUUCUUCGUUGACAAAUCGGCCCAAUGGGAAUCAUACAUCUUUUUUCUCAACGGGGCAUCCCUCUUUGAAUUAAUUUCUUAACGGAAAUACAAAGUUCGUACAUGAACAUUUAAAUUUGAUCGACAUAUUUAUAGGUUUGUACUAGCAAAAUGGUCUGUGCGUUGCAUCGAGAGAAAAGAAAUCGUAAUCUCUAAUCUCUAAUUAAGCAUUCAUAAAAUGUCAAAAAAGUAUUUGAAAAAGUUUGAACAAUUAUUUGAAAAAAUGCUACUUAAGCAUUGGAAAAAAAUAACAAGUGUUCUAAAAAUCUUAAUCAGGCAUUCAUAAAAUGUUGAAGGUGUAUAAAACAAAUGUUGAUCAUGUCUUUGAAAAAUGAAGAAAUUAUGUGAUCAUGUGUAUAAAAUUUUCAUACAUACUUUUAAAAAAUGUUUAACAAGCAUUUGGAAAAUGUUAAACAAGCAUUUUGAACAUUUUAAUGGUGUAUAUAAAAACUUUUGGCCAUGUAUUAAGAAAUUAUGAGUUUUUUAUCAUUAUAUAAAAAAUGAAAAAGGAAUAAAAAUACGGAGAAGGCAAAAACAAAAAAAACAAAAAAUAAAGGAAAAACAGAGAAAAAUGGCUCUUCUUAGCUCAAGAAAGACGCCACCUACUACUAACCAAAAAAACUAACAACGAACCCCAGGUGGGCAGAGUGGCCAGCAUUGACGUCAUUCAAUCUUGAGUUGCCGGUGUUGAACCCUCCAUGAUUGCAUCUUUUCUCAGUCUUUUCUUUUUAAAGAAGGAUGGUCAUGAGCCGGUCCAGCUACCUGCACGAACGGUGAUUCCUUCAGCGAGAGAGCAGCUUCUGUCUAACCCCCAUAGUUGUCAAACGCAAUCACGUUCAGUCACAUUUUUUUUGCGGGGUGCGUUCAGUUACAUUUCAGUAUGACGGUAUAGCCUUCGCCGGUCGAAGUCCUCUCUCCAUGGAGAACCUCUAUGUCUCACCUUUAGCGAGAUGGAAGGAACCCUCUCUGAAUAAGAGACCAAGAUGUGCCGGCCCAACAGCACGGGUGGCCAUAUCCUCCUUUUUCCUGUUUUUAUUACAUUUUUUCUUUCGUUUUUUCCUUUCUUAUUUAAAUUUUACUUAUACUAUAAAAUAUCUUAAAUAUAUCUCUAAAAAGUGAAUUAAAAUAUUGAAAAUAUGUUAACCGAGCAUGUGAAAAAUGGUAGAUGUGCAUAAAGAAAGUGUUUAUCACGUAUAUGAAAAAUGUAUUAAAAAUGUGUAUAAUUUUUUAGAUAUUGUAUUUGAAAAAUGUUAAUCAAGUAUUUUGAUGUUUUAUGAACAAGUAUUUGAAAACAUUGAUCAAGCAUUUGAAAAAAAUUAAAAGUGUAUAGAAUUUUUGUUUUACAUGCAUUAAAAAUGAUGAAGUUUUUAAUCAUGUAUAUAAAAAUGUUAAUCAAGCAUUCCAAAUUUUUUAUCAAGAAUUUGAAAAAUAUUAAAUAUUUAUAGUAAAAAAUUGACCAUGUAUUAAAAAAUGAUGAACUUCUUUUUCAUGUAUAUCAAAAUGUUAACUAAGCAUUUGGAAAAAAUGUUAAAGAAGUAUUUGAAAAAAAUUCAUCAAGCAUUUAAAAAUGUUGAAUUUGUAUAAGCAAUGUUGGUAGUCUAUUAAAAAAAUAUGAAAUAUUUUCAUUAUAUAUAUAUAUAUAUAAUCGUAAUCAAGCAUUUCCAAAAAUGUUAGACAAACAUUCAGAAAAUAUUAAAUGUGUAUAGAAAAUAUGUUGACCAUGUGUUCAAAAACAUUAAUAUUGCAUAUAUAAAAUAUUAGUCAAGCACUUGAUAAAUGUUAAGUGUGCAUUGUAAAAACAGUGUUUUUUAUUCAAGAUCGUUGAUCAAUCAUUUAAAAAAUGUUAACCAUGUGUAUAGAAAAAUAUAUUGACCAUGCAUUAAAAACUGUUAAACUCAUAUCACAAUAAGUUUAAAUGUCUAUUAGAAAAAUGUUUUGACAUAUAAAAAAUGCAGAAUAAAAAUAUACGAAAAAAUAAAUAGUAAAAACUGAAAAAAUAAAAUAUGAGCCCAAAAAAAUCCGACUAACGCUGAUGAAAAUGAAACAAAUGUAGAAAGAAUUAAACUAAAACUAGAAUAAACUAAAUGUAAAAAAUUUAAAAAUGAAAAAUAAACUAAAACCAAAGAAGAAGAGAAGAGAGGAAACAAAAGAAAACAAGAAAAAACAAAUAAAACGAAGAAACAAAUGAAAUAAACCAAAAAAAAGAAUAAAUAAGAGCAUAAAAACGAAAGAAGGAAGAAAACCGAAUAACACUGAUGAAAAUAGAGAAAGAAAAGAAAAACUAGGGCACACCCUUCUACUUUAUGUCUCAAGUAGGGCACGCCCAACUAAAGAAACACGAGCUCAAGUGUAUCCAAGUGGUUAGGAGGGAGUCCCGGGUUUCCUAUUUUCUUCUGCCUUUUUAUAAGACUAGUAAAUUUGCACAGUUGCACGUUUGAACUACCAUCAGAUAAUUAUCAAACAUGUUUUUUCAUUAUCAUACAAGUUUCAUAACCAAUAAUAGCGUUUGUUGGGCUGAAAGAAAAACAAGAUCACAUGAACAAACUGAAGCGAUCAUCACUAUCUUUAUUAAGUUCAUGUUGUCGAUGGUCGAACAACUAAUCCAAAGACGACAACUUGACGUGUAAUUUUUUUGCUAAUCUUCAUUGCAAGAAAACAAUAAUGUUCAAAUAUACACAAUCUCCAGAACAACAAGAUACGGUAGUUACAUGUCAUUGUUUCAUUGAAACAUCCGACAAAGCACGGAAAAUAGAUGAAUGCUUUAGAAGUUGUUGUGCUACUCGGUAUACUUCAGCAGCAUUUGUACCGGAUGUUGAUUCCAAAGAAAAUACUGAAAGGAGAAAAGGUACAAUAACUAAAGUUACCUACAUAACUCCAUGUAUCAAUACAAAUUUUUUUCAUAUGUACGGUGAUGAACUUCCCUAGAACAAAACAAAAAAGCGAAAGACUAUCAACAAAUAAUCAAUUAAAAAAGGUAACAAGACAGCAUGGUAUAAGUGAGCUUUGCCUUGGUUAGUUCCUACAUCUAGGUGAAAGUUACGCUCCAUCCAACUAAAUGAACAAAUGAGUGUCAUCUAAACCUCAAAGCUUGCAUGCNNNNNNNNNNNNNNNNNNNNNNNNNNNNNNNNNNNNNNNNNNNNNNNNNNNNNNNNNNNNNNNNNNNNNNNNNNNNNNNNNNNNNNNNNNNNNNNNNNNNAUCAGACACGGGGAAUGACGAAUGGGUUCUGGGAGUUCACCCCAGGGGGGGGGGUAACCCACCCCGGGGAAGCCCAUAGGCCUUGAGGGUGGCACACCAGCCCUUAGUGGGCUGGUGGGACAGCCCAAAAGGGCUCUAUGCGCCAAGAAGAGAAAAUCAAGAGAAAAGGAAAAAAAAAGGAGGAGGUGGGAAGGAAGGGGGACUCCCUCCCACCAAACCAAGUCCAACUCGGUUUGGGGGGAGUCCUCCCCCCUUGGACUCGGCCGACCCCCUUGGGGCUCCUUGAGCCCCAAGGCAAGGUCCCCCCCUCUCCCACCUAUAUAUACGGAGGUUUUAGGGCUGAUUUAAGACGACUUUUCCACGGCAGCCCGACCACAUACCUCCACGGUUUUUCCUCUAGAUCGCGUUUCUGCGGAGCUCGGGCGGAGCCCUGCUGAGACAAGGUCAUCACCAACCUCCGGAGCGCCGUCACGCAGCCGGAGAACUCUUCUACCUCUCCGUCUCUCUUGCUGGAUCAAGAAGGCCGAGAUCAUCGUCGAGCUGUACGUGUGCUGAACGCGGAGGUGCCCUCCGUUCGGUACUAGAUCGUGGGACUGAUCGCGGGAUUGUUCGCGGGGCGGAUCGAGGGACGUGAGGACGUUCCACUACAUCAACCGCGUUCACUAACGCUUCUGCUGUACGAUCUACAAGGGUACGUAGAUCACUCAUCCCCUCUCGUAGAUGGACAUCACCAUGAUAGGUCUUCGUGCGCGUAGGAAAUUUUUUGUUUCCCAUGCGACGUUACCCAACAGUGGCAUCAUGAGCUAGGUUCAUGCGUAGAUGUCUUCUCGAGUAGAACACAAAAGUUUUUGUGGGCGGUGAUGUGCGUUUUGCUGCCCUCCUUAGUCUUUUCUUGAUUCCGCGGUAUUGUUGGAUUGAAGCGGCUUGGACCGACAUUACUCGUACGCUUACGAGAGACUGGUUUCAUCGUUACGAGUAACUCCGUUGCUCAAAGAUGGCUGGCAAGUGUCGGUUUCUCCAACUUUAGUUGAAUCGGAUUUGACCGAGGAGGUCCUUGGAUGAGGUUAAAUAGCAACUCAUAUAUCUCUGUUGUGGUGUUUGCGUAAGUAAGAUGCGAUCCUACUAGAUACCCAUGGUCACCACGUAAAACAUGCAACAACAAAAUUAGAGGACGUCUAACUUGUUUUUGCAGGGUAUGCUUGUGAUGUGAUAUGGCCAAUGAUGUGAUGUGAUAUAUUCGAUGUAUGAGAUGAUCAUGUUGUAAUAGAAAUAUCGACUUGCACGUCGAUGGUACGGCAACCGGCAGGAGCCAUAGGGUUGUCUUUAUACUAACGUGUGUGCUUGCAGAUGCGUUUACUAUUUUGCUAGGAUGUAGCUUUAGUAGUAAUAGCAUGAGUAGCACGACAACCCCGAUGGCAACACGUUGAUGGAGAUCAUGGUGUGGCGCCGGUGACAAGAAGAUCGUGCCGGUGCUUUGGUGAUGGAGAUCAAGAAGCACGUGAUGAUGACCAUAUCAUGUCAUUUAUGAAUUGCAUGUGAUGUUAAUCCUUUUAUGCACCUUAUUUUGCUUAGAACGACGGUAGGAUUAUGAGGUGAUCUCUCACUAAAAUUUCAAGACGAAAUUGUGUUCUCCCCGACUGUGCACCGUUGCUACAGUUCGUCGUUUCGAGACACCACGUGAUGAUCGGGUGUGAUAGACUCAACGUUCACAUACAACGGGUGCAAAACAGUUGCGCACGCGGAACACUCGGGUUAAGCUUGACGAGCCUAGCAUGUGCAGACAUGGCCUCGGAACACAUGAGACCGAAAGGUCGAUCAUGAAUCAUAUAGAUGAUAUGAUUAGCAUAGGGAUGCUUACCACUGAAACUAUACUCAACUCACGUGAUGAUCGGACUUGAGCUAGUGUAAGUGGAUCAUGAACCACUCAAAUGACUAGAGAGAUGUACUUUUUGAGUGGGAGUUUAGCGUAUAAUUUGAUUAAGUUAAACUCUAAUUAUCUUGAACAUAGUCUAAGUCCACUUUGAAUGUAUUUGUGUUGUAGAUCAUGGCUCACGCAACAGUCAUCCUGAAUUUUAAUACGUUCCUAGAGAAAGCUAAGUUGAAAGAUGAUGGAAGCAACUUGGUAGACUGGGCUCGUAAUCUUAAGCUAAUCUUACAAGCUGGGAAGAAGGAUUAUGUCCUUAAUGCUGCGUUAGGAGAUGAACCACCCGCUACGGCUGAUCAGGAUGUUAAAAACGCUUGGUUAGCACGUAAGGAGGACUACUCAGUAGUUCAAUGUGCAGUCUUGCAUGGCUUAGAACCGGGACUUCAACGUCGCUUUGAGCGUCAUGGAGCAUUUGAGAUGUUCCAGGAGUUGGAGUUUAUCUUUCAGAAGAACGCCCGGAUCGAGACGUAUUAGACCUCCGAUAAAUUCUAUGCUUGCAAGAUGGAGGAAAACUCAUCUCUCAGUGAACAUGUGCUCAAAAUGUCUGGGUACUCAAACCGUCUAGCUGAGCUGGGGAUUGAACUCCCGCAAGAAGCUAUCACUGACAGAAUCCUUCAAUCACUGCCGCCAAGCUAUAAAGGCUUUGUGUUGAACUACAACAUGCAAGGGAUGAACAAGUCUCCCGGCGAGUUGUUUGCGAUGCUGAAAGUCGCAGAGUCUGAACUCCAUAAAGAGCAUCAAGUGUUGAUGGUGAAUAAGACCACUAGUUUCAAGAGAAACGGCAAAGGCAAGAAGGGCAAUUCGAAGAAGAGCGGCAAGCCUGUUGCCAAUCCGACGAAGAAACCCAAAGCUGGACCUAAGCCGGAAACGGAGUGUUACUAUUGCAAGGGUAUGGGUCAGUGGAAGCGCAAUUGCCCCAAGUAUCUGGCAGAUAAGAAGGCGAGCAAAGAAAAAUCAGGUAUAUUUGAUAUACAUGUUAUUGAUGUGUACUUAACCGGCUCUCGUAGUAGUGCCUGGGUAUUCGAUACCGGUUCUGUUGCUCAUAUUUGCAACUCGAAACAGGAACUGCGGAAUAGGCGAAGGCUGGCGAAAGAUGAAGUGACGAUGCGCGUAGGAAAUGGUUCCAAGGUUGAUGCAAUUGCUGUCGGCACAGUGUCACUUCAGUUACCGUCAGGAUUAGUGAUGAACUUAAAUCAUUGUUAUUUAGUGCCUGCGUUGAGCAUGAACAUUAUAUCUGGAUCUUGUUUAUUGCGAGACGGUUACUCUUUUGAGUCAGAGAAUAAUGGUUGUUCUAUUUCUAUGAGUAACAUCUUUUAUGGUCAUGCACCGAAUGUGAGAGGAUUGUUCAUAUUGAAUCUUGAUAGCGAUACGCAUAUACAUAACAUUGAGACCAAAAGAGUUAGAGUUAACAAUGAUAGCGCCAUAUUUUUGUGGCACUGCCGCUUAGGUCAUAUUGGUGUAAAGCGCAUGAAGAAACUCCAUGCUGAUGGACUUUUGGAGUCACUUGACUUUGAUUCACUUGACACGUGCGAACCAUGCCUCAUGGGCAAGAUGACUAAGAGUCCGUUCUCAGGAACAAUGGAGCAUGCAAGUGACUUGUUGGAAAUCAUACAUACCGAUGUGUGUGGUCCGAUGAGCGUGGAGGCACGCGGCGGAUAUCGUUAUUUUCUCACCUUCACUGACGAUUUAAGUUGAUAUGGUUAUGUCUACUUGAUGAAGCACAAGUCUGAAACAUUUGAAAAGUUCAAGCAAUUUCAGAGUGAAGUGGAAAAUCAUCGUAACAAGAAGAUCAAGUUCCUACGGUCUGAUCGUGGGGGUGAAUAUCUGAGUUUCGAGUUUGGUGCUCACUUAAGACAAUGUGGAAUUGUUUCACAGUUAACACCGCCUGGAACACCACAGCGUAAUGGUGUGUCCGAACGUCGUAAUCGUACUCUAUUAGAGAUGGUGCGAUCUAUGAUGUCUCUUACUGAUUUACCGUUAUCAUUUUGGGGCUAUGCAUUAGAAACAGCUGCAUUCACUUUAAAUAGGGCACCAUCAAAAUCCGUUGAGACGACACCAUGCGAACUGUGGUAUGGCAAAAGGCCAAAGUUGUCGUUUCUUAAAGUUUGGGGAUGUGAUGCUUAUGUCAAAAAGCUUCAGCCUGAAAAGCUGGAACCCAAAGCGGAAAAGUGCGUCUUCAUAGGUUACCAAAAAGAGACAGUUGGGUACACCUUCUAUCUCAAAUCCGAGGGCAAAGUGUUUGUUGCUAAAAACGAAGCUUUUCUCGAGAAGGAGUUUCUCUCGAGAGAAUUGAGUGGGAGGAAGAUAGAACUUGACGAGGUUGUCGAACCUCUCAUCCCUCUGGAUGGUGGCGCAGGGCAAGGGGAAACCUCUGUCAUUGCGACGCCGGUUGAGGAGGAAGUUAAUGAUGAUGAUCAUGAAACUCCAGUUCAAGUUUCUGUCGUACCACGCAGGUCGACGAGACCACGUGCUGCUCCAGAGUGGUACGGUAAUCCCGUCUUAUCAAUCAUGUUGUUAGACAACAAUGAACCUACGAAUUAUGAAGAAGCAAUGGUGGGCCCAGAUUCCAACAAAUGGCUGGAAGCCAUGAAGUCCGAUAUAGGAUCCAUGUAUGAGAACAAAGUGUGGACUUUGGAGGUACUGCCUGAGGGCCGCAAGGCCAUUCAGAACAAAUGGAUCUUUAAGAGGAAGACGGACGCUGACGGUAAUUAAAGCUCGACUUGUGGCAAAGGGUUUUUCACAAGUUUAAGGAGUUGACUACGAUGAGACUUUCUCACCCGUAGCGAUGCUUAAGUCCGUCAGACUCAUGUUAGCAAUAGCUGCAUUUUUCGAUUAUGAAAUCUGGCAGAUGUGUCAAAACGGCGUUCCCUAACGGUUUCCUUGAGGAAGAGUUGUAUAUGAUACAACCCGAAGGUUUUGUCGAUCGUAAGAAUGCUAACAAGGUGUGCAAGCUCCAGCGAUCCAUUUAUGGACUGGUGCAAGCAUCUCGGAGUUGGAACAAACGCUUUGAUGAGGUGAUCAAAGCAUUUGGGUUUAUACAAGUGGUUGGAGAAUCUUGUAUUUACAAGAAAGUGAGUGGGAGCUCUGUGGCGUUUCUAAUAUUAUAUGUGGAUGACAUAUUACUGAUUGGAAACAACGUAGAGUUUUUAGAGAGCAUAAAGGAUUACUUGAAUAAAAGUUUCUCUAUGAAGGACCUAGGAGAAGCUGCUUACAUUCUAGGCAUAAAGAUCUAUAGGGAUAGAUCAAAACGCCUGAUAGGACUUUCACAAAGCACAUACCUUGAUAAAGUUUUGAAGAGGUUCAAAAUGGAACAGUCCAAGAAAGGGUUCUUGCCAGUUCUACAAGGUACGAGAUUGAGUAAGACUCAGUGCCCAGCAACUGAUGAAGAUAGAGAGCAUAUGUGCUCCGUCCCCUAUGCUUCAGCCAUAGGUUCUAUCAUGUAUGCGAUGCUGUGCACUAGACCGGAUGUUAGCUUGGCCAUAAGUAUGGCAGGUAGGUUCCAGAGUAAUCCAGGAGUGGAUCACUGGACAGCGGUCAAGAAUAUCCUGAAGUACCUGAAAAGGACUAAGGAGAUGUUUCUCGUGUAUGGAGGUGACGAAGAGCUCGCCGUAAAAGGUUACGUUGAUGCAAGCUUUGACACAGAUCCGGACGACUCUAAGUCGCAAACCGGAUACGUAUUUAUUCUUAAUGGGGUGCAGUAAGCUGUUGCAGUUCCAAGCAAAGCGUCGUAGCAGAUUCUACAUGUGAAGCGGAGUACAUGGCUGCCUCGGAGGCGGCUAAGGAGGGUGUCUGGAUGAAGCAGUUCAUGACGGAUCUUGGAGUGGUGUCAAGCGCACUGAAUCCAAUAACCUGGUUCUGUGACAACACUGGUGCCAUUGCCUUAGCAAAGGAACCACAGUUUCACAAGAAGACCAUACACAUCAAACGACGCUUCAACCUCAUCCGCGACUACGUCGAGGGAGAGGACGUGAAUAUAUGCAAAGUGCACACGGAUCUGAAUGUAGCGGACCCGCGGACUAAACCUCUUCCACGGCCAAAGCAUGAUCAACACCAGAACUGUAUGGUUGUUAGAUUUAUUACAAUGUAAUUCACAUGGUGAUGUGAGGGCUAGAUUAUUGACUCUAGUGCAAGUGGGAGACUGUUGGAAUUAUGCCCUAUAGGCAAUGAUAAAUAUAGUUAUUAUUGUAAUUCCUGUAUCAAGAUAAUCGUUUAUUAUCCAUGCUAUAAUUGUAUUGAAUGAAGACUCAUUUACAUGUGUGGAUACAUAGACAAAACACCGUCCCUAGCAAGCCUCUAGUUGGCUAGCCAGUUGAUCAAAGAUAGUCAGUGUCUUCUGAUUAUGAACAAGGUGUUGUUGCUUGAUAACUGGAUCACGUCAUUAGGAGAAUCACGUGAUGGACUAGACCCAAACUAAUAGACGUAGCAUGUUGAUCGUGUCAUUUUGUUGCUACUGUUUUCUGCGUGUCAAGUAUUUAUUCCUGUGACCAUGAGAUCAUAUAACUCACUGACACCGGAGGAAUGCUUUGUGUGUAUCAAACGUCGCAACGUAACUGGGUGACUAUAAAGAUGCUCUACAGGUAUCUUCGAAGGUGUUAGUUGAGUUAGUAUGGAUCAAGACUGGGAUUUGUCACUCCGUGUGGACGGAGAGGUAUCUCGGGGCCCACUCGGUAAUACAACAUCAUACACAAGCCUUGCAAGCAAUGUAACUUAGUAUAAGUUGCGGGAUCUUGUAUUACGGAACGAGUAAAGAGACUUGCCGGUAAACGAGAUUGAAAUAGGUAUACGGAUACUGACGAUCGAAUCUCGGGCAAGUAACAUACCGAAGGACAAAGGGAAUGACAUACGGGAUUAUAUGAAUCCUUGGCACUGAGGUUCAAACGAUAAGAUCUUCGUAGAAUAUGUAGGAUCCAAUAUGGGCAUCCAGGUCCCGCUAUUGGAUAUUGACCGAGGAGUCUCUCGGGUCAUGUCUACAUAGUUCUCGAACCCGCAGGGUCUGCACACUUAAGGUUCGACGUUGUUUUAUGCGUAUUUGAGUUAUAUGGUUGGUUACCGAAUGUUGUUCGGAGUCCCGGAUGAGAUCACGUACGUCACGAGGGUUUCCGGAAUAGUCCGGAAACGAAGAUUGAUAUAUAGGAUGACCUCAUUUGAUUACCGGAAGGUUUUCGGAGUUACCGGGAAUGUACCGGAAAUGACGAAUGGGUUCCGGGAGUUCACCGGGGGGGGGGGGCAACCCACCCCGGGGAAGCCCAUAGGCCUUGAGGGUGGCACACCAGCCUUAGUGGGCUGGUGGGACAGCCCAAAAGGGCUCUAUGCGCCAAGAAGAGAAAAUCAAGAGAAAAGGAAAAAAAGGAGGAGGUGGGAAGGAAGGGGGACUCCCUCCCACCAAACCAAGUCCAACUCGGUUUGGGGGGGGAGUCCUCCCCUCUUGGACUCGGCCGACCCCCUUGGGGCUCCUUGAGCCCCAAGGCAAGGUCCCCCCUCUCCCACCUAUAUAUACGGAGGUUUUAGGGCUGAUUUGAGACGACUUUUCCACGGCAGCCCGACCACAUACCUCCACGGUUUUUCCUCUAGAUCGCGUUUCUGCGGAGCUUGGGCGGAGCCCUGCUGAGACAAGGUCAUCACCAACCUCCGGAGCGCCGUCACGCUGCUGGAGAACUCUUCUACCUCUCCGUCUCUCUUGCUGGAUCAAGAAGGCCGCGAUCAUCGUCGAGCUGUACGUGUGCUGAACGUGGAGGUGUCGUCCGUUCGGUACUAGAUCGUGGGACUGAUCGCGGGAUUGUUCGCGGGGCGGAUCGAGGGACGUGAGGACGUUCCACUACAUCAACCGCGUUCACUAACGCUUCUGCUGUACGAUCUACAAGGGUACGUAGAUCACUCAUCCCCUCUCGUAGAUGGACAUCACCAUGAUAGGUCUUCGUGCGCGUAGGAAAUUUUUUGUUUCCCAUGCGACGUUACCCAACAUCAUGAGCUAGGUUCAUGCGUAGAUGUCUUCUCGAGUAGAACACAAAAGUUUUUGUGGGCGGUGAUGUGCGUUUUGCUGCCCUCCUUAGUCUUUUCUUGAUUCCGCGGUAUUGUUGGAUCGAAGCGGCUCGGACCGACAUUACUCGUACGCUUACGAGAGACUGGUUUCAUCGCUAUGAGUAACUCCGUUGCUCAAAGAUGACUGGCAAGUGUCGGUUUCUCCAACUUUAGUUGAAUCGUAAUUGACCGAGGAGGUCCUUGGAUGAGAUUAAAUAGCAAUUCAUAUAUCUCCGUUGUGGUGUUUACGUAAGUAAGAUGCGAUCCUACUAGAUACCCAUGGUCACCACGUAAAACAUGCAACAACAAAAUUAGAGGACGUCUAACUUGUUUUUGCAGCGUAUGAUUGUGAUGUGAUAUGGCCAAACGAUGUGAUGUGAUAUAUUGGAUGUAUGAGAUGAUCAUGUUGUAAUAGUUAAUAUCGACUUACACGUCGAUGGUACGGCAACCGGCAGGAGCCAUAGGGUUGUCUUUAAACUAACGUUUGUGCUUGCAGAUGCGUUUACUAUAUUGCUAGGACGUAGCUUUAGUAGUAAUAGCAUGAGUAGCAUGACAACCCCGAUGGCGACACGUUGAUGGAGAUCAUGGUGUGACGCCGGUGACAAGAAGAUCGUGCCGGUGCUUUGGUGAUGGAGAUCAAGAAGCGCAUGAUGAUGGCCAUAUCAUGUCACUUAUGUAUUGCAUGUGAUGUUAAUCCUUUUUUGCACCUUAUCUUGCUUAGAACGACGGUAGCAUUAUGAGGUGAUCUCUCACUAAAAUUUCAAGACGAAAUUGUGUUCUCCCCGACUGUGCACCGUUGCGACAGUUCUUCGUUUCGAGACACGACGUGAUGAUCGGGUGUGAUAGACUCAACGUUCACAUACAACGGGUGCAAAACAGUUGCACACGCAGAACACUCGGGUUAAGCUUGACGAGCCUAGCAUGUGCAGACAUGGCCUCGGAACACAUGAGACCGAAAGGUCGAGCAUGAAUCGUAUAGUUGAUAUGCUUAGCAUAGAGAUGCUUACCACUGAAACUAUUCUCGACUCACGUGAUGAUCGGACUUGAGAUAGUGGAUUUGGAUCAUGUACCACUCAAAUGACUAGAGAGAUGUACUUUUUGAGUAGGAGUUCUUAAGUAAUAUGAUUAAUUGAACUAAUUGUCGUGAACAUAGUCUAAAGGUCUUUGCAAAUUACGAUGUAGCUUGCGCUAUAGCUCUACUGUUAUUAUAUGUUCCUAGAGAAAAUUUAGUUGAAAGUUGAUAGUAGCAAACUUUGAAGAGGAUUGUCCUCGUUGCUGCGCAGAAGGCUUAUGUCCUUAAUUCACCACUCGGUGUGCUGCACCUCGAGCGUCGUCUGUGGAUGCUGUGAACAUCCGACAUACACGUUUCUGAUGACUACACGAUAGUUCAGUGCAAAAUACUUAAUGGCUUAGAAGCAAGGCACCGAAGACGUUUUGAAACGUCGCGGAACAUAAGUGAUGUUCUAAAGAGAUGAAAUUGUGAUUUCAUGCUCGUGCCGUUGUUGAGAGGUACGAGACCUCCGACAAGAUUCUUUGUCCACAAAGUAAAGGAGAAAAGCUCAAUCUUUGAGCGUGUGCUCAGAUUGUCUGAGUACGACAAUCACUUGAAUCAAGUGGGAGUUAAUCUUCCAGAUGAGAUAGUGAUGGUUCUCCAAAGUCACUGCCACCAAGCUGUGAGAGCUUCGUGAUGAACUAUAACAUAUCAAGGAUAGAUACAAUGAUGCUUGAGCGAUUUGCGAUGUUUGACACUGCGAAAGUAGAAAUCAAGAAGGAGCAUCAAUAGUUGAUGGUUUGUAAAACCACUAAGUUUCAAGAAAGGCAAGGGCUAGAAGGGAUACUUCGUGAAACGGCAAAACAGUUGCUGCACUAAUGAAGAGACCCAAGGUUAAACCCAAACCCGAGACUAAGUGCUUCUGUAAUGAGGGGAACAGUCACUGAGGCGGAGCAACUCUAGAUACUUGGUAGAUAAGAAGGCUGGCAAAAGUCGAAAGAAGUAUAUUUGAUAUACAUGAUGUUGAUGUGUACUUUACUAGUACUCCUAGUAGCAUGAGCGUAUUGGAUACCGGUUCGGUUGCUAAGUGAUUAGUAACACAAAAUGAAAGCUACGUCAUAAACAGAGACUAGCUAAAGGCGAGGUGACGAUACGUGUUGGAAGUGUUUCCAAGGUUGAUAUGAUCAAACGUCGCACGCUCCCUCUACCAUCGGGAUUGGUGUUAACCCUAAUAAAUUGUUAUUUGGUGCUUGCGUUAAGCAUGAACAUGAUUGGAUCGUGUUUAUUGCAACACGAUUAUUCAUUUAAAGAGAAUAAUGGUUACUCUAUUUUCUUGAAUAAUCACCUUCAAUGGUUUAUUGAAUCUCGAUCGUAGUGUUACACAUGUUCAUGAUAUUGGUGCCAAAAGAUACGAGGUAAUGAUGAUAGUACCACUUACUUGUGGCACUGUCGCUUGAGUCAUGUUGGUAUAAAUUGCAUGAAGAGGCUCCAUGCUGAUGGAUCUUUAUACUCACUUGAUUUUGAAUCACUAGUGACAUGCAAAUCAUACCACAUGAGCAAGGCCUUGUUUUCAUUGAGAUGAAAUAAGAUAGUAACUUGUUGGAAGUGAUACAUUUUGAUGUAUGCAGUCCAAUGGGUGCUGAGGCACGCAGUGGAUAUCAUUGUGUUCUUACUUCAAUGACGAUUUGAGUAGAUACUAGAGUAUUUGCUUAAUGAAUCACAAGUCUGAAAUAUUGAAAAGUUCAAUUCUGUUUCGGAGUGAAGUUCGUCGUAACAAGAGGAUAAAUUGUCUACGAUAUGAUCAUUGAAAUGAAUAUCUGAGUUACGAGUUUUGGUACGCAGUUAAGACAAUGUGGAAAUUGUUUCGCGGUUCAUGCCACCUAGAACAUCAUAGUGUGAUGAUGUGUCUGAACGUCAUAGCCACACACUAUUUGGUAUGGUGCAUGCUAUGAUGUCUCUUAUCGAAUUACCACUAUCGUUUAUGGGUUAAGCAUUAGAGACAACUGCAUUCACUUUAAAUAGGGCACCACGUAUUUCCUUUGAGAUGACACAGUAUAGACUGAGGUUUAGAGAAAUCUAAACUGUCGUUUCUUGAAAGUUUGGGAUUUCGACACUUAUGUGAAAAAGUUUCAGUCUAAUAAGCUCGAACCCAAAGCGGAUAAAUGCAUCUUCAUAGGAUAUCCAAAACAGUUGGGUACAUCUCCUAUCUCAGAUCCGAAGGCAAAGUGUUUGUUUCUAGAAACGGAUCCUUUCUCGAGGAAAGGUUUCUCUCGAAAGAAUUGAGUGGGAGGGUGGUAGAACUUGAUGAGGUUACUGAACCAUCACUUCGACCAGUGUGUAGCAGGGCGCAGGAAGUUGUUCCUGUGGCGCCUACACCAAUUGAAGUGAAAGCUGAUGAUGGUGAUCAUCGAGCAUCGGAUCAAGUUACUACAAGCCUCGUAGGUUGACAAGGUCGCGUACUACUACAGAGUGGUACGGUAACCCUGUCUUGGAGGUCAUGCUGUUGAGCAACAGUGAACCUACGAGUUAUGGAGAAAGCAAUGGUGGGCCCAGAUUCCGACAAAUGGCUGGAAGCCAUGAAAUCCGAGAGAGGAUCCAUGUAUGAAAACAAAGUGUAGACUUUGGAAGAACUACUUGAUGGUCAUAGGACUAUUGAGUAAAGAUGGAUCUUUAAAAGGAAGACAGACGAUGAUGGUGAUAAGUCACUAUUAAGAAAAGCUCGACUUGUCGCAAAGAUGUUUCUGACAAGAUCAAACAGUUGACUAUGAUGAGACUUUCUCACUCGUAGCGAUGCUAAAAGUCUGUUAGAAUUAUGUUAGUAGUUGCUGCAUUAUUUAUGAAAUAUUGCAUGUAGGAUGUCAAAACAUUGUUUCCUCGACGGUUUCCUUGAGAAAACAUUGUAUGAGAUACAACAAUGAGGUUUUGUCAAUCCUAAAGAUACUAGCAAAUAUGCAAACUCAAGCGAUCCUUCAAUGGACUGGUGCAAGCAUCUCGGAGUUGGAAUAUACACUUUGAUGAGAUGAUUAAAGAUUUUGGGUUUAUACAAGGUUUAUGAGAAAUUUGUAUUUCCAAAGAAGUGAGUGGGAGCACUAUAGAAUUUCUGAUAAGUAUAUGUGGUUGACAUAUUGUGGAUCAAAAGUAAUGUAGAAUUUCUGUAAAGCAUACAAGGUUGUUUGAAAGGAGUUUUCAAAGGAAUACCUAGAUUGAGCUACUUGAACGUUGAGCAUCAAGAUCUAUGGAGAUAGAUCAAAACGCUUAAUAGAAGUUUCAACAAAAUCGCAUGCCUUGACAAGUUUUUGAAGGAGUUCAAAAUAGAUCAGCAAAGAAGGAGUUCUUGGUUGUGUUGUAAGGUGUGGAUUUGAGUAAGACUCAAAACCCGACCACGGCAGAAUAAAGAGAAUAGACGAAGGUCGUCUUCUAUGCCUUAGCCGUAGACUCUAAAGUAUGUCAUGCUGAGUACCGCACCUAMUGUGUGCCUUGCACUCUGUUGAGAGGUACAGAGAGUGAUCCAUGAUUGAAUCACUAGCAGCGGUCAAAAUUUAUCCUUAGUAACUGAUAGACUAAGGAAUUUUUCUCGAUUAUGGAGGUGGUUAAAGAGUUUGUCGUAAAGGGUUACGUCAAUGCAAGCUUUGACACUAAUCCAGAUAACUAUGAGUAGUGAAACGGAUUCGUAUAGUAGAGUAGAUAUUUGGAGCAUUUCCGAAUAGCACGUAGUAGCAGCAUCUAUAAGAUGACAUAAAGAUUUGUAAAGAACGCACGAAUCUGAAAGUUUCAGAACCGUUGAGUAAAACCUCUCUCACGAGCAAGACGUGAUCACACCCCAUAACUAUAUGGGUGUUGGAUUCGUUGGAAUCACAUGGUGAUGUGAACUAGAUUAUUGACUCUAGUGCAAGUGGGAGACUGUUGGAAAUAUGCCCUUGAGGCAAUAAUAAAUUAGUUAUUAUUAUAUUUCUUUGUUCAUGAUAAUCGUUUAUUAUCCAUGCUAUAAUUGUAUUGAUUGGAAACACACUACUUGUGUGGAUACAUAGACAAAACACUGUCCCUAGUAAGCCUCUAGUUGACUAGCUCGUUGAUCAAACAUGGCCAAGGUUUCCUGGCCAUAGGCAAGUGUUGUUACUUGAUAACGGGAUCACAUCAUUAGGAGAAUCAUGUGAUGGACUAGACCCAAACUAAUAGACGUAGCAUGUUGAUCGUGUCAUUUUGUUGCUACUGUUUUCUGCAUGUCAAGUAUUUGUUCCUAUGACCAUGAGAUCAUAUAACUCACUGACACCGGAGGAAUGCUUUGUGUGUAUCAAACGUCGCAACGUAACUGGGUGACAAUAAAGAUGCUCUACAGGUAUCUCCGAAGGUGUUAGUUGAGUUAGUAUGGAUCGAGACUGGGAUUUGUCACUCCGUGUGACGGAGAGGUAUCUCGGGGCCCACUCGGUAAUACAACAUCACACACAAGCCUUGCAAGCGAUGUGACUUAGUGUAAGUUGCGGGAUCUCGUAUUACGGAACGAGUAUAGAGACUUGCCGGUAAACGAGAUUGAAAUAGGUAUGCGGAUACUGACGAUCGAAUCUCGGGCAAGUAACAUACCGAAGGACAAAGGGAAUGACAUACGGGAUUAUAUGAAUCCUUGGCAUUGAGGUUCAAACGAUAAGAUCUUUGUGGAAUAUGUAGGAUCCAAUAUGGGCAUCCAGGUCCCGCUAUUGGAUAUUGACCGAGGAGUCUCUCGGGUCAUGUCUACAUAGUUCUCGAACCCGCCGGGUCUGCACACUUAACGUUCGACGUUGUUCUAUGCGUAUUUGAGUUAUAUGGUUGGUUACUGUCGUGGUUUUGUCACGGCAGAUGUCCUCGUGAAAGGACUUAAUACUGGAGCCAUCGCACCUUGGUGGCAACUCAAAGGGGUUAAGCGGGAGAGACACGGCGAUUUACCCAGGUUCGGCCCCUCGAGAAGAGGUAAUAGCUUACGUCCUGCUUUUGUGUGUAUUGAUAUGGAUUCGAUUACAAGAAAGGCGUAACUCGCCUAAACCUAGCACUCGAUGAUUUCUAACCUACCUCUCCCCCUCCAGACUCGCCUUUAUAUAUAGGUCGAAGCCUUAGGGUUUACAAGAGUCCCUUCCUUUUUACAAAUCGUGACCACCGCGGUCUCUAAGUCACCGUCUUGCAAAACCCAGAGUCCUUCCAUAAAUCAUAACCAUCCUGCGACUUUGAACCGCCCAGGCUGAGGCCCAACUAGCCCUAAAGGAUGAAUCGCCUUAACUGUAACCCGGCCCAUAUUCGGCGGGUCACUUAACAGGCAAUAUCCCCAACAUUAGGCCCCAAAUUGACUUGAAUCUUCAUGCCAAUGCUACCAUUUUAGUCGAAGGCGAUUCACUCUUCUGUGUUCCUCCGUACACCAGAAAUCUUAACUCGCCAACUGGUACCGGAAAAAGUCUCUGAGCCGCCAACGCAUUUCCCAUCAGUACUUUCCUUAGCCCUCGAUUUUCGGGAACUCCAACACAAUCCCAACGGAUAUUUUAGUGCGUCAUUAUCCCAAAAUUUUCGGACGUCAUCAUGGCGAAUCUUUCCUUCCUCGACGGUUCCCGCUCAUAGCGCCUCGAUCCCCGCGCCCGUCCUGAUAAAUAGGCGGAAGGGACAGGGCUGACACCGGCCACCUACCAGUCUCGUCAAUCCCUCCACCAUCAUCUCAGCGAGAAGAAACGCUCCGCAUCCCGAAGGCUUUGCCGCCGGCCGCAAUCUCCACCCCCGCGUGUCUGAUNNNNNNNNNNNNNNNNNNNNNNNNNNNNNNNNNNNNNNNNNNNNNNNNNNNNNNNNNNNNNNNNNNNNNNNNNNNNNNNNNNNNNNNNNNNNNNNNNNNNAUCAGACACGUAAUUAUCCCAUUUUAGAGGAAAACAAGCUAAGUAUAUAAUAUUAAUAAGCUAACCAAGGUUCUUAUGCCAUUUUCAGCUUAUUAUGGUAUUUUGGAGCUAAAUGGGCUAAUUAUGUCAUUGUUGGGUUAAUUAAAGCAAGGAUAAUAUGAAAGAGGAGAAGAAAGAGGAGGAGGAGGAGAAGAAGAAGAAAUCAAGAAGAAGGAGGAGGAGGAGGAGAGAGGAGAAGGAUAGAAGGUCCUUGGCCUUCUCCUCCUCCUCCUCCUCCUCCUUCUCCUUCUUCUCUUCUUCUUCUUCUUCUUCUUCUUUCUUUUCAUUUUGCCUAUUUCUUCUCCUCUUCUCCUCUUGUUGGAGCUAAAUUACCUAAUUAUGUCUUUUUUGAGCUAAAUGGGCUAAUUAUCCCAUUUUAGAGGAAAACUAGCUAAGUAUAUAAUAUUAAUAAGCUAACCAAGGUUCUUAUGCCAUUUUGAGCUUAUUAUGGUAUUUUGGAGCUAAAUGGGCUAAUUAUGUCAUUGUUGNNNNNNNNNNNNNNNNNNNNNNNNNNNNNNNNNNNNNNNNNNNNNNNNNNNNNNNNNNNNNNNNNNNNNNNNNNNNNNNNNNNNNNNNNNNNNNNNNNNNGAUGACCAGUAGAAAUGACCAUGCGUUGCAUCGGGCAAGAAAAAAAAUACAAAACCUUCUUGUUAUAUCAUUAUGCGGCAUUAAUUGUAAUAAACAUGUAUAAUAAUGUUAAAUGUUUUUUAAAAAAAAUAUUAGGUACUGCUUACAUAAAAAAUGGAUGAAUUUUUUAUAAUAGUUAUAUUUUUUGUUAAAUUUUUAAAUUUCUUGUAAAAGAUAAAUUGUUAAACAUUUUUUUCAAAAGGAUCUUUUAUUGUGGGGUAAUAAUGUUGUUUUUUUGAUGGGUAAUGGCAUUUUUAUGUAGAACAUAUUUCCAUAAAUAUUUUUGAAUCAUAUUUUCUUAUUUUUUUGCACAACUUGCUUCAUGUGCCAUUAUGCAUCAUUUUUAUAUGGAUUUUUAAUAAUUGUUGAUGAUAAGUUAAAUGUUAAAUUAUUUAAAAUUGAUGUAUGCAUAAAAAUUGUAAUACUUUCUAGGAAGUAUUGUUUUAUGAAUUUUUUGCUUUUCUUUGUAAAAGGAACUUUUUUAAAAUAAUUUUUUUCUUUAACAUUUUAUGAAUUUUGGGCUUGACCCAAACAACUCGCAGUACAAUAACAAUUGACGGUAUUAAAAAAACAUUAUCGUUUGGUACAGAAAAUGCAGCAUCAUCUCUUUCGUCUCUCCCGUUCCCAUUUCAUUUUUCGCAUUGGCUACCUGUUUCCUCUGCAUCGAGGCUACACCAAACCCGCACGGCCCGAGCGAAAAAACAUCACCACACCACGAGCAUUGGCUCGNNNNNNNNNNNNNNNNNNNNNNNNNNNNNNNNNNNNNNNNNNNNNNNNNNNNNNNNNNNNNNNNNNNNNNNNNNNNNNNNNNNNNNNNNNNNNNNNNNNNCCUUUUCAAAGAAAAGCAAAAAAUUCAUAAAAACAAUACUUCCUAGAAAGUAUUACAAUUUUAUGCAUACAUCAAUUUUUAAAAUAAUUUAACAUUUAACUUAUCAUCAACAAUUAUUAAAAAUCCAUAUAAAAAUGAUGCAUAAUGGCACAUGAAGCAAGUUGUGCAAAAAAAUAAGAAAAUAUGAUUCAAAAAAUAUUUAUGGAAAUAUGUUCUACAUAAAAAUGCCAUUACCCAUCMAAAAAACAACAUUAUUACCCCACAAUAAAAGAUCCUUUUGAAAAAAAUGUUUAACAAUUUAUCUUUUACAAGAAAUUUAAAAAUUUAACAAAAAUAUAACUAUUAUAAAAAUUCAUCCAUUUUUAUGUAAGCAGUACCUAAUAUUUUUUAAAAACAUUUAACAUUAUUAUACAUGUUUAUUACAAUUAAUGCCGCAUAAUGAUAUAACAAGAAGGUUUUGUAUUUUUUUUCUUGCCCGAUGCAACGCAUGGUCAUUUCUACUGGUCAUCUAUACAAUAGGGGUGAACCAGAGUUUUUGGUUUGGGACUUCUUUGGGUUUGGGACUCUUUUCGUCCUACACCGAGAUGGCCAAAUUUUGGUAUUUCAAAAAAAUUGGUUAGAAUUUUUACCAACAUUUAACCAAAAAUUGGAGGAAAUUUGAUCAAAAUCCACUUCUCGGCUGAAAGCUAUGUUUCGUCCGAGGCCGAGAUGGCCNNNNNNNNNNNNNNNNNNNNNNNNNNNNNNNNNNNNNNNNNNNNNNNNNNNNNNNNNNNNNNNNNNNNNNNNNNNNNNNNNNNNNNNNNNNNNNNNNNNNAUCAGACACGCCUUGCCUUGGGGCUCAAGGAGCCCCAAGGGGGUCGGCCGAGCCAAGGGGGAAGGUCUCCCCCUCCCAAACCGAGUCCUACUUGGUUUGGAAGGUGGAGUCCUUCUUCCCUUUCCCACCUCCUCCUUUUUUUUUCUUUUCUCUUUGAUUUUCUUCCUAUGGCGCAUAGGGCCUUCUUGGGCUGUCCCACCAGCCCACUAAGGGCUGGUGUGCCACCCCCAAGGCCUAUGGGCUUCCCCGGGGUGGGUUGCCCCCCCCCCCCCCCGGUGAACCUCCCGGAACCCAUUCGUCAUUCCCGGUAACUCCGAAAACCUUCCGGUAAUCAAAUGAGGUCAUCCUAUAUAUCAAUCUUCGUUUCCGGACCAUUCCGGAAACCCUCGUGACGUCCGUGAUAUCAUCCGGACUCCGAACAACAUUCGGUAACCAACCAUAUAACUCAAAUACGCAUAAAACAACGUCGAACCUUAAGUGUGCAGACCCUGCGGGUUUGAGAACUAUGUAGACAUGACCCGAGAGACUCCUCGGUCAAUCGUGUCUGAUNNNNNNNNNNNNNNNNNNNNNNNNNNNNNNNNNNNNNNNNNNNNNNNNNNNNNNNNNNNNNNNNNNNNNNNNNNNNNNNNNNNNNNNNNNNNNNNNNNNNAUCAGACACGGUAGCAUGUUGAUCGUGUCAUUUUGUUGUUACUGUUUUCUGCGUGUCAAGUAUUUGUUCCUAUGACCAUGAGAUCAUAUAACUCACUGACACCGGAGGAAUGCUUUGUGUGUAUCAAACGUCGCAACCUAACUGGGUGACUAUAAAGAUGCUCUACAGGUAUCUCCGAAGGUGUUCAUUGAAUUAGUAUGGAUCGAGACUGGGAUUUGUCACUCCGUGUGACGGAGAGGUAUCUCGGGGCCCAMUCAGRYACGGUACAACAUCACACACAAGCCUUGCAAGCAAAGUGACUUAGUGUAAGUUGCGGGAUCUUGUAUUACGGAACGAGUAAAGAGACUUGCCGGUAAACGAGAUUGAAAUAGGUAUGUGGAUACUGACGACCGAAUCUCGGGCAAGUAACAUACCGAAGGACAAAGGGAAUGACAUACGAGAUUAUAUGAAUCCCUGGCACUGAGGUUCAAACGAUAAGAUCUUCGUAGAAUAUGUGGGAUCCAAUAUNNNNNNNNNNNNNNNNNNNNNNNNNNNNNNNNNNNNNNNNNNNNNNNNNNNNNNNNNNNNNNNNNNNNNNNNNNNNNNNNNNNNNNNNNNNNNNNNNNNNGACAACUAUGGGGUUAGACAGAAGCUGCUCUCUCGCUGAAGGAAUCACCGUUCGUGCAGGUAGCUGGACCGGCUCAUGACCAUCCUUACUUUAAAAAGAAAAGACUGAGAAAAGAUGCAAUCAUGGAGGUUCAACACCGGCAACUCAAGAUUGAAUGACGUCAAUGCUGGCCACUCUGCCCACCUGGGGUUCGUUGUUAGUUUUUUUGGUUAGUAGUAGGUGGCGUCUUUCUUGAGCUAAGAAGAGCCAUUUUUCUCUGUUUUUCCUUUAUUUUUGUUUUUUUGUUUUGCCUUCUCCGUAUUUUUAUUCCUUUUUCAUUUUUAUAUAAUGAUAAAAAACUCAUAAUUUCUUAAUACAUGGCCAAAAGUUUUUAUAUACACCAUUAAAAUGUUCAAAAUGCUUGUUUAACAUUUUCCAAAUGCUUGUUAAACMKUKUYURAWAGUAUGUAUGAAAAUUUUAUACACAUGAUCACAUAAUUUCUUCAUUUUUCAAAGACAUGAUCAACAUUUGUUUUAUACACCUUCAACAUUUUAUGAAUGCCUGAUUAAGAUUUUAGAACACUUGUUAUUUUUUCCAAUGCUUAAGUAGCAUUUUUUCAAAUAAUUGUUCAAACUUUUUCAAAUACUUUUUUGACAUUUUAUGAAUGCUUAAUUAGAGAUUAGAGAUUACGAUUUCUUUUCUCUCGAUGCAACGCACAGACCAUUUGCUAGUACAAACCUAUAAAUAUGUCGAUCAAAUUUAAAUGNNNNNNNNNNNNNNNNNNNNNNNNNNNNNNNNNNNNNNNNNNNNNNNNNNNNNNNNNNNNNNNNNNNNNNNNNNNNNNNNNNNNNNNNNNNNNNNNNNNNCGCCAAGCCCCCUGGCGCGCCCUGAUGUCUAGUGGGUCCCCUGGCCCACCUCUGCCGAUCAUCUUCUUGUAUAAAUUCUCUUUUACCCUGAAAAAAAAGAGGAGGACUUUCGAGAAGAAGCACCGCCAUCUCGGGGCAAAAACCUUGAUAGGAGCACUUUUGCCCUCCGGCGGAACGAUUCCGUCGGAGAAACUUACCUCCCGGAGGAGGAAGUCGAGGCCAUCAUCAUCACCAGCAACCCUCUCAUCUUGGAUAGGCCAAUCUUCAUCAACAUCUUCAUCAGCACCAUCUCCUCUCAAAACCCUGGUUUAUCUCUUGUACUCAAUCUUAUACCGGAACCUCGGAUUGGUACCUGGGCUGUGACUAGUAGUGUUGAUUACAUCUUGUAGUUGAUGCUUUAUGGUUUAUUUGGUGGAAGACCAUAUGUUCAGAUCCAUUAUGCUAUUUAAUACCUCUUUGAUCAUGAAUAUGUUUAUCACUUGUGAGUAGUUACUCUUGUUCUCGAGGCCAGGAGAGGGAUCAUGUUGUAAGCAGUCAUGUGAAGUUGAUAUUCAUUUGAUAUUUCGAUGAUAUGAAUAUUGUGAUUCCCUUAUGGGUGUUAUGUGAACCUCGACUAUAUAAUAAUUCACCAUCUUUGGGCCUAUGGAAAUGUAUUGUGGAGUAGUAAUUAGAGGGAGGGUUGCGAGAGUGACAAAAACUUAAACCCCCGUCUAUUGACUACUCCGUAAGGGGCUGAUUUGGAUCCCUAUGUUUAAUGCUAUGAUUCGAAUUUAUCCUUAAUACUUUUCUCAUAGUUACGGAUGCUUGCGGGAGGGUUAAUCAUAAGUGGGAGGUUGUUGAAGUAAGAACAACACCCAAGCACCGUUCCAGCCACAUAUUAAAUUAUCAAAAUACCAAACGUGAAUUAACCCAAUAUGAUGAAAGUGACUAGAUGAAAAUCCCGUGUGCCCUCAAGAACGCUUUGCCUAUUAUAAAAAAAUGUUCUGGCUUGUCCUUUGCCACAAAAGUAUUGGGCUACCUUGCUCCACCUGUUGUUACUAUGGCUACUUGUUUUUGUUACAAUUAUCUUGAUAUCAAACAACUUGUUACCCCUAUUUCAGUGUUUGUAUAAAUUACCUUACUGAAAAUCGCUUGUCAUUUUUUUCUGCUCCUCGUUGGGUUUGAAACUCUUACUUAUUAAAAGGACUAUGAUUGACAACCUAUACUUGUGGGUCAUCAAGGGACAAACUUGACUUUGCAAGGGUGGACUGGCCGGCCCACGAGAUUCCACUUAAAGAAGGAUGACGACCCGAACAUUGAUGGCUGACGACCGGGACCCGCCACACGUGCGCAUUUACUUUGGCUGUGGGGGUAGUUGAAAGGCCGCCACGCGUCCCAAGACGAACAAGGAGAAAGUGCGUGUACGUCCGUUCAGCGUCUGUGUGGCCGAAAAUGGGGUGAGCCGGACUCACUCGUCAGGUCCAACGGACGACAUAGUCCAACGCGACCCACUCAUCAGCAGUUAACGGUCAAACCAUGGACCCGUCGACAUCCUUCAUUGUGACCAUUUUUAUGGGUUUCAGACAAUAAAGUAAGAAAAAACUGAGCAAACGUUAAAAGCAUAGGAAUGAAUGAGUACAGUUAAGAAACCAAUGGCACAGAUGUAAAAAAAAUAAACAAACGAUCAACACCUACUAGUAACUAGCAAAAGAGCCCGUGCGUUGCAACGAAAUAUAAAAAUAUAAUGCCCUAAUCUAAUAAAAAUGUGGCUCAAUGCCCACAUAUAUCUAUGUUCUUUAUUUUAGCACGACAUCCCACACUGUUCAAUAUUGGAAAACAGUUUUUUGCCAUCUGCCUAGUCUUUGCCGUCUGCUAGCUGAUGGCAAAGAGUGUCUUUGCCGUCAGCUUCAGCAAAACAGACGGCAAAGCACAGGCUGAUGGCAUACAGUCUUUUUGCCAUCUGUCACAUCUUUGCCGUCUGCUAGCGGACGGCAAAGAGUCCAGAGGCAGACGGCAAAGAUAUAGAUAGGCCCACCUGAUCGCGGGGUGGCUAGGUCAAACAGGAGUCGGACCUUUGUCGUCUGCUAGCGGACGGCAAAGAGUCCGGAGGCAGACAGCAAAGAGUCUAGACUCUUUGCCGUCCGCUGGCAGACGGCAAUGCUCUAACACCGUUAAUGGCUCCUUCCCCCCACCCGCCCCUCUCUCUCUGUAACGGUCACCCCGCGCGCCCCUCUCUCUCUCUCCCCACCCCGUGCGCCCCUCUCUCUGUAACGGCCGCCGCCACCACCGUCGCGUCGCCGCCCCUAUCUGUUGGAAAUAUGCCCUAGAGGCAAUAAUAAAUUAGUUAUUAUUAUAUUUCUUUGUUCAUGAUAAUCGUUUAUUAUCCAUGCUAUAAUUGUAUUGAUUGGAAACACAAUACUUGUGUGGAUACAUAGACAAAACACUGUCCCUAGUAAGCCUCUAGUUGACUAGCUCGUUGAUCAAAGAUGGUCAAGGUUUCCUGGCCAUAGGCAAGUGUUGUUACUUGAUAACGGGAUCACAUCAUUAGGAGAAUCAUGUGAUGGACUAGACCCAAACUAAUAGACGUAGCAUGUUGAUCGUGUCAUUUUGUUGCUACUGUUUUCUGCGUGUCAAGUAUUUGUUCCUAUGACCAUGAGAUCAUAUAACUCACUGACACCGCAGGAAUUCUUUGUGUGUAUNNNNNNNNNNNNNNNNNNNNNNNNNNNNNNNNNNNNNNNNNNNNNNNNNNNNNNNNNNNNNNNNNNNNNNNNNNNNNNNNNNNNNNNNNNNNNNNNNNNNNNNNNNNNNNNNNNNNNNNNNNNNNNNNNNNNNNNNNNNNNNNNNNNNNNNNNNNNNNNNNNNNNNNNNNNNNNNNNNNNNNNNNNNNNNNNNNNNNNNNNNNNNNNNNNNNNNNNNNNNNNNNNNNNNNNNNNNNNNNNNNNNNNNNNNNNNNNNNNNNNNNNNNNNNNNNNNNNNNNNNNNNNNNNNNNNNNNNNNNNNNNNNNNNNNNNNNNNNNNNNNNNNNNNNNNNNNNNNNNNNNNNNNNNNNNNNNNNNNNNNNNNNNNNNNNNNNNNNNNNNNNNNNNNNNNNNNNNNNNNNNNNNNNNNNNNNNNNNNNNNNNNNNNNNNNNNNNNNNNNNNNNNNNNNNNNNNNNNNNNNNNNNNNNNNNNNNNNNNNNNNNNNNNNNNNNNNNNNNNNNNNNNNNNNNNNNNNNNNNNNNNNNNNNNNNNNNNNNNNNNNNNNNNNNNNNNNNNNNNNNNNNNNNNNNNNNNNNNNNNNNNNNNNNNNNNNNNNNNNNNNNNNNNNNNNNNNNNNNNNNNNNNNNNNNNNNNNNNNNNNNNNNNNNNNNNNNNNNNNNNNNNNNNNNNNNNNNNNNNNNNNNNNNNNNNNNNNNNNNNNNNNNNNNNNNNNNNNNNNNNNNNNNNNNNNNNNNNNNNNNNNNNNNNNNNNNNNNNNNNNNNNNNNNNNNNNNNNNNNNNNNNNNNNNNNNNNNNNNNNNNNNNNNNNNNNNNNNNNNNNNNNNNNNNNNNNNNNNNNNNNNNNNNNNNNNNNNNNNNNNNNNNNNNNNNNNNNNNNNNNNNNNNNNNNNNNNNNNNNNNNNNNNNNNNNNNNNNNNNNNNNNNNNNNNNNNNNNNNNNNNNNNNNNNNNNNNNNNNNNNNNNNNNNNNNNNNNNNNNNNNNNNNNNNNNNNNNNNNNNNNNNNNNNNNNNNNNNNNNNNNNNNNNNNNNNNNNNNNNNNNNNNNNNNNNNNNNNNNNNNNNNNNNNNNNNNNNNNNNNNNNNNNNNNNNNNNNNNNNNNNNNNNNNNNNNNNNNNNNNNNNNNNNNNNNNNNNNNNNNNNNNNNNNNNNNNNNNNNNNNNNNNNNNNNNNNNNNNNNNNNNNNNNNNNNNNNNNNNNNNNNNNNNNNNNNNNNNNNNNNNNNNNNNNNNNNNNNNNNNNNNNNNNNNNNNNNNNNNNNNNNNNNNNNNNNNNNNNNNNNNNNNNNNNNNNNNNNNNNNNNNNNNNNNNNNNNNNNNNNNNNNNNNNNNNNNNNNNNNNNNNNNNNNNNNNNNNNNNNNNNNNNNNNNNNNNNNNNNNNNNNNNNNNNNNNNNNNNNNNNNNNNNNNNNNNNNNNNNNNNNNNNNNNNNNNNNNNNNNNNNNNNNNNNNNNNNNNNNNNNNNNNNNNNNNNNNNNNNNNNNNNNNNNNNNNNNNNNNNNNNNNNNNNNNNNNNNNNNNNNNNNNNNNNNNNNNNNNNNNNNNNNNNNNNNNNNNNNNNNNNNNNNNNNNNNNNNNNNNNNNNNNNNNNNNNNNNNNNNNNNNNNNNNNNNNNNNNNNNNNNNNNNNNNNNNNNNNNNNNNNNNNNNNNNNNNNNNNNNNNNNNNNNNNNNNNNNNNNNNNNNNNNNNNNNNNNNNNNNNNNNNNNNNNNNNNNNNNNNNNNNNNNNNNNNNNNNNNNNNNNNNNNNNNNNNNNNNNNNNNNNNNNNNNNNNNNNNNNNNNNNNNNNNNNNNNNNNNNNNNNNNNNNNNNNNNNNNNNNNNNNNNNNNNNNNNNNNNNNNNNNNNNNNNNNNNNNNNNNNNNNNNNNNNNNNNNNNNNNNNNNNNNNNNNNNNNNNNNNNNNNNNNNNNNNNNNNNNNNNNNNNNNNNNNNNNNNNNNNNNNNNNNNNNNNNNNNNNNNNNNNNNNNNNNNNNNNNNNNNNNNNNNNNNNNNNNNNNNNNNNNNNNNNNNNNNNNNNNNNNNNNNNNNNNNNNNNNNNNNNNNNNNNNNNNNNNNNNNNNNNNNNNNNNNNNNNNNNNNNNNNNNNNNNNNNNNNNNNNNNNNNNNNNNNNNNNNNNNNNNNNNNNNNNNNNNNNNNNNNNNNNNNNNNNNNNNNNNNNNNNNNNNNNNNNNNNNNNNNNNNNNNNNNNNNNNNNNNNNNNNNNNNNNNNNNNNNNNNNNNNNNNNNNNNNNNNNNNNNNNNNNNNNNNNNNNNNNNNNNNNNNNNNNNNNNNNNNNNNNNNNNNNNNNNNNNNNNNNNNNNNNNNNNNNNNNNNNNNNNNNNNNNNNNNNNNNNNNNNNNNNNNNNNNNNNNNNNNNNNNNNNNNNNNNNNNNNNNNNNNNNNNNNNNNNNNNNNNNNNNNNNNNNNNNNNNNNNNNNNNNNNNNNNNNNNNNNNNNNNNNNNNNNNNNNNNNNNNNNNNNNNNNNNNNNNNNNNNNNNNNNNNNNNNNNNNNNNNNNNNNNNNNNNNNNNNNNNNNNNNNNNNNNNNNNNNNNNNNNNNNNNNNNNNNNNNNNNNNNNNNNNNNNNNNNNNNNNNNNNNNNNNNNNNNNNNNNNNNNNNNNNNNNNNNNNNNNNNNNNNNNNNNNNNNNNNNNNNNNNNNNNNNNNNNNNNNNNNNNNNNNNNNNNNNNNNNNNNNNNNNNNNNNNNNNNNNNNNNNNNNNNNNNNNNNNNNNNNNNNNNNNNNNNNNNNNNNNNNNNNNNNNNNNNNNNNNNNNNNNNNNNNNNNNNNNNNNNNNNNNNNNNNNNNNNNNNNNNNNNNNNNNNNNNNNNNNNNNNNNNNNNNNNNNNNNNNNNNNNNNNNNNNNNNNNNNNNNNNNNNNNNNNNNNNNNNNNNNNNNNNNNNNNNNNNNNNNNNNNNNNNNNNNNNNNNNNNNNNNNNNNNNNNNNNNNNNNNNNNNNNNNNNNNNNNNNNNNNNNNNNNNNNNNNNNNNNNNNNNNNNNNNNNNNNNNNNNNNNNNNNNNNNNNNNNNNNNNNNNNNNNNNNNNNNNNNNNNNNNNNNNNNNNNNNNNNNNNNNNNNNNNNNNNNNNNNNNNNNNNNNNNNNNNNNNNNNNNNNNNNNNNNNNNNNNNNNNNNNNNNNNNNNNNNNNNNNNNNNNNNNNNNNNNNNNNNNNNNNNNNNNNNNNNNNNNNNNNNNNNNNNNNNNNNNNNNNNNNNNNNNNNNNNNNNNNNNNNNNNNNNNNNNNNNNNNNNNNNNNNNNNNNNNNNNNNNNNNNNNNNNNNNNNNNNNNNNNNNNNNNNNNNNNNNNNNNNNNNNNNNNNNNNNNNNNNNNNNNNNNNNNNNNNNNNNNNNNNNNNNNNNNNNNNNNNNNNNNNNNNNNNNNNNNNNNNNNNNNNNNNNNNNNNNNNNNNNNNNNNNNNNNNNNNNNNNNNNNNNNNNNNNNNNNNNNNNNNNNNNNNNNNNNNNNNNNNNNNNNNNNNNNNNNNNNNNNNNNNNNNNNNNNNNNNNNNNNNNNNNNNNNNNNNNNNNNNNNNNNNNNNNNNNNNNNNNNNNNNNNNNNNNNNNNNNNNNNNNNNNNNNNNNNNNNNNNNNNNNNNNNNNNNNNNNNNNNNNNNNNNNNNNNNNNNNNNNNNNNNNNNNNNNNNNNNNNNNNNNNNNNNNNNNNNNNNNNNNNNNNNNNNNNNNNNNNNNNNNNNNNNNNNNNNNNNNNNNNNNNNNNNNNNNNNNNNNNNNNNNNNNNNNNNNNNNNNNNNNNNNNNNNNNNNNNNNNNNNNNNNNNNNNNNNNNNNNNNNNNNNNNNNNNNNNNNNNNNNNNNNNNNNNNNNNNNNNNNNNNNNNNNNNNNNNNNNNNNNNNNNNNNNNNNNNNNNNNNNNNNNNNNNNNNNNNNNNNNNNNNNNNNNNNNNNNNNNNNNNNNNNNNNNNNNNNNNNNNNNNNNNNNNNNNNNNNNNNNNNNNNNNNNNNNNNNNNNNNNNNNNNNNNNNNNNNNNNNNNNNNNNNNNNNNNNNNNNNNNNNNNNNNNNNNNNNNNNNNNNNNNNNNNNNNNNNNNNNNNNNNNNNNNNNNNNNNNNNNNNNNNNNNNNNNNNNNNNNNNNNNNNNNNNNNNNNNNNNNNNNNNNNNNNNNNNNNNNNNNNNNNNNNNNNNNNNNNNNNNNNNNNNNNNNNNNNNNNNNNNNNNNNNNNNNNNNNNNNNNNNNNNNNNNNNNNNNNNNNNNNNNNNNNNNNNNNNNNNNNNNNNNNNNNNNNNNNNNNNNNNNNNNNNNNNNNNNNNNNNNNNNNNNNNNNNNNNNNNNNNNNNNNNNNNNNNNNNNNNNNNNNNNNNNNNNNNNNNNNNNNNNNNNNNNNNNNNNNNNNNNNNNNNNNNNNNNNNNNNNNNNNNNNNNNNNNNNNNNNNNNNNNNNNNNNNNNNNNNNNNNNNNNNNNNNNNNNNNNNNNNNNNNNNNNNNNNNNNNNNNNNNNNNNNNNNNNNNNNNNNNNNNNNNNNNNNNNNNNNNNNNNNNNNNNNNNNNNNNNNNNNNNNNNNNNNNNNNNNNNNNNNNNNNNNNNNNNNNNNNNNNNNNNNNNNNNNNNNNNNNNNNNNNNNNNNNNNNNNNNNNNNNNNNNNNNNNNNNNNNNNNNNNNNNNNNNNNNNNNNNNNNNNNNNNNNNNNNNNNNNNNNNNNNNNNNNNNNNNNNNNNNNNNNNNNNNNNNNNNNNNNNNNNNNNNNNNNNNNNNNNNNNNNNNNNNNNNNNNNNNNNNNNNNNNNNNNNNNNNNNNNNNNNNNNNNNNNNNNNNNNNNNNNNNNNNNNNNNNNNNNNNNNNNNNNNNNNNNNNNNNNNNNNNNNNNNNNNNNNNNNNNNNNNNNNNNNNNNNNNNNNNNNNNNNNNNNNNNNNNNNNNNNNNNNNNNNNNNNNNNNNNNNNNNNNNNNNNNNNNNNNNNNNNNNNNNNNNNNNNNNNNNNNNNNNNNNNNNNNNNNNNNNNNNNNNNNNNNNNNNNNNNNNNNNNNNNNNNNNNNNNNNNNNNNNNNNNNNNNNNNNNNNNNNNNNNNNNNNNNNNNNNNNNNNNNNNNNNNNNNNNNNNNNNNNNNNNNNNNNNNNNNNNNNNNNNNNNNNNNNNNNNNNNNNNNNNNNNNNNNNNNNNNNNNNNNNNNNNNNNNNNNNNNNNNNNNNNNNNNNNNNNNNNNNNNNNNNNNNNNNNNNNNNNNNNNNNNNNNNNNNNNNNNNNNNNNNNNNNNNNNNNNNNNNNNNNNNNNNNNNNNNNNNNNNNNNNNNNNNNNNNNNNNNNNNNNNNNNNNNNNNNNNNNNNNNNNNNNNNNNNNNNNNNNNNNNNNNNNNNNNNNNNNNNNNNNNNNNNNNNNNNNNNNNNNNNNNNNNNNNNNNNNNNNNNNNNNNNNNNNNNNNNNNNNNNNNNNNNNNNNNNNNNNNNNNNNNNNNNNNNNNNNNNNNNNNNNNNNNNNNNNNNNNNNNNNNNNNNNNNNNNNNNNNNNNNNNNNNNNNNNNNNNNNNNNNNNNNNNNNNNNNNNNNNNNNNNNNNNNNNNNNNNNNNNNNNNNNNNNNNNNNNNNNNNNNNNNNNNNNNNNNNNNNNNNNNNNNNNNNNNNNNNNNNNNNNNNNNNNNNNNNNNNNNNNNNNNNNNNNNNNNNNNNNNNNNNNNNNNNNNNNNNNNNNNNNNNNNNNNNNNNNNNNNNNNNNNNNNNNNNNNNNNNNNNNNNNNNNNNNNNNNNNNNNNNNNNNNNNNNNNNNNNNNNNNNNNNNNNNNNNNNNNNNNNNNNNNNNNNNNNNNNNNNNNNNNNNNNNNNNNNNNNNNNNNNNNNNNNNNNNNNNNNNNNNNNNNNNNNNNNNNNNNNNNNNNNNNNNNNNNNNNNNNNNNNNUUGCAAGGGUAUGGGUCACUGGAAGUGCAACUGCCCCAAGUAUCUGGCUGAUAAGAAGGCGGCCAAAGAAAAAUCAGGUAUAUUUGAUAUACAUGUUAUUGAUGUGUACUUAACCGGCUCUCGUAGUAGUGCCUGGGUAUUCGAUACCGGUUCUGUUGCUCAUAUUUGCAACUCGAAACAGGAACUGCGGAAUAGGCGAAGGCUGGCGAAAGAUGAAGUGACGAUGCGCGUAGGAAAUGGUUCCAAGGUUGAUGCAAUUGCUGUCGGCACAGUGUCACUUCAGUUACCGUCAGGAUUAGUGAUGAACUUAAAUCAUUGUUAUUUAGUGCCUGCGUUGAGCAUGAACAUUAUAUCUGGAUCUUGUUUAUUGCGAGACGGUUACUCUUUUAAGUCAGAGAAUAAUGGUUGUUCUAUUUCUAUGAGUAACAUCUUUUAUGGUCAUGCACCGAAUGUGAGAGGAUUGUUCAUAUUGAAUCUUGAUAGCGAUACGCAUAUACAUAACAUUGAGACCAAAAGAGUUAGAGUAAACAAUGAUAGCGCCAUAUUUUUGUGGCACUGCCGCUUAGGUCAUAUUGGUGUAAAGCGCAUGAAGAAACUCCAUGCUGAUGGACUUUUGGAGUCACUUGACUUUGAUUCACUUGACACGUGCGAACCAUGCCUCAUGGGCAAGAUGACUAAGAGUCCGUUCUCAGGAACAAUGGAGCAUGCAAGUGACUUGUUGGAAAUCAUACAUACCGAUGUGUGUGGUCCGAUGAGCGUGGAGGCACGCGGCGGAUAUCGUAUUUUCUCACCUUCACUGAUGAUUUGAGUAGAUAUGGUUAUGUAUACUUAAUGAAGCACAAGUCUGAAACAUUUGAAAAGUUCAAACAAUUUCAGAGUGAAGUUGAAAAUCAUCGUAACAAGAAGAUCAAGUUCCUACGGUCUGAUCGUGGGGGUGAAUAUCUGAGUUUCGAGUUUGGUGCUCACUUAAGACAAUGUGGAAUUGUUUCACAGUUAACACCGCCUGGAACACCACAGCGUAAUGGUGUGUCCGAACGUCGUAAUCGUACUCUAUUAGAGAUGGUGCGAUCUAUGAUGUCUCUUACUGAUUUACCGUUAUCAUUUUGGGGCUAUGCAUUAGAAACAGCUGCAUUCACUUUAAAUAGGGCACCAUCAAAAUCCGUUGAGACGACACCAUGCGAACUGUGGUAUGGCAAAAGGCCAAAGUUGUCGUUUCUUAAAGUUUGGGGAUGUGAUGCUUAUGUCAAAAAGCUUCAGCCUGAAAAGCUGGAACCCAAAGCGGAAAAGUGCGUCUUCAUAGGUUACCAAAAAGAGACAGUUGGGUACACCUUCUAUCUCAAAUCCGAGGGCAAAGUGUUUGUUGCUAAAAACGAAGCUUUUCUCGAGAAGGAGUUUCUCUCGAGAGAAUUGAGUGGGAGGAAGAUAGAACUUGACGAGGUUGUCGAACCUCUCAUCCCUCUGGAUGGUGGCGCAGGGCAAGGGGAAACCUCUGUCAUUGCGACGCCGGUUGAGGAGGAAGUUAAUGAUGAUGAUCAUGAAACUCCAGUUCAAGUUUCUGUCGUACCACGCAGGUCGACGAGACCACGUGCUGCUCCAGAGUGGUACGGUAAUCCCGUCUUAUCAAUCAUGUUGUUAGACAACAAUGAACCUACGAAUUAUGAAGAAGCAAUGGUGGGCCCAGAUUCCAACAAAUGGCUGGAAGCCAUGAAGUCCGAUAUAGGAUCCAUGUAUGAGAACAAAGUGUGGACUUUGGAGGUACUGCCUGAGGGCCGCAAGGCCAUUCAGAACAAAUGGAUCUUUAAGAGGAAGACGGACGCUGACGGUAAUUAAAGCUCGACUUGUGGCAAAGGGUUUUUCACAAGUUUAAGGAGUUGACUACGAUGAGACUUUCUCACCCGUAGCGAUGCUUAAGUCCGUCAGACUCAUGUUAGCAAUAGCUGCAUUUUUCGAUUAUGAAAUCUGGCAGAUGUGUCAAAACGGCGUUCCCUAACGGUUUCCUUGAGGAAGAGUUGUAUAUGAUACAACCCGAAGGUUUUGUCGAUCGUAAGAAUGCUAACAAGGUGUGCAAGCUCCAGCGAUCCAUUUAUGGACNNNNNNNNNNNNNNNNNNNNNNNNNNNNNNNNNNNNNNNNNNNNNNNNNNNNNNNNNNNNNNNNNNNNNNNNNNNNNNNNNNNNNNNNNNNNNNNNNNNNAUUGCCUUAUCUUCUCUCUUCAAUGUACAUGCACUCAAUCGACAAAGUGCUUUGCUAUCUCACAAUUCUAGCAAGAUGUCACUUUCUUCUUUGUCGAAAACUUGCCCCUUGUUAUUGUAACCCACCCUCGUAAAUAUCUUCACAAAGAGAGUUGUUUGAUUAUAUUAGAGGCAUUCAUCAGAGUCAGCCUCUUCUUCUUCUUCACCUUCUUCGCCAUCACUUGAUUCAAUAACUCGGACUUGCUUGGCCUUCAACGUAAGACUUGGAUUUGUUAGUCCUCUUGUCAUGGUGGUCACCUUCUUACCAUUGUAAAUAUACUCUUCAUCUUGCACAAAAGUAUCAAUUGAGCAAGAACUCUGAUAUCUUCUAUGAAAUACCAUGUCAUCACUUCAUUGGCAGCCAGGAAAGAUUUUCAGCAUCCUUUUUUCUCUGAAGUAGUGUUCAAUGCUUGCUGGAAUAUUUGGACAGUCCGAAAUGCAAGGAUUUUCAACAAUGAGCAUCCCAGGUUCAGUAAAUGGAAGUCUAGCUUCACUCAUGAUAUCUCUCUUUUAGCUCAGAGGAUUAAGGCUAGAUAUAGGGAUGAUCUCCUUAAGUGGAUCUCUUUUCUACCUCCUCGAGGUUUGUAUUUAUUCCCCCACAUCCCCAUUGUAUAUUCUAAUCCUCUCAUGUACAUAUACUCUCUUUUUACUGGAAUAAAGGAAAGAGUUGUGGGGUGAUUCCCUACAGUAGCUGAUCCAAAAAAAAUACCAUGCCAUCAUAGUAAGGAGCAAGAGCGGUCGAAAACUUCCCCAAAAGAUAAAUAGGUUGUUGAUACUGAAACCCUUCAUUGAUCUUGUCACAUUAAGCUUCGCAACGAGAGCCUUGAGUCGGUCAUGAAGACCCUGGGAUUUAUCACUUGGUUCCAAUACAAAAAGGCGCAUCUCACUCUUGGUCAUUUCAUAUCUUGAGAGUUGGAUGGGGGUUUCGGUCCUAGCCAACAAUAUACUAUCCGAUAGUUCCUUGGAGGAUUUGACAUGGAAGUAAAGUUCAUUCUCUUGUUUGGACAAAAACUUUCUUAUCAACAUGCAUGUCGAAGUGUUGACUUGAUCAUCAAAUGUUUCUUGUGAAGUUAUGUUGUUGGGGUUGACAAGAUUAAAACCACCGACCAUAAUCCUCCAAAUAUCAUUAGAGUGAUGUUGAUAUGUCUUGCAUCUCAUAUUUGCACGAUAAUAAUCUCCCCUUCACGUUGUAAAUGAGAGUGUAUCCAUGGUAAUUUUGCUUGGGUUCUUUAGGCGAUGAUGCCCGCUUUACCCAAAUUCAACGUGAUUGAUCCCGAAGGUGCAUAGAAGGAGAAGGAAAUCAUCCUUGCGGCCGACGAUACAUUGCCACUUUGAAGUGGGAAGACACCACAAGGGUUUCAUGAUUUCAAUCAUUCCUCCACCGCAAGAUCAACCAUGGCCUUCAUAUUUGAGGUGUGUAUUACCAACAACCUUUUGACGCCCGUGGAGGAAUAAAUCUUACCAUCUUACGAUGAUGUACUCACCUUUGGGUCAACUUCCCCCUACGGGGAGGAUAGGUUGUUGGACACCCUCUUGGAACAUCUCGCUAUGUGGCGGUUAUUCCACAAGAUAUAACAUGAGGCUUUGAUACCAAUUGAACGAUUGAGAUGGACCUUUGAGGGGCGGGGAUGAAUGGAUAUAAUUAUACAUUGUACUUGAUUAUUAGAAAAUUUAGGCAAUGUGAAAUAUAAAUGUGAUCCUAAAAAAUUGUCACGGUGAGAUAAACAAUCACAAUAAGAUUAAUGGAAAAGGUCAAGUGGCCAGAAUAAACCAUAAACAGGGAGCUAGGGUUAGAGAUAAUCAAAGACACGGAGACAAGGAUGUCUUCAGAUGUUCACUUAUUUGAAUGGAAGCUAGUCAUUCUUGCAAGGGUGGGUGUAACACGAAUACACGCCAACGCCAAAUUGAUCACCCUAUUCUCUUUGAGAUAUCACCAUGAAGGUGAUUCUAAACCACCAGUGGUAGACCUUAAGGAGGCAUCCAAAUGUUCACAAACUUCCGAGGGGCAAAUCACACGUUGAUUCCUCACCGAAGAACUACUACCUCGAGGAGUAACAAGAACAAAGGGAAAAUUCUCAUCACUUUCUCAAAUCAUGAAGUGAUUUGGUCAAAGGAGAGAGGAUGAAUGGGUCUAUACUUAGGGUGAAAUAUUUCUCAAGAACUCUCAAGAAUCCCUAAAUAAAUCUUCCAUUUGGAGUGGGGAAAUGAGAGGGAUAUGUUAUUGUUAAUCAACCCCUCCAUAAAGUGGUGAAGGGUAAUUAUAGGCUAGCAUAAAACUAGCUCCUUUAGUGUAUAAAACAUACGGCCAGACGGUUCCACAGAAAUUGCCCAGACAUUUUGACCGAUGAGACUUGUUCAUGUCAACACCGUACAUUGAUAAAAACAAUAACAACCAGACAAACCGAUGGUCGGACAAAAAGUCCUCCCGAGUUUUCGUCCAGCAAAUCGUUUGACUAUAGUUUUGCCCCUCUGUUGGCCCGAUGUAAUUAUGUGAAAAGUCUUGCAAGUUUGCUGGAUGGUCCAGCUAGAUCCAGGACCAAAAGACCUCUUGGAUAAUUUUUUGCCAAGAAUUUUAGGUUAUUUCGGACUAUUCAUCCAUAUUUUGUCUCAUUAUAAUAUGCGACUUUGGUUAGGCUUUUUGGCAUUGGACUUUUAGGUAGGAAUAUAAUGUUGCGAUGAUUGUGAUAUGAGCGAAAACUUCGCAAACCCAUAUGAUCUCGUCUUAAUAGUACGGUUUCCCAAUAACUCAAGAACAAAGAGGAAAAGCUUCGAUUUCCUUUGUUUCCGCACAUAUCUUCAGCCACUUAACUUUUUUUUGAGGGGCGGGGGGGCCUAUAUUCCACAGACGAAAGUUUCCACGGGGACUAAAACAUAUAGAUUUAGUUAGCAGAAAUAUCAUUCCCCUAUAAGUAGAUAUCAAAAUACGAUUAAGGACAUGAUUGCACUUUCACGCGGUUUCAUCCCGAGUGAGUAGUCUUGAUUGCUUUUUAGUGGGAUGUGGUAACACUUGUAUUCUACUCUUGGGUUACCUUUCAUCUUACUUGUAUGAAGGUCUCCUCGUCAACUUGUAAUUACUUUAUGGUAAACUAUUGUAAUUGGACGGCCUACUACAAUUUGCACCGGUUAGGCAUCGUGCCUCACACAUGAUUGUUUAAAUCAUCCAGGUAUCUUUCUUCACCCCCUACACCCCCUCACAUAGCAUGCCGCCUUCUACCCACAUCCCAUCUCUCUCUUGCGAGCUAUUUCCACCCCCCUAAAUGCAUACGCGGUGCUGCAAAGGUCAUCCAUUUUUUUCUAUUAGGAGAGGGACAACGAUGGUGCUUGGGCUAUGUCGCCAUCAUGGGCAUCGAGCGCUGCAAUUGUCGUGGGCAAAGGUGCAUCCGGAACCAUCGUGUACUGGAACCUAUUGUGGCAACAUUGCAUCCACAUUCGUCACGUGUUCGAACCAACAGUUUACUACGUCACUCUCAUGCUAGAACUAGCAUUCAGGGAUGUUGCGACUUCAGCCGCAACAUGCUGGAAUUGGCCCGGUGGUGAUGUUGCGACUAUGCCCUUCACGUGUUGGAACUACCGUCGAAGGACACUGCAACUAUGGUCGAACGAUCUAGACAACAUGAUGCAACAUAGGUGUGGUGAUGCUACAACCAGACGCAUGCGGUGCUAUGAUGGGAGCAUGACGAACGGAGAUAAAUACCUUCGCGAGCUUGCUAAUGAUGGUUGUUAUGAGCAUGGCAUCAGGGGUGCGGCGAGGGAACGACACAGUGUGGCGAGCUUGCUGCUGGGUUAUCAAGAGUGCAAGGCGAGCCAGAGAUGCAACAUCUAAGUGGAUGAGAGUGUGCGACCAUGGGAGGAAGGGGGCGAUUUAGGGGAAAGGUCAUCCAAUGGUUGCACGAGGCUGGAUCGGGAUGGCUUGCUCGUUGAUACGUCUCCAACCUAUCUAUAAUUUUUUUAUUGUUCCAUGCUACUAUAUUAUCAUUCUUGAAUGUUUUAUGAUCAUUUUAUAGCAACUUUAUAUCAUUUUUUUGAACUAACCUAUUAACAUAGUGUCUAGUGCGAGUUGCUAUUUUUUUCCUUCACAGUAAAUCCAUAUCUCAUGAAGUCCAAAUGCCACGAAACUUUACGGAGAUUUUUUUGGACCAUAAGGAAACUUGGGAGCCAAGAAUGAGCAACAUACCAGGUCCAAGAUGGCCAAUAGACACCAGGGCGCCGCUUGGUAUCUAUUGGGGCCCUCGGCCACCUCCUCCACUGCAUGUGAGCUCUAUAAAUACCCCAAUAUUCGGAAAACCCUCGAGGAGUCAGCGAAAAAUCCUUUUAGCCAACGCAAGUUCCAGAGCCACGAAAUCCCAUCGAGAGCACGUUACGGAUGGGUUCACCAUCCUCAUUCGUGCUCCUCCCAUGAUGUGUGAGUAGUUCAUAUCAGACCUACGGGUCCGUAGGCAGUAGCUAGAUGGCUUUCUCUCUCGUUUUGUUUCUCAAUACAAUGGUCUCUUGGAGAUCCAUAUGAUGUAACUCUUUAUUUUGCGGUGUGUUUGUUGGGAUCCGAUGAAUUGUGAGUCUAUGAUCAGAUAUAUGAAAACAUAUUCAUGCUUGAUUAUUAUAGGCUUGUAUUUCUUCUCUUGUAUUUGGUUUUUGUCUGGCCAAUUUUAUAUUUUAUCUUGCAAUGGGAAGAGGUGCUUUGUGAUGGGUUUGAUCUUGUGGUGCUCAAUCUCAGUGACAGAAAGAGACAUGGCACGCAUGUAUCAUUCCUAUUAAGGAAAAACGAGGGGGUCCAUUCCUACAUGAAUAGAUCUUGUCUACAUCAUGUCAUUGUUCUUAAGGCAUUACUCUGUUUCUCCAUGAACUCAAUACACUAUAUGCAUGCUGGAUAGCCGUCGCUGUGUGGAGUAAUAGAAGUAGAUGCAGGCAUAAGUCGGUCUACUUGUCUUGGACGUGAUGCAUAUAUACAUGAACGUUGUCUUGAAUAUCGUCGUAAUUAUUUGCUAUUCUAUCAAUUUCCCAACAAUAAUUUGUCUACCCACCAUUUGCUAUUUUAUUGAGAGAAGCCACUAGUGGAAGCUACGGCCCCCGGGUCUACUUCACAUCAUCUAUAUGCAAUCUCUACUUUGACAUUUGCGUUUCUAUUUUAUUUGCUCUUUUAUUUCCAGAUCUAUAUUAUAAAAAACCAAAAUACCUUGCUGCGUUUUACUUGUUAUCACUCUUAUUUGCAUCCAUCAAUCUAUCCUUACUUUACCCACGGGGGAUUGACGACCCCUUCACGCGUUGGGUUGCGAGGAUUUGCUAUUUGUGUGCAGGUGUUGCUUACCUAGUCUUGUGGAUCUUCCUACAAGAUUGAUACCUUGGUUUCAUAACCGAGGGAAAUACUUGUCGUUGUUAUGCUACAUCACGCUUUAAGCUUGGAGGGAAACCAACACAAUCAGCGAGGAGUCAAGAUUUCUGGCGUUGUUGCCGGGGAAGAUCAAGUCAGAUCCUAUCGGGUUCCGCUACACAACUCUCAUCUCCUUGCAAUUACAUUAUUUGCCAUUUGCCUCUUGUUUUCCUCUCCCCCACUUCACAAUUUUUUUCCUUUUUAUUUGAUUUCUUUCCAUUUUCCUUAUUCUUGCUUGCUUGCUUCUAUUGCCUUCACGUCAACACUCAAAAAACGGAAAAUAAACAAGAAACGUAAAGACAUAUGGAUCCUCAUCCACUUGCUAAUAUUUUCAUUAGUCUAAUUACCUUGAACCAAUUGCUAAUGAGUUGAGUGCUCUUGAUUUUUUUUAAGUUUUGCUUGAAAAUCAUGAAUCUGAAUAUUGUGAUGAAGUGUUAAAAGAAGAAAAUUAUAAAGUGAUUCAUGAUAUGUCCUUGAAUGAAAAGCAUGACUGCAAUUAUUUUGUUAUAAAUUAUAUUAAUGGCAAUUGUGCUAAUAAUAUGCAAAACUACAAGUUUGGGGAUGACAAUUUUCUCAUGUCCACUACUCAUUGUAAUGAUCAUGAUUGGGGUGAUGCUUCUUAUCAUCUUGAAAAUUUAUUUAAUACCCAUGAUGAAUAUUAUAUUGAUAACAAUGUUUGCAAUAGUAUUUGAAGUGGGUUGUAGAGGUCAUGACUUUAGUUAAUGUUAAUCCCACUACCUUGAAAGAUUAUAAGACUUUUAUACAUGUGGAUCAUGGAGAAAAUAUUUUAUGUGAUAGCUAUAUUGUUGAAUUUGAAUAUGAUCCUGCAUGUAAUUAUUAUGAUAGGGGAAAAUAUGGUUAUAGAAAUAUCCAUGUUACUAAAUUAUCCCUCUUCAUGUUGACAGUGCUAUUGUUUCUUUCUUCUUCCAUGCAUAUGUUAGAUAUUUUUUCUCUUGAUAAUUUGUUUGCUUAUGAAAUGCCUAUGCAUAGGAUGUAUGCUAGUAUAAAUGUGUUUGUAUUAUGCUACAUGAUGCUCUCUUUGUGUUUCAACUACUAUCCUUCAUGUGAGCAUCAAAAAAAAUCUCAAGCCUAUCUUAAUGGCUAUGAAGAAAGAGCUUGUUGAGAGGCAACCCAAUUAAUACAAAUUAUUUUCACUUUUUCUUUAUGUUCUUGAGUGUUUGCACAAUUAUGCUACUGUUAUAAUUGUGUUUUUCGUGUUUUAUUUAGUUCUUCUGCCAAGUAAAGCCUUUCGGAUCAUGUGGGGUGUUAGUUGCUUUAAUCCUAUUGAAAAACAGAAACUUUUGCGUCGAGUAGAAAAAAUCCUAAAAAUCGCAGAAACAUCAAAAGUGUCUGAAUUGUUCACACAUGAUUUAUAUUCAAAUUACCUACGUUGUCCUAAUGUUUUAGAAUUUUUGUAGUUACAGAAGUAUGAGCAAAAUUCGAAACUUUACAGGCUUUUCUGUUUUUAACAGAUUCUGUUUUCUUUGCAUUAUGUGCUUGUUUUGAUGAUUCUAUGAUUUGUAUCGGGGGUAUAAGCCAUGUUAAAGUUAUCAUACAGUAGGUAUAAUGCAAAAAACAAAAUUGGAAUUGGUUUUAAAUAGUACGUAAAGUAAAGUUUAGUUUACUUAUACUAACGGAUCUCACGAAAAUUUUGUAGAGUUUUGUGUGAUUGAAGUUUUCAAGUUUUGGGUGAGAUCGCGAUGGAUGAAGGAAUAAGGAGUGAUAAAAGCAUGAGCUUGGGGAUGCCUCAUGGCACCCCAAGGUAAUAUCUAAGAAGUACCAAGUAACUAAGCUUGUGGAUGCCCUCGAAGGCAUCCCCUCUUUCUUCUAAUAACCAUCGAUAGUUUUACUUGGAGCUAUAUUUUUAUUCAUCACAUAUCAUGAGUUUUGCUUGGAGCAUCUUGUAUGAUUUGUGUCUUUGCUCUAUUUUCUAGUUAGUUUGUCAUAAUAAACCUUGUUGGACACACCCAUUUGAGAGAGCUAAAUUAUGCUAUGGUUUGUUAGAAUCGCUCUUUAUGCUUCACUUUAAUUUUGUAGAGCCAUGGAAUUGCUCAAGUAUUUCACUUAUAUCUUUUUGAGCACGUGGUGAUGUUAUUUUUAAGAAAUUUGCUCUCAUGCUUCACUUAGAUUAUUUUUAGAGUUGCUGAAAUUUUGAAUAAAUCCUCUCUUGCUUCAAUUAUAAAUUUUUGAGAGUUCAAAAUUUUAAAGAAACUUGUUCUCUCGUUCUUCACUUAUAUUUCUUUGGGAGCUUGUUAUUUGCAAUGGCAAUUUGCUUUAAAUGAAAAUUAGUUCAAAAGUGAUGAAUGUUCAGGAAAGAUAUAAAUAAAACUUUCAUGAAGAUCAUUGGAUAUUAAACUUGAUUCUUUGCAAUAGUUCUACGAUAUGAAGAUAGUAAUAUGUGAGUUAUAUUGAUGAGUAAUUAGGAUCUAGUAGGAAUAUUGGUGUUAAGGUUUGUGAUUACCAAUGCAUACACAUGAAGUUGAUAAUUAUGCUGUGAAAUUACAUACUACUUGUGUUGCAGUAUUCGGUGUUAGUUAUGUUUAAUGUUCAAUUAUGAUGAUCUUUGUUCCUUGGUUGGGUGCUUCUCAAUCUACUUGCUAGCCUUCACUUGUACUAUGCGGGAAUACUGCCUGUGCAUCAAAAUCCUAAACCAAAAGUUGUGCCCGAAUGAGUCCACCGUACCUACCUAUAUGCGGUAUUUCAAUGCCGUUCCAAGUAAAUUUGCAAGGGCCAACUCUAAUGUUCAAAAUAAAUUUCUGUUUUGUGUGCCCGUACUGCUCAUAAAGCAGUGAGGGGUGGCCGGUAUCUUCCUUGUUAAAUAGGUUAUUCUCAAGAUGAGUGUUUCCCCUUUAGUAAUUAGCACGAGAGUAUGUGGGUAAUAGGGAAUGCCCCAGUCCCAAAAUGCAAAAAAUAUAUUUUUAUGUUGUCAAAUAAUAUUCCUCGAAAGUGUUGGUAUGGGCGGUACCCCUGAUACGGGCUAGCGUGGAAUGUGAAAGAAUGGUGGAAAAAGGAAUAAACUUUAUUUUAAGUUUGGGAACCAUCCAUAAUUUGUUUAGCAUGGAGGAUAUUGGAAAUUCUUAGUCGUUUUCAUUGAUAGGAAAAGCAUACCACCUGAUGACGAGCUGAUGUAUAUACUUCUUGAUGAGGACAUGACUACCUUUGAUAUUGUCACAAUCAUUGCAUAUGCAUAUUUAUUUGAGGUGAUUUCUGAUAAAAUUCAUGCAAUAAUUUAUUUAUGUUAUCCGGAACAAAAAUACUUCAUCUGUUUUUAUUUUAUGCCUAAAUGCAGAAUGGCCGAACACUUGUAUGAAUCACGUGUGAUGACAAGGGAAGAGGAAAUGGUUGGAUGCUAUUUGAGAGAUCCUCUCAUGCCAAAGAAAAUAAUUAGUUGGUGUUCAAGAAGUUCUCUCACGUCACUUUUAACCCAAGAGAAGAUAGAUUCCAAGUCUUGCACGUUCUGGACUCAGAUUCGGACUGAAAGACCCGGCUGGAGAGGUGGACCUCAAUCCACUGCCAUGGCGGAGGAGCUCUACCUUACCUGACGUAGACCUUCAGAGAGCAAGGUGGAGAGGGGAAAGGAGGUGGCGGCGCGAGAGAGAGGAAACCCUAUGGUACGGACGCCAAGGGGGGUCGCCUUUAUGGAGGGAAGGAGCGAGGAACGUUCCUCGACGUCCGUGACGCCCUCAAGUGGACGCUGCUCUGAAUCCUGCUGGAGGGAACACUGACGGACGAAGGGGGAAGCGAAGACGCCGUCUACAGGAGAGCGAGCGCGAGAGAGGGGUGCUGGGCCUGCUAGUGGGAGGAGGCCCACUAGUUGGCGCCAGAUAGGAGAGGAGAAAAACCCGAGGGUUUUUCUAAUUAAAACAACCAGGGAAAAGGAAGUAAUUCACAGACAAAUCUGUUGGGAUUAAAAACAAAACAAAAAUGCCCCUGGUCAUAAGGAAUUAUGACCUAAUUGAAUAAAAUAGAAAAGAAAAUAUUUGGAGCAAUUUGAAUAAAUGCAAAACAACAAUUUAUUUACUGUUUUGGAUUUAUUUACACCCUUAAAACUAAGAUACAAAACAGCAAAAACACAUCUUGACAUCCUCCACAAAAUACAUUAAAUCAUGGGCAUUUUUGGAUCAAGGUUAAGACAAGUGAAUAUUGGCUUGGGAAAUAAGAGAGAGAGAGAGAGAGGUUGCUAACAUGACAAGCCCACUACAUUUAGUACCAUCAUCACAUGGCAUCAUGGAGCACCUCAACAUACACACAACAUCACAAAGUAGCUAUUCACAAGACCACCACAUCACAUGAAAUGCUAAGAGCCUAUAACACCACACAAGACAACGCAUGCAAUGAUAUGUUAUGCAUGCAUGCAUGGGAAGGAGGAGAAACAAUAAGGAGUCAUCACAAGAAGUCAUGGCACAUUUGAUAUCAUCAAAACUCUGACAAGGUGGACCCACAUGCAAUAGGUUCCAAAUAUGGCAAGGUUUACAUCUGGGGCACUACAAGUUGGGCGGUCCGACAAAACCUCGCCUAGCGGCCCGUAGGGGUCCUCCUCGUCGCUGCUCUUCGACUGGACGUUCUCGGGGGGCGACGCCUCCUCAUAGGCGCGUGGGCAGAUCGGCGGCGCCAUGGCAUAGAUUUUAGAGAGAGAGAGCGAUGGCGAGCGACGGGAGGAUGAAGAUGAGAGUGCACGCGGGACGAGCGUGAGCAACAUAAUAUUUAUUGGCUGUCGGAAUCUAGAUCGACGGGAACAAUACACACGUCGGUCGCCGGAAUUUGCGAGUAAUGUAGUUUGUAUUGCACACGAUUCCCAUAGCAAAAGUUGUAUGUGAAUUUAAUAGCUCAGGGUUUUCAAUACAGAACCGCGUCUGAUUAAUAACCCGCGCACUCAUCUUCCCAACCUCGAGGUGCGAAAUAGAGUGCCAAUCAUGUGGGGCUCGGUUGUCUUGCCAGAUAUUAACACUUUCUUUUCUCAUAUAAGGCACGAAUGCUUAUUUUGGGUUACAAUGACUCUCCAUGCAUGUGUUCAAGCUGUGACAUCAAUAUGUUUGAAAAUUCCUUUCAAUUUACUGCACAUGAAAUUAACUCGUACACAACAAGUACACAUAUAUGAUUUUCCAAACCGUUACGGUCAGCUGUUGCAUGUACAUGUAGUUCAAAUUUAAAUUACGGUCAUUAAAUGGCUAUAAAAUCACUUAAAUGUUUUAAAAAGAUCAAAUAAACCCUGAAAUUUUCCAAAUUUUGACAUGAUAGUUUUAUUAGUGCAUGUUAAAUAUAGUAAAAAUUUGAAGUCAUAAGAGGAAGCUAUCGUCGGUUCAUCAUCAAACAUGCAUUGUUCCUUUUCGGAACCACGAGCCUUCUAGUGAGUUGCUUCGGUUUGUGAGGAGUGUGUGUCUAAACUUUUGUCUAACAUGCCUAUUUUUUUUACGGCAGCAUCUUGGUGGCAUGCCAUUAUGACAAGCAAGGUUUCAUGUAUUUCUAAAUUUUUUUAAUUUUUUGAAAUGUAAAUGACAUGGCACUCGAUGCUUUGUGUCCAAGCCUUGACACCAAUAUGUUUGAAAAUCCUUUCAAUUUACCGCACAUGAAAUUAACUCGCAUACAGGUACACAAAUAUUAUUAUUUUUAAAUCAUUAUGGUUAGAUGUUGCAUGUACAUGUAGUUCAAAUUUAAUUACAGUCAUUAAAUGGCUAGAAAAUCAUUUAAAUGUCUAAAAACGUCAAAUGACCUUGAAAUCGUUUCAUGCAAGACAAUGACAUAGUUCAAAUUUGAAUUAAGGUCAUUAAAUGGCUAGAAAAUUACUUAAAUGUCUAAAACAUCAAAUGACCCGUGAAAUCGUUUCAUGCAAGACAAUGACCCUUCUAAGAUGUCUCUUCCAGGCAUGAAAGUUGUCUAUGUUGGUUGGACUACCGGAUGGGCUAUCUGCGUCAACCUAUUUGUACCAGCCUUGGUGAAAAAAUUGAAGCUCACAUUGAGAAGACAUAUCAGUUUGAAUUGCUCAAUGCGAAUAGCCUUCUCCUUCUUUGGCACGACGUUAUUGUCCCAAAGUUUAGGUGAAACAGCUGCAAGUGACCAUUAAACAAAUCAUGGAACGUAGGUAGUAGAUCUCCCUUAAUAAUAUGCCAACACUUCUUAUAAAAUUCUAUCGGGAAUCCAUCUGUUCCCGAGGCCUUAUUUUGUUUCAUCGGUGCUAUUGCGUCAAACACCUCUUUCUCAGGGAACGGAGCUGACAAUACCUCAUUCUCAUCUGAACUGAGCUGAGGUAUGUCACCUGUUGCUCAGCUGAGGUAUGUCACCUGUUGCACGCACAUCGCCAGAGAAAAUUCUCUUCGGGUGCACCAAAAAGUUUCUUGUAGUAUUCUAAGAUGUAUAAUUUUAGGUUCUCAUGUCCUACAAUUGUAUCCUCAUCCUGUUCGAAUUGAAUAAUUUUCUUCUUCCUAUGCCUCCCAUUUGCGAUCAUGUGGAAGCAUUGUGUGUUGUCAUCUCUAUGGGCUACCUUCGUCACCUUCGCUCGAGGAGCCCAUUUCAUAUCUUCCUCCCUCAAAAGAGUUUGUAACUUCUUCCCAGCCUCAUUCUUAAUGCUCUGGUCUGACAUAUUAAGAAGUGCAGCCCGAGCUUUGACGUCCAACUCAUUAAUGAGUUGAAUGAGUCUUUUUUUUCAUUUUGUAAAAACCACUUUGAUUCUUGGCCCACCCUCUCAAGAACUUGCGCAAGUGUCCAAUUUUAUUUUACCACCUACCAAUAUUAGAUGACCCACCAGAUUCGCUCGCCCAUUCUAUAGCAAUGAGCUCCAUGAAUCCUUCUCUCUCGAACCAAUUUAAUUCUUAAUUCCUAAAUAUAAGUCUUUCUAAAGGUUUCGCUAGUGGACUACAUAUGAAACAAAAUAAGUGACACUAGUGGAGACAGGGCCUAUAGUCCCGGCCCGUGAGGGGCUUUAGUCCCGGUUCACCAACCGGGACUAAAGAGGCGGGACUAAAGGCCUAACCUUUAGUCCCGGCCCUGUUUCAAGCCGGGACCAAAGGUGCUCCACGUGGGCGCCUCGGAGGGAGUACCUUUAGUCCCGGUUCUACUUACGAACCGGGACUAAAGGAUCCGUCUGUUUAUUUUGUUUGUUUGACCCAAAAAGGUAGAUUUUCUUUAAUUUUUUCAAAUUUUACUUUUGAAUAUUUUUUUAUGUUUUAUUCCAAUUUUCAAAUCUUUGAAUUAUUUGACAAUUUAAUCUCUAAUCACACAUCCUCACUGCUCUAGCGUGGAUCACUCAUUUCAAAUCGUCCAACUUCCCGGCCGAUCACCCAUCCUUUCACUACUUCAGCCCGAGCACGUUUAACUUUCUGGUUCUAUCGUCCCUAGUUGCCAAGUGUGCACUUGUUGUUUUCCUAACAAUAGUAAGCUAUCAAUCCUAAACAACUUGGGUCUUGAUGUCAUGUCACAUGAUUUAAUUUUUUGAAUUACAAACAAUUAUUAAAAUAAACUUAAUAAGUAACAAUAAUAGUGAAUUUCAAUGAAAACAACCUAAUAUUUUUAAAUAAAAUUAUUUUUCUUUUUUUUUGGAAAAAACUUCUUUUUGAAAUAACUUUUUCCCAUUUGGAAUUUUGAGCAUGUGAGAAAACUUCACCGGGCAAGCCCGGGUGAAAUCGAGUACCAAUUUUUUCUAGUUUUUUUUGAUAUAUUAAUAUUUUUUGGAAAACUUCACCGGGCAUGGCCGUUUAUUUUUUUUCCUUUUUUUGCAAAAACAGUCAAAAUUCAUAUCUCAAAAUUUCUAUACCGACUAGACACUAAAACCUAACAACAUCUCAAAGGAUUUUAUUUUUUGAAGAACUUAUCAUUUUUGUUUAUUUUUUGAAGAUUUUACCAUUUUUGUUUAUUUUCUACAAAACUCAAAGUAUCAAGGUUCAAGACGAAAACCCAUCUGCUACAAAGGCAUUUUUUAAAAAAAUUAAUUGAACUGGAGAUUUUUUUUGUGCAUUAAAAUAUGCCCCCAUACUUAAAACCAUGGUUCUACAUAAGAACUAAAAACUAAUAUAAAAACACACAAUUAAAAUGACUUAAAGCAACUUAUAUAAGAAAAACAAUUAUUUCUUUUAAUUAAAAUCUAAUUUAAAUUAUUCUAAAAAAUAACCAAAUAAUCUUACUGUGACAACAAUCUAACACAUGAGUGGGGGCAAAAAGAAAUUAAAUUAAAAACGUAUUUGUAAACUUUAAGUUAUUCAAAAACUGGGUUUGAAGCAAAAUUUAAACAAAUUCAAAUUUAAACCAUUCAAAUUUGAAAACUAAUGGCACAAACAUAAACUAGACAAAAUUUUGAAUCUAAUGCAAAAAGAAUCAAUCAAAAACGAUCAAAUAUCCUAAAAGAUGUAAGCAAUUUAAAACAGAACCUACGCACCGAGUCAAAAGACCAGAAAAAGACCCGGGACGAGAGCGUCAGUGGCUCGCGUGCCGAAGCGGCUGUACAGGUCGGCCCUUUAGUCCCGGUUCGAGACACGAACCGGGACUAAAGCCUCCAAACCCUUUAGUCCCGGUUCGAGACACGAACCAGGACUAAAGGUCCCAUUUGAACCGGGACUAAUGCCCGACCGGCGCCUUUGCCGCUCGAACCGGGACUAAUACUAACAUUAGUCCCGGUUCGUAAAGGAACCGGGACUAAUGUGUUUUCCAAGCUGGGACGAAAGCCCUUAUUUCUACUAGUGUAAAUCUAUAAUCUAAAAUAUGUCUAUAUACAUUCGUAUGUGGUCCGUUAGUGAGACCUCUAAUAAAACUUAUAUUUAAAAACGGAGGGAGUAGCACAUUACAUGCACUGAACUUUACUAGCAAUUGUAGUAUUCACUUUAUAAACAGUACAACUCUCUGCUUGUUUUUGCCCUUCCGCUCUACACCAACAGAAACCAAUAUAGUUGGGUUUGGUCUCCUUUCAUGCGCCUAUAAAUAGAGCAUGGCCGAGUGAACUACUCUCUCCGCAUUAGUGUCAAAAACGUUUUUAUAUUGUGAAACGGAGGAAGUAACAUAUUGCUGCUUCUGGGGGUUUAGUAAUCAUCUAGCUCUCGAGAGAAUAUUAUUGUAUAUGUUUAUCUUCCCAUUUCCGAAGCAUUUUAGCCGGUCACCCGGCCUCAUAUAAUAGAAGCCUGUGUUUCAAUCCAAGAGCCUGUGUUUCCUUUUGAUAGCCAUAAACUUGUGUUGCUGACAUGAAUUUUCAGGUUCGAUCACCUUGUGUUGGAGAUAAUUUUUCUAGAAUGCACAGACAGAAAGGAGUCGUUGGUUUUCUAGAAUCUCAGGAGAACUUCCCUUUUACCUGCCAAGGAAUAGUUCAAUUCGCACGUCUUUCCUACCCGUCAAUCUCCAAGCCAGCUGCUCGAAGCUGCUUUGGGGAAGGGGAUCGCCCUUGGUGUUGGUGGUAAAAUGAAAUAUGCAAACCAUUCACCAGAGAUCUGAAUAACAUACAAAGGUGGAAAAGGCCCCCGUGUCGUCACCCGCGGGCGACUCGCAUGGAUCCGCCGCCGUCUCCCAAGUUUCCUCCAUCGCCAGCUCUCCUCCCACCACCGGCACGCGCCACCAGGGGCAAAGCCCCCCCCCCCCUCGUGGUUGGCCGACGGCGGGGCCUUGUUCCUCCUCGACCGGGGAGCGCAACGCUGGAUGCAGCGCUGGCCCGGGGCGUUCAGACAGUGGUGUGCGCAACCGGGCCGACGACGCGGUUAAAUGGCGCGGUUGUAGAGGCUACGGGGUGAUCUGGGAGCAUGGCGACGGCGUGCUAAGAUCUGGCUCGGUGGCGUCCCGAUCUGGCGGAUCGAGAUCUACAGGCGGCGCGGGGGGUGGUGGCGGCUGUCGUGGGUCGCUGCAGCGGGUCAUGGCUCGUGGUGUCGGUCUUCGAUGGACCAGGGCCUGGCGUGGUUGCUUUGGAGGUCGACGACGCUUGAUCCGGUCGCUGUUCUUUGGCCCUGAUCGGUGUGCUUCUCUCCUACGGGUUCGUGGCGGUGCCGGCAUGGCCGCGGAUGAAGCUGGUGGAGGAGAUCCAGAUUGGGGGAAACCCCUUGGUCGGCCCCGGCCGACCGCUCCGACGAUGACGCUCAAGGGCGCCGCUUCUUGGAGAUGUCGAUCUACGUCUGCUCCUCCACUUCCCACCUCCCUGCCUCUCGGGUGAAAACCCUAACUCCGGUGGGCGACGACGACGUCCUUGAUGUCGUGACCUUUCUGAAGGCGUCGCCUUAAGGGCUGAGUGGUGGUGGGUAUUGUGUGGAUCCUUGACGGUUGUUGGUGGUGGGCACUGCUUCGGGGAAAACCCUAGGAUCUGGUCUUCCAGAUCGAUCGAUGGCAGUACUGUAGUGUCGUUUCUCUCUUGGGAGCAUCGUUUAUGGAUGACAGAGGCAGGAGGUGGAGCGGCUUUGUCUUGCACGGAGUUUUGGUGCAGCUGUCAAGACAUGCCUGGCCGACACGUGCUACGCUAAGUCAUACAUGGUUGGCAGGUGCUACGCACGGCAGUUCUUUCAGAAUCUUCGCGUCUAAACGAAUGAGCGCAGGGCGGUGGCGCCGUUGGGUGUCGUGGUGGCGUUGACGGAUGUUUGGACUGGCAAGGAUGAUGCAGAUCUCUCUAUUAAAGAUGGGUCAUUGGACCGAUGAUGAUGGCGGCUUCUAAAACGUGUGUGUGUGCUUUAGGUGCUGCACCGGUUGUUGGCCCCGAUACGUUACGUGGAUAGAUGGGCGACGAUACCAGUUUUAGAUAUGGAGAAUGAGAGCACUCCACAUUAUCGAGUUUGUAGAUGUGAGUGAUGGUUUCGGAUGGAUUGAUGUAUGUUUUUGUCACACCUUUGUGGACUAAUUGAUAAAGAGGGUUGCAUGCAUCAAUUGAUGCAGAGGCUGGGGUUUAACCUUCUUUUUUUUAAAAAAACAUUCACCACAACAUCAUUUGAAGUGAUCUCGAUCGGAACAGUUGCACAAGUAAUAAGCGUGUCUCCUUAAUUCAAACCAGCCUCUUUUUGAACUUGGAAUUCUGGAUACGCCGGAGCGAGAUAUUUGCUGAUUUCAGUGGUUGGUCACAGGGGCGGAGCUUAUGUACUAUAGCCCAAUAUGGGCCAUAGCCCCCCUUCCAUCAGCAUUACAAUCUCACGCAUACGAAGCAGUAUGCAUGGGUCCUCGUUGGUUCCCAGGCUGUACAAAACUAUUUUGACAUGCCAAUUACGGCUAAGAUAAAUAGAGAAGAUAGCUAACUAACUAAAGCUACAGACAGAGAGUGGAAGUAAUGGGACGACCCUGACUCUAACUAAAUACCAAAGCACUAACUCAGCACCGCUAUUAUCGCAUAUCGCUCCAUUUGGUUUACCAAAAAGAAUCACCAAAAAUACAUACCUCACUAUACAUACGCAGAUAGAGCAUAAAGGGUUCGAAUGGUUCUCAAACCACUUACGGCCCCUCCAACUUUUAGUUGCCCUAUAUAUUUUCUGUCACACAGUUUUAACAGAAGUGAGCAGAAAACCACCUCAAGGCAAGAAAGCCCGGCCCGGCGGGUGACGGGUGCGCCUCAAAGCCGUCCGGCUACCAGAGGCGACUAGGUUUUAAAAUGGUGGUUCCAAAUCAAUGCACUCCAUCUACUUCCAAUUAGUAUGUCAUUCAACAUGAUCAUGACAUCUACUAGUUUUGACAGGACUUGCUUGUAAGGUUUUUUUUAGACAUAUUGUUUGUAAGGUCAUCUCCAACGCUGACCUUCAACCCAAACACCGGAUCCGCCCACGGACACGGAUUCAGGGCCGGUCAUCUAAUGCUACUCGCAUACAUUAUUAAGUAAAUUUAAAAAAACCGGAUGAAUUACAUGUAAAUCAGAUGAUUUUCAUUCAAACGGACAAAAGCAUUUUUAUUUCAAACAUAUUUCAACUAAACUAUACGGGACUAGGUUAUACAUAGUCUAAUGCCACAUAUCUCCAUUCCUACGACAUGUCCGUCAACCCGCUCAGUAGCCUUGGAGGGAUAUGCAACAAUAGCCUUCCAAACGUUUUUUCAUGACAAACUAGGACAAAGAUACCAUGUUUUAGCAACUAAAUUCGAACGUUUUUGAACCCUGAUAAUACGUUUGAAUUUUAAGCAUGUCACCCUGAACGUUUUUUCAUGGCAACUAUACUUGACGUGAGGUGCCAACUUUAGUUGCUAAAACAUGGCAUCUUUAUCCCAGCUUGUUUUCUUGUCAAAAAAUUGCCGUGUUUGACAACCUUGCGUGAACGAAAGUUGCCAUGAAAAAUGUUUGUGUUGUCGUGCUUAAAAUUCAAAAGUUCAGGAUUUAUCAUUUUCGUAAAUUUUCACUACAACAUUAAUGUGGAUUUGUGGUUUGAAAGUUUGGUGUUGUUUUAUAUGGUGUAUAUCCGAACACGUGAUUUUGAUUUAUAGAUUAGACACUUAGGCUCAAAUUUGCACACGCUUCACAAAAGUUCUAGAUAUACCACUGAAUGGAAGCCCAUUGGGUCAGCUGCCCACUGCCCGGGUAAACAACCAUGGAGUAUUUCCUUUGUUUUUGAUUGCACCGUCGUAGCAUGUAGUGCAGAUAGAGAGCUCGGGCAACUGCCGAGGCUAGCGGGCGGUGGCACCGCCACUGAGGAGGGGUGGCGAUGGCGCUAACGCCAUAUCCGGAGGGUUUGUCGGCAAGCCAACAUGUAUCGGGUUGGCUCGUCGGGCAUCUCAGGCCGCCACGGUGCCGAAGAACUCCUUCUGCUCGCUGAAGGCCAUGAUGAGUGGUGUACAAGGAUGGUUUGCAGAGAGCGGAGGUCGGAUGUGGUUCUUGCACGACGCCUGGUCAAGUUUGGAGAGAGCGGAGGUCGGAUGUGCUUCUUGCCCGAUGCCUGGCCACGUUUAUAUAGCAGGCGAAUGCGAGGAGCCAGUUGAAGAGGUGUUUAAUGUUGGCCGACACGGGAACGAACAUGUGAUGCUCGGCCUGCCGGACUAGGUUCCUCGGCACACACUGUUAAAUGGAGAUAGACAGGUAGACGUAUAUCAUUCCAAUAUGAAGAGAAGGUGUGCGCAACGGGCAACCAGGGGAUGGCGCUCUCAGUCGGCGAGCUGCUUCAAUGCCGGCUCUGGAAAGUGAUCAUGUCUGCUCUAGCCCGACAUGAAUGCGAGGAGUUGGCUUUAGGCCGGAAUGCAUGUGGGGACGGGAGAUGGGGUUUUGAUGGGUCACACCAGUUAAGUGUGAACGUGACAGUGGUUCGCCCGACCGCAAACCUCCCUAGGUUGUUUAUGUUUUAUGGGGAAAAGUAUUUCCGGAUCAAUCAUAAUGUGCGGUCCGAAAGGUGAGAGGUUCGAAGGUUGGCAUUGAAGAUACCCUAAGCUAAGAGCAUCACCAACCGUUCGGCCCCCCAGGGGCCUGAAAUAGCGUCACCUGUGGGUGCGUCGGCGCAAAAAAUGGCGUGGGGGGCUCGGGUUCCCAACCGUCGCUUUCGGCCCAUUUUCGCCGCAAAUUGGCCCAGUUCCGACGCAAAAUUCAUAUUGUGUUUCCCCCUUUUAUUUCUUUGUUUACCAUUUUUAUUUUAUGCUUUUCAUUCAACUCGACGCUAGCUAAUACAUAUAGUAAUGAAAGAACCAUUACACAAUGGCUUCAUGAUCAAUAUAUAGAAAGAACCAUCAGUAUCACUUAAAAGUUGUUCAACUUAAGAAACAAAUAACAUCAAUGUAUCACAUUCAUCUUAACAUAAUAAUUAAUUAACUAAUAGUUCUCUAGCUGAUAGUUCUAAACAUGGUCAACAACAACCAUCAUGUGAUAGCCCUUGUGGUUGCUCUUCCUUAUAGUGAUUACCACAAGGGUGUCCAGCCUUAGUUCUCUCUUUUCCUUGAUGAACUCCUUCCAACCGGCCUUGUGGAAUGAUAUGCGUCCGUCAUCGUCUGUCUUGUAUUGGACGUUCGUGAUAGGCCCUCUUGGUCCAUGCAUUACUUCAGCAGUGCCGACGGCGGGGACGUCCACUCCAGAAAACAUCUUCAAAGGUAACUUCUGAAGACCCCAUUAUUAAGAGAAAAUAGAGAGCACGAAAUAUUAUACAUCUCACCAUACUUGGUUAUGACCAAAAAGAGAGGAAAGAAUAUAAAACAUCUCGCCGUAUUUGGUUAUGACAAAAAGAGAUGAAAGAAUAUAGAACAUCUCACCAUAACUUUUUUGACCAUGUUUGUUUUUUUAGACGAUGCACAAAGGGCUUCCCCAAGAAUGCCGAAGAGGAUGAUAACAUUUCUUUCACACUAGCUUUAUCAUCCUGAGUAAGCUUCUUAAUCCUUUGAGAAAAAAGCAAAAAAGGAUAGGACCAUCAUCUUCAUCUUCGAUGUCCUCCUCUUCAUCUUGGUUGUCCUCAUUUUCAUAUUGGAUGUCCUCAUCUUCAUCUUGGUUGUCGAUGUCAUCUUGGUCAACUUGGCUGAUGAUGUUAUCUUGGUUAUCGUCAUCAUCAUCGCUUUGGACAUAUAAUGUCCUUAACCUAUUCACCUAUCCUAUUAAGGAAAAAGCUACGAGUUCUCCUUCUUUAAAAUUGUUCACUGCAAUGUACUCCUCCCAUCCAUCACCAUGUAUGAUGGUUUUAUUCUUUCAUUUGCACAGAUCCAAUUCGAAUUCGCAUUCCUCAUCAUCCUUAGAGUACAACACGUUACCAUAUGAAUUGUUGAAGUCCUCCCUUAUGUCGCAUGGAACACACUAUGCAGUAGUUAAUAAUCAACAAUAAAGUCAGUAAAAUAGUUAAACAAAUAAUCAGAAUUCAAUACAAAUUCAAGUUCAAGACCGUUACCACUAAUUCUUGAAGUCCCUUUCUCAAAAAUACCCCGAACUGCGCUGCAGUUUCAAAACUGUCCAUACAUGAAUUCUGACAAACCUUGCAGAUCUUAUGCCUCAUGGUCCCUAAUAAACCCAAGUAGUUGUCAAACGUAAGAAAAUGCAAUUAACACUUUUUUAUAUCUAAUUUCCGAAUGUAGAAUAGUUCAUAAAUGUAAUUUAUGAUAUAUAUAUAAUGUGAAUCUUUAAAAACUCAUAACAUGACAUGCCUUAUUGCAACCUAAGAAACACAAAUUUAUAUAAUGUGUAUGUUAUUUAACUUAAGCACUAUUCAUUUGAAUCUUUUAUCUGUUUUUGUGUGUAAGAAAUGAUCAUGUUUGUUGAUGAGAUUUUCCCAAGUGCACACAAUAGAUUACCAUCAACAUAUGAAAAUUCGAUGAACAUAAAAAAUAUAAUGCCAUACAUACAUGAACGUAUACAUACAUACAUGAACAUACACACAUACAUGAAGAUACAUACAUAUACAUGAACAUAAAGAAAAUGCACGGGCAGGGCGGCGGCUUAACAGCAGGGCAGGGGUGGCGGCAGCGGCAGCGCAGGGAAGGGGCGAUGGCUAAGCAGCAGGGCAGGGCGGCGACGGCGGCGACGCAGGGCAGGAGCGGCGACGACUCACCAUGGGAGGAGCGGCGGAGUCGAUGGAGGUGGCCGACCGAACGAUGGCGUCGGGGUCGGUGCCGGAGGAGCGCCUACGGUGGCGUCGGGGUCAGAGACGAGAGGAGCCAGCGACGGCGGCGUGUGUUGGUUCGGCGUCGGAGUGGAGAGGAAGAUUGGCGAGGGAGGGACGCAGAAGUUAUAUAUCCCAACCCUUUAGUCCCGGUUCAUGCCUACAACCUGGACCAAAGGGUUGGGAUCCCACCCUUUCGACUAACGAAAUUCCCCCUUUUAAAGGCUUUGCCUCCCGCCAUUUGUGCCAGCGAAAUUUCACCUUCGGCCCUGGUUGGUGGAUCCAACCGGGGCUACAUGCCCCUCUUUAGUCCCGGUUGGAGGGAUCAACCGGGACUAAAGGGUUGGUGCUGGCACGGUCGAGGCGGGGUGGAAGUUUAGUCCCAUCUCGCAGGGCGAAGGCCACUCGCAGCGGUUUGUGAGCCCCGCUCCGGCUAUCAUCCCGAGUUCCUCUCCUAAACACGUAGUAAAUGCCUAACUUUCAUAUCAGCCCUGUUGGGCCUACUUGUUACACGGGCCUGCAUCCUGGCCCAUGUGUAAAUGGGUUUCUAGUCAUAUGCACGACGUGGUUGGCUUAGUACGCGGGCGUUUUUUUGCUAUUAAAGUUUUUAACAAAAAAAACUUUAUGAAAAUUCUUUUUGCUAUUAUUUUUAACAUGUUUUAACUCCACACUUUUUGUCCGUUCAGUAUGCAUCAUUCAAAGCCACGUAAUCAAUUUUCAACCCUUUUCUAACUUCAUUUUCUAUUUUUUUCAUGCAUUUAAUAAUUUUGUUUGAACUAAAUGACCCUAAAAUUGAAAAACAUUACAAAUGAACUCCGAAAAGUUUGAAACUUGGCAUGGUAUCAUAAUUUAACCCACAUAUCAUGUGCUAAAAAGUUGAGAGGGUUACCGCAAAGACUGGAUGCACCUCAUGUAGAAACUAGACAAUCUCUUUCGAAGUAUCACGCUUCCACACGAAAACUCAUCUGUUACAAAGUGAUUUCAUUUUUUUUAAACAUAGUUUAAUUCCACACUAUUUGUGAGGUCAAUAUGCACCAUUCAAAGCCACGUAAUCAAUUUUCAACCCUUUUCUGAAUUCAUUUUCUAUUUUUAAUGUCUUUAAUAUUUUUUUGGGAGCUAAAUGACCCUGAAAUUGAAAAUCGCUAUAAAUGAACUCUCAAAAGUUUGAAACUUGGCAUGGUAUCAUGAUUUCACCCACAUAGCAUGUGGUAAAAAAUUGAGAGGGCUACGGCAAAGACUGGAUGCACCUCGUGUACAAAGUGUACAAUCUCUUUCGAAGUAUCACGGUUUUGGACGAAAACUCAUCUAUUACACAUGGAUUUCAUUUUUUUGAACAUAGUUUAACUCGAGACUAUUUGUGAGGUCAAUAUGCACCAUUCAAAGCCACAUCAUCAAUUUUCAAUCCUUUUCUGACUUCAUUUGCUAUUUUUCAUUCAUUUAAUCAUUUUUUGAGCUAAAUGCCCUGAAAUUGAAAAGCACUACAAAUGAACUAUGAAAAGGUUGAAACUUGGCAUGGUAUCAUAAUUUCACCCCCAUAGCAUGUGCUAAAAAGUUGAAAGGGUUAUGGCAAAUACUAGUUGCACUUCGUGUAAAAACUGGACAAUCUCUUUUUGAAGUAUCACGGUUUCGGACGAAAACUCAUCUAUUACAAAAGGGAUUUCAUUUUUUGGACAUAGUUUAACUCCAGACUAUUUGUGAGGUCCAUAUGCACCAUUCAAAGCCACAUCAUCAAUUUACAACCCUUCCGUGACUUCAUUUGCUAUUUUUCACGCAUUUUAUCAUUUUUUUUAGCUAAAUGACCCUGGAAUUGAAAAGCACUACAAAUGAACUCUGAAAAUGUUAAAACUUGGCAUGGUAUCAUAAUUUCACCUACAUAGCAUGUGCUAAAAACUUGAAAGGGUUAUGGAAAAAGCUGGAUGCACUUCGUGUACAAACAUUACAGAACAUCAUGAAUGGAGAAAAGUGACCAAAUUAAUACAAGUUCUUCAUCAAAUGUUAUUACUAAAAAAUAAAUGCAUAAAGUCCAUAAAUAUAGUCGUCAUACAACAACAUACAGCUCUCUAGAGCAUCUAAUUAAAACAUACAUUGAAACUAACAUACAACUAUGUAAAACAUUUAAAUGCAACAACAACUGCGACCAAAAUCGCAACUAAGGUAACAAUUUAUCCAACAACAUAAUGAUACCAAGCCUCAUUAUCAAUGGCAUGUUUUCUAAUCCUUUUAAUCUUCAAGCGCAUUGCAUUCAUCUGGAUCUUGUUUAGAUCGACGAUAUCGGAAACAUGCAACUUCAAUUUCAUCUUCUCUUCUCUAACUCUUUUCAAUUUUUCUUCCAAAUAAUUGUUUUCUUUUUCAACUAGAUUUAACCUCUCGACAAGAGGGUCGAUUGGAAUUUAUGGUUCACAUACCUCCUACAUAAAGACAUCUAUGUCAAGUUGGUCGACAUAAUUUUCAUAAACACUAAAUGAAACAAAUAGUUAUAAAAGAUAAUAUACCAUAUCUGAAUCAUAGACCAGACGUGAGACGACGGGGGCGGAUACCAAAACCAUGUCACUAUGUAAUAACAAACAAUAAUAAAAGUAAGAAAAUUAUACAAUAGCUAUAUAGAUCAUACAAGUUAGAUUUUUUUCUCUAAAAAAGAUAAUUAAGAAAAACAGGCUCAGUACGGUGGUGCAGGCGAUCGACGAGAUCGGCACGGGCAAUGGACGGGGAGAGGAUGACGUGCACGGGGACGGGGCGGCACCCUACACAUGUGCAAACUAAAAAGUUAAUUUGAGGUGGCUCAGACAUUUCAUCAAAUACCUCAUGUGCAUAGGAGGUGAGAACUAGAGUAGGCCAAAAAUGAGAGAAAUGAGCGUGAGGGAAGAGUAGAUAUAUAGGCAAUCUUUUAGUCUAGUGUUGUUGUCUAGAAUCGGGACUGAAGAUAGACAUUUAGUCCCUGUUCGAGACACGAAUCGGGACUAAAGGGUUUGCGCCAGGAGCCUGGCCCUUUAGCCCCGGUUUGUGGCACGAACCAGGACUAAAGAUCCUAGAAGAACCGGGACUGAUGCUCGUCGAGGCCCGACGGCGUCCUCGCCGCUCGAACCCGGACUGAUGCACGCAUUAGUCCCGGUUCAUAAGUAGACCGGGCUAAUGCUCUUAUCAGGCCAGGACCAAAACCCUGUUUUCUACUAGUGCACUUUUGGCCCAUAUUCGGCAUGCUUGGCACAAAUUGAACAACAAUAGUUUUUUAUCGCAUAGUUCAUCACAGAAAUCAAUACAAAUCAAAAAAUAGUUUAACAAGUCAAUACGAAUCAAAAAACGAUCUACGCGUUGCCCUUGAGCCACCAUAGGUGCUCCUCCAAAUGGUGUUGCAGUUGUUGAUGCACGUGUGGGUCUGAUACGUCUCAAACGUAUCUAUAAUUUUUGAUGAUUUCACGCUGUUAUCUUGCCUUCUUUGUAUGUUUUAUGUACCCUUUUAUAUCUUUUUGGGACUAACUAAUUAAUUCAGUGCCAAGUGCCAGUUCCUGUUUUUUUCGUGUUUUGACUCUUUUCAGAUCUGAUUUUGGAACGGAGUCCAAACGGAAGAAAAACCCCGAAAUGAUUUUUUCCCGAACGGAAGGAGUCCAGGGGGCUUUUGGGCCAAGCCAGGUGGGCUCCAGGGAGCCCACAAGCCCCCCCUCCGCCACCAGGGGGAGGCGGGCGGUGCAGGCUUGUGGCCUCCCUGGCCGCCCCGUGACCUAGGUCUUUGGUCUAUAAAUUCCCAAAUAUUUCGCAAAAAAUCACGGGAGCCUUGAAAAUACUUUUUCGCCAUCGCAAGCUUCCGUUUCCGCGAGAUCUCAUCUGGAGACCCUUCCCGGCACCCUGCCGGAGGGGACUUUCGAGUUGGAGGGCUUCUUCAUCACCAUCAUCGCCCCUCCAAUGACUCGUGAGUAGUUCACUUCAGACCUACGGGUCCGUAGUUAGUAGCUAGAUGGCUUCUUCUCUAUCUUGGAUCUUCAAUACAAAGUUCUCCAUGAUCUUCAUGGAGAUAUAUCCGACGUAAUCUUCUUUGGCGGUGUGUUUGUCGAGAUCCGAUGAAUUGUGGACUUGUGAUCAGAUUAUCUAUGAUAUAUAUUUGAGUCUUUGCUGAUUUCUUAUAUGCAUGAUUUGAUAUCCUUGUAAGUCUCUCCGAGUCUUGGGUUUUGUUUGGCCAACUAGAUCUAUGAUUCUUGCAAUGGGAGAAGUGCUUGGUUUUGGGUUCUGCCAUGUGGUGACCUUUCCCAGUGACAGUAGGGGCAGCAAGGCACACAUCAAGCAGUUGCCAUCAAGGGCAAAGGGAUGGGGUUUUUUAUCAUUGGUUUGAGAUUAUCCCUCUACAUGAUGUCACCUUGCUUAAGGCGUUACUCUGUUCUUAUGGACUUAAUACACUAGAUGCAUGCUGGAUAGCGGUCGACGUGUGGAGUAAUAGUAGUAGAUGCAGAAAGUAUCGGUCUACUUGUUUCGGACGUGAUGCCUAUAGAAAUAGUCAUUGCAUAGAUAUCGUCACGACUCUGCACAGUUCUAUCAAUUGCUCGACAGUAAUUUGUUCACCCACCGUCUACUUGCUUUCAUGAGAGAAGCCACUAGUAAACACUACGCCCCCCGGGUCUAUUCACAUCCAUCGUUUACAUCUCCGCUUUUACUUUGCUUUGUUACUUUGUUGCUUUCAGUUCUCACUUGGCAAACAAUCUAUAAGGGAUUGACAACCCCUUCAUAGCGUUGGGUGCAAGCCUUUGUGUUUGUGUAGGAUCUUGAGAUACUCUUCCACCGGAUUGAUACCUUGGUUCUCAAACUGAGGGAAAUACUUACCGUCACUGUGCUACAUCACCCUUUCUGCUUCGAGGGAACACCAACGCAAGGCUCCAAGGCCACGGGGGAAAUCCUUUGCAUACUUGCCUAGGAAGUCCCUUAAGGCGUAGCCGUAGCUGAAGGAUUCCUGGUGCCGUCAACACAACUAUUUCUGGCGCCGUUGAAAGGGAUAGACAACAAACAUCAGAAGUAUUUCUGGCGCCGUUGCCGGGGAGGAGAAAUCAAGAUCUAUCCAAGUAGGUCUCACAAACUCUUCUCUUGCAUUUACUUUUGUUGCCAGUUGCCUCUCAUUUUCCUCUCCCCCACUUCACAUUUGUCGUUUUCAUUCGCCUUUCUCCUUCGCCGUUUUCUUUUGCCCUUGCCGGUUUAUUGCUUGCUUGUGUGCUUGUUUGUUUGUUGAAGACAUCAUGUCUGAAAACACCAAACUUUGUGACUUCUCGAGCACUAAUAAUAAUGGUUUUAUUAGUACUCCGAUUGCUCCCGCCACUAGUGCGGAAUCGUAUGAAAUCAACGCAGCUUUGCUGAAUCUUUUUAUGAAAGAGAAAUUCUGUGGCCUUCCUAGUGAAGAUGCCGCAUCCCAUCUCAAUACCUUCAUUGAGCUUUUUGAUAUGCAAAAGAAAAGAGAUGUGGAUAAUGACGUGAUUAAGUUGAAACUUUUCCUUUCUCGUUGCGAGAUCGCGCAAAAACUUGGUUUUCUUCAUUGCCUAAAAAUAGUAUCGACUCUUGGGGUAGGUGCAAAGAUGCUUACAUAUCCAAGUAUUUUCCGCCGGCUAAGAUCAUCUCCUUACGUAACGAUAUCAUGAAUUUCAAGCAAUUUGAUCAUGAACACGUUGCACAAUCUUGGGAGAGGAUGAAGCUUAUGAUUAGAAAUUGUCCUUCUCAUGGCUUGAGUUUGUGUAUGAUUAUACAAAUCUUUUACGCUGGCUUGAAUUUCGCUUCUUGCAAUAUCUUGGACUCCGCCUCAGGUGGAACGUUCAUGGAAAUCACGUUAGGAGACGCUACAAAACUCCUAGACAAUAUCAUGACCAACUACUCUUAGUGGCACGCUAUAGAAGAGAUCAACUCGCUUAGUGCUAAGAUGGAUGCGUUGAUGAAUUUGGUUGCUCGUAGAAAUGCUAUCAUAGAUCUUAAUGACAUGCCCCUAUCUUCUUUGAUUGAGAGUAGUAACGCUAGUUUGGAUGUGAAUUUUGUUGGUAGGAACAAUUUUGGCAACAUCAAUGCUUUUAGAGGAAACUAUGUUCCUAGGCCUUUUCCUAGUAACUCCUCUAACAAUUAUGGCAAUUCCUACGGCAACACUUAUGGAAAUCAUAACAAAUUACCCUCUGAUCUAGAGAGUAAUAUCAAAGAGUUCAUCAACUCUUAAAAGAAAAAAAAAAAAAAAAAAAAAAAAAAAAAAAAAAAAAAAAAAAAAAAAAAAAAAAAAAAAAAAAAAAAAAAAAGUGAUAUUGAUGCUUUGAAAGUUAGAUGCGCUCCUCCCAAGAUCAACUUGGAUUAAACUUUGAAAGCUAUGUGUAUCUCCAUGAAUGAGAGCAAAGAAAGAACCGCCCAAAUUCGCGCUAGACAUGAAUGGUUCAAAAGGGUGCGUUCUAGUGAUGCAAAUCACGAAGAUCUUAAAGUGCUUGGUGUGUCUCCUCUUGAAUCUUUGUUUUCGCGUGUCAAACCUACUUAUGGAGGGUCUGGGUUGUUGGAAAUAUGCCCUAGAGGCAAUAAUAAAUUAGUUAUUAUUAUAUUUCUUAGUUCAUGAUAAUCGUUUAUUAUCCAUGCUAUAAUUGUAUUGAUUGGAAAUAGAGUGCAUGUGUGGAUACAUAGACAAAACACUGUCCCUGGCAAGCCUCUAGUUGACUAGCUCGUUGAUCAAAGAUGGUCAAGGUUUCCUAACAAUAGGCAAGUGUUGUCACUUGAUAACGGGAUCACAUCAUUAGGAGAAUCAUGUGAUGGACUAGACCCAAACUAAUAGACGUAGCAUGUUGAUCGUGUCAUUUUGUUGCUACUGUUUUCUGCGUGUCAAGUAUUUGUUCCUAUGACCAUGAGAUCAUAUAACUCACUAACACCAGAGGAAUGCUUUGUGUGUAUCAAACGUCACAAUGUAACUGGGUGACUAUAAAGAUGCUCUACACGUAUCUCCGAAGGUGUUCGUUGAGUUAGUAUGGAUCGAGACUGGGAUUUUUCACUCCGUGUGACGGAGAGGUGUCUCGGGGCCCACUCGGUAAUACAACAUCACACACAAGCCUUGCAAGAAAUGUGACUUAGUGUAAGUUGCGGGAUCUUGUAUUAUGGAACGAGUAAAGAGACUUGCCGGUAAACGAGAUUGAAAUAGGUAUGCGAAUACUGACGAUCGAAUCUCGGGCAAGUAACAUACCGAAGGACAAAGGGAAUGACAUACGGGAUUAUAUGAAUCCUUGGCACUGAGGUUCAAACGAUAAGAUCUUCGUAGAAUAUGUAGGAUCCAAUAUGGGCAUCCAGGUCCCGCUAUUGGAUAUUGAACGAGGAGUCUCUCGGGUCAUGUCUACAUAGUUCUCGAACCCGCAGGGUCUGCACACUUAAGGUUCGACGUUGUUUUAUGCGUAUUUGAGUUAUAUGGUUGGUUACCGAAUGUUGUUCGGAGUCCCGGAUGAGAUCACGGACGUCACGAGGGUUUCCGGAAUGGUCCAGAAACGAAGAUUGAUAUAUAGGAUGACCUCAUUUGAUUACCGGAAGGUUUUCGGAGUUACCGGGAAUGUACCGGGAAUGACGAAUGGGUUCCGGGUGUUCACCAGGGGGGGCAACCCACCCCGGGGAAGCCCAUAGGCCUUGGGGGUGGCGCACCAGCCCUUAAUGGGCUGGUGGGACAGCCGAAGAAGGCCCUAUGCGCCAUAGGAAGAAAAUCAAAGAGAAAAGGAAAAAAAAGAGGAGGUGGGAGAAGGGGGAAGGACUCCUCCUUCCAAACCUAGUUGGACUCGGUUUGGAAGGGGAGGGUUGCCCCCCUUGGCUCGGCCGAACCCCUUGGGGGUCCUUGGACCCCAAGGCAAGGCUACCCCUCUUCCCCCUAUAUAUACGGAGGUUUUAGGGCUGAUUUGAGACAACUUUGCCACGGCAGCCCGACCACAUAUCUCCACUGUUUUACCUCUAGAUCAUAUUUCUGCGGAGCUCGGGCGGAGCCCUGCUGAGAUAAGAUCAUCACCAACCUCCGGAGCGCCGUCACUCUGCCGGAGAACUCAUCUACCUCUCUGUCUCUCUUGCUGGAUCAAGAAGGCCAAGAUCAUCGUCGAGUUGUACGUGUGCUGAACGCGGAGGUGCCGUCCGUUCGGCACUAGAUCGUGGGACUGAUCGCGGGACGGUUCGCGGGGCGGAUCGAGGGACGUGAGGACGUUCCACUACAUCAACCGCGUUCACUAACGCUUCUGCUGUGCGAUCUACAAGGGUACGUAGAUCGGAAAUCCCCUCUCGUAGAUGGACAUCACCAUGAUAGGUCUUCGUGCGUGUAGGAAAAUUUUUGUUUCCCAUGCGACGUUCCCCAACAUGGAUAUGAAUCCACUUUGAUUGAAAAACGCCCCAAUGAUUCAGAGUCCACCUAUCUUGAUGAUAAAGGUGUGGAGAGUGGAGUAGAAGAAGUCAAAAUUUUGGGUAGUAACGAAAAUCCCACUUUGGAUUUCAAGGAAUUCAAUUAUGAUAAUUGCUCCUUGUUUGAAUGCAUUUCUUUGAUGCAAUCCAUUGCAAACUCUCCACAUGCUUAUAGCCAAAGCAAAGCUUUACCACGCAUAUCGUAGAUGCUAUGAUGAAAUCUCUUGAAGAGAAGCUCGAACUAGAAGUCUCUAUACCUAGAAAACUUCAUGAUGAGUGGGAACCUACUAUCAAAAUCAAGAUCAAAAACUAUGAGUGCAAUGCUUUGUGUGAUUUGGGUGCUAGUCUUUCCGCGAUUCCAAAGUCUUUAUGUGAUAUUCUUGGUUUUCAUGAGAUUGAAGAGUGUUCUCUUAAUUUGCAUCUUGCGGAUUCUACCGUCAAGAAGCCCAUGGGGAGGAUCGAUGAUGUUCUUAUUGUUGCAAAUAAGAAUUAUGUACCCGUGGAUUUCAUUGUACUUGACAUAGAUUGCAAUCCUUCAUGGCCCAUUAUUCUUGGUAGACCUUUCCUAAGGACUAUUGGUGCUAUCAUCGAUAUGAAGGAAGGGAAUAUUAGAUUUCAAUUUCCCUUAAAGAAGGGCAUGGAGCACUUUCCUAGAAAGAAAAUAAGAUUUCCUUAUGAAUCUAUGAUGAGGGCUACCUAUGGUUUGCGCACCAAAGAUGACUAUACGUGAUUCCAUCACUUUCGCCUAGCUAAGGGCGUUAAACAAAAAUGCUUGUUGGGAGGCAACCCAACGAAUCUAUCCUUUUUUUCUGUUUUGUGUUUUUCACACUUUCAUAAUUCUGUUAUGAUUGUGUUUUUGUGUUUCUUUUUGCGUUUGUGCCAAGCAAAACCGUUAUGAUUAGUCUUGAGGAUGAUCGUUUGGUCACGUUGGAAAAGACAGAAACUGUCUGCUCACGAAAAGAAUUUGCAUUUUUUUCUGUAAGAGCUUUUGAGUUGAUUCUUUUUUCUGCUGAUUUCUACGCAAAUUCUUCAGACUGUCGCAAGUUUUCAGAAUUUUUGAAGUACCAGAGGUAUACGAAACAUACAGAUUGCUACAGACUGGUCUGCUGUUAACAGAUUCUGUUUUUGUUGUGUUGGUUGCUUAUUUUGAUGAAACUAUGGAUAGUAUCGGGGGGUAUUAGCCAUGGAAGAUUGAAAGUAAAGUAACCCAACAUCAGCAUAAGUAGAAUUUAAGUUUGCUGCAGUACCUAAGGAAGUGGUGGUUUGCUUUCUUGUACUAAUGUUAUCACGAGUUUCUGUUUAAGUUUCGUGUUGUGAAGUUUUCAAGUUUUGGGUGAAGUUCUUAUGGACAAAAAGAUAAAGAGUGGCAAGAGCUCAAGCUUGUGGAUGCCCAAGGCACCCCAAGAGAUUCAAGGAUGUCGUAAAAGCCUAAGCUUGGGGAUGCCCCGGGAAGGCAUCCCCUCUCUCGUCUUCAAUCCAUCGGUAACAUUACUUGGGGCUAUAUUUUUAUUCACCACAUGUUAUGUGUUUUUGCUUGGAGCGUCUUGUAUCGUAGGAGUCUUUUUUUUGUGUCACAAUCAGAGAGAGACAUGCACUCACCGUGAUUUUGUCGAGCUUCACUUAUAUCUUUUGGUAGACAAUUCAGCUCACAUGUGCUUCGCUUAUAUAUUUUGAGCUAGAUACUUUUGCUCUAUGUGCUUCACUUAUAUCUUUUAAAGCACAACGGUGCGUGGCUUGGUAGUUGAUCUAUGCUUUGAAAGUAGUCUCAAAAGGGUUAGUUAUCCAAAGGGAUACGGAAACUUCUACCUUCAUGUGCAUUGAAUAGUUAGAGAAGUUUGAUUCAUCUCAAUUAGUUUUGAGUUGUGGUUAUGGUAAUAUUGAAGUCAUGCUAGUAAGGUGUUGUGGAUCUAGAAAUACUUGUGUUGAAUUUAGUGAUUCCCGUAGCAUGCACGUAUGGUGAACCGCUAUGUGAUGAAGUCUGAGCAUGAUUAGUAUAUUGAUUGUGAUCAUUUGCGUGGCGGUCGGGAUCGCGCGAUGGUUUAUACCUACCAACCCUUCCCCUAGGAGUAUGCGUUGAAUGCUUUGUUGCGAUUACUAAUAAAACUUUUGCAACAAGUAUAUGAGUUCUUCAUGACUAAUGUUGAGUCCAUGGUUUAGAUGCACUUUCACCUUCCACCAUCACCAUCUUCUUAAGUGUCGUGCAACUUUCGCCGGUGCACAAAACCCACCAUUAGCCUCCCUCAAAACAACCACCAUACCUACCUACUAUGGCUUUUUCAAAGUCAUUCCGAGAUAUAUUGCCAUGCAACUACCACCAUGAUAUGUGCCACCACGUCUACAUUGCCAUUGCAUGAUCGUAAGAUAGCUAGCAUGAUGCUUCCAUUGAUGUCUAUGCCAUGCUAGAUCAUUGCCACGGUACACUACGAAGGCAUUCCAUAUAGAGUCAUAGUUGCUUUAAGUUUUGAGUUGAAAGUGUGAUGAUCAUCAUUAUUGGAGCAUUGUCCCAUGUGAGGAAAUAAAAGAGGCCAAAGAAGCCCAUAAAAAAAGAGGCCAAAGAGCCUACCAAAAUAAAAUUAAAAAAAAUGAGAGAAAAAGAGAGAAGGGACAAUGCUACCACUUUUUCCACACUUGUGCAUUUUGAGCACCAUGAUCUUCAUGAUUGAGAGUCUCUCGUUUUGUCACCACCAUAUAGCUAGUGAGAAAUUCUCAUUAUAUAACUUGGCUUGUAUAUUCCAAUGAUAGGCUUCCUCAAAAUUGCCUUAGGUCUUCGUGAGCAAGCAAGUUGGAUGCACACCCACUAGUUUUCUUUAAGAGCUUUCACAUACUUGUAGCUCUAGUGCAUCAUUUGUAUGGCAAUCCUACUCAUUCACAUUGAUAUCUAUUGAUGAGCAUCUCCACAGCUCAUUGAUAUGCCUAGUUAAUGUGACUAUCUUCUCCUUUUUGUCUUGCAACCCCCACCACAUUCCACACCAUCUAUAGUGCUAUAACCAUGGCUCACGCUCAUGUAUUGCGUGAGAGUUGAAAAUGUUUGAGAAAGUAAAGGUGUGAAACAAUUACUUGGCCAAUACCGGGGUUGUGCAUGAUUUAAAUUCAUUGUGCAAUGAUGAUAGAGCAUAGCCAGACUAUAUGCUUUUGUAGGGAUAACUUUCUUUUGGCCUUGUUAUUUUGAAAGUUCAUGAUUACUUUGCUAGUUUGCUUGAAUUAUUAUUGUUUCCACGUCAAUAGCAAACUAUUGUUUUGAAUCUAAUGGAUCUGAACAUUCACGUCACAUAAGAGGAAUUACAAAGGACACCUAUGCUAGGUAGCAUGAAAGCAUCAAAAAUUCAUUCUUAUCACUUCCCUACUCGAGGACGAGCAGGAGUUAAGCUUGGGGAUGCUUGAUACGUCUCAAACUUAUCAAUAAUUUUUGAUGAUUUCACGCUGUUAUCUUGCCUUCUUUGUAUGUUUUAUGUACCUUUUAUAUCUUUUUGGGACUAACUUAUUAAUUCAGUGCCAAGUGUCAGUUCCUGUUUUUUCCGUGUUUUUGACUCUUUUCAGAUCUGAUUUUGGAACGGAGUCCAAAUGGAAGAAAAACCCCGAAAUGAUUUUUUCCCGAACGGAAGAAGUCCAGGGGGCUUUUGGGCCAAGCCAGGUGGGCUCCAAGGAGCCCACCAGCCCCCACUCCGCCACCAGGGGGAGGCGGCGGUGGGCAGGCUUGUGGCCUCCCUGGCCGCCCCCUGGCCUAGGUCUUUGGCCUAUUAAUUCCCAAAUAUUCCGCAAAAAAUCAAGGGAGCCUCGAAAAUACUUUUCCACCGCUGCAAGCUAACAUUUCCGCGAGAUCUCAUCUGGAGACCCUUCCCGGCACCCUGCCGAAGGGGACUUUGGAGUUGGAGGGCUUCUUCAUCAUCAUCAUCGCCCCUCCAAUGACUCGUGAGUAGUUCACUUCAGACCUACGGGUCCAUAGUUAGUAGCUAGAUGGCUUCUUCUCUCUCUUGGAUCUUCAAUACAAAGUUCUCCAUGAUCUUCAUGGAGAUCUAUCCGAUGUAAUCUUCUUUGGCGGUGUGUUUGUCGAGAUCCGAUGAAUUGUGGACUUGUGAUCAGAUUAUCUAUGAUAUAUAUUUGAGUCUUUGCUGAUUUCUUAUAUGCAUGAUUUGAUAUCCUUGUAAGUCUCUCCGAGUCUUGGGUUUUGUUUGGCCAACUAGAUCUAUGAUUCUUGCAAUGGGAGAAGUGCUUGGUUUUGGGUUCUGCCAUGUGGUGACCUUUCCCAGUGACAGUAGGGGCAGCAAGGCACACAUCAAGCAGUUGCCAUCAAGGGUAAAAAGAUGGGGGUUUUAUCAUUGGUUUGAGAUUAUCCCUCUACAUCAUGUCAUCUUGCUUAAGGCGUUACUCUGUUCUUAUGGACUUAAUACACUAGAUGCAUGCUGGAUAGCGGUCGACGUGUGGAGUAAUAGUAGUAGAUGCAGAAAGUAUCGGUCUACUUGUUUCGGAUGUGAUGCUUAUAGAAAUAAUCAUUGCAUAGAUAUCGUCACGACUCUGCACAGUUCUAUCAAUUGCUCGACAGUAAUUUGUUCACCCACCGUCUACUUGCUUUCAUGAGAGAAGCCACUAGUAAACACUACAGCUCCCAGGUCUAUUCACAUCCAUCGUUUACAUCUCCGCUUUUACUUUGCUUUGUUACUUUGUUGCUUUCAGUUCUCACUUGGCAAACAAUCUAUAAGGGAUUGACAACCCCUUCAUAGCGUUGGGUGCAAGCCUUUGUGUUUGUGUAGGAUCUUGAGAUACUCUUCCGCCGGAUUGAUACCUUGGUUCUCAAACUGAGGGAAAUACUUAUCGUCGCUGUGCUACAUCACCCUUUCUGCUUCGAGGGAACACCAACGCAAGGCUCCAAGGCCACGGGGGAAAUCCUUUGCAUACUUGCCUAGGAAGUCCCUUAAGGCGUAGCCGUAGCUGAAGGGUUCCUGGUGCCGUCGACACAACUAUUUCUGGCGCCAUUGCAAGGGAUACACAGCAAACAUCAGGGUCUCAGAUCUCCUGACGCAUGUUGAGGAAGGCAGUCCAUGUUGCCGGUAGCUGGUGAUCAACUUGGGCAAGAGGACCUUGCCUGUAAUAUCAUUCAGUGUCAAAUAUUGGCUCCUUGUGCUCGCUCUCAAUGAUCAUGUUGUGCAAGACAACACGACAAGUCAUGACUUUCCACAAUUGAUCUUUCGACCAGGUCUGAGCGGGGUACCGGACAAGAGAAAAACGAUAUUGAAGCCCACCAAAUGCCCGCUCGACAUCCUUUCUACAAGAUUCUUGACGCUUGGCAAAAUAGGAGUUUUUGCCUCCUGGUGCAAGAUUUGAGAUAGUCUUCACAAAUGUGGACCAUCUCGGAUAGAUGCCAUCUGCUAGGUAGUAUCCCUUGUUGUAGUGGUGCCCAUUGACCUCGUGAUUAACCGGAGUAGCAUGACCUUCAACAAGCUUGGCAAAUACAUUUGAGCACUGUAGUACGUUGAUGUCAUUGCGAGUUCGUGGCAUACCAAACAAGGAGUGCCAAAUCCAGAGGUCAUGUGUCUCCACUGCCUCAAGUACCACACUACAACCUCCUUUGGUGCCUUUGUACAUCCCUUGCCAAGCAAAUGGACAGUUUUUUUCAUUUCCAAUGCAUGUAGUCGAUACUUCCAAGCAUCAGGAAAUCCUCUUUCUGCAUUCUGUGCUAGGAUCCGAGUAGUGUCUUCAGCAUUUGGUGAUCACAAAUAUUGAGGUCCAAAAACUUCCACCACUUCCCUGCAGAACUUGUAGAAACACUCAAUGGUGGUGGACUCGGCUAUGCGUCCAUAGUCUUCUAGAAUAUCAUCGAGAGCUCCAUAUGCAAGCAUCCUCAUAGCUGUCGUGCACUUCUGGAGCGAGGUGAAUCCAAGUGUGCCGGUGCAAUCCUUUUUGCACUUGAAGUAGUUGUCUAAUUACCUAAUGGAAUUCACAAUCCUGAGGAAGAGCUUCCGGCUCCUACUGUAACGAUGCCGGAAUAAUGUAUCGCCGUGCAGAGGAGCGUUGGUGAAGUAGUCGACGUAGAACAAGCAAUAGCCUUCUAGUCGAUGCCUCUGCUUUACCUUCAGCCGGCCUGGCGCCGAGCCACCUCAUCAUGGCUUUGCAUUGCUCGCGAACAGGCCAGCCAGAGCGAUGAGGACCAUGAGGUGCUCUUCAUCCUGGGUGUCGGCUUCGGCUUCCUCCUCUAGUAGCGCCGCGAACGCCUCCUCGUCGUUGGAGUCCAUCGCCCAGGUGAUGACGAGUUGAUGGAUAUACUUCUCGCCCCUCGUUGGUUAUCCCAAGUGGAAGAUGGAGAUGUAGUUAGCAACAGAUUUCCCUUACACGGGGACUGUAAGGUUUAUCAAACCAGGAGGACUCCUAGACUCAACAAGUAGCUGUCUCUUGUCCAAGUCAGCAGAAGACGUGGACCUGCACACACAACAAAUAACUUUGCUCCCAACGAGUACACAGAGGUUGUCAAUCGCUCCGGCCUUGUAGUUUGCAAAGGAUCAAAACACAAGCGCGAAGCUAAUAGUGAUUGCAACGGAAAAGUAAAUGAAAGCGGUAAAUGAUGGAGGUGUAAACAAUAUUGGUGAUAUGGACCGGAGUCACAUGAUGCUCACUCGUGAUGUCUCUCUCCUAAAAGAAGAUAAACAACUAUGCUUGGGUAAACAAAUCACAGUUGGACAAUUGAUAGAAUUAUGAUCGCACCGCAAUGCUAAUUAUGCUACUUGAUAGUUAGAGGUUCAAUAGUAAUGGACAGUACGCCAAGACAAGUACUCUCUCCUUUCCGGUUUAUAGGGCUCAAAUUUGAAAUCUCAUCAACCAAGGUGAAUUGUGAGUGGAUGACACUAGUUUAAACUAGCCAAUGAAAUAUUUCUCACAUAUACAAUUCCCAAGGCAAUAAAUGUAGCAUCCUUCCUUUCAUUAGAUUUGCAUGGUGGAUGUAGAAAACGAUGCAUGCAUAACCACUCAUCUCCUUUCUCUAAACUCUAUGUAGUAAAUAUGACGUGAGACUCAAAGCACUUUAACUCACUUAGACUCAAAAUGAGCCUAAUAUAAUGGAAAUCUGAAAAUUUUGAGAUGAGCCCUAUAAACCGGAAAGGAGGGAGUAGACCGUUUAUUCAUCAGCAUCUACUUACUAAUCAUCCACCUUGAGAUAUCUAUCCAGAACAUCUCUUUGGUAUUAAGUUGCGAGCCCCACCCAAAGUGUAAACUCAAAGCAACGGACAACUGCAUUAACGAACUAUGCGUAAGGUAAACAAUCCUUGCAACCGUGGUCACAAGUACCGUUGUUUUCUCCCUGGUGGCAACAAGCACAUCCCCUAGUCUCAUGUUUCUGUCACUCAAGCUAGACAUCGAGGGGCAUGAACCCACAAUCAUGCAUAACACUCCCUCUUGGAGUUACAAUCUACUACUUGCCCAAAGCAAUAAAUAGCAACGGAGAACAUGCAUGAAUCACUAAGGAACAUAAUAUAAAAGGAUAAUCAAAUAUAUAACUCAUAAGAAUCUGAACAUAAUCUCAUAAUCCAUCGGAUCCCAACAAACCGAGCAUAGAAAUAUCAAGAGAAUUACAUAGAUGCCUUGAUCAUGUAGGGCAGCUCACAAGGACUAACCAUUGAAGCACAAGAUUGGAGAGAAGACAUCACAUAGCUACUGGUCAUGGACUCAUGGUCCAAGGAGGACUACUCACGACACGUCCGGGAAGCGUCCAUGGCGGUGGAGAAGCUCCUGGAGGUCAAUCCUCCCUCCGGCAGGGUGCCAGGAAGAGGUCUCCUGACGCUCCCGAUCUCAGAAGCGCUGCGGCGGCGAACGAUGAAGAAAUUCGCGGUUCCAGAAAGUCUGCAAAUUUUUCCUCUCAGUACUCUAAAGAUAGGCAUCAACAAACAUAAACUGGCAUUGGGUGCACUGAGUUAGUAGGUUAGUCCAAAUAUGUGUAAAAUGAUAUAAAAGUGUAGCAAAACAUAUAACAAUGUCACCCAAAAGAUUAUGGAACAAGCAAAAAUUAUAGAUACGUUUGGGACGUAUCACCAGGAAAUCGCCGAACACCUGGCGGGCGUGGCGGACGCGCAACAGUGUAUGUGCCUGGAGCGUCGGGAAAACUUGCCAAGAAGCAACGGGGCAGGGGAGGGGCGAAGCCGCAGCGAUACGACCGUCAAUGGGGGAGAUGUAAUUUGUAGCGGAACGAUAGGCAGGUGGGUGGCGCCGGAAUCGAUGCGGUGGCAAAAGGUGUGUGUGCGUGAGGGCGGAUCUGGAGAAGGAAAGGCCUUUUUCGCUUAAUAGGGGGCCCAAUGCGGCGUUUUUCCUUCCGCCAGCGCCCCCGGGAGACCCCCCGGCGCGCUGGGUUCGGUCUGGGACCGUCGGGGCCAAAUUCGGCCCUAACCGGCAAAAACCCGGCUCCUGGGACGUGACUGGACCGUUUUUCCCUCGUCGAUGAAAAAAUGUCCUCGGGAGGGCCUAUUAGGGGCGCGGCUGGAGAUGCUCUAAGGACACGUCACACGUGUAAACGGAUGCCUGAAAAAAAGGAGGGGGACACAAGUAUAGUGAACAACAACAAGAUCUCCUUUCUCAAAGGUGGCGAGGAGCAACUUCAGGGAGAGAAGUCGGACAAAUAUGAAAGCAUAUCGGCCGGGCUGCCAGAGCAGCCCCGACGGGAGCAAUGAAAAUAGUAGGAUGGAACUGUCGAGGCCUCGGGAAUGGCCCGACAGUUCGCAGCCUCCUCGAGUUGGGGAGGAGGGAGGAACCCGAUAUUCUGUUCUUGGCAGAGACGAAACUCUCAGAGAAGGAGCUACAUAAAUUCAGGUGUCUAUUGGGAUUGACACGCGUGGUUGCUUGGAAUUCUGAAGGUAGGAGUAGGGGAGUGGCGUUGUUCUGGAGAAGAGGAUUGGAUGUUACUUUGAGGUCGUAUGAGAGACGACACGUUGUUGUGGAUGUGUCGAAUGAGGGUGGGGUGAUUUGGAGACUGACAAGAGUAUAUGGUGAGUCGGCCAUAGAAUGCAAAAAGGAGACCUCGAGAACCCUCAAAAUUCUCAGCCAACAACACCAGGUUGGGAGACCAUGGCUCUGCCUCCGAGACUUCAAUGAAAUCUUGUCGUGUGAUGAAAAGUUGGGAGGGGCGAAUCGGCCCCAAUCAUGAGAUAAUUUUAGAGAGGCGCUGGAAUGGGGGAACUCUGUGAUAUUGGUUUUCAGGGGGAUAAAUUUACUUGGAGGAACCACAACAAAGAAGCUGACAAUUAUAUCUGUGAGCGGCUCGACCGGGCUACAUCAUAUGCCACAUGGUGUGAGCUAUUUCCUGACUUCUCGAUGGUGAAUGAAUUCCCGCGCCACUCUGAUCACAGACCGGUAGUUGUCUGGACUAAAAGAGAAGCUAGUGGAGAAGGGGGUGGGGACCGUGGGUUCAGGUUUGAAGCUUGGUGGCUACAAGAAGAUGGUUGUUCCGAACUAAUUCAGGGUGCUUGGGAGGAAGGUCGGGCCCAAGGUGAGGGAGGUGUGGCUCAUACCAUGAAAACAGUUGCAUGCAGGAUGCGGAAAUGGCAUAAGGAAGUGACUGGAGAAUUGGAGGGGAGAGUGAAGAAGGCUCGUAGUGAUCUGGAGAGAUGCAUGCGAGCGCCGGUUUGUGAAGAAAAAAUCCGGGAGGAGGCAUGCUGAGGUGUGUGGUGGAUGACCUUGAGGAGAAAAGGAAUACCAGAGCGAAGCAAAUGUCACAUGUCACUUGGCUGAGGCAUGGCAACAGGAACACCCGCUACUUCAUGGCGGUUGCCUCGGCAAGAAGGAAGAAGAAUAGAAUAAAGGGGCUGAAGAGAGAGGACGGAUCGGUGGUGAAGGAGGGUGAGGAGCUGAAUAGCUAUGCUUGCUCCUUCUUUCAGGAACUUUUUACAUGACAAGCGAGCAACCGUGUGAAUGAACUCAUUAAUAAGGUGGAGCCUCAGGUCACGACUGCAAUGCAAGCAACUCUUGAUGCUGAGUUUACACGGGAAGAGGUGAAUUCUGCGCUUGAUCACAUUGGGGACCUGAAGGUGCCAGGGCCGGACGGAAUGCCGCACAUCGUGUAUAAGAGGCAUUGACACUUUAUGGGUGAUUAGGUGGUCAAGGAGGUGUUGGCAGUACUAAAUGGGGGCGUGAUUCCGGAGGGUCGGAACGACACUGUGGUAGUGUUGGAAAUGAGCACGAAAUGUCUAUAAAUGAAUUUUCUCAUUAUUCGUUAUUCCCGGGUCUUUUCGUUGCAUUCACUUACAACAAGAAACAACCACCAGUAUUUGGUGCAUCACUUGCAUUUUGGUGCAUUCUUCUUCCUUUCAUUGGUCUUUCGUUCCGUCAUAUUCCAAAUAACUUAUCUAAUUACAACGUAUUAACCGCUAAUGCACCUUUUUUAUCAAAUCUCAGGGACAUGAUCUAAUCAUGAUGAUAGUAUUUUAUCAUGGUCUAAAGUGAAGGAACCAAACAUAAUCAAAGACCUGCGGCCCAUAAGUCUCUGCAACGUCAUUUACAAGCUAGUCUCUAAAGUUAUUGCUAACCGGCUCAAACUAGUUUUGCCUAAGAUCAUCUCCAAAAACCAGAAUGCAUUCGUCCCGGGAAGGCUUAUAACUGAUAACGUGCUGAUUGCAUAUGAGCUAUCACACUUCUUGCUGAACAAGAAGAAGGGGAAGGAGGGCCUUGCAGUGGUGAAGGCUGAUAUGAGCAAAGUCUACGAUCGUGUGGAGUGGAACUUUUUUGGUGCAAUGUUGAGAAAGUUAGGAUUCAAGAGGCGAUGAGUUGAUCUCAUUAUGAAGUGUGCAACGUCUGUGAGGUAUCAAAUAAAGAUCAACGGGACCCUAACACAUCAAUUCAGUCCAUCCAGGGGGCUUCAACAGGGUGACCCUGUUUCACCAUAUCUCUUUGUUAUCUGUGCGGAAGGCCUCUCGGCGCUGUUACGUGAUGCCGAAAGAGCGGGGAGAAUAAGUGGUGUGCAAAUAUGCCAGGCUGCGCUCGUUAUUUCACACCUAUUCUUCGCUGAUGACUCGGUCCUGCUGAUGAAAGCGAAUCAUGAGGAAGCGACUGCACUGAAAGGGAUCCUGGAUUUGUAUGAGGAGUGCUCUGGCCAGUGCAUUAAUGUCGAAAAAUCGGCCAUUAUGUUCAACCCAAAUACGGAGGGAGCUGUGAGAAAUGAGGUUAAAGAGGCUUUGCCGAUCCAUAGCGAGUCUUGGACCGAAAAAUAUCUGGGGCUUCCGGUCCAUGUGGGAAAGUCUAGGAGGAAGGCUUUCGCAUACGUCAAGGAGACCAUGGCUGGGCGUGUGUAUGGGUGAGAAGAGAAGUUGAUUGCUAAAGUUGGGAAAGAGACUCUAGUCAAGGCGGUUGCGCAAGCUAUUCCAACCUUUGCCAUGUCUUGCUUUUACUUGACUAAAACCUUUUGCGAAGAAAUCAACUCCCUAAUUGGCAAAUAUUGGUGGAGCCAACAAGAUAAGGGCAACACUUUUCACUGAAUAAGCUGGGAGAAGCUAACAAGAUCCAAGUCGCAAGGUGGUCUAGGAUUCAGAGAUAUGGACAGCUUUAACAUUGCUAUGCUUUCUAGGCAAAUCUGGAGGUUAAUUCAGGAUCCAUACAGUCUGUGCGCAAGGGUCCUUAAAGCUCGGUACUUCCCACAUAGCCAUGUUCUGGAUGUUGGGCCGAAGGAAGGUAUUUCUUAUUCGUGGCACAACUUACUUCAUGGUUUGAACCUUGUCCAAGAGGGAUACAUUUGGCGCAUUGGUGAUGAUACAAGAGUCAAAAUCUGGACCGACCCUUGGAUUCCGCAUCCUUGGUCGCGACGUGUAAUCACUCCGAGGAGGGGGAACCUACUGGAGGUGGUUAGUGAUCUGAUUGAUCCAUGCCUGGGAGGAUGGGAUGAACGGCUGGUUCGGGAGACCUUCUGGGUUGAUGACGCAUGACAUAUUUUGCAGAUCCCUAUCCGGGAAGGGGUGCAAGACUUUAUCGCCUGACAAUAUGAUAGGAAGGGCCUGCACUCGGUCAAGAGCGCGUACAAGCUUCGCGUUCAGGUUGGGAAGCAAAAGGGGCAUGGGGAGGCCGGUUGCAGCACAACCGUGGCCGAAAAUCUCAAUAGCUGCACCGAUGACUCGUGGAAGCGUCUGUGGAAGCUGCCUUGUCCCACAAAAAAUCCAGAUGUUUGCUUGGAGGCUGAAGCAUGAGUCGUUGGCUUUGCGAACAAACCUGAAGAAGAGAGGAAUCCCCGUUGAAGACCAAAAAUGUUUGUUCUGUGGGCGUGUGGAUGAAGAUGGCGCACACCUCUUCAUCAAGUGCAAGUCAGUGAAAGCAGUGUGGAGGGAGCUUGCUAUGGAGAAAGAAAGAGAGGGGCUGGAGCAUAUCUCUUUCCUGCACGCAAUGUUUGACUUUCUAUGGAAAUUGGAUGAUGUAAAGCGAGUGCAGAUUCUGACUUUCUAGUGGCAGCGGUGGAACAACAGAAAUAAACUGAGGGAAGAUGAGCUUUCCGUUGCUGCUACUGAAGUGGCCAGGCGCACAAAGAGAAAUGUCCUUCAGUACUUGCAGGUCUGCGCUCCAAUGCAGAAGAAGACGAGCGUGUGUCAAUGGCGACCACCUGCGGAAGACUGGAUUAAAAUCAACAUUGAUGGAUCCUUGGUUCCGUGUGAGACUCAUGCUCGCUGGGGGUGGUGGCUAGGGCCUCUGAUGGCUCAAUUGUUUGUGCCCGGGCCGGUCGCCAGGAGUAUGUUGAAGACGCGUUCGCUGCUGAAGUUCGUGCCAUGUCCCACGUUGGCCCUGUUUGGAUACUCUAACUUGGCUAGAGGUUAGAGUUAGUUUCUAACUUUAGUCUAACCAUAAACUAACUCUAGCCUUUGGUGGUGUUUGGAUGCUAAGGUUAGUUUGACAAUAAAUGCACUUUUUUCAAUCAUGUGUAUCUUUUAACCAAGAUUUGUUGUGGCCAGCUUUUGUGUAGGCCUGGUGCAGGGGUAUGGAGGAGGAUGGAGGCGACCGGUGGCAGGCCGGCGGGGCGAGCAGGCCGAGCGGGGCGAGCGCGGCGAGCGGGGCGAGCGCGGCGAGCGUGGCGGGCGGGGUGAGCGCGGCCGAGCGACGUGCGAUGCGGGAGGAUGGAGAGGAAAGGAUCCGAUGCGGUCAAAAUAUUAUUAUUUUUACCUGUCCAUCCCCAACUAGCUCCAAUUAACACCUCUUCUCAGGGCUAGUUUUUUUGGUGGGUUAGUUUGCAUCUAACCCAAACUAGCCCAUGUGUUUGGAUACUUUGGGAGCUAGUUCAGUUUAAACUAACUCAAACUAGCUCUAGCAGUGGGAUCCAAACUGGGCCGUUGUCUCUCUUGUUGUUAAUCUGGGGAUAAUAAGGGUGGUCUUUGAGACGGAUUCACAGCUCCUACAGGAGGCUCUUGAUCUAACCAAGCUGGACUCUUCGUCCUACGGGGCGGUCAUCGAAGAUACGAAGAUGCAGCUCAAGCUUUGGUUCUCUAAAUUUGAGAUCUCCUGGUGUCGUCGCAAUGCAAACUCUGUGACUAGCUAGCUUAGGCCGUUUGUAUGAACCAAACUAUUUCCUGUGUAAACAAAUAUAAGAGACUUUAAUGAUCUAAAUACUUUUAAAUUCCUUUUUGAGGGAGUACUAAUCUACUAUGUAGAAUGAGAGUCGGAUAUACCAGCCGCCAUUGUGGCUGAUUAUGCUUUGGAUGAUCUGCCCAUAAGUUAUAAAGCUUUGCUUUGCCUUCAGAAAACAAAAUCUCCUUUCUCCCGGCGCCACCGUUCCUCUAGAAGAACCUGUCCUGUCCCAAAGAAAAAACUGUCCCGACCUGUCCCCGUUGGGGAACGCGCCGCACCCGCAGCUGGAGAUCCCUCCCAGUCCCGGCCCCGGCUCACGAGCCCGCCGCCCCGCCCGCCGAAUCCGCCGCCCUCUCCUCGCCAGGGACGCGCCGGAGAAGGACCGGACAGGCCUCCUCCCUCUCCGCCUCCCCUCCCGCCCUCUCUCCACCGCGCAGGCGAUCCGCCCCGGCCGCCGAUCUCCUCGCUGGUACGGAAGCCCUGACGCAGCUCGCUCCUGCCGCCUCGCUCCUCGUGUUUGAUUGCGUUCCCCGAUACCGCAUUCCGCCCCGUCGAUCGGUUGCGGGUCUGAUUUGGUCCUUCUGGGUGGCAAGCUUGCUUUCCCAAAAUUUUAGAGGAUUGAACUGAAGCUGCACGCCCCGCUUUAGGUCUGCUGCUAGGUUCUGACGAUUAGUGCGAGAUUCCGCCGAAUCAGGUAGCUACACUACACACACGCCCUCGUAACGUUGACGCAUAGUUUAGUUGACCUUGGAUAGUUUCGUCACAGGUCGUGGGGAAAUUGAUAGUUGGGAGUGUGUGUGUACUUAGGAAGUUAGGAUACUUUUCAACUAAGAGUCCUGGUUUUUUGCUGAGAUAUUCCUGGGUUUUAAUCCCCAACGGCGUAGAAAUGUUUUCUGCUUGUUGUACGGAAAUUAAUUUAACUAGUUACAAAACUGACACGAGUUCAUCCACAUCAGAUAGUACAUACAUAUUUAUCUGGUGUCAUAGCUAGGAAUAUCCAGCAAGGAUUAUCCUGUUUUCCAGUUUAAUGCUUCAGACAUAAUCUGACUAUACUUUUCUAACACCUCAAGCUGACAUAAUUUUUUCUGGCCAUAAUUCUACGCACCCUCCUGUCCAUUUCCUGCUUGUUAGAGACGCACGGUUUGUACUUGUUGAAAGCCUUUCUGUCUGUAGCAUGGAAAUACUAUUGAAUCACUUAGAAAACUGAGAGGAGUUACACAGCAAAUAGUAACGACUGUCAUGUUUUGCAGUUAAGUUCUUGGUGCAUGGUCUGGUUGUUUACUUUUCUUAUAUCUCACGCUGUCAUAAAUUUGCUCUGAUAACCUUGUGCGUUUUUUUUUCCUGUUAGCUCCAUCUCCUGCUUGUUACUUUGUCAGCGGCGCCUGAUUUGCAGUUGUUGGUUCAGCUGGUGGUAGUGCUGGAUGAAAAUAACAGGACUCGUGAUCUGAUUCUGUUUGUGCUUUGUAGGAAUGGCGAAUUUUACCAAAAACUUCCAGUCUUCAAGCAAAUCUGACAGUGAAAAGAAAUACCAGGGUACCCUGGUUGCUUCUCCAGCAAAGGCUAUUUCACCAAAGACGAUAAAGCAUAUCGUGCCAAAACAAUUGAUCUUAAGCAGGGAGUCAACAGCUCAUGUGGCAUCCUUUUUGGUGAAGGUUAUUGCUCUUGAGGUAGUGAGGAGGAUUUCUAAAGCAAAAUGCCCUUUUGUAUGGAAUUCUAUUCAAGCACUGCAAGUUCUUGGAUAUCCUCCAUUUAGGUGGAUUCAACGAUGGGCACCACUCAAAUUUGUCGUGCAAGGCAUUCAGGUAUUUUGUUUCUUAGCUCUUCAAACGCCUUGGAUCUCUUGAAAUGUCCAAGAUGCACAUUAUUUCUUUCUUUUGUUACAAAAUUGUAUGUGCUUUUGCAAGUUGUGAGCUAAAUUAAUAUUGUGUUAGUUCUUCUAUUUGCAUGAAGCUGAGUGAAAGAGUAGUUCUCUUGCUGUUAUUUGUUUAUCUUAAAGUCCCAGGUUAAAUUGACUAUAUCUCUGUUAUACUCCAGCACUGGAACUGUACUUGCAAGUUGCAACCAUAACAUGCUUGAUAAUUUGUGAAAAAUAUAACUAUACUUACUUUCGUACUCACCUUAGUCCCCUGGUUUAGUCCACCCAAUGGAUUUAACACAUUUGUUCCUGUAACUAGCUGAGGGCCCAUGUGUAGCUACGGAAGUAAAAGAAAAUCCAAUCUGGUGGAGAACCCAAUGAUAUUGAAGCUCGCUGACUUCAGGAAAAAACAGGCAACUUGCACAUAGAAAAACUGUAUAAAGAAUCAUAUGUAUUCCCUUAACAAGAUUGUAGAGAUCAUGGAGAUGGUUCUACUUGUCAACAAGUUACUUUUGGCGGAGAGGAUCACAACCAGAAGAGCUAUUUGAAUUAGCAGACCUACCUACCAUCAGAACCAGCUCCUAUAUUUAUAUGAAUAAGUAAUGUUUUAUCUCCCAGAUUUUGAGUCCAGCAAAGGGCUAUAACCAUGCCAGGUUCAGGCUCACUCAACCCUCGGUGGAAAAUACUGACUUAUGAGUUGGCAUAGAGUUUAUUUUGGCAUAGGUUUUGUUUGGCUCCUUAUUCUGCAGACUGGGCUUCUUGAAGUGUGUGCUGGAUUAAGACUCAGAGAGAGAUCAAGAAACUACAAAUCUGUAGUUUGCUUUCCAAUAUAUUUUAGCACUAAUUUUGGCAAUAUGUAUGUACUAAGCUAAUGUAUAGCAUCCCAUUCAAUUCAUGUGAUGCUGUGCUCAUGUAUGCUCAGUUCAACCUAUUUGAGUUCUCUUGAGUGUUUUCUUGUGGUUUUAAGCUGUGCUGAACUGCCUAGUACAAAACAUUGAUCUAUGAUGUUUCAAAUCCUCUGCUGUAUGUUUUUUGUGGUUCUUUAAUGCUUUGUUGAAUUGGCUAUUAUGAUACAUGUGCUUUAUGUUGUUUCUCAAAUGGUGUUUGUUUUAAUGAUAAUGUAUUUAUGUUGGCAUUGCUUCAGCACUGAUUUUUUUUCUGAAUGCAGAAAUUAUCCACACCACUGUUGUUUCUAUCUGUCACAUCUACACUGGGUGAUCUUUCUUCUAAGAGCGAUGAAGCCGAUGACGGACCCAGUAUCCCUACAGGAGCCCCUGACCUUCCUGCUGAACCACAUGAGACAGCGUCGACUUCUGAUACAAGGUUGGUGGAGACUUCAGGGAGAAACACAAUAAGUAGCUUCUAAAAGAAAUACAAAAAGUAUCUCCUAGUCGCACAAUGCUUUGUUAGCAUCUUUUCUCAAAUCAUUAUUAUAUUUUAGUUUGAUCAUAUCUAACUGCAAUAUCAAGGAGAGGGCACGGAAAGAAAUAUGUUUUCAAUUUGCUUUUAUACUCCCCCCCUCCCCCCCCCAUAUAUUAGAGCUGGUUGUGAUUGGGCCGUCUGCCAUGACAUCACUCCACCAGAAGUAACUUCCUGACAAAUGGGACCAUCUCUAUGAUCUCUGCCAUCUUUUUUUUUUAAUAUAACUAUCUCUAAUCUCUAUGUCCUCCUUAUUAAGCUGUUUUUUUCUCUAAGCAAAGUUUUCUAUGGCUCGGACUUGUAUGGAGAUUGAUCCUCACAAGAUUGGAUUUACUUUUGCUUCUGUAGUGAUGCACAUGCAUUCAGCUAAUGUUUGAUGAUGAUGUUGGUUUCUGCUUGUUUUAGGGAGGCUGCUGAUGGGGAUGGCACAAAGGAUAUUAUUGUUUCUGAGAAUUGGCUGGUGCUACUUUUCAAGGAACUUGAAAAACAAGGAAUCACUUUGCCUGAGAGGUGGCGUUCUACUAGCAUGCUACCUACUCAUAAUAACUACUCCCUUCGUUCCUAAAUAUAAGUCUUUUUAGAGGUUUCACUAAUAAAAUACAUACGGAUGUAUAUAGACAUACUUUAAAGUGUACAUUCAAUCAUUUUGCUCCGUAUGUAGACCCCUAGUAAAAUCGUUUAAAAGAAGUAAUACACAUUUUGGACCAUUAAUCCUCUUGCUACCACCGCGAGGGGGGCAGCGAUAUUUCUCUUGCACUUAUGAAUAUUUUAACUUGCAAGAUAUUAAAAGAAGUCUUAGUUAUCUAACGGUUAUUGUCUAUGUUAUCUGUGAUCCAGUAAUGAGUUCUACCUAAGGAGAGUGUAAGUUAUACAAGUCUUUUGCUGUAUCCCAAGUACCAUGUGGGUGGGUAUUUGGAGGAAAAAAUCAAUAUAUUAUGUUUCAACAUGAGCCUUUCUUUUAAUUACAUUCUACCCCCUCCGUUCCUAAAUAUAAGUCUUUUUUAGAGAUUUCAAUAUGGACUACAUGCGGAACAAAAUGAGUGAAUCUACACUUUUAAAUAUGUCUAUGUACAUCCGUAUGCAGUCUUUAUUGAAAUCUCAAAUAGACUUAUAUUUAGGAACAGAGGGAGUAUUAUAUUUGGAGCUGCAUUUUUCUAUAUCAGAAAGACUAGUUACAUGUUGUGACGCUGGCAAGCGUAGGAAGGAUCCUACUGGCAUUCAGCGAGAUGCCGCAUGGCUGAAUAGUUUAUCUGGUGUAUGUUUCAGGUUCAGUGAGGAUGAACUACGCAGAUUCCACAUGGCAGCAAAUGGUGACUUUUCAAGCUUGGUCUCUUCAAUUAAGAAGACAAUCCACUGGAGGGAAACUUUUCACAUACUUACAUUGCAAGAACUUGAGAAAUGGUCCCAUUUGGUCUUUUGGCAUGGGUUUGACACUACGCUUCGUCCUUGCUUAGUAAUCCGCCUUGGACUCGCGUGCUCUACUAUAGCCCCUCGUGAUAGACCUCGUUUUGGGCAAGCCGUAGGUAAUUUCUCGACCUGUUUUAUCUGCCUAUCUGCCUAUCUUGCUUGCAAUCUAAAUGCUCUUAUAUUAGUUUACGGAGGGAGUAUCUUUUUCAGCAAUUAUCUGUUCAGAUCUUAUCAUUGAGAAGUUAGUUUUCUGGUCUUCUUACCACUUCAGAAGCGUUCUCCUUCCUCUUUUGAGCUUGCAGUAGCAAGCACUAAUCACUAGCAUCUCUCUGUUCAGUUUCUCAGAUUGACCAUGGUAUUAUACAUUUGACCAACGAAGAAGAUCCAAGAAUUACUGUUUUGCUGGAUUGCCAUGGGAUUUCUCCAUUCAGAUUUCCGAUGCAAAUGAUGAGGUCAUUUGUCAACUUGGUUCAAGAAAACUACCCAAAUCGUCUUGGAGUAUUAAUUGUUGUCCGUCUUCCUCCAGUUGUCAGAGUUAUUGCGCAUACUUUUAUUCAAGUAAGAUUACUAUCUUUGCCCCAAUUACUCAAAUGCACACGAUUCAUAUUCGUAUAGCUGGCAUCCUAUCAUCCUUUCUGCCUUAUCAGUCAUGUAAUAUACGAACCUCCAUCAACAGCUACAUCUGCUUUUAUGUAGAUAAUGACCAUGUCUUCGUGAUCUUCUGAUCUUCUUUGGUUAAUGUGUUGUGAUAUUAAUGUACAUGACUGCUCAAAAUUAGCUGGCCAUACCACCUUUCUCAGUAUUAGGUUUAGUGCCAAAUUUGCCUGCCGCACUCUUGUAUUGGACUUUUUUUGUGGCCUAUCCCAUAUCCAAAUUAUGUCAUGCAUUUUUUGGUACAAACCAGGGAAGUCUGGAUGGAAGCCUGAAUGAGCAUUAAUAAUCUUUUGAGAUGAUCUAAUAAGCAACUAUGGUACUUACUAUUCCCUUUUCAAAUCCUGCACAGCUCCUGAAACCAUCCACAAAGCAGAAGCUGCGUUUCGAGGGGGAAUCGUACAAGAAGACGUUAGCCGAGUUCUUACAGAUCGUCCCAGCUUUCCUCGGCGGCAAAUGCAACUGCUCUCGAUGCAAGAAGCCUCGAGACAGUUCACUAAUCCAGGCAGGGGAGGGGAGCAGGAGCAGGAGCCUUAUCAGCGCCGGCUCCAGAUCACCAGUCUCGGACCUGGACUUCGACGAGGAACUGGAGGAGCUUCCAUCCCCUUACAACUGCGAGAACGCGAUAAGGGCCGCGGUGAUCGGCCUGCUGAUGGUGUGGAUCUUUGUCGCCUUUCUCGCUGGGAUGAAUGACCCCCAGCAGCCCAUUUCUUAGCCUCCUGAACCCCCUGUCUCCUGACAGCUCAUAGAACUGUCUGCCCGUGUCACUAGUGUAGCGUUACUGUAUGUUGUUUGUUCCUCUUUGAGGUUGACUGUAUGUUGUUUCUCGCACCAGUCCGUGUUCCGAGUUUCCUCUGCAAGCCGGUCGUAUAGUGUCGUGAUUCCCCGUCCGCUAAGAUUUAUAUAGUAAGUAGAUAUGAAUAAAGUUGUGCAUGUAUUCAGCAUGGUUCACUCCAGUGUGAUAGGGAGGCUCUCUGUUUGUAUCGUUGCUACUGUAUUCACCCUUUUCAGCGUUUGUUGCUAGGUGUUGUUUGCGAGUGUAAUUUUGUACAAGAUUGCCGUUGCUGCUAAUGGGUAACCAUUCGCCUAGCCUUUUCAAUAGUAUAAACAUAAGAAUAUGACAAGAUUGCAUAAGCAAAAUAGAGGAUUGUAAAUCAUUGGAUUUGUAUAAUUGUGUGUUUGAUUCGCUAGAAAAACAUAAGAAUCCUAUAAAACAUAGUCAAAUUAAGGUUGAAACAUAUGCAAAAGGUAAGAUUAAAUUAACAGUACUAUGUUAGUUAUGGUCUUUAUGCCUAGUAGGAAUGUAAAAGAAAGAGGUUGGAGUUGAUUGUAAAGUUUAUUUCUUUAAUUUUUUGGCCACUAUGCCAAAUUUUUGUUAUAUAUGGCAAAAUUGUCAUGUUUAGGUGGAUGUCAUUAUUCUCUUUGAAACCUCUAGUUUAUUUUUUCUUUCAGUAUUGGCAACUCAUGAGUAAUCAAAAGCUUGACCAAAAAUGUUGACAAGUCAAAUAUUUGGUAGUUUACGGUUUGAGCUUGGGCUAAAACCAAACAUACGAUGCUUGUUGACCUAGAAGGAAGCCAUACAAGAGUUCUAUGGUCUUGGUGAUCAACUCUUUACACAAUCUUACUCGUGCUACAAUUCCAAUGCACACUAUGUAUUCCUUGGUCAAAGUCUAAAACCCGUCUUAUAUUAGUGAACAAAGGGAGCAGUAUUUAUUUGAUAUUUUUUUAUGAAGGAAAUAUAAUCGAGUUGAGUUGAACUUUUGUGUGCCGUCAUCUAACGUCGACCAAGAGUGAAAUUAUGGUGUGUGCCCACACUAUAGUGAUACUAAUAUGUGCUUUAGGCGGAUUUCUAGAGUUCACCUUCUAUCUUACCUGGUUCACAAAUUUGAAUUUUGUGGUUCAAUCCUAUCAUAAAAAAGCCUGGGCAUAUUCUAAGUGAUUUUGAUGAAUAUUGUAUCGGCAUACAUGCAUAUCAAUAGGCAUAACUCAAUAUCAUUAAUAUUCUCCAUUUCAUCCAAGCAAAAAAAAUUAAUGAAAGUGAUACUUGCAUUCGUAAAAAUGUUGGGGCUCGCACCUUGUAUGAUUUAUCAUAUCUCCAUGAGUUGCUUAUCACAUAUUGUCUCUCCGUUAUCAUUCACAUUUGCCGCUCUCUUAUACCUAUAUUGCUCUCUCAAAACGGCUAUAGAGACAGAUUCACGAAAUCACUAUUAAGAGGUGGUUUCACACCCUCACUAAAUGAAUGCUCGGAUGGCAUCAUGUGAUAACCACACAUUUUCUUUAUUUAUUAGGAUUCAAACAGUGGUCCCAUAAUGAGUAAGGAUAUGCCUACACGAGGCACGUGUGGUGCGGAUGAGACAAUCAUAAACAGAUGGACGAGAUAUCCGACAGAACCAAAAAGUACCAUAUGCGCUUCAAAAGAGGAGGCCAUCACAAUGACAACCAAUCUUUUUGGAUAAAAAAACAAUGGCAACCAAUAGCCAACGAGAAAUGUUUGUUGUGGGACACGACAACCGUGAACGGUUUUUAUGACAAAUUCUUCAAAAACACAAGGCAAAUGGUGACAGAAACACAUGGCAAAUUCUCACAAACGGAGGAUUUUGCUGAAAAAUGCCAUGUUUGCUCGAAAGAAUCGUCAUGCUCUUAAAGCAUAAAUUACCGCAAAAAAAACGUUCGUUUUGAAAUACGCAUCCCAAACGAACGUUCGUUUUGUUCGAAACUUCGACCUUAGUCAAACGCAUUUGUCAUGUUUCCAACAGAGUAUGAAAACCGCCGCGAAAACCGUUCGUUUUGCCAUGCACCCCAACGAACGUUCGCUGAAUAACAUCACCCAUGAAAAAAAACAUUGAGAGCAUGAGUUGAGUUUUGUUCGAAACUUGAGGCUUUAGUCAAACAAAUUUACCGAGGCAAGUUCAGUCAUCAAAUUUUUAACCGCAACAAGUUUAGUGGCCUUGGUGCCGUGCCGCCGUUAACUCACUCGCUGGCUGACCAAUGAGGCAGGGCCACGUUUUCUUCCAUGCCUGUUAACCCUAGCACUAGCAGGCACAGGCAGGACUGGCACAGUACUACCACCAGCACCGGCCUUCUCCCACCCACUCGCCGCCCGAGCGCCUCCGCGUGCCCGUACGCCGGCGCCUCCACCCCGCCGACGGCGGCCUCCCUCCCCUGUACACCGCCCUGCCGCCGCCUGCUCCCGCCCCAUCGCCCUCGCCGCCAGAUCCGUCCCUCCUCCUCUCGGGCCUCGGCAGAUCUGCGCGGCCGGCGGCCCGCCCCACCCCGACUGCCCUCCCCGAGCCAUGGUGAGUCCCUUCCCCUCCCCUCCCCUCCCCUCCCCUGGACCGUCUCAUUCCUCGCACGCCGUCGCCGCCCGGUCCGGGGCGGCCGCCGAGUCUCCGAGUAGUAGCAGGCAGUACUGGAAAUGGAAGUCACUGUUGAACGCUUGAUUUGAAUUGGAUAUGCUGGUAGGUUUGGAUACGGGUCUCAUGUCCCACUGCACAUUUUCCAUUUGCUGCUUACCUUGUCUCGGGGUAGCGAAAUCGAUGGAAGCUAGGCUGCAUGUUAUGCUUGGAAUAUACUCCCUCCGUUCCUAAAUAUAAGUCUUUUAAGAUAUUUCACUAGUAGUCUACAUACGGAGCAAAAUGAGUUAUGUCUAUAUACAUCCGUAUAUAGUCCACUAAUGAAACUUCUUUAAAGACUUAUAUUUAGGAACGGAGGGAGUAUAUAAUAUGUGUGGGUGUAGUCAUGGCCCCCCUGUCGCUUUAGUUUCUGGAGAAUGGUGAAAUCCAUGUAUUACCUCAACAUGUAUGGUGUUGGCCAAGCGUUUCUGUGUCCAUGCCCUUUAACACAGGCGUUAUUUAAUUCUGUUGCUAGAGAUUGCCGAGUAGGAAGGUUGCCAUUAGUAGAUGUGAUUUUGCCUUCAUUUGGUCUUAUACCUGGGUCUGUUUGGAGUCUGACCAUUGGACGUUCAUUUUUAAAUUCAUGUGCUAGGAUCAAGUUAUGGUGAGUCCAUCACCAAGCGCCAGCAGCGGCAGUGGCAAGAGCGCGGGUAGGGCCAAGAGCAGGAGCAGGAGCAGGAGCAGGAGCAGAAGCAGAAGCAAGAGUAGGAGCCGGAGCAGGAGCAGAAGCAAGAGCAGCACCAAGAGUAAGAGCAGGAGCAGGAGUCGCAGCCGGAGCAGAAGCCGAAGCCGAAGCCCUCGGCGAGAUAGGUUGCGCAGCGAGCGUUCAUCCCGCCGCAGCCGUAGCCCACCUCGUCGUGGCCGCAGUCCUCCUCGUCGCAGCGAACGUCGUAGCCGCAGGUGUGCACCUGUUGAUGUUUUCUUCUUAGAAGCUUGCUUGCAAAAUAUGUUAUCCUGGCUUGGAUUUACACUGAGUGUUUAUGUUACCUGAAAUAUUCACUGGAAUACCAACCGCAGCACAAGUUCAUGCAUCGUUGGCUGUCCAGUAGUGUAUCCUUUGCACACUCUUCUGCAUUAGAGUUGGUAUCGACAAUUCGACACACCAUAGCUAGCACACUUGUGGAAAGAUAGAAUGAUGAAUCAACAUUUUGUUUAAUGUUUGUUGUGGAAGUGUCAAUACAUAUGUUAAACAUAGCUGUUGUGCUUGUUUGAUUUAUUUAAGCAUCUUUAGUUGACCAAUUAAUAUUGGAGGCAUGUUGGCAUUCUCUUUAAUAGGUUUUAGUCUGACCAAGCCAGCAAGGCACUACCCCAAUAGCUUUGCAUUAACUAAACCACGAAGCGAAAUGCAUAUCUCUAGAAAAUUGGCUGCCUGGUUUAUUUAUGGCAAUUCCAAAUUGUUAUGGCAGAAUUUUGUGUGAUUUAUUUGCCAACGUCGCAUACCUCUGCCUCUGUCAAGGCUAACACGUACCUUGUGGAUCUCUCCUCUCUUCCCUACAGUCGUUCUUCCUCAUCUAGAUGUGUCAGUUCGACUGCCCAGUCCAUGCUAGUUGAUCACUGGUCUCCACUGGCUAUCGUCUACUCAGAAGUCUGCUGACUUGUUUGGGCUGACUGGAUGACUAAUCGAUGGUUAGUCAAUGGCUUGACAACAGUUGGCAUAUCAGAUUGGGAUGUUUAUGAAGGAGAUCCUCAUCUGCUUGUUCACAAUCACCUCAAGUUUCUAGCCUGGAUUCUGGGGAAGUUGUUAAAUGUGUAUCAGAGUCUCCCUUGUUGGAGUUAGGAACCACUUUGCUAACUACGGUAGGAUUUGAAUAGGUGGGACUAAAUAAAGAUGUCUAACUCAUAAGGAACACAUUUUUAUUAACGAAACUCCAAUAUUUUUCAACAUUAUCGUUCUGAGAAACAACUGAAACUUGGCAUCAGGAAGUAUGAAUUGAAUGUGAUGUUUCCAUGUUCCUAAAGUAUUACACCAUAACAGGUCUGUGUUGUUUCUAGAACACCACUAAACCACUUGUAUGGUCCCCCCCCCCCCCCCUAACUUGUAGCGCACUACAUUUAUAGAUUUACCAAGGUAUAUGUUACUGCUAGUACUCCGUAUUCCACUCAACAAGCACAUCAAAGAACAGAGCCUUAAGGGUGUUUACAAUGGUGCUAUCUUAGGAGUGCCAUGUAGGAUAAAUGCUGAGGUGGAGGAGAGCAAAACCCCAGAAAAAGCUUGCCUUAAUUAAGAGAUGAUCUCUUAGCAACGAUAUCUCUCCAAACAUAUUUAUCUUGAUAUGCUCUUUGCGAGCUAUGGAAAUAUUAUACCUUUUUCAUCAUAAUAUAUCUGUCAGCCUUGAUGAAAAAAUGCCAUGUUUAACUUGAAUAAUUUUCCAGGGAUAUUAUUUGCAAGAACUGCAGGAGACCUGGCCACAUUGCUAGGGACUGCCCAUCUGCUUCUACCUGCAAUAAUUGUAAUCUUCCAGGGUAAAGUGAAUUCCAGCACUCUCUUACUGUACUUGUACACUUGUACUUGUUCCAAUUUUGCGGGGAUCAGUAUGCGGUUCUUGAUUAUUGCCUGCCCCUUUUGGCUAAUUUCUGUUAUGUUAUCUUGCCAGAAAAGUAUUAAAAAGUUGGGCCAUAACUCCUUGUUUAAAUAUAUAUAUUUUGUCAGGCACUUUGCAGCAGAAUGCACUUCCAAAACAGUUUGCUGGAACUGCAAGAAGUCUGGGCACAUUGCCACUGAAUGCAAGAACGAGGCCUUAUGCCACACUUGCAGCAAGACAGGGCAUAUGGCACGCGACUGCCCGGCCUCGGGGUCAAACGCCAAGCUAUGCAACAACUGCUUCAAGCCGGGCCACAUCGCGGUCGACUGCACCAACGACCGUGCCUGCAACAACUGCCGCCAGCCGGGUCACAUUGCACGCGAGUGCAAGAACGACCCCGUCUGCAACCUUUGCAACGUGUCAGGCCACCUGGCCCGCAGCUGCCCUAAGACGACGACCCUAGCCUCAGAGAUCCACGGCGGGCCCUUCCGCGACAUCUCGUGCCGCAUAUGUGGCCAGCCGGGCCACAUCAGUCGCAACUGCAUGGUGACCGUCAUCUGCGACACCUGCGGUGGGAGGGGCCAUAUGUCGUACGAGUGCCCCUCGGCCAGGGUCUUUGACCGCGGCGUCCGCCGGUUCUGAUGACGCCAUGGAUCCAGGACGGGCCCUGGCACCUGAAAUGACCGUGGCGUCUGCCGGUUCUGAUGGAUUCGGGGGUUGACCCCGGCGCCUGAAGCGCCCCACCCUGAUGCGCCUGUUCCGAUGGAUUCGGUUCUGUUCGUUGGUUGGUUCCUGUUUUAGAUAGCUUCUGCGGAUGACGCCGAAACCUUUUUUUCGCUUGGUCGGUGUAUGCCCUUGUUGCUCCCUGGGUGUUGGUUGUGUUGUGGAAUGAAUGUUUAUGGUGUAGCUUUGUAACUCUGCUGAACUGGGCCGAGAAAGAGUCGUUUAUAUGAACUGCCAUGGUUAGACCAGAUUAUAUCCUAUUGUGACACGCUUUCGAGUUUAUCUGAGGAGCUCGUUUUGUUGCCGCGGUCUGCCUCGUGCUCUGCUGAGUUUGAAAGUUUCGCAGGGUUGUUGGGUGCAUAUCGUGGUUGCAGAUGUUGACUGCCCUUGGCCUAUUUUACAUCAGGAACAAGAAAAGUUGGGUGCCUUUGUAGUAGUUGGAACGAGGGUUUCCAGAGGAAAGUUCCAUGUAGAUGCAUUCGGUUUGUAGGAAACGAAGCACAGAAGUUUUCAGAGGAAAGUUUCAUGUAGAUGCAUUCAUUUCCUGUGUGUUGGUCUGUUUGCGACUGCCAUCACAUGUUAGAAGUUCUUAUAGUCCUGCAUUUUAAGUUUCCUCGAAACGAAUAAAAUUCGAUCUCCGCGGCUUCGUGACUUGAAGUUGGAAUUUCUGAUAUGGGGAAAGAAAUCCUCUCGUUUCUCACACGAACUAAACGGUUUCUUACAAAAUUCUUCUUGUCUGGUGGUCUGAUGAAUGAUUGGACCUGAAGAAGGGUUGCACUCACAGGCCCCAAGCAAAAGCACUAAGCAAUCUAGCGUACAAAUGCUGAAUGCUUUGCCUCAUGUCCAUUGCUUUCUUUCUGCAUCAUGGUCGCCAUCAGCAUCAUAUCCUAUUUAUUAUAUGCACACCUCAACUGUUUUAGCAGUCAAAACUCAAAAAAUGUUGGUGCGGUUGGUAGAGCACAGCAAGAGAGCUAAUACAGAUACCACAAGAUGAUCAUAUCCAACAGACAUGGAGAAUUGCUGAUGAAUUACACACGGACCUUGCGAACGAAUCCAAACAGAACAUUUAAUUAUUUAUAACCAGAACUUGGAAGAACAGUGCAGCAGCAUAACGCCCGGCAUAUAAAUGGGCAGCGGAAGAAGGAACGGAUUACAUGAUAGAACUUAGAACAAGACCUCCGUGGUGGUCUCACCACGGGGAUCUUUCGACACGGUAACAAAGCCACAAAUCAUCAAGAAAGUUUCAAGAGUCACACCGCCAAAUCUAUAAUUGACAUAAUAAAUCCAUGUCGCCGUGAGGCGUCCAAAGGGCAGAGCAUUGGAUGGAUGGUUGGUUUGCCGCCCUAGUGUGCGCGCUCCUUGAUCACGUCCAGGCUGAUUUCGCUGGGGUCGGUGGCCUGCAUCUCGAUCUGGAUGCCGUCCAGGGUCCUCUUGAACUUCUCGUUGGUGCUUGCGUACGUCAUCUUGCUCCUCACCUUUGCGGUGUCCGGGGACCUUUUCAAGUUGAGGCACAACGCACCCGGUAAGCACUUUGGUCGAUGUGAUCUAACCAUUCAUGGAAAUGCAUGGAAUGGAGAACAACAUACCAGAAGAUAUAGAAGAUCCUGCUCUUUGGCACAUCCUCCGGGGUGGUGAAGUCGAAGUCAAACACUGCGAAUCGGCAGUCGUUUUCAGGGAGGGUCUUGGUGAAAUCCUCAUAGGUGGCAUCGCGCUGCCCGGUUUGGUCCACAAUGACCUCCUUCUGGUUCUCCAGCCUGUAGGUUAUGAAGCGGUGCAUCCUCUUGGACUUGAGCUCCACGAACCUCAGCUUGCAGUCGUCAUGGAUCCCAGCACCUGAUGAAGCGUUUGCCUGGGUACACGAAGAAAGUUAGGAUGGAUAUAACAGUUACACAGAUAAUGCAACCUCAAUUCUGCUUGAACAACAACAUCAUAGACUCAAGUAAACAGACAACUCAAGGAACGCCUUUGCAGUUAGUGCUGUAUUGGUAGAUAAUAAUGGAAGAGAGUGCUACCCCAUAGGACAUGGGUGCUCGAGCGAAAAUGUACACAAUGUCAUGAACUGGGGAGGAAAUGGCAAAAGGCUCAAGAUGUCACGGUCCUACAAACGUUGAAAUCAGGAGCUACAUAUCCUAAAUUUUGUUAAUCUUGUGUACGGCAGACAAUUUUCAGUUGCAACCACCUAAAUCAGGCUUAUCCAUCAACUUAAAACACACACCACCAGAUCUCUAUCCCUGUCAAUCAACCAAGGAGUGUCAAGCAAGCAUGGAUUAGUAGCGAUCUCUUGGGAGACAAAAACUGGCGCUCAAUAGGUUGUAAAUCAUCACAAGUACUUACGGCAGUGCUGCCGACAGAUGCGCGGCAUAGUCAACAAGUGCUGGAAGCUAACGAGCAGCUGAGAUUCCAUGGGCGAUCCGAUGGUGUACAGCCUGGAUCUACCGAUUACAAGGUCCUAAAACCAGGGAUCCGAGCCGAAUCUCGUGGUACCGACCGAAACGCGCGUUCCGCCCGAGAGAUUCGCGAGGAGGGCAGCCGACGGGUGUCCCGCGAUCCGACCGCUGGCGACGCAGGAAAAGAGGUGGAGCAAGGGACGGCCUCGGUUUCCUCCGAUCCGGGGAUCCGGGCCAGUACUUGUCUACCAGCGGCGAGAUCGAGGGCCCGUCCACCAGCCGUGCAGGAGGAAAAUUGAACUACGGGGAGGGAGAGAGAGAGAGAGAGAGAGAGAGAGCGAGCGCCGAUCUGCGGGACAAGGGGGCGAGAUCGGCGCGCGGAGAUCGCGGGCGCGGGGAGGGGGACGUACCAUUGCCGAGCUCGGGAGUCGGGAGGGGAAGGAGGAAUCCGGCGGGGAGGGGGAGGGGAAAGGAGAGGGGGUGGAUGGAUUGCUGUGCUGCGCUAGCUAGAGCUGCUGCCCCUUUUGAUGGAGUCGUCGGGGCGUCCACUGCUCCGUGUCCGUGUGUGGUGCGCUCGUGGUCGGCUGGCACGAACCUCGCGGCGACGGGGUCGGCAUUUUCUGCGGUCGCUGCCUGGGCGGCACCCCGACCGUCCGAUGGCGGGACGGGCGGAUGGGAUCGCGCGCCCUUGCUGGCGGCGUGACAAGUCACCGCGUCUUGCGUGCUGCCACUGCCGUCUGUGGCCGCAUCGUUUUUCUUUUUUUUUUUACUAAUGCCCAAGUAAAAAAGGACCUUGACAAGUGUCAUGCGUGUGACACGAAGCAAUUUCAUCUUGAAGUUUUUUAUGACAUUUUUAGUUGUGAAGCAUGAUAACUUUUUGUUUGGAUGACAAAUUUUGAUUUUUGAUGACAACUUUAGUGUAGGAUGGUAUCAUUCCUUGUCACAGGUGUGGCACUUAUCAUUUGGAGGAGAAACAUAGUAGGGCCUAGAGAAAACGUUAAUCGGGUGUCCAAAAUUAAAACAUUUCCUGUACCAUUUUUAUCCGAUGUGCACGUUUCCAGCUGUAGAUUAGAUUUAUGUUUUGUGAGAGAGAACCAUCUAAUUUUUAAGGAACAUGAGAGUGUCUACAGUCGGAUAUAGCAAGUAUGACCCCUUAAACGCUUGCGGACGCGUCCGGUCAUUGGUCAGAUGUGUCUUUUGUUUGUCCGUCCGCGCAGUCACACUCAUAAUUUUCUUCUUCAUAUGUCCGAUCACUUGCACGUGAAUUGGUAAAGAUGAAGAGAGAGAGAGAAAAAGAAUGAAUAAAGGAAAGAAAAAAGAUGGUCCAGGGUGGGGUCACGUCCUACGUUGCAGACUAACCGGGCGCGCCCGGCCACGUGUGCGAGCCCUCCUAUCGUCCCUAUAUUUGAGAUGGAUAUGAGAGUUCGCGGACAACUCAAACGUAUAGGAAUGAUAUGAGGGGUUUGUUUGGGUCACUUUUUCCCUCCUCUCUCCUUUCACUGACCGGACAUGUUCGCGGACGUAUGAUGGGUCGUUUGAGGCGUCCGGUUGUAGAUGCUCUCAGUAUGCAUCUAUAGACACACAUGCAUAACAAUGGUUAAUGAAGGUUUGAAAAUAUACUUCAAUCGUGUUCAUGGAAUCAUGGAGUUGAGCACUAGGUAGAAUUUGCGUGUGCGUGUGUUUGUGUGUGUGCAUUGGUGGUGGGGGGGGGGAAGGGGGUGCCAGCUGAGGUUAAUUGGCAUAAUAUUCUGCAUUUGUUCAUUUGAUAUCGCUAUGGAUUCGGAUAUCUUGUUCCCAUAUAAUGACAACAUCGAAAAUGUGUGUGGAGUUUGCUUAUGUUGGGUGGUAGCUCUCCUUACAGCUAAUUAUGAUGCGUCAUCAACACCAAUAGCUGUCGCAGGCUUCGGGAUGGAGCCAUUGUUUUCAUCACAAUAUAAGAUAUAUCUCACUCGACAUAGUGUCAAUGAAGCUAUAUCCGAUAUUAAUAUUGUAUGCAGUAACAUGAGCACGUGCAUAUUCACCGGGAACUCCCUACAGAAGUUAUUGUUGUUCAACAUAACGUUAUCUAGCGAGAGGUAGUUUUGACGCUCAUUGGAAGCUCGUCACAAAAGUUAUUGUUAAAAACUACUCCGUCCGUCCGGAAUUACUUGUCGCACAAAUAUAUAAAAAUGAAUGUAUCUAGAACUAAAAUAUAUCUAGAUACAUACAUUCCUAUGCCAAGUAUUUUCGGAUGGAGGGAGUACUAUGGUGUAGAGGUUCUCAAUGGCACAUAAUUUUCCGUGAGCGAGCUAGACAAGUUUUUGUUGUAGACAUCAAAUUUUUCAAGCGGCAAGUGCUUCCCAACUUCUGGUGGUAAGUCACAGGAGAGCCAUAAGGGAUAUGUGCCAGUCCACGUGGAUCUGCCCAUGGUUGUUGAGGUCAAGUGACUUGAGAUUCUACAACAACUCAAUUGAUAUUGAUAUGGAUCCAAAUAUCUUAUUCCGAUAUAAUAACAACACAGAAAGUGUGUGGAGCUUACUUAUGUUGUCCAGUAGCUCUCCCUAUAGUUGAUAUGAUACUAUCCAACAAUUCAAUUGAUCCAAGAGGUUGUUGUUGAGCAUGAUAUUAUCUAGCGAGUGGUAAUUGUCAACGCUCAUUAGAAAAGUUGUUAAAAAAUGCUACGUUGUAGAGUUUUUCAUUGGUGCAUAACUGCUCCGGGAGUGUGUGAGACAAGUUAUUGUUGUAGACGUCAUGAUUCAGGAGAAAAAUGUGUUCCAAGUUUGAGUGGUAUAUCAUCGGAGCAUCACAUAGCUUCGUGAAGAAGGUGGAGGUCCAUAGGGGGCACAUCCACCCAUGGUUGUUGAGAGGUUAGGUGACUUGAGAUUCUAGAAAAAUUCAAUUGUUGUUCAUAUGGAUCAAGAUUUCUUGUUCCCAGAUAAUGACAACACAGAAAGUGUAUGGAGUUUACUUAUGUUGGUUGGUAGCUCUCUUGACAACUAGUUAUUUUGCAUCAUCAUCAUCAUCAUCAACAACAACAACAACAAUAACACGGUUGCAAGAUUGGGAUGGAGCCAGACAACUGGUUAUUUUCCAUCCCAAUUUGAGAGAUAUUCGAAGAUAACUCGGUCGAACUGGUACCAGUGAAGUUGUUGUCGGGUAUUAGCACUAUAUGCAACAAUAGAAAUGACUGUGUAUUCACCGGGAUAUCCCCAUGGAGUUUAUUGUCCGUGAGCAUGGUGUUAUCUGAUACGUCUCCAACACAUCGAUAAUUUAUAAAGUAUUCAUGCCAUAUUUAGCCAUGUUUACAAAUUUUUAUAUGAUUUUGAUGCAUUUUAUAUGAUUUAAUUGGAACUAACCCGGACUCAUGUUGUUUUCAGCAGAAUUACUGUGGUAUUGUUUCUGUGCAGAAAAUAGAAGUUCGCGGAAUCGUCCAAAAUUUUUUGAUGAUUUUUUAUGGAACAUAUAAGAAAUAAUGGAGCGAAGAACCACCGAAGGGGGGCCACCAGGUGCCCCCAAGGCAAGAUGGCACAACCACCCCCUAGGGCGCGCUGUGAUGCCUUGGGACCAUCCCGUGGCUUCGUUUAGCAUGAUUCCAACGCUGAAAAAUCCUAUAAAUAGAGAAACCCUGAGAAAUAAACCUAGAACUUCCGCUCCACCACCACAAGCCUAUGUACCAAAGAAAUCUCAUCCAAAGCCCUAUUCCGACACCCAGCCGUAGGGGGUAAUAAUCACCGGAGUCCAUCUUCGUCAUCCCGGCGGCCUCCAUGACAAGGAGGGAGUAGUUCACCCUCGGGCUCAGGAUAUGUACUAGUAGCUAUGUGUUUGAUCUCUCUCUCUCUCUCUCUCUCUCUCUCUCGUGUUCUUGAGAUGUCACGAUCUUGAUGUAUCAUAGGCUUUGUUAAUAUAGUUGGGUCAUAUGGUGUUCUUCCCUUGCUAUCUUGUUGUGAUGAAUUGAAUCUUUCCAUUUGAGGUUUUGCUAUGUCAGAUUGAAUAUUGGAUUUGAGAUCACUUGAUGUAUGUCUUGCAUGUGGAUACCCAUGGUGAAAAUGCGGUGUUCUAUUGAUUCACUUGAUAUAUGUUUUGGUACUCAACUUGCAGAUUCUCGUGGAGACAAUGGGGUAACCUAUGUGUUAGGGCAUAUUUAUGCCUAAGUAAUUUUGGUGAUUGAUGACAGUACCGUAAAGGACUAAUCGUGUGCAUUAAGAUUUCAGAUAACACAUGUCAACGGCACAAGACGACUCGGCCCCCUCCAUGGAAUAGAAGCACGGUGUCCUAUGCGAUUCUCUUUCUCUGAGUCAUAGGAAUGCGUACUAUUAAGAGGGGACCCGUAGUGGAAAGAUUUGGGUGGAAUCAAUUUUGCACGCACACGCUUUAUCUCCUUUCCCUUUCCUUGCAACUUUGGAGUGGUUCCCGCCUCUAGUUUAUCUCCUCUAAGCAAAAAAGGUCUCCCAGCGGUAGUACCGCUGUCCCUAGCGGUAGUACCGCUGGGCCUAGUGGUAGUACCGCUCGCCCUAGCGGUAGUACCGCUGUGCUGGCGGUAGUACCGCCCCUGGUCAGCGGUAGUACCACUGCAGGAACUUAGUACCGCCUUCCUAGCAGCUGUACUUCGUCGGACUUUUUGCGAAGACUUUCUUGGCGGUGGUUGGCCCGGUAGUGCAUCUGCACCACCAUGGGCCCAACGGUAGUACCGCUGGAGUGCGAGCGGCAGUACCGCUGGAGCCAGCGGUAGUACCGCUAGGCUCGGGGUGUGAGUGGGAAAAUGGUUGGAUUCCCCCCACUAUAUAAAGGGUUCUUCUUGCUCUAGAACCCUACCUUUGACCCUCCCAAGCUCCAUUGUUGCUCCCUAAGCUCAAAAGUGCUAGAUCUCUCUCCCUAUCCAAUCAAACUUGUUGAUUCUCUAGGGAUUAGUUGAGAAGGCUUAGAUCUACACUUCCACCAAGAGAAAAUUGAUUCCCCCACCAAUCCCUUGCGGAUCUUGUUACUCUUGGGUGUUUGAGCACCCUAGACGGUUGAGGUCACCUCGGAGCCACAUUCCAUUGUGGUGAAGCUUCGUGGUCUUGUUGGGAGCCUCCAAGCUUUGUGUGGAGUUUGCCCCAACCUUGUUUGUAAAGGUUCGGUCGCCGCCUUCAAGGGCACCUAUAGUGGAAUCACGGUACCUCAUAUUGUGUGAGGGCGUGAGGAGAAUACGGUGGCCCUAGUGGCUUAUUGGGGAGCAUUGUGCCUCCACACCGCUCCAACGGAGACGUACUUCCUGUCAAAGGGAAGGAACUUCGAUAACACAUCCUCGUCUUCAUUGAUUCCACUUGCGGUUAUCUCUAACCUUUACAUUGUGUAUGCUUAUGUUGUUGUUUAUGUCUUACUUGUCUUAGUUAUCUUUGUUGGUAGCAUCAUAUAGGUUCACCUCUUUGUUGAAAUUUUAGAGAACCCUUAUGUUGCUAACCCUAACUUGCUAAGAUUAAUUAAAAAGUGGUCGUUGCCUAUUCACCCCCCCUCUAGUCAACCAUAUCGAUCCUUUUAAUUGGUAUCAGAGCCACGUCUCUUUAUUAAGGGUUUGACCACCCGAAGAGUAUGGAAGAUGAUGAGGGAGUUCCCCGUGCGCAAACCGAGGCCAUGGACUUGACUUCGAUCACAAGGGACGACUUGAAUACGGCUAUAUGGCCGCACUCAAGACGUCCUUGAUGAGCAAGGUCAAGACCAUGCUUAAAGAGUUAAUUGAGGGAAUUAAAAGUUCUCCCGAACCGGCGUUAGUGGUUAAACCUACCAACACAGAUUUGGAGGCCAAUUCCUCUAAGGAAACGGCUAAAGGUAUGCAACCUUCCCCUCCUCUAGAAAAUGAUGGGAAUGGGACUUAUCCAUGUGUUCCACCACCCAUGGUCUAUGGAGGACCGGUUCCACACCGCGUCUUAAUCCUGUUGGUCCUCCUCCUAAGCUUGUAAAAGGUGAUUUUGCUAACUGGGUAUUUUCUAUUAAGUCUCAUUUGAAUCACAGCUCAAUAAAUUUGUGGAGAAUCAUCGAGCAAGGCUAUUAUCCCCAGACCCAAGCAACCUCACUCCAAGAGAAGAAGCAGACAAUCAAUAUAAUCACUCGCAUUGUUUAUUCUCCAGUCUGCAGUGCCACCUGAAGAUCUUCCUCACUUGCAUCCCUUCACUUUGGCCAAGGAAUGUUGGGAUCACGUUAUGGUGUUGUACAAGGGAAGCUCAAGCAUUCAACGGUCCAACUAUGAAGUGGUACUUGAUAAUGUUGGAAAUAUGCCCUAGAGGCAAUAAUAAAAUGGUUGUUAUCAUAUUUCCUUGUUCAUGAUAAUCGUCUAUCGUUCAUGCUAUAAUUGUAUUAACAGGAAACAGUAAUACAUGUGUGAAUGAAUAGAUCACAAUGUGUCCCUAGCAAGCCUCUAGUUGGCUAGCUCGUUAGUCAAUAGAUGAUCAUGGUUUCCUGAUCAUGGGCAUUAGAUGUCAUUGAUAACGGGAUCACAUCAUUGGGAGAAUGAUGUGAUGGACAAGACCCAAUCCUAAGCCUAGCACUAGAUCGUAUUGUUCGUAUGCUAAUGCUUUUCUAAUGUCAAGUAUCUUUUCCUUCGACCGUGAGAUUGUGCAACUCCCGGAUACCGUAGGAGUGCUUUGGGUGUAUCAAACGUCACAACGUAACUAGGUGACCAUAAAGGUGCACUACGGGUACCUCCGAAAGUGUCUGUUGGGUUGGCACGAAUCGAGAUCGGGAUUUGUCACUCCGUGUGACGGAGAGGUAUCUCUGGGCCCACUCGGUAGAACAUCAUCAUGAGCUCAAUGUGACUAAGGAGUUAGUCACACGAUGACGUGCUACGGAACGAGUAAAGAGACUUACCGGUAACGAGAUUGAACAAGGUAUAGGUAUACCGACGAUCGAAUCUCGGGCAAGUUCUAUACCGACAGACAAAGGGAAUCGUAUACGGGAUUGAUUGAAUCCUUGACAUCGUGGUUCAUCCGAUGAGAUCAUCGUGGAGCUAGUGGGAGCCACCAUGGGUAUCCAGACCCCGCUGAUGGUUAUUGGCCAGAGAGAUGUCUCGGUCAUGUCUGCCUGUCUCCCGAACCCGUAGGGUCUACACACUUAAGGUUCGAUGACGCUAGGGUUAUAGGGAAUUGUUGUACGAGGUUACCGAAAGUUGUUCGGAGUCCCUGAUGAGAUCCCGGACGUCACGAGGAGCUCCGGAAUGGUCCGGAGGUAAAGAUUGAUAUAUAGGACGGAUGGUUUUGGACACCGGAAGUGUUUCGGGCGUCACCGGUAACGUACCGGGACCACCGGAGGUGGUCCCGGGGGACCACCGAAAGGGGGCAACGACCCCGGGAGGCUAGAUGGGCUAAGUGGGGAAGGGAACCAGCCCCUAAGUGGGCUGGUGUGCCCCCCACCCAGCCCAUACACACCUGAGAAAGGGGGGAAGGGGGGAACCCUAGCAUAGGUGGGCCUAAGGCCCACCAGAGGGGUGCGCCACCCCUCCUCCCUGCCCUGGCCGCCACCCCCUCUCCCAUGUAGGGCUGCCGCACCCCUUGGGGGUGGGAACCCUAAGGGCUGCGCCCCCUCCCUCUCCCCCUAUAUAUAGAUGAGGACUCGGGGCUGUUUGAGACACGGUUUCAUCUCUCUCUCGGCGCAGCCCUGCUCCUCUCCCUCCUCCUCUCUGCCGGCGCUUGGCGAAGCUCUGCCGGGAGACCUCGUCUCUCCACCGACACCACGCCGUCGUGUUGCUGGACUUCUUCCCCAACCUCUCCCUCCUCCUUGCUGGAUCAAGGUGCGGGAGACGUCACCGGGCUGCACGUGUGUUGAACGCGGAGGUGCCGUUGUUCGGCACUAGAUCGGAAUCGCCGCGAGUACAACUCCACCAACCGCGUUCUAGCAACGCUUCCGCUUAGCGAUCUUCAAAGGUAUGAAGAUGCUCUUACCCCUCUCUCGUUGCUGGUCUCUCCAUAGGAAGAUCUGAACAUGCGUAGGAAAAUUUUGAAUUUAUGCUAUGUACACCAACAGAUAAGGCCGAUGAGUUUGUGAUGAAGGAAGAUGAGGACCCUCGUGAUCUCUAUCGAAGGGUGACUGCUAUUGUUGUGGCUCUCAAGGACCAUGGGAGCAAGGAUGUGGAUGAUACAUGGGUCAAGCGCAAGUUUCUCAAGGCCAUCAUGCCUUUCAAUAAAGCCAUGUCAUCUGUCAUUCGCCAACGACCAGAUUUCCACUCCUUGUCUUCCAGUGAGGUGUUGGAUGAAUUCAUUGCAAUGUCAAUCAUGAAUGAGACAGCUGACAAUACACUUGCUUGAGUUCGCUCAAAGACAGCUUCACCCAACCUUGCAUUAAAGGCAAAAGCGGGUUUUGAAGAAGAAGAAGAGGAUGAGGAAGAGGAGAGCCGCCCUGAAGACACGAAGUAUGCCUAUCAUGAGCACAUGGCUCUUGCAUCAAGGCAAUUCUGGGGCAACAAGAGGAACUCAAGACCCACCUUCACCAAGAACAACUCAAGUGGGUUCAAACCCAAGCAACGAGUGAGGACAUGCUAUAACUGUGGUAAUGUGAGUCACUUCGUGGCCGAAUGUGUUGGAAAUAUGCCCUAGAGGCAAUAAUAAAUUAGUUAUUAUUAUAUUUCUUAGUUCAUGAUAAUCGUUUAUUAUCCAUGCUAUAAUUGUAUUGAUUGGAAACACAAUACUUGUGUGGAUACAUAGACAAAACACUGUCCCUAGUAAGCCUCUAGUUGACUAGCUCGUUAAUCAAAGAUGGUCAAGGUUUCCUGGCCAUAGGCAAGUGUUGUCACUUGAUAAUGGGAUCACAUCAUUAGGAGAAUCAUGUGAUGGACUAGACCCAAACUAAUAGACGUAGCAUGUUGAUCGUGUCAUUUUGUUGCUACUGUUUUCUGCAUGUCAAGUAUUUAUUCCUAUGACCAUGAGAUCAUAUAACUCACUGACACCGGAGGAAUGCUUUGUGUGUAUCAAACGUCGCAACGUAACUGGGUGACUAUAAAGAUGCUCUACAGGUAUCUCCGAAGGUGUUAGUUGAGUUAGUAUGGAUCAAGACUGGGAUUUGUCACUCCGUGUGACGGAGAGGUAUCUCGGGGCCCACUCGGUAAUACAACAUCACACACAAGCCUUGCAAGCAAUGUAACUUAGUGUAAGUUGCGGGAUCUUGUAUUACGGAACGAGUAAAGAGACUUGCCGGUAAACGAGAUUGAAAUAGGUAUGCGGAUACUGACGAUCGAAUCUCGGGCAAGUAACAUACCGAAGGACAAAGGGAAUGACAUACGGGAUUAUAUGAAUCCUUGGCACUGAGGUUCAAACGAUAAGAUCUUCGUAGAAUAUGUAGGAUCCAAUAUGGGCAUCCAGGUCCCGCUAUUGGAUAUUGACCGAGGAGUCUCUCGGGUCAUGUCUACAUAGUUCUCGAACCCGCAGGGUCUGCACACUUAAGGUUCGACGUUGUUUUAUGCGUAUUUGAGUUAUAUGGUUGGUUACCGAAUGUUGUUCGGAGUCCCGGAUGAGAUCACGGACGUCACGAGGGUUUCCGGAAUGGUCCGGAAACGAAGAUUGAUAUAUAGGAUGACCUCAUUUGAUUACCGGAAGGUUUUCGGAGUUACCGGGAAUGUACCGGGAAUGACGAAUGGGUUCCGGGAGUUCACCGGGGGGGGGGGGGCAACCCACCCCGGGGAAGCCCAUAGGCUUUGGGGAGACACACCAGCCCUUAGUGGGCUGGUGGGACAGCCCCAAGGGGGCCUAUGCGCCAAGAAAAAGAAAUCAAAGGAAAAGAAAAAAAAGAGGGAGGAAGUGGGAAUGGAGGGGGACUCCUCCCACCAAACCAAGUCCAACUCGGUUUGGGGGGGGAGACCUCCCCCCCUUGGCUCGGCCGACCCCUUGAGGGUACCUUGGACCCCAAGGAAAGGUUCCCCUCCCUCCUCCUAUAUAUAUGGAGCAAUUAGGGCUGAUUUGAGACGACUUUCUCACGGCUGCCCGACCACAUACCUCCAUAGUUUUUCCUCUAGAUCGCGUUUCUGCGGAGCUCGGGCGGAGCCCUGGUGAGACAAGAUCAUCACCAACCUCCGGAGCACUGUCACGCUGCCGGAGAACUCUUCUACCUCUCCGUCUCUCUUGCUGGAUCAAGAAGGCCGAGAUCAUCGUCGAGCUGUACGUGUGCUGAACGCGGAGGUGCCGUCCGUUCGGUACUAGAUCGUGGGACUGAUCGCGGGAUUGUUCGCGGGGCGGAUCGAGGGACGUGAGGACGUUCCACUACAUCAACCGCGUUCUCUAACACUUCUGCUAUACGAUCUACAAGGGUACGUAGAUCACUCAUCCCCUCUCGUAGAUGGACAUCACCAUGAUAGGUCUUCGUGCGCGUAGGAAAUUUUUUGUUUCCCAUGCGACGUUCCCCAACAGUGGCAUCAUGAGCUAGGUUCAUGCGUAGAUGUCUUCUCGAGUAGAACACAAAAGUUUUUGUGGGCGGUGAUGUGCGUUUUGCUGCCCUCCUUAGUCUUUUCUUGAUUCCGCGGUAUUGUUGGAUUGAAGCGGCUUGGACCGACAUUACUCGUACGCUUACGAGAGACAGGUUUCAUCGUUACGAGUAACCCCUUUGCUCAAAGAUGACUGGCAAGUGACGGUUUCUCCAACUUUAGUUGAAUCGGAUUUGACCGAGGAGGUCCUUGGAUGAGGUUAAAUAGCAACUCAUAUAUCUCUGUUGUGGUGUUUGCGUAAGUAAGAUGCGAUCCUACUAGAUACCCUUGGUCACCUCGUAAAACAUGCAACAACAAAAUUAGAUGACGUCUAGCUUGUUUUUGCAGGGUAUGAUUGUGAUGUGAUAUAGCCAAUGAUGUGAUGUGAUAUAUUGGAUGUAUGAGAUGAUCAUGUUGUAAUAGAAAUAUCGACUUGCACGUCGAUGGUACGGCAACCGGCAGGAGCCAUAGGGUUGUCUUUAUACUAACAUAUGUGCUUGCAGAUGCGUUUACUAUUUUGCUAGGAUGUAGCUUUAGUAGUAAUAGCAUAAGUAGCACGACAACCCCGAUAGCAACACGUUGAUGGAUGAUCAUGGUGUGGCGCCGGUGACAAGAAGAUCGUGCUGGUGCUUUGGUGAUGGAGAUCAAGAAGCACGUGAUGAUGGCCAUAUCAUGUCACUUAUGAAUUGCAUGUGAUGUUAAUCCUUUUAUGCACCUUAUUUUGCUUAGAACGACGGUAGCAUUAUGAGAUGAUCUCUCACUAAAAUUUCAAGACGAAAUUGUGUUCUCCCUGACUGUGCACCGUUGCUACAGUUCGUCGUUUCGAGACACCACGUGAUGAUCGGGUGUGAUAGACUCAACGUUCACAUACAACGGGUGCAAAACAGUUGCGCACGCGGAACACUCGGGUUAAGCUUGACGAGCCUAGCAUGUGCAGACAUGGCCUCGGAACACAUGAGACCGAAAGGUCGAGCAUGAAUCGUAUAGUUGAUAUGAUUAGCAUAGAAAUGCUUACCACUGAAACUAUUCUCGACUCACGUGAUGAUCGGACUUGAGAUAGUGGAUUUGGAUCAUGUACCACUCAAAUGACUAGAGGGAUGUACUUUUGAGUGGGAGUUCUUAAGUAAUAUGAUUAAUUGAACUAAUUGUCAUGAACAUAGUCUAAUGGUCUUUGCGAAUUACUAUGUAGCUUGCGCUAUAGCUCUACUGUUUUUAUAUGUUCCUAGAGAAAAUUUAGUUGAAAGUUGAUAGUAGCAAACUUUGCAGACUAAGUCUGUAAAACCGAGGAUUGUCCUCGUUGCUGCACAGAAGGCUUAUGUCCUUAAUGCACCACUCGGUGUGCUGCACCUCGAGCGUCGUCUGUGGAUGUUGUGAACAUCCGACAUACACGUUUCUGAUGACUACACGAUGGUUCAGUACAAAAUACUUGAUGGCUUAGAAGCAAGGCGCCGAAAACGUUUUAAAACGUCACGGAACAUAAGUGAUGUUCUAAAGAGAUGAAAUUACGAUUUCAUGCUUGUGCCCUUGUUAAGAGGUACGAGACCUCCAACAAGAUUCUUUGUCCACAAAGUAAAGGAGAAAAGCUCAAUCGUUGAGCGUGUGCUCAGAUUGUCUGAGUACGACAAUCACUUGAAUCAAGUGGGAGUUAAUCUUCCAGAUGAGAUAGUGAUGGUUCUCAAAAGUCACUGCCACCAAGCUGUGAGAGCUUCGUGAUGAACUAUAACAUAUCAAGGAUAGAUACAAUGAUCCUUGAGCGAUUCGCGAUGUUUGACACUGCGAAAGUAGAAAUCAAGAAGGAGCAUCAAUAGUUGAUGGUUUGUAAAACCACUAAGUUUCAAGAAAGGCAAGGGCUAGAAGGGAUACUUCGUGAAACGGCAAAACAGUUGCUGCACUAAUGAAGAGACCCAAGAUUAAACCCAAACCCGAGACUAAGUGCUUCUGUAAUGAGGGGAACAGUCACUGAGGCGGAGCAACUCUAGAUACUUGGUAGAUAAGAAGGCUGGCAAAAGUCGAAAGAAGUGUAUUUGAUAUACACGAUGUUGAUGUGUACUUUACUAGUACUCCUAGUAGCAUGAGGGUAUUGGAUACCGGUUCAGUUGCUAAGUGAUUAGUAACACGAAAUGUAAGCUACGGCAUAAACGGAGACUAGCUAAAGGCGAGGUGACGAUACGUGUUGGAAGUGUUUCCAAGGUUGAUAUGAUCGAACGUCGCACGCUCCCUCUACCAUCGGGAUUGGUGUUAAACCUAAAUAAUCGUUAUUUGGUGCUUGCGUUAAGCAUGAACAUGAUUGGAUCGUGUUUAUUGCAAUACGAUUAUUCAUUUAAAGAGAAAUAAUGGUUACUCUAUUUUCUUGAAUAAUCACCUUCAAUGGUUUAUUGAAUCUCGAUCGUAGUGUUACACAUGUUCAUGAUAUUGGUGCCAAAAGAUACGAGUUGAUGAUGAUAGUACCACUUACUUGUGGCACUGCCGCUUGAGUCAUGUUGGUAUAAAUUGCAUGAAGAGGCUCCAUGCUGAUGGAUCUUUAUACUCACUUGUUUUUGAAUCACUAGUGACAUGCAAAUCAUACCACAUGAGCAAGGCCUUGUUUUCAUUGAGAUGAAACAAGAUAGUAACUUAUUGGAAGUGAUACAUUUUGAUGUAUGCAGUCCAAUGGGUGAUAAGGCACGCAGUGGAUAUCAUUAUGUUCUCACUUCACUGACGAUUUGAGUAGAUACAAAAGUAUUUACUUAAUGAAUCACAAGUCUGAAAUAUUGAAUAGUUCAAUUCCAUUUCAGAGUGAAGUUCGUCGUAACAGGAGGAUAAACUGUCUACGAUAUGAUCAUGUAAAUGAAUGUCUGAGUUACGAGUUUUGGUACGCAGUUAAGACAAUGUAGAAAUUGUUUCGCAGUUCAUGCCACCUGGAACAUCAUAGUGUGAUGAUGUGUCUGAACGUCAUAGCCACGCACUAUUUGGUAUGGUGCAUACUAUGAUGUCUCUUAUCGAAUUACCACUAUCGUUUAUGGGUUAUGCAUUAGAGACAACCGCACUCACUUUAAAUAGGGCACCGCGUAUUUCCGUUGAGAUGACACAGUAUAGACUGAGGUUUAGAGAAAUCUAAACUGUCGUUUCUUGAAAGUUUGGGGCUUCGACACUUAUGUGAAAAAGUUUCAGUCUGAUAAGCUCGAACCCAAAGCGGAUAAAUGCAUCUUCAUAGGAUAUCCAAAACAGUUGGGUACAUCUCCUAUCUCAGAUCCAAAAGCAAAGUGUUUGUUUCUAGAAACAGAUCCUUUCUCGAGGAAAGGUUUCUCUCGAAAGAAUUGAGUGGGAGAGUGGUAGAACUUGAUGAGGUUAUUGAACCAUCACUUCAACCAGUGUGUAGCAGGGCGCAGGAAGUGUUCCUGUGGCGCCUACACCAAUUGAAGUGGAAGCUGAUGAUGGUGAUCAUCGAGCAUCAGAUCAAGUUACUGCAAGCCUUGUAGGUUGACAAGGGCGCGUACUACUACAGAGUGGUAUGGUAACCCUGUCUUGGAGAGUCAUGUUGUUGAGCAACAGUGAACCUACGAGUUAUGGAGAAAGCGAUGGUGGGCCCAGAUUCCGACAGAUGGCUGGAAGCCAAUAAAUCCGAGAGAGGAUCCAUGUAUGAAAACAAAGUGUAGACUUUGGAAGAACUACUUGAUGGUCAGAGGACUAUAGAGUAAAGAUGGGUCUUUAAAAGAAAGACGGACGAUGAUGGUGAUAAGUCACUAUUAUAAAAGGCUCGACUUGUCGCAAAGAUGUUUCCGACAAGAUCAAACUGUUGACUAUGAUGAGUCUUUCUCACUCGUAGCGAUGCUAAAGGUCUGUUAGAAUUAUGUUAGUUGUUGAUGCAUUAUUUAUGAAAUAUUGCACAUAGGAUGUCAAAACAUUGUUUUCUCAACGGUUUCUUUGAGCAAACAUUGUAUGUGAUACAACCAGAAGGUUUUGUCGAUCCUAAAGAUACUAGCAAGUAUGCAAGCUCCAGUGAUCCUUCAAUGGACUGGUGCAAGCAUCUCGGAGUUGGAAUAUACACUUUGAUGAGAUGAUCAAAGAUUUUGGGUUUGUACAAGGUUUAUGAGAAACUUGUAUUUCCAAAGAAGUGAGUGGGAGCACUAUAUAAUUUCUGAUAGGUACAUGUGGUUGACAUAUUGUGGAUCAGAAGUAAUGUAGAAUUUCUGUGAAGCAUACAAGGUUGUUUGAAAGGAGUUUUCAAAGGAGUACCUGGAUUACGCUACUUGAAACGUUGAGCAUCAAAGAUCUAUGGAGAUAGAUCAAAAGCGCUUAAUAGAAGUUUCAACAAGAUGCAUGCCUUGACAAGUUUUUGAAAGAGUUCAAAAUAGAUCAGCAAAGAAGGAGUUCUUGGUUGCGUUGUGAGGUGUGAAUUUGAGUAAGACUCGAAACCCGACCACGGCAGAAUAAAGAGAAUAGACGAAGGUCGUCUUCUAUGCCUUAGCCGUAGAAUCUAAAGUAUGCCAUGCUGUGUACCGCACCUGAUGUGUGCCUUAACUCAAAAUCUGUUGAGAGGUACAGAGAGUGAUCCAUGAUUGAAUCACUGGCAGCGGUCAAAAUUUAUCCUUAGUAACUAAUGGACUAAGGAAUUUUUCUCGAUUAUGGAGGUGGUUAAAGAGUUCGUCGUAAAGGGUUACGUCGAUGCAAUCUUUGACACUAAUCCGGAUAACUAUGAGUAGUGAAACGGAUUCGUAUAGUAGAGUAGAUAUUUGGAGCAUUUCCGAAUAGCACGUAGUAGCAGCAUCUAUAAGAUGACAUAAAGAUUUGUAAAGAACGCACGGAUCUGAAAGUUUCAGAACCGUUGACUAAAACCUCUCUCAGGAGCAAGACGUGAUCAGACCCCAUAACUAUAUGGGUGUUGGAUUCGUUGGAAUCACAUGGUGAUGUGAACUAGAUUAUUGACUCUAGUGCAAGUGGGAGACUGUUGGAAAUAUUCCCUAGAGGCAAUAAUAAAUUAGUUAUUAUUAUAUUUCUUAGUUCAUGAUAAUCGUUUAUUAUCCAUGCUAUAAUUGUAUUGAUUGGAAACACAAUACUUGUGUGGAUACAUAGACAAAACACUGUCCCUAGUAAGCCUCUAGUUGACUAGCUCGUUAAUCAAAGAUGGUCAAGGUUUCCUGGCCAUAGGCAAGUGUUGUCACUUGAUAAUGGGAUCACAUCAUUAGGAGAAUCAUGUGAUGGACUAGACCCAAACUAAUAGACGUAGCAUGUUGAUCGUGUCAUUUUGUUGCUACUGUUUUCUGCAUGUCAAGUAUUUAUUCCUAUGACCAUGAGAUCAUAUAACUCACUGACACCGGAGGAAUGCUUUGUGUGUAUCAAACGUCGCAACGUAACUGGGUGACUAUAAAGAUGCUCUACAGGUAUCUCAGAAGGUGUUAGUUGAGUUAGUAUGGAUCAAGACUGGGAUUUGUCACUCCGUGUGACGGAGAGGUAUCUCGGGGCCCUCGGUAAUACAACAUCACACACAAGCCUUGCAAGCAAUGUAACUUAAUGUAAGUUGCGGGAUCUUGUAUUACGGAACGAGUAAAGAGACUUGCCGGUAAACGAGAUUGAAAUAGGUAUGCGUAUACUAACGAUCGAAUCUCGGGCAAGUAACAUACCGAAGGACAAAGGGAAUGACAUACGGGAUUAUAUGAAUCCUUGGCACGGAGGUUCAAACGAUAAGAUCUUCGUAGAAUAUGUAGGAUCCAAUAUGGGCAUCCAGGUCCCGCUAUUGGAUAUUGACCGAGGAGUCUCUCAGAUCAUGUCUACAUAGUUCUCGAACCCGCAGGGUCUGCACACUUAAGGUUCGACGUUGUUUUAUGCGUAUUUGAGUUAUAUGGUUGGUUACCGAAUGUUGUUCGGAGUCCCGGAUGAGAUCACGGACGUCACGAGGGUUUCCGAAAUGGUCCGGAAACGAAGAUUGAUAUAUAGGAUGACCUCAUUUGGUUACCGGAAGGUUUUCGUGCAUUACCGGAAAAGUUUCUGGCUCAUCGGUAGUGUACUGGGAGUGCCGGGAGGGGUGCCGGAGACCAUCAGGAGGGGUGUCACGCCCCAAGGGGUCUCAUGGGCUAUGGGAAGAGAUAAACCAGCCCCUAGUGGGCUGGAAUAAGUUCCCACUAAGGCCCAUAAGGUUUGAGAAGGAAAAAACACAAGGUGGAAAGAGUUUCCAAGUGGGAAGGUGGAAUCCUACUCCAAGUAGGAUUGGAGUAGGACUCCUCCACCUCCAAUUUCAGCCAAACCUUUAGGUUUCGGGGCUGCCUCCUCCCCUCCCUCCCUCCUAUAUAUAGUGGGGUUUUAGGGCUGAUUUGAGACAACUUUUGCCACGGCAGCCCGACCACAUAUCUCACGGUUUUACCUCUAGAUCGCGUUUCUGCGGAGCUCGGGCGGAGCCCUGCUGAGACAAGAUCAUCACCAACCUCCGGAGCGCCGUCACGCUGCCGGAGAACUCUUCUACCUCUCCGUCUCUCUUGCUGGAUCAAGAAGGCCGAGAUCAUCGUCGAGCUGUACGUGUGCUGAACGCGGAGGUGCCGUCCGUUCGGUACUAGAUCGUGGGACUGAUCGCGGGAUUGUUCGCGGGGCGGAUCGAGGGACGUGAGGACGUUCCACUACAUCAACCGCGUUCUCUAAUGCUUCUACUGUACGAUCUACAAGGGUACGUAGAUCACUCAUCCCCUCUCGUAGAUGGACAUCACCAUGAUAGGUCUUCGUGUGCGUAGGAAAAUUUUUGUUUCCCAUGCGACGUUCCCCAACAGAAUGUCCCUAUGAGAAAAGGGAAGACAACGGGGCAAGCUCAUUCGCAAAGACAAAACCAAGUCAUUACCAAACAAGAACAACUUUGUGAAGAAACCCCACCCAAAUGGUAUGGUGGCCCUUGAAGAGUACCCCUCCGAUGAUGAUGACGAUGAUGAUAUGGUGGCAACUGCAACUGUUGCCAUUGCCACCCCUCUCCCAAGAAGGUGUCUCUCUUCAACGCCCCCAACGAGAACCACAUCGCCAAGUGCCUCAUGGCCAAAGGUAUCGAUCAGGUAACCCCCAUCAUUAAGACCAACAUUGCUACUGCUCCUUCAUUGUUAAAUUGUGUUGAUGAUAGUGAUGUUGGGGAACUUAAUGAGCAUGAUCUUGACAAAUUUCUGUGCACUAUUAAGGGAGAAUCCAAGAAGCACUUUGUUGCUCUUUUGGAACAACUGGGUGAGGCCAAUGACCUCAUCGAGUCUCAUGAGGAGACCAUCUCCGAGCUUCAGGGACAAGUCGUGACUAUGCCGAUGAAAUUGUUGAAUUAUCUAUUGCCUAGAAAAGGAGCGCACUCUUCGUUUGGCUUUGAGGAUUCAUACAAUGAUGAUUGUGCUAAAAUGCAAAAGAAACUAGAUCAUGCUAUUGUUCUUACUCGUAUGCUUAAGUCUGAGAAGGAUGCUCUUGGGGUUGGCCAUGCCAGACUCAAAGUGGAGUUUGACACACUUGACAAGGCUCACAAGGUCUUGAAAGAUGUUCAUUUCUCUCUGAAAGAGUCUCAUGAUCAACUCCAAGCAAAGCUUACCAAGUAUAUCUCUACUUGUCCUCCCUUUGUGUUAAUUGAUAAUGCUUGUACAAAUAACCCUUGUUGUGAGCAUGUACAUCUUGUGGAGGAAAAUGCCAAGUUAAAGGAGAGACUUGAGAAGGGCCUUGUGUCAUGCAACAAGGCGGGUUUAGCCUGAAUGACCUCUUGAGUAAUCAAAAGGGUGUGGUAGGAAAGGAGGGACUUGGACUUACCUCCAAGUCAAAAAGAAAAAGGAGGAACAGGAACAAACGACCCCCUACCCUCAUGGACAUCUUUGUCAAAGAGGGCGAAGGGACUCAGGAGGUGAACAGGAACAAGGUGGACGAUGGUAACGUCAAGAAGGGCAAAACCAUUCCUACCAACACAGCCGGCAAACUCAACCCUUCCUAUGUUUUAUGUCGUGCUGGUGAUGGGCAUGUUUAUGCCAGAUUUGUUGGUUCUUACUAUGAGUCCAUUGAAUGGGCUAUUGGGGUUCCUAAGAACAUUGUCUCUAACAUUAAAGGAACCAUUCAAAAAUGGGUACCUAAAACCAAGCCUUGAUCUAUUGCAGGAGUUUGCUUCCGGUGGGGUGUCAUGGUUGCUCGAUAGUGGAGCAACAAAUCAUAUGACCGGAAGCAAGGACUUAGUGGUGGAUGUGCAUCCUUCUCCAUCUAUGCCCACCCAUGUCCAAUUCGCUGUUGCAUCCUCAUUAAAGAUAUUGGGAUUUGGUAAGGUGGUCAUCUCUCAAGAUUUAUCUAUUGAGAAGGUCAUGCUUGUUGAGUCUCUUGCCUACAAUUUACUUUCGGUUCGUCAACUUGCAAUUAUGGGUUUUUCCACAUUCUUUAAUCUUGAUACUGUGGUCCUCUUGUGGAGCAAGACUCUUAAAGUAGCCUAUGUUGGAUAUGUCGAAAAUGGUCUCUAUGUGGUGAACUUUUUAAAGCGACCCACUAAGACUGCGACUUGUCUAAUGGCUAAAGUUGAUGUGGGCUGGCUUUGGCAUCGCCGACUAGCUCAUGUCAAUAUGAGAUCUUUGCAAAGUCUUCUUAAAGGGGACCAUAUUCGUGGACUAACAAAUGUGAGUUUUGCUAGAGAUUGUGCUUGCAGUGCCUGCAUUGAAGGAAAGAUUCAUGAAACUGCUCAUCGUCCAAUGACUCUCAUUUACACAAAGAGGCCAUUGGAGCUCCUCCAUAUGGAUCUUUUCGGUCCUCCAUCAUUUGAUAGUCUUGGAGGCAGAAAGUACUCCUUGGUGAUUGUUGAUGACUACUCAAGAUACACCUGGGUAUAUUUCUUCAAGAGGAAGAGUGAGACUCAACAAACUAUCAUCAACUUUGCUAAUGAAGCUCAACGUCAACAUGAAGCAAAGAUUUUGAUGAUUAGAAGUGACAACAGCACCGAGUUCAAGAACUACACCUUGGAUGAGUUUCUAGGUGAUGAGGGAAUAAAACAUCAAUAUUCAGCACCAUAUACCCCUCAACAAAAUGGUGUGGCGGAAAGGAAGAACCGGACUUUGAUGGAUGCUGCAAGAACAAUGAUGGCGGAAUUCAAAUCUCCAUAUAACUUUUGGGCUGAGGCCAUCAACACAGCAUGUCACGCGUCCAAUCGGCUCUAUAUCCGCAAAGGCUUGUACAAGACUCCAUAUGAGAUUCUCAUCGGAAACAAACCCAAUCUCAAGUACUUCCGGGUAUUCGGUUGUAAGUGUUUCAUUCUCAAGAAAGGUGCACGUUUAGCUAAAUUUGUUUCUAGAGCACAAGAGGGCAUCUUUGUUGGUUAUGCUACAAACUCUCAUGCUUACUGUGUCCUCAACAAGUCCACCGAACUCAUUGAGGAGACGUGUAACGUGGAGUUUGAUGAAAAUAAUGGCUCCCAAGUGGAGCAAAGUGGUCUUUGUGAUGUAGGUGAUGAAAUUCCUCCCCAAGCCAUGAGAAGAAUGGGGAUUGGUCAAAUACUCCCCAUUGAGGAACCCCUUGUGGCCGAAGGAGAAGGACAAUGCUCUACUCAAGUGGAGCCAUCACCCUCACAAGCCCCACACGCUUCCGAUGAACAAAGAGAAGACCCUCAACAAUUUGAACAAGCUCAAGGUCAAGAUCAAUUGCCCAAAGAUGGUGAUGGGUCCCAUGAUGUACAAGCACUUACCCAAGGUUCCGAACCUGCUCAAGAUCAAGAUCAAGUGCAAUUACAAGAUCCAGACCAAAUAGAAGCACAAGAUCAAGAUCAAGAGCAACCACAAGUCCAAGGACAAACAAGUGAACCUGCUCAAGUCGAAAAUCAAGUUGAUCAGGAUACUGUCUUGCAAUUCCCUUCUGCAGCGCCAAAAGCUGGUGCCAAGGGAGGUUCAAGACACAAGGGGAAGCAAAGUAAACAAGUCGAUGUUCCCCAGUUAUCCAAUGAAGAACUCUUGGAGCGUCGAGCAGCCAAGAUUGCGAACAAGCUGAGAGUCAAGUCACAUCUUAGGAAGAAUGUACUUGACAGUUUAAAAAGGGGAGUAUCCACCCGUCAACAGAUUUGGAAUUAUUGUGAGCAUCACGCGUUUGUUUCGUAUUGUGAACCUCAACAGGUACAGGAAGCGCUCGAUGAUGAGGAUUGGCUUAUGGCCAUGCAUGAAGAACUCAACAACUUCGAGCGUAAUCAAGUCUGGGAUUUAGUGCCAAGACCAAAGGAGGAACAUAAUGUCAUCGGGACCAAAUGGAUAUUCAAAAACAAGCAAGAUGCCAAUGGGAUUGUGAUUCGAAACAAGGCAAGACUGGUGGCUCAAGGCUACUCCCAAGUCGAGGGUAUCGACUACGGUGAAACCUUUGCCCCUGUUGCUUGUCUAGAUUCUAUUCGCAUGCUGCUUGCAUUUGCUUCUGAUCAUAAUUUCAAAUAACAGCAAAUGGAUGUGAAAAGUGCUUUUCUUAAUGGUCCUUUAAAUGAGUUGGUCUAUCUCAAACAACCCCCGGGAUUCGAACAUCCCAAGCUCCCCAAUCAUGUGUACAAACUUAAUAAGGCACUCUAUGGCCUUAAACAAGCCCCACGUGCGUGGUAUGAGUAUCUUACUGAGUUAUUACAAGAUCGUGCGUUUGAAAUUGGAAAGAUAGAUCCCACUCUUUUUACUAAGAGGGUUAAAGGGGAUUUGUUCAUAUGCCAACUAUAUGUUGAUGAUAUCAUUUUUGGUUCUCCUAACAUUUCUUUCAAUGAAGAAUUUGCUGCACUAAUGACCGAGAAAUUUGAGAUGUCUAUGAUGGGUGAGUUGAAGUUCUUCCUCGGAUUCGAGAUUAAACAAGGCUUAGAAGGGACCUUCAUCAAACAAGCCAAGUACACUCAAGACAUGCUCAAAAGGUUCGAGCUUGAAGAUGUCAAGCCGGUCAAGUUCCCCAUGCCAACAAGAUGCAAGCUUGAUAGUGAUCCCAAUGGUAAAGCAGUGUAUCAAAAGGUAUAUCGCUCCAUGAUUGGAUCCCUCCUUUACCUUUGUGCAUCUAGACCAGAUAUUAUGUUGAGUGUAGAGAUCUGUGCACGGUUUCAAUCCGCACCAAAAGAAAGUCAUUAUAUGGCUGUUAAGCGAAUCUUUCGAUAUUUGGCUCAUACCCCAAACUUUGGUCUAUGGUAUCCCAAAGGAGCGAACUUCAACCUAGUGGGCUAUUCUGACUCGGAUUGGGCAGGAGAUUGUGUGGAGAGGAAGUCAACUUCUGGAGGAUGCCAAUUCCUUGGUCGCUCGCUGGUAAGUUGGUCUUCAAAGAAGCAGAAUUGUGUCUCACUAUCAUCCACCGAAGUUGAGUAUGUGACAGCUGCAAGUUGUUGUGCACAGUUGCUAUGGAUGAGGCAAACUUUAAAGGAUUACGGUGUCACUUGUGACAAAGUGCCUCUUCUAUGUGAUAAUCAAAGUGCUAUCAAGAUUUCCCUCAACCCAGUGCAACAUAGCAAGACCAAGCAUAUUGAUAUUCGCCAUCACUUCAUUCGUGAACACAUCAAGCUAGGUGAUAUUGAGGUGCACUUCAUCCACACUGAAGAGCAACUUGUAGAUAUUUUCACUAAGCCCCUAGACGAAUCAAGGUUCCGGGAGUUAAGGCAUGAGCUAAAUAUCAUUGAUUCAAGUAAUGUGGAUUGAAACUAGGCACUUUGCACCUCACUAUGCAUUAGAUCUUGUUCUAGGUGUAGGCAUGGACAUAGGGGGAGUGUUGUUCUAUCAAUGAACUUUCCCUCCCCCCAUUAUGCAUAAAUCGAUCAAGUCUUUCACUUUGGCCAUUACUAAAUGGCACUUGUGCUUCAAAGACGAGCGUUGGUCAUGAACCCAAGGAUAAUUCUUCGCGGUGGCAUACCUUUGCCUCAAACAUAGGUGGCCUCGGCCACCGCCCCCACCUUUCUCUCAUAUGGAAGAAAGAAUACAAAAUGACUAGUCAGUAUACCUUGCUGGUGCUAUCUUUUCAUUUACACUGACUAGUCGCUGCCCACGUCUUUUCCACGAAAUCCUAUGUCUUGUUGUGUCAUUUUGAGCGGUACUACCGCCAGGGGUAGCGGUACUACUGCCAGGACCCCAGCGGUACUACCGCCAGGGUAGCGGUACUACUGCCAGGACCCCAGUCUAUCACGACUUGACUAGGGCUUUUUAGGGCUGUCACAAGGGGGAGCGGUACUACCGUCAGGGGGAGCGGUACAACCGCUAGGACCCCGGCGGUACUACCGCUGGCCCGUACCCCUUUGGCUAUAUAAAGGAGGGGGGGCCCGUUUUUUCUGCCCUCUUUCUUCUUCCUCGUGUCUCUUCCUCCCUCUACCCCGAACUCCCCCCGUUUGGAUCUCUAUCUGCGGAGCCCCUUCUCUCCCUUGAGUUGGAGGGUUUGCUCCACUCCUCCUUCCUCCAUCAAGUGCCAUGGACACCGGUAAAGCUCCUCACCUUAUUCUCUUGAUUGGUAUUUUCUUGUUCUAAGGUUAGGAGCUUGGUCAUUUGAAUCCAUGGCUAUGGUUUGUGCUUUGUUUUUGGAUGGAACGAAGGAGAUAGCCUAGGGGAGUUUAGGUUCUAUGAUUCAUUGCUUUUAUCUUGACAUGCCCUAAGUUCUUCAUGUUUUAGAUCGAGUACUUCUUCUCAUAUUUCUCAUUGGAUUAGAUCUAAAACUUGAAUCCCCUUGACUAGGCAUGUCUCUACCUAGAUGUUCUUGAGGUUCACAUGUGAUUAGGGCUAUGGUGUUUCUUGUAGUGAUUUUAUGCAGUUGCCAUGGGCCUCGUAAAUCAAAUCUAGCCGUUCUUAUGGGUCUUUCUAUAUUCAGAUCUAAAAGUCAACCCCCUAGCGGUAUUACCGCCAGCCUGGCGGUACUACCGCUAGGACCCCAGCGGUACUACCGCCAGGGGUAGCGGUACUACCGACAGGAGGAUAUUUUUCGUUAUGUUUGGAAAUUUGAGUUUAUUCUUAUGCUUCUUUUUUACCAUUGCCUUGACUCCUCCUGUCGCUCUUUUUGGGUGUGUGUCUUGUGUGUCACAGGUGGUCCUCGUCGCUCGAAUCCCCCACGGGACACCCAACCGAAGCAGUAUCGCACUUCAGAGGCUCCAGAGGGCUCCGCCACUUCCGGUCUGAAUCCCAAAAAGAAGUCUUUCAAGAAGAUAGCUCACAAGAACAAGGGGAUCAACGUUCGCACUAUGCCCCCAAGGAUUUUCUGCUGUUCCGCAACCGCAAUCACUAUCUAGAAGACAAGGCUCAGAUCAAGAACAUUGAGCAUGUUUGGUCAGGGGAUCACUGCAUGAUCAAUCGCAACAUCAUUACGCCAUUCAAGAAGAUUUUUGUCCCAAUGCAGUGGAUUGACCUUGCUCACCUUCAGCGGAACCCGAAUUACUUUGGUGAGGCUCUCUCCUUGAUUGAUAAGCUUGGCCUUAAAGAGAUCAUCACCUUCAGGCAAGACUUUGACCCAGAUGUUGUGGCCCAAUUCUAUGUCACUGUUCACUUUGCACCUGAUGACAUACGCACCAUGACUUGGAUGACCGGUACUCAGAAGAUGACAGGUUCCUGGUCAGAAUUCAUGCAGCUUCUCAAAGUCGACUUUCAGGGGGACGAAACUCCUCUUGGGAUGCGUCCUCAUGCUCCAUCUUCAUCUACUACCACCCCCAAGGACAGGCUGCAACAACUUUAUGUGAAGAAAGGUGUGCUCCCCAAGCAUCUGGAUAUCAUGCAUCGAAUCUUCCGCAACACUUUCUUUCCUCGCAUUGGCAACUUUGACGAGGUGCAUGGUCAUCUAGUUGAGAUGCUUCUGCUCUGUGAGGAGGCUAGGACUAAGGAAUCUGCCCCUCUCGAUAUUUCCCACGUGAUGUUCAAUGAGCUCUCGAACUACAUCAUGAACCGCAAGGUUCCCAUCUACGGGCCCUACUUGUUUGCCUAUAUUCGCAAGAGGUGGCACGAAGUCUAUCCGAUCGAUGAGUUCCCUAUUCAGACUGAUCCCUUUGUGCAUGAUCCUAUCAAGCUCCGUAUCAAAUACAAAUGGGCAAACCCAUCAACUUUGUCUCAGCACAUGGACACUGACACAUAGACUGCUGCUGGAGGAGGCCCCUCUUCUCAGUCCCGCUCUUCUGCUAUGCCAUCUUGGGCAGUGAAACUGAAGGAUAAAAUGAAGACUCUCUUCUGUAUGCAGGCCAAGGGACAGUAUCACUCUCAUGUGGCCCAGAAGGAGAACCGUCAGAGGCACAAGCGUGUCUUGAGGACCCUUGAUGUUGAUAUCUCAAGCGGCUCAGAGGACGACAUCACUCCAGAGUCUGAUUGGAUGUGGGCUCAAGGUUAUCAGUGGAUUGGGUCUGAUGCAGAGGAGGAGGCGUCUGAGGAGGACAAUGAGGAGGAGCAGGACGAUCCGGAUGCCACGGACAAGUCUGGGGCUGAUGAGGAUGCGGAGUGACCACGUGUGUCGUUAGGUGUGCCCCUUUUUGGUGUCUUGUGCCAAAGGGGGAGAGAGUCUAGGAGCUGGAUUUGCGCUUUGCUUUAGAUUUGCUUAUCUUCAUCGUGCUUGCUUUGAACUUGGUUUGAUCUUAUUUGCUAUCUUUGCUUUGUGUGAUGUGAGACUUGGUCUAGUGUGAGACUUAUUUCUAUCAUAUGUUGUGUCAUAUGCUCUUCAAUUAUCUCUACCAUUAUCUUUAUGUUCACAUGCUAUCUACUGUGCAAAUCCGGUAUUGUCAUCAAUCCACCAAAAAGGGGGAGAUUGUUAGCGCAUAUUUAUGCCUAAGUAAUUUUGGUGAUUGAUGACAGUACCGUAAAGGACUAAUCGUGUGCAUUAAGAUUUCAGAUAACACAUGUCAACGACACAAGAUGACUCGGCCCCCUCCAUGGAAUAAAAGCACGGUGUCCUCUGCGAUUCUCUUUCUUUGAGUCAUAGGAACGCCGUACUAUUAAGAGGGGACCCGUAGUAGAAAGGUUUGGGUGGAAUCAAUUUUGCACGCACACACUUUAUCUCCUUUCCCUUUCCUUGCAACUUUGGAGUGGUUCCCGCCUCUGGUUUAUCUCCUCUAAGCAAAACGGUCUCUCAGCGGUAGUACCGCUGUCCCUAGCGGUAGUACCGCUAGAGCUGGCGGUAGUACCGCCCCUGGUCAGCGGUAGUACCGCUCCAGGAACUUAGUACCGCUCCAGGAACUUAGUACCGCCUUCCUAGCGGCUGUACUUCGUCGGACAUUUUGCGAAGACUUUCUUGGCGGUGGUUGGCCCGGUACUACCAUGGGCCCAGCGGUAGUACCACUGCAGCACCAUGGGCCCAGCGGUAGUACCACUGCAGCCAGCGGUAGUACCGCUGCAGCGAGCGGUAGUACUGAUGGAGUGCCAGCGGUAGUACCGCUGCAGCCAGCGGUAGUACCGCUAGGCUCGGGCUGUGAGUGGGAAAACGGUUGGAUCCCCCCCACUAUAUAAAGGGUUCUUCUUGCUCUAGAACCCUACCUUUGACCCUCCCAAGCUCCAUUGUUGCUCCCUAAGCUCAAAAGUCCCGAUCUCUCUCCCUAGCCAAUCAAACUUGUUGAUUCUCUAGGGAUUGGUUGAGAAGGCUUAGAUCUACACUUCCACCAAGAGAAAAUUGAUUCCCCCACCAAUCCCUUGCGGAUCUUGUUACUCUUGGGUGUUUGAGUACCCUAGACGGUUGAGGCCACCUUGGAGCCACAUUCCAUUGUGUUGAAGCUUCAUGGUCUUGUUGGGAGCCUCCAAGCUUUGUGUGGAGUUUUCCCCAACCUUGUUUGUAAAGGUUCGGUCGCUGCCUUCAAGGGCAACUAUAGUGGAAUCACGGUACCUCGCAUUGUGUGAGGGCGUGAGGAGAAUAGAGUGGCCCUAGUGGCUUAUUGGGGAGCAUUGUGCCUCCACACCGCUCCAACGGAGACGUACUUCCUGUCAAAGGGAAGGAACUUCGGUAACACAUCCUCGUCUUCAUUAAUUCCACUUGCGGUUAUCUCUAACCUUUACAUUGUGUAUGCUUAUGUUGUUGUUUAUCUCUACUUGUCUUAGUUAUCUUUGUUGGUAGCAUCAUAUAGUUUCACCUCUUUGUUGACAUUUUAGAGAACCCUCAUGUGCUAACCCUAACUUGCUAAGAUUAGUUAAAAAGUGGAUGUUGCCUAUUCACCCCCCCUCUAGUCAACCAUAUCGAUCCUUUUACUAUGCAUAUGGGUUGAUGCAUGCUCUUGUCCUACUUUCUCCGAUAUAAAUCUUGGGGUACGUUGUGAAGUUCUUUGUGUUGGAUUGAAUAUGAUGAAUCUAAAAUUGUUUGAUAUAUGUCAAAUAAUCAAAUCAUGGAUACUUGUGGUGACAUUGGAGUAUCUAGGUGACAUUAGAGUUAGUUGAUGUGUAUCAUAGAUGUUAUUCUAGUAUGAACUCUAGGGAUGAUUGCGACACUUAUAGGAAUGGGUCAAUGGAUUGAUCGAAAAGAAUAACUUUGAGGUGGUUUUGCUUCCUACAGCAAUUUCAUCUUAUGUUUUUCGGUAAAUAUGGAGUUUAGAGCGAUUCUCUCUCGCACGUUGAGGAACGAUCAUAUGAUUCUAUUAUGUUAGCAUUGUUGAGAGAUUGCACUAGUGAAAGUAUGAACCCUAGGCUAUUACCAAGCAUUGCCAUACUGUUUAUGCUCACUUUUAGUACUUGUUACCUUGCUGUUUUUAAAUUUUUAGAUUACAAAAACAUAUAUCUACUAUUCAUAUUGCACUUGUAUCAUCAUCUCUUUGCUAAACUAGUGCACCUAUACAAUUUACCAUUGUAUUGGGUGUGUUGGAGACACAAGAGAUUUCUUGUAUUUGAUUGCAAGGUUGUUUGAGAGAGACCAUAUUCAUCCUACACCUCUCACGGAUUGAUAAACCUUAGGUCAUCCAUUUGAGGGAAAUUUGUUGUUGUCCUACAAAACUCUGCACUUGAAGGCCCAACAACGUCUAUAAGAAUAAAGUUAUGUAGUAGACAUAAUUAUCCAGUGAGGGAUAGUUGUCGAUGCUCGUCGGAAGAUCAUCGUGUAAGCUUUUGUAAAAAAUGCUAUGCUGGACAAUUUCCCAUUGGUUCUUAAGUACUCUGAGAGUGAGUCCUACAAGUUGUUUCUGUAGAUGUCAAGAUUUUCAAGCGAUGAGUGCUUCCCAAAUUCACACGAGGGCAUCAUAUAGCUCCACACAUAAGGUAGAAUCCAUGGGGGGGGGCACCACAUGGAUCCUCUCAUGUUUGUUGAGGUCAAGUGACUUUAGAUUCCGCAACAGUUCAAUUAAUGUUGAUAUUAACUAAAAUAUCUUAUUCCCACAUAAUGGCAACACAAAAAGUGUGUGGAGCUUCUUAUGUUGGCUCGUAGCUCUCCCGUAGCUGGCUAUUCUACACCAUCAACACCAACAACCCAAUCACAUAAAUCGGGAUGGAGCCAAAGAUUUGGUUGUUUUCAUUCUUAAUGUGAGAGAUAUUCGAAGAUAUCCGGGUCGAUAUAGUGACAGUGAAGUGGUUGUCCGAUAUUAGAAUUGUAGGCAGUAAGGGGAAUGAUCGUGUAUUCACUAGGAACUCCCGAAAGAAGUUAUUAUUGUUGAGCAUGAUAUUAUCCAACAAGAGGUCGUUGUCGAUGCUCGUCGAAAAAAGUUGUUAAAUUAUAUAACUACUUCGAGAGUGAGCCAGACAAGUUGAUGUUGUAGACGUUGGGAUUUUCACGCGGCAGAUGCUUACCAAGUUCUAGUGGUAGCUCAACCUAGAGCAUCAAAUAGGUCCCCAGUGAAGGUGGAGGCCAUGGGGGCUUAUGCCCCCCCCCCCAGCGACUACCUGGAUCUGCCCAUGGUUCCUGAGGUCAAGCGACUUGAGAUUUUGAAGAGAUUUUCAAUUUAUGUUGGUCUGGAUCUAGAUAUCUUGUUCCCAAACAAUGACAACACAGGUAAGUGUGUGGAACUUUCUUAUGUUGGCCGAGAGCUCUCCCAACAACUGGUUAUUCUACGUAUUCAUCACCAAUAGCCCAGUGACAUACGUUGGGGUGGAGCCGAAGAACUGGUUGUUUUCCAUCUCAAUUUGAGAUUUACCAAAGUUAUAUAUAUCGAUUGACAUAGUACCAGUGAAGUUCUAGUAUGAUAUUACCAUUGUAUGCAACAACGGGAACGACCACAUAUUCAUCGGGAACUCCCUAGAGAAAUUAGUGUUGUUGAGCAUGAUGUUAUGGGGCGAGAAGUAGUUGGCCACACUUAUCGAAAGCUCGUCAGAGAAGUUGUUGCUAAGAAUUUAUAUGUUGUAUAAUCUCCCACGUAUAACAGCUCAAGUGAUUGAGACAAGUUAUUGUUGUAGACGUCAAAAUUUGCAAAUGACUAGUUCUGGUGGUCGCUCAUCUUAAAGCAUAACAUAGUGAGAUACUUGCAUGCAACUAAGGCCUCUAAGAGCUUAAAGCAUUUCAGUCGUUCAAUGUUUUUUCGGAGCGACCCCCCGUCGGUCCGAGGCUCAGAUGAGAUCGACCUUCCUAUUUAUAUUAGUCGAAUUGUGCCAUCUGAUAUUUUUUGACCGACAAUGGUGGGGGCACUGAGAUGUUUUGGUGGGGACAUUUCCAGUGAGGUUUGAUUGUAUUGAACAUGAAAGUUUUGAUUAAUGUGUAUAUGAUGGAAUAAAUGUUUCCAUGCAUGCCAUGGUGGCCCUUUGUUAAUGUGACAUGUGAAGUGACGUGGGACAUACUCAUGUUGAAAUAUUAUACUAGUGAGGAUCACUAUUAUUCAAAAAUAUUUUUCAUGUACAUUGAGGUGUCAUGUUUUUUAGGGGUUUGAGGUGUAAUAUGUCAUGUGUGAUGAGAUGACUUGAAUGCAUGUUGAGAUAAGUAAAAUAGUGGAAAUGAACUACUCAAGCAUGUAGGAUUCGUGGGCAGAUGCAACUCAUUUUGACAGUCCAAGCCCAAAAAUCUGACAGUCUGGGCUCUAGUACAAACUAGUUUUCUACUUGAAGUUCUGCUUGAAUGCAAGAUAGAUACAUCAAAUAUUGUAUUAUAUGAGCUAUUAUGCUAAUGUUACCAUUACAAAUUCAAAUUAAUAGAAAAUUCCGUUUUUACAUGUUCAAACUGCACAGAGCUAGUCUCAGGCUAGGUAUUUUUACUAGAAGGGUAGCACGUGCUUUGUUACACGUCAAUGUUGUUGGGUUUCUUAAAAUAAAUACUCACUUUGUUUUAAAAUAUAAGGUGUAUUACAAGACUUUUAAGCAUGAUAAAUUUUGUAGAGAAAUAUAUCAAAAUACACAAUAUCAAAUUGGUAUGAUUAGAUUCAUCAUGAAAUGAAUUUUCAUACUUUUUUGUUUAAUAUUCUCGAUGUCUAUAUUUUUUUUCUCUGAACUUGAUCAAAUUAAAAAAAAUUGACUUUACAAAAAAUAACGCCCCUUAUAUUUUGAACCGAUGGGGUAUUAGUUUGGCGGGUGGGGGAGAUAAUGGAGUGUGUUUUAUUUUUAUUUAUAAUGCAGUGAUUCGAUGGGCCUUUUGUGAUGUGGUUUUGUGUUAUCUGCUAAGUAAAAAAUAUUUAUGUAGGAAAAUUUCAGCAUUGGUAGCUGCAUGUACCCUAUUGGUGCUACAAUAUCACAUGAUGACGCUUCAUUUUUCUAGAUGGUGGACGGGUUGCGGGAUUGAUAUAUUUUAUAGGCUAGUUGAUGGUAAUUGAUUUGAAACAUCAUUGGCCCGAUCAAAAUUAUAAACCAAAUCCAAAAUUGAAUAGCUCAACUAAAUGAAAGAGGUUCAAAACUAGAGAUAUAGAGAAUUAAAAGAAUUGAAUGGGAUAGCUAGUUGAGAAAUUGUUGACCCGGCCAAAAUCGAGAGAUCCAAUUCCAAAUUAAAGACCUCGAUUAAUUGCGAGGCCUUAAAAAUUAGGAAUCAUAGUGUAUAACUAGAAGGGUCGAGCGCGCUUUGCUGCACUGUUGAUGUUUCUGGAUUUUCCUAUUUUUUGUACUCAACCUAUCUUAAAUAUAAGGUGCAUUAGUUUUUGAAAAGUCAAACAUCUUUAAAUUUACCACAUUUUUGUAGAAAUAUAUCAACAUCCAUAAUAUGAAAUUGGAUUCUUAGAUUCCUCGUGAAACGAAUUGUUAUGUUUUAUUAUUUACUAUUAUGGAUGUCGAUAUUUUUGCCUCUGGACUUGAUCAAAGUUAAAAAAAGUUGAGUUUUCAAUAAACUAAUAUACCUUAGAAUUUAGAACGGAGUGAGUAUUAGGUUUUGUUAGUGGGGAAGUUGAUGGGGUUUAUUUUCCUUUUUAUUCUAUAAUGCGGUGUUCUGGUGGCUCCCACGGUAUGUUUUUGUGAUAUGUUAAUCAACUCAUAUUUAUGUGAUUUUUUUACGUCGAUAGCUGCAUGUACUGUAUUGGUGCUAUAGUAACACAUGUUGAUGCUAUUUUAUUCUAGGUGAUGAGAGGAUGCCUUGGAUUUGAUAAGUUUUUAUAGACAGGUUGCUUUCAAUUGAUUUAAAAAAUUGUUGACCUAGUCAAAAUCAUGAACAAAAUCCAAUAUUUAAUUUCUCAGUGAUGAAAUAAGAAAGCAUAGUGAAUUAAGAUAAUUGAGUGAGAGAUUGUUGACCCGGUCAAAAUCGAUGACCCAAUUCCAGAUUGGUGACCUUAAUUAAAUGAGAGGUGUCCAAUUCUAGGGGGCUUAGAUAUAUAUAUAUAUAUAUAUAUAUAUAUAUAUAUAUAUAUAUAUAUAUAUAUAUAUAUAUAUAUAUAUAUAUAUUGAUUGAAAGAGCUUUGAGAAUUUUUUGACUUGGUCAACAUUGAGUGUCUUAAUUUGACCUUAAUUGAAUGUGCGCUCUUUAAAACUAGAAUUAUAGUGUAUAGAGGAUGUCAAACCUUCACAACCUAGCACCACAAAAAAGCGAGUGUCGGGAAAUGCCCGUGUCUACACCUCAUACCUUCCAAAACAUUCGUAUGAACUUCCAACCAUCUUUAUUAGCCUGAAGUAGGGUGGGCAUCGAACCUAUUACCGUUGACUUUUGGUUCAUAGUAUUUUAUAUCUUUUGAAUGAGAUGUUCAAAGUAAGCUUUGUUUACAUAUUCAUGUUUAUUUUGACGGUGGCUUUGAAAUUGGGUGUGCCUGUUCUACACCCAAGGGCAUUGCACCCCCGCUACACCCACGAUUGAAAACUUAGAAAAAUAACUCAAAAUAUUACGAAACUUUGAAGAUCGGAUUAUGAGCAAAUGUUUUAGGUGCUUGCAAAAUUUUAAGGCCAAAUGACAUCCAAGGAAAUCUGUACAAAAAAAAUAAAGUUUCUGCUCAAAUAUAAAAUCUGAAACGUGGGUCAGAGCAAGAGUUUGUAUUUCAUUUCAUACGAAAAUUAUUCAAUGUUAUUUGACGAUCAAACUUUGCAAGGUUUUAAAACGUUUGCCCAUAAUAAAUGCCUCAAAGUUUCAUAUUUUUUUAAUUCGUUUCUAUUUUUUACUGUCCAUUUCAUGGGUGUAUCAAACAUGGGUGCGGUCACUACUUUCCCGCUUUGAAAUAAGAUCCAUUUUAAAUAUGUUUUGGAAAGUUUUUAAAAUUUCACUAAGUGUCAACUGUUGAAACUUAAGUACAAGAGAAUGACAAAAUUGUAAGUUUCACAAAAUAAAACUUUAAACUUGGUGUGUCCUCUCACGGAAUCCAGGAACCUUGUGGACCGCAAGACAAUAGGACGGUGGUGCAAACCUAGAGAGGUGGGUGCCUCAGCGAAUUUCCAAUUAUUAACCCACCUCACUUCAUACGUACAUAUAUAAACCAAAUACUAGGCAAAAAUUUGUAGCCAAUUAUAUAAACAUCAGACGUAUUCAAGAAUCAAGCCCACAUAAAUAGCCAAAUCGAUGGUGUGGAACGAGCGUGGGUGCAACUUUCUUUGUUUUCUCCGUUUUACAGUAAUUAAUUUGUCGAUGAACCAAUCUAUGAUUAAAUGGUUAGAUGAAUAAUGAUAUUCCUGGUCCAUAAGGUUUUAAGUCUUGAUACUCACAUUUAUUGCUGAACUUAUUUUGGAAUCUUUGGCGAACUGUAUGCAGUGAGAGGAGACGUUAUCGUCGACUAUUAGGUUUUUUUGUGACUUCAAUUUCAAGACGAUAUGUUGGUUUAGUUUUCAAAUUUUUAGAAAUAGGAUGUGCAUGCAUGUGUUUAUUAAGAUAAGUAUAUACACACAUAUAUAUAAGAGGGUCUGUGUUGGUACUAUGUUAAAGCAAAGUACCUUUUCUAUAUCUAAAUAUUUAUAAUUUUAAAAAAACUAGUUUAAUGUUUCGUAACUAUAAGUAUUUAGAUACGGAGAAAGUAAUUAAUUUGCCGCAUGCGGGAGCAAACUUCUCGUUCUGGUGUGAAUCAAAACACAAUCUGUGCGUGAUUUUGCAUUUUACACCGCGUAGGUUGUACGCAGCGUAGGGAUUCUGCUAUGAGCAGCGCGAGCAAAAUCUGUCGAUUGCUGAAUAUAGAAUAGAAUAGAAUCUGUCGAUUGCUGCUGAAAAAUCUCAGGCCAACCAAAUACUACUAGCUACUCGCUAGAAAGAAAAAAGGGCGCCGCGCAACAGCGACUGCCAGCUGCUGCCCUUAUCCUUUAAUUAUUCGGUCAUCUGCUGUCGUGUCACUUUAAGCGAGACAUCCAUCAUCUUUUCUAUUUUCCCUCGUAAAGAACACCUCUGUAGCCUCUUUUCACUUGGCCACAAAUCUGUAGUACACAUAAUCAAUUGCUCCAUCGAUGGAUCUGUGAGCGUUAGACUCCUCAUGGCUAGCCUGGAUUUCAUUUCCACGUCCGACGCACGACACCUUCUUUCUAAAGGGCGUCUCCAACGGCAACCCUAAAUUUUUUCAUGCAUCCGUCCGUAAACAGGGAUCAGUCUAUGUAUACGGGUGCAAGAGACGCCAUUCAACGCUAACUGUAUACAUUUUAACAAUUAUUUAAGUUAAUCGAACAAUAUUCAUAUAAAUAUGGUAGGAUUUUAUGUAAAUAUAACGGAUUUUAUAUAAACACGACAGAUUUCAUCACAUGCCGAACAUAUUUUAACUAAAAAAAUAAGACUAUUUGCAUGUACGGUCACGUCGAACUCCAAUCCCACGACCCAGAUACACUACUACACUAGUCGAUGGCCGGUCGCGGCGGAUCCCUUGGUCUUCUUCAUGUCCGGUAGCCUGUUCACCGGACUACUCGGAGCCUCGGAGGCAUAUGCUUCAGCGCAAAGGACGCCUCGCUUCCCACCGCUCGUGGACCGGAACUCCCGUCCAAUGCUUCAGCGGGAGGGGAAGCGGACACCUCCGCUUCCAUGCAGCCCAUGCGGGGUCGGCGAAGGUCCUCACAAGAGAAGAACCACGCAAGACAGCGGCUGUGUACACAGGCAUCGCUCCGGUGGUGGCCUUCAUGUGACCCAAGUGGCGGCGCCUCCCGUGUUCUACUUCUCCUUGAUGACGGCGGCGAGUGUUGUCUACCACACAACUUUAUUUUUGUAUAUGUUGUUGGACCUUCAAGUAUAGAGUUUUAUGGACAAAGACAAUUUUCCUUCAAAUAAAUGAUCUAAGGUUUUUUAAUUCAUGGUUGGUGUAGGAUGAAGAUGGUCUCUCUCAAACAACCCAGCAAUCAAAUACAAGAAAUCUCUUGUGUCCCCAACACACCCAAUACAACGUUAAUUGUAUAUGUGCACUUGUUCGGCGAAGAGAUGGUGAUACAAGUGUAAUAUGGAUAGUAGAUAUAUGUUUUUGUAAUAUGAAAAUAUAAAAACAGCAAGGUAGCAAGUAACAAAAGUGAGCAUAAACAUUAUUGCAAUGCUUGGAAAUAAGGCUUAUGGUGUUGGGGACCGUCGCAUGGGAAAUAAAAAAUUUCCUACGCACACGCAAUACCUAUCCAUGGUGAUGAUCAUCUACGAGAUGGGAGAGUGAAUCUACAUACCCUUGUAGAUCGCUAAGCGGAAGCGUAUAUAAAUUUAAGACCCCCAGUUAAUGUGGGUAAAGGAAGUGUUUGUAACAAACAACACUUUUAACAAGCUAAGGUUUUAACAGACAGCUUAUGUGUUUAACGCAAAUAUAAUGCUUGGUUGAAUAGCACAAAAAUUAAAAUUUGAAAAAAAAUUGAGCAUGAAAUCGACUUACCUGGUUAAUGUGCUCGGUGUGACGUGGUCCGGGCUCGCAGCGGUCCGAAGUCGCAGCCCCCAAGCAUGUGACAAGGUAGUCGAUGAAGAGUUUGCUUGAUGAAAUGACAACACAACACUUCGGGAAGGCCGAGCGAAACCCAAGUCCAGUCGAAGAGAUAGAGUAGUUUAGUAGUGUGACGACGAAGCCCCCACAUUAGUCGAUCAUGUUGACGACACAAUUUGGUUGACGGAGGCGUGGCGAUGACGUCGGCGCGUCGAGGUGACUGUCUAACACAGUCGGAACCGAUCACCUAUGCACAUAAAAUAGUGCAAGCCAAAAGUAAUAUCAAAUAAUAAUAGAAGUCCUCUACUUAAUUAACUUAAGUUAAGUAAAUAGUUAGAAAAAAUAUAGCGUGGUCGUCGAGGUGCCCGAGCGAAGAGCUCGGCUUGAUGAAGUUGCGAUACGGCAUGGCCGAUGUGGCGAGGCGAAACCCUCAGUCCAGCCGAGAUGAUGAAGUUGGUCGACCGAUGAUGACGAAGUCCACGGAGCAGGUUGAUGAAGAGAUGGUGAAGCCCCUAGUAUAACCAAGGUGACGUAGUAGUUAAGUAAGGUGGCGCUAGAGCCCCAUGCCAGCCGAUAUGUCCAAGCAGGUAGGCAUGUUGAACGUUGGCUUAAAGAAGCGACGGCGCGGCGAUGCCGAGUAGGUCAAAAUUUGUGACGCGAUCAAUGCUGCCUUGAUGAAGCAACGACGCGUCCGACCCAUGCAACGCGUGAGCGACAAGAUUCCGCGGAGAUUAUUCCGCCCUCGCGAUGUUGGACUCUUGAUCGGAUCGCCGAGGUGCUGAUCGGAUGAGAUUGACCUCUACUCGCUGAAGCGAUGAUCUGUCUAGUGCAGGUCGACAACGCGAAGCAGCGUAGCCGGGCUGGUUUCGCACCAGUGUAAUGAUGAAGAUUGCCUUGGAAAAAGCUCAAAAUUUAUGGACAUGCAUUUUAGAACAACACAUAAUACAUUAAAAAGAAUUCCUUCAAAAAGGAUGUCCAAAACCCCCGUUCAUGAAGAAAGAUGAACUCGGGUUGGUUUCGUUUUCGCGAAAAGAACAUAUCAAAAAUUCGUUGUACUCAUCGGAUGGUUCCCGGAGUUUGGACGGUCGGAUCAAGCUGAAAUUUUGAGGCUGAUCGAUAUAGGAAUUCUCCAUCCGAUGAAGGGUGGGAUUUUCCAACGGACGUCCGAGCUAGACACUGGACACCUCACCCUAAACUCAUCCAGAUUCCUGUCCAGAUUCGAUAGGGCUCCGAUAUAUCGGAGAUUGACGGAGAUUCCUCCAUCAAAACACGACAAAAUUUUGCAGGCUUCUUGUAGAGACAAUUCCACUGAAUUAAUCGUUAAAGAGACCCUCGAGGAAGUGGAGAGACGAACACAAAUUCGUUGUCCAAAAAAACUGCAAUCUGCACACGAGCCAUCAAUUCUUCUGCCGAUCCCAGAGCGAACCUCCCAAUGAAAUCACCAAUGUUGGCGUCAAAACCGACGGAUCUAGGGUAGGGGGUCCGAACUAUGAUCUUGAAUUGAUGGGUAACAAGGGACGAUGGAGACGAUGUUUACCCAGGUUCGGGCCCUCUUGAUGUAGGUAAAACUCUACGUCCUGCUCUUGUUGUAUUGAUGAUGAAAUAUCAAGUACAGAGUUGAUCUAUCUCGAGAUCGUAUUUUAUAGUCUAAACCCUAAUGAUGUAGACGUUCUGUCUAAUGAAUAUCUAUCAACUAUAGCCUGGCCUCAGCUUAUAUAACACACCGGAGGCCCAGGAUAACAAGAGUCCUAGUUGGCUACGUGGUGGAGAGGAGUCCUUGUCUUGAUCACCAAGUCUUGUUGAUUCUUCCUCGUAUAUGUCAUCGUCUGCCCGAAGUAGCCCAGGAGUCCGGCCCGUAGAGAUAGGCCGGCGGCCCGAGGACCCCUUAGUCCCGGACUCCCUCACUCCCACACCGCUAUAUAUACUGGGAAGGGGGCUUAGAGGUUGGACGCACCAAACCCCAUGCCCUGCAACCUCCCGUCUCUCCCGUUCUUCCUCGUUCGUAGUUUUAGAGACGCUUGGCAAAGCUCUGCUAGCACUGCUCCACCACUAUCUUCAUCAUGCUGUCGCGUUGGUCGAGAUCUCAUCUACUUAACCUCUCUUGCUUGCAGGAGCAAUAAGGAGACGCCACUGAACCGCACAUAUGCUGAACGCGGAGGUGUCGCUCGUUCGGUGCUGGAUUGUUCGCGCGAUCGUGAAGAAUACGACUACAUCAACCGCGUAAUAUAUGCUUCUGCUUAACGGUCUACGAGGGUACACAAAUAUACUUUCUUCUCUCAUUGCUAUGCGUCUUCAUAGAUAGAUUUGGGUGUUCGUAUAUAUUUUUUGUUUUCCAUGCACUGUUCCUCAAGAGACAUCUUCGACGAGGACUAGGAUAGAUGAUCUACGUAGUACAUGGAUUUUUAUUUUUGCAUGCUUUUGAAUAGAUUUAAGAUUUGUAGUAUGAGGUAUUUAGAUAUGGACGAGGAAAUUUGAGGAGUGCCCGGUUAGUGUUUGAGGGCCAGAUUUGUCCAUCACGGUUUUAGAUGCUCUAAAGACUACAAUGACAAAAAUGACAGGUGAAUCAACCCGAAUCCAUUGAAAAUCUAAACCGACCUUUUUUUUAGAAAAGAAGGAUGACCCCCGGCCUCUGCAUCACGGAGAUGCAUGCGGCCAUUUUAUUGAUUAUUCUCGAGGACCUUACAAAGUAUUACAACAAUAUGUCUGAAUCCGCCAUCUUCGCAACAUGUGUCGCUACUCCUAUCCAUAUGAUGAAGGGGUGCUAGCUGGGCCACAUACCCAGAUCACUUACCUAAGCCUAACAUCAAAAGUCAGAAGCCCCAGCAGAUCCGGUCAAGCCAUCUGCCACAUACCGGGUCUAGGGCACAAAACCGAUCUGACGCACUCGUGUGCUAUCGCCGCCAUCUUCCACCGGUCCGUCUUCAGAGCAAAUAUUGAGGCUUCUACCUUGUGUAGCCACUCUGCCAUUGACGUCACCAUGACGCCAGAUAGCUACCUCCUCCUGCGCGAGUCCAUCUCCACGCAUCGGACGUCGAGUCCCCACAGCGCCAUGCCGCCGAUAUCCGCCGCCAUCAAUGUGUGAGAUGAAGCACCGCUCCACCAUUCCUCCAGCCAGCACUUGCUCCAAAACGAUGCCCCCAGGAGGGAGGGCGAUAAAACGCCAUCAUCGUCCGAUCCAGGAAGACCCAGAUCUAGGGUUUCCCCCGGAGCAUCCAGAGCCUGAUGACGCAAACAGCAAUGCCGUUGCUCCACCAGACGAGCGCCGCCGACGUCACAGCCUCCAAGAUGUAGCAGGCCAAAAUGCGCCGACAUCGACCCGCCGCCACCUCCACCACCGCUUGAGCAGCCCCCGAGCAACGCCUUCAGGAAGGAACACGCCACCGAGGUGUCGUCGUCGCUUGGACCAAGGGGAUCUGAGGUUUUCACCUGAGCUCCUGGGAGGGGUGGAAGGAAGGGGAUCCUCUCCAAAGCCUCCAACAAGGGGAACAACACCCAAAGGCGCUGCCUUUGGAGUGGCCGCCGCACCGGCCAAGGGACUCCCCCGGAACCCUUCCAACCACCGGAUCUGCAGGGCCAGCACCCAAGAACAGCGAAAAACCAUCUGGGGCCGGAUCCGCUGCAGAUCGGAGUAGAUCGGGGUCGACGAGAAGCAACACCAUGGCCACCAGCAUCCAGCGAGGACCGCCGCCGCCACCCCCCGCGCCGUCCAGGUCAAAGAGGGAUCCACCGACCGCGUACAGGGGCCACCAACGCCUGCACCCGCCGGAGCACCGCCGCUAGCCCAGCGCCCGCCACCGCCUGCCGCGGGCCGCCGCCGUGCGCCCCACUCCCCGCCACCGCUCGCCGAGGCCUGCCCCCUCGCGCCCGAUCGCGAUCGCCACAAGCCACCGCCGUCAACCACCUAGAUCCGCCGCCCGCGGAGGAAGGGGAGCCGGGAGAGGGAGUCCCCCGCCGCCGCCGUCUGCCACACGUGGUUUACCGACGGCGUCGCCCGGCGGCGGCGAGGAGGGGAGGAUGAGAGAGCGGCGGCGGCGCCUAGGGCUUGGGAGCCCCCGAGUCGCCCAGGGCGGGGGCGACGCGAGGGGUGUUUCCCUGGUUUGAAUAUUCGUCAGACGUGGUUACGUGAAAUCUAAACCGACCUGAUCUAAAGACACAUCUUUACAUGCCCCCACCGCUAAUAGACUCACCCAUCAAAUGGUUAUAGGGCGGGGAAACCAUUAUUCAUAUACUGGGGUGACGCCACUACCUCGCCAUCCCAAACCAAAUACGAAGACUGCGUAAGGCAAACCUGACACUAUUGGCCAUCCCACAACACACCAGAUUCCGACCGAGCUCGUGAUCGUUCAGGAGUAUGCACUAACUUCCACAUCUUUGGUGACCUAGAGUCCAUCCCACCAUUGAAGAUCUCCACACGGAUCCCUCUAGACUUCACAAGCUACCCCAACAUUGUGGUCGAGCACUGACGAUGUCUUGGAUUAAUGGGCACAUACUAUGUCGUCAUGUCAUCUAUGAGCUGGGCCGAUGAUCCACCAACUUUUAAAGGAAGGACUCCCGAAUAUGUGGCCCUCACAUAUUUAAGAUGGAAUCUUUCGAAUACUUGAUAUAUACUCCAAGGCAUAGUUGAAGGCAUAGUUGAACAAUACAUAAGCGGACAACUAGAAUUGAGAAUAACCUCCAAAGAAGAAGAGUUUUUUUCUUAAAAAGUUAAAUCAAUUUGGAAGCAGUGAAUUGGUGCCUAGGAUCAUCUGCCCUGCGCUCAAGAAAAAAAUCAAACCAAAUACUAGAAAAACAAAUAAUUUAGAUAAUUUGCUGCGUGAGCUGCGCUCAAAAUCUCAGAUAAUUUAGAUAUCUGAAUAGCUCUAGGCAAAAAAAGAUAAAUUUGGGGUUUGUAAAAAUGUUUGCUGUUCAUGUAUUAUUGGGUCCCAAUUAACUUUUUUGCUGAGAGUUGCUCAUAAGUCCAAUAACCUGAAAUUUGAAGGGCACCUCACGCGCUAAAUUAUCUACCAUGUAAAAAUCCGGGUUCAGAAGUGGAUAUCCGAAUCAUUUUUAGAUAGUCAAAGUGAACACAAUAAACCAUACACUCGCAUCCUUGUUAGGGUUCUGUGUUAUUUUUGAAUAUCGUCCAACCAAUGACCUAAAACAUUGGCAAUAUUAACGAGUGAAUACAAUUUAGACGCAAUCUAGAUGAAUGAUCACAUAGAAUGUGCAAGCUUACAUGAUAAAAGAGGUAAUUGAUUGUCUCAUGGUGAGAAAGCUAUACUUUUUGUUUCCUUGCAGUUGCAACGGAUGAGACUAUCUUAAAUUUUCAAAUUUUCUUGUUAUUAUAUACUAGAACAUCUGAAUACGUGAGUGCAAGUACAUAAAGUCGACUAUGCAGAAACCAGAUAUAAAAUACAUCCCGUCUUUAUGUCGGAAAUUUGCAAAGACACGCACGGCGAAGCCCAGCCCGAUCGCUCAAUUUCCUCGUUAUUUAUGAAGUAGUUGGAAAUCGCCCGAGGGCGUAGCAAAUUUUAAUUUCUAGUCUUUGAAAUAUACGAGUUUUUAUCUAAAACUUGCUGAAAGGACGUGGAUGUCUCCUAGAGGGGGAUGAAUAAGCGCUUUAAAAUAAUUAUUGUUUAGGCUUGAACAAAUGCGGAAUAAAACUAACAUUUAAUUAGUCAAGCACAAAAUCUAAAACAACUAGGCUCACCUAUGUGCACCAACAACUUAUGCUAAGCAAGAUAAACAACUAAGUGGUAGCAAGAUAUAUAUCAAGAAACAAUAUAGCUAUCACAAAGUAAAGUGCAUAAGUAGAGCACUCGGGUAAGAGAUAACCGAGGCACGCACAGACGUUUAUGUAUCCAGAAGUUCGCACCCUUGCGGAUGCUAAUCUCCGUUUGAAGAUGUGUCGAGGCACAAUGCCCCCAAGAAGCCAUUAGGACCACUGUAAUCUCCUCACGCCCUUGCACAAUGCAAGAUGUCGUGAUUCCACUAAGGGACCCUUGAGGAUGGUCACUGAACCCGUACAAACAAGGUUGGGGCAAUCUGCAUAACUUAAUUGAAGGCUCCCAACAACACCAUAAAGCUUCAUCAUAAUGGACUGUGGCUCCGCGAUGACCUCAAAUGCUCACGGCAAUCUUCACAACCUAAUUGGAGACCCCGACGCUUACCCGGAGCUUUACACCAUAAUUAUUGAGCUCCGAGGCACCACCAAGCUUCUAGGACGCCAAAGCACCCAAUAAGAACAAGCUCUAGGGUAACAAGCACCAAAGAGUAGUAAACUUCUGAGCUUUUCACUUCCACGUAUCAUCGUGGAGAACUCCAAGCAAUGCAACUAAUGCAAUGGCAAGAACACACGAAGUGGUCAAGUCCCUCACACUCAAGUUGCUCCACAACAACGAAAGCUAUGAAGGAAUAUGAGGGGGAGAACAAGGAGCUCACAAAGAACUCCAAGAUCUAAAUCCAAGGGGUUCCCCUCACAUAGAGGAGAAAGUGAUUUAUGGAAAUAUGGACCUAGAUCUCCUCUCUCUUUUUCCUCAAGAAGUAGCAAGAAUGAUUGGAGGGAUUGAGAGUUAGCAAGCUUGAGAAAGGUCAACAAUGGGGGAAGAACAUGAGGUGAAGAGUUGAAAACCAUUGGGUAAGAAGACCCCCUUAAAUAUGUCUUCUCAAAUCCAACUAUUAUGUGCACAGGCCGUGCACACGCGGUACUACUUCUUGGCUGAGCGGUACUUCCACUGGAGCGGUACUACCACUCGGACCACAUCGGUACUUCCGCUUAAAAAGAGCAACAACACCUCAUAAGCGAGAGAGGUGAAAUAAGCGGAAGAGGGGCCGACAGGGGUGGGCCGCAGUACCACCGGAGUGGUACUAUCACUGCCCGAACGAUACUUCCGCUUAAAAUAGGCAACGACACCCAAGAUGCCAUAAAGGAAAAAUAAGAGGAAGAUAGGCCGGCAGGGGAGGGCGGCAGUACCGCUUGGGUAGUACUACCGCUUUGCCCCGAGCGGUACUUCCGCUUGAGAGAGAAAACCUGCCCUUGUACUAAAACUGCCAUAACUUCUGCAUACGAGCUCCAAAUUGAGCAAACUCAAGCUUGUUGGAUAGCAAACGACAAGUUAUGAAAAUUCCAAUGAUAUAGAGAUGUGAAACCUCUAUGAACGAAGAACCGGCAAAAACUCCAACAUCGAAAACAUCACAGAAGAUGCGCAUGAACUCCGUUUUCGAUGAACUCGAGCUUGUCCUGAAGAUAACCAAAAGCUCAAGAACACACAUACGAAAAAACCAACCAAGAACCAAGAAAUAUGAUGAUGCCAAGAAUGCAAUGAUUUGAGAUCUAAACGAAUGAUACGAUCAAGUUACUCACUUGAGAGCCCCCUUGGUAGUACAACAAUCUAUCCUAUAACACGGUCUCGGAACUAACACACUGAGACCGGUAAAAGAGAAAACCUAUCAAGGACAAACCUUUGCAUUGCACAUAGUACACUUGAGCUACAUGAUGACAAUGUUGUCCUCCUCAAGAUGGACUACCUUUCCCGGUUGUGCCGGCUUGAUGAAGACUAGUAGAUUGCUCCACCAUACUCUACUAUGGGUGAGCCACUCUUCAGCACAUCUUCACAAGUCUAUUGCCACGACAAUGGACGGAAAGCUUCAAGCAUGAUCUCUUCAUGAUGCUCCACUUGAACUUGCACACUGCAAACUUCACGGGUUGAAUGAGAUCUUCCUCUUGACGCAGGCCCAUGGAAACACACAUAACCCCACAUAGAACUCUCACGAGACCAUGAGUUAGUACACAAGCGGAAUGGAUAAUGCUUACCAUAUCAUGGGAUCACUUGAUCCCACUCGGUACAUUUUGUACGCUUUGUGCGUUGAUCAACUUGAUUCACUCUUUGACUUAGUCUUGAUAAACCUUGUGUCUUUAUGACCAAUCUUUGGAUAAAACCUUGAAUGCCACCUUGGUCAUCAUAUAAACUCCUUGAAAUCAACAAAUGGAUUUUGAGAAGUGCCUAUGGACAAAUCCUUCGAAAAUAACUCAAGGCAACCAUUAGUCCAUAGGGAUUGUCAUCAAUCACCAAAACCACAUAUGUAGAAAUGUGCUCUAACACUUGCAUUUUCCCUUCUCUCUCUUACCAAGUUUCAUAGAUAAAAUUUUAAGAUAUCUUUUUGUCGGUUCUAGACAUAAAAAUCAUGAUUUUGACGUCACUCGUACUAAUUUCAAUAGUUGAAACUGAACAUUUUAUUCUGAAAAUCGUCUAAUUAUAUUCAAAAUGAAUCUUAUUUCAAAGCUCUCGCCACAGACAAACAUGAUCAUGAAAAUAGAACUUAAUUUAGGCCGUUCGCUCAAAAGAUAUAAAGUUUGAAAAUGGAAAACCACAAAAUAAAAGCACGCGCGAGGGACUCUAAGACUUGCGUGCCACAAUUCCCCUUCUCUGUUAUGUCCAUCUUUAUGAAUUGAAUUGAAUCAAAUGUUUUUGUUUGCUAUGCCAUAAGGGCAUCUCUAAUGACGGCUCAUAAAUCGUCCGCAUACGCCUAUGUCGCACUAUCCGGACCAUGGAAACCAUCCAACGCGGGCUUGUGUCAAUUCGUAGGGCGGUCCGGACGAACUUUCUCCCACAAACCGACACUAAAAAUGGGGGCUUUGCAGCAGUUCGGACACGUAAAAUGCCGCUUUCUGCCCCUGGCUCACCAAAAAGGAAGCCGAAGCCCCUGUUUUGUAGCAACCCGCAUGGUUUUUGCGCCAAAUUCCCCCAUUUUCUUCUUCCACCCCUGCCACUCUUCGUCCAAUUCUCACUAUUUUCUAUCACCCUCUCUAUCCUUCCAGCGUCGACGCACAAAGCUGUCAAAGAACCUGACAGAGAUGAAUGUGAUGGUGUCGGAGGAUCCAUGUAUCACGCUCGCCUCAAAGAUCAACUCGGCUAUGCUGCAGGAUUGCCGCGUCAAAGCGAUGGCCGCAAAGCAGGAGAAGAUCAAGAAGCGGUUGGCUGCUAGUGGGCCUGGUGAUAGUGUUGGGUGUGGCAGACGUGGUGGUCGUGGCGUACGUGGCGGACGUCGUCGUACGAGUGCGCCCACAGUACAAACGGUGGCGAGGCUAGAGCAUUACAAGCCUCCCGUACUACUACGCUGCCAAGUAGGUCAUAACAGUUCAAAUUGUUGAUGGAGGCGCCGGACAAGAAGCUCAAGCUCGAAGAGAGGUGACCCAUGAUCGAAGAUUGGAAGACUGCAAUCGAGGAAAAGAAGACGAAGAUCAGCGCCAAUUCCGAGGAUGCAAAUAUGUUAAACUUGAAAGUGGACUCUUUGGAUGUCCAUGCCAAAAAUGAUCAUGCAAUCCAUCUGCUACCAGAUGUUGGAGCGGCAGAAAGACCAGUUAGCAACGACGGAGAGUGUGGAUGUCAAGGAGUGUUAGAGCAUAUUUCUUCAUGUGUGGUUUUGAUAAUUGAUGACAAUCCCUGUGAAAUCAUGGUUGCCUUGAGUUUUAUAUGAAGGAUUUGUCCAUAGGCACUUAUUGAAGUCCAUCGGUUGGUUUCAAGGAGUUUAUAUGGUGACCAAGGUGGUAUUCAAUUUUAUCCAAAGAUUGGUCAUGUGAGAGUUGAGCUUAUUGCAAGAAUCUCAAGAAGAAGAAGAAGAUUGUGUGACCAUUCACGUUUACCUUCAAGACAUCAUCUUCAUGAAAAGAGAAGAUAAUAUACAAGGUUGAUCAAGACUAAGUCAAAGAGUGAAUCAAGUUGAUCAACACACAAAGCGUAUAAGAUGUACCGAGAGGGAUCAACUGAUCCCAUGGUAUGGUAAGCAUUUUUCAUUACGCUUUGUGUACUAACCCGUGGUCUACAUGCGAAUUCUAUGUGGGGUUAUGUAAGUUCCUAUGGGCUUGCGUCAAGAGGAAGAUCCCAUACAACCCAUGGAGGAUGACAUCAAGUGGUGAUCGUCAUCAAGAUUGCGACGUGCAAGUUCAGGUGGAGUAUCACAAAAAGAUCAUGUUUGAACCUUGUCGUCCAUUGUGGUGACAAUGGACUUGUGAAGACGUAUCGAAGAGUGGCUCACCCAUAGUGGAGUAUGGGAGCAAUCAACUAGUCUUCAUCGAGCCAACGCGAUCAAUAAAGAUGGUCCAUCUUGAGGAAGUCAAGAUCGUCAUCAUCUAGCUCAAGUGGGCUAUGUGCAAAGUAUAGGUUUUCCCUUGAUAGGUUUUCUAUUUUACCGGUCUCAUGGUAGUAGUUGGGAGACCGGGUUAUAGGAUCGAUUGUCGUACUAUCAAGGGGGGAUCUCAAGUGAGUAGCUUGAUCGUAUAGUUCAUUGAGAGCUCAAACCAUUUGCAUCAUUGCAUCAUAUUUCUUGGUACUUGUUUGGUGUUUCUCUUUGUGAGUUGCAGAGCUUAAUCUUCAUGACAAGCUAGAGUUCAUCAAAAACAGAGUCCAUAUGCAUCUUCUAUGAUGUUUUUUAUGUUGGAGUUUUUGUCGAUUCUGCAUUCAUAGAGGUUUUACAUCUCUAUAUCAUUAGCAUUUUCAUACUGCAUCUUCUUAACAUAUUGUCGUUGUUGGAUAGCUCUUGUCAUCCUGAAUCCAAUAAGCUUGAGUUUGCUCAAUUCGGAGCUCAUUUACAGAAGUUAUGGCAGUUCUGGUCUUACCUGUUUUCUUGAUAUGGUUGUACCACUUAUCCGAGCAGUUGUACCACUUGGCCGGUACGUCCAGUACAACUACCGCCCCAGGGGUGAUACCCCGAGGUUGCUGCUUUCAAGUUCGUGCGAGCGGUUGUACUUGUGCCUCUGGGUGCUUAUACCACUUGAGCUGGGCAUCCCUGGAGAGUAGCUUCACGAUGUUGUACCAGCCUAGUACCGCCCUACCACUGGACACAUCUCUGGUUUGAUAUUGUUCAUGGGCGGUGGUGGCUCGGUUGUUUUUGUUGUUUUUCAGCCGGUACUACCGCCUGCGCCACUGGUUGUACCACUCGGUAGGGUUUCUGCAUGGUACCCGUGAUUUUCAUUUGUACGGGUAUAUAUAGCAGUUGUACCGCUCCUAUGUUAUUCUGCACAUAACGGUCAAAUUCGUGGGGACCUAUAAAAGGAGGUCUUCUUUCCCAAUGGUCACUAUCCUUUGAGCUCAUGUUCAUCGUCCAUUGUUGACCUUCUUCGAGCUUGCUAACUCUCAAUCCCUCCAAUGAUUCUUACUAGUUCUUGAGGGAAAAGAGAGACGACAUCCAGAUCCAAUUUCAACCAAUCACUCUCUCCUCUAUGUGAGGGAAACCCCUUGGAUCUAGAUCUUAGAGUUCUUCGUGUUCUUCUUCGUUCUUCCUAUCAUUUUCUUCCAUAGUAUUAGUUGUUGUGGUGGGAUUUCAAAGAGAAGGACUUGGGCACUCGAGGUGCCCUUAUCAUUGCAUUUGGUGCAUAGGUUUGAGUUCUCCACGGUAAUACGUGGAAGUGAAGUUUGAGAAGCUUAUUACUCUUGGGUGCUUGGUACCCUAGAGCUUGUUUAUCUUGGGUGCUUUGGCGUCCUAAAUUUUUGGUGGUGCCUCGAAGCUCAAUCAUUAUGGUGUAAAGUUGUGGGCAAGCGUCGAGGUCUUUAAUUAGGUUGUGGAGAUCUUGCCCCGAGCAAUUUGUACGAGUACUUGCGACCGUCCCAAGGGUUGUCAAAGUGUACGGGUUCGGUGAUUGUCCUCAAGGAUUGCCAUUUGUACGGGUUUGGUGACCGCCCUCAAGGGUCCUUUAGUGAAAUGACGACAUCUUGCAUUACAUGAGGGCGUGAGAAGAUUACGAUGACCUUAGUGGCUUCUUGGAGAGCAUUGUGUCUCUACACCGCUUCAAACGGAGAUUAGCAUCCGCAAGGGUGUGAACUUCGGGAUACAUCGUCGUCUCUGCAUGCCUCGGUUAUCUCUUACCCGAACCCUUUACUUACGCACUUUACUUUCUGAUAGCCAUAUCGUUUCUUGUUAUAUAUCUUGAUAUCGCUUAGUUGUUUAUCUUGCUUAGCAUAAGUUGUUGAUGCACAUAGAUAAACCUAGUUGUUUUAAGUUUUGUGCUUGACUAGUUAAACUUUAGUUUUAUUCACAUUCGUUCAACCUAAAUCGUAAUUAUUUUAAAGCGCCUAUUUAUCAUCACCUUCUAGGCGACAUCCACGUCCUUUCAAGGAGAUUGACACCAUAUUGCAGUCUACGCAGCCGUGGCGGCAUAGAAGAGACUAGUUACUAUUUCCUUUUUUCGUUUUAUAAGCCUUAUCUUAACCUUUUUUUUAGAGGGCUCAUCUCCAUCUCACUUUAAGAUUCUGAGUCUAUUUAAAAAUAAUAAUAUUUAGAAGGUUCAUCUCCAUCUCAUUUUAAGAUUCCGAGGGACAUACAUGCAAGAAUUAGAAGAAAACACAUCAAUGCAUGUAAUGUUUCUAGUACUUAUCUAAUGCCCAAGCAUGCAUGCAUUAUAACUAAUCCAAAUUAAGGUCGUGUUUGGAAUCAUAAUAGAUUAUGAUAAUCUGGAUUGUAAAGAUAGAUUAUAUAAUCUGAUUUAUAAAAAUAUCUAGGUGGACAUGUUUAAAAGUCAUAUUAUAUAAACUAUAAUCCAUAUUUUACAUUGCAUAAUGACCUGUCUACUCUCUGUUUUUUAAAAGGAGAGAAUGGCGGUGACAAAAGUGUAAUUAUCUCCAACUUUACAAGGCUAAUGAAUCAUUAGCAAUCCAUAAUUUAAUUUUAGCUGGGAUAGAGUAGAUUGUGAGUUUUUAAUAAUCUGUCCAUCUAGUUUUUGUGAUUUACGCCAUAAUUUGUUCUGUUUAAAGACAUAAUAGAUUAUAAUAACUGAAUUAUAUAAUCUAGAUGGUUCCAAACAAGGCCUAAGACAUCAGUUUAUUUUCGAUAGUUUCUAAAGUACGAGAUACAUUCCUUCACUCACCAUAUGCAACUUCACUCAUCAUAUGCAUUAUUGAUGAAAUUUUAGAUUUAAGCCAUAUAAAUAAAGAAAGGAGGGAGUAAGAUUUUGAAUGCACUUAACACCUCAGCUAAGUACUCAUGCAUUAUGAAUAUUAGUUGUUAAUACUUUUCAUACAUUUUUUUAGAAUACCUUUUAAUGUACUUAACACCCCACCUCAUUGGAAGAGUCCUAGCACUCAUGCGUUAUUUUGUUAUGUUAUAUGGCAUAAGACGAGGGCGAGGCCAAUCACAUUUUCCUUUUCGAGGAGGAGAAGCUAAGCUAGCAAAGAUCACCAUUGUAACUUGAACAUGUCCUCGUCUAAUCGUUGCCAUUACGUGCUCCACUUGAGAGAAAAGAGUCAAUUAUUUGCACACCACGUAGUACAAGGGGAACCCAUCAUCAUAUCAUUCUCUCCAGUUGGGAGCACACAACACAAUCGAAGAGGGCAAAGAUACAUGCACGGCACAAAGCUAGCACACGCACCCACGUAACGUGCACGCGUGAACCGUCAAUCAUACACACAAACGGCACACUAGAUGAUUGAUUGGUUGAUUAGGUGGCGUGGUCCUUGAGGAUGUCGAGCGUGAGCUCGCCGGGGUCGGUGGCCUGCACGUCGAUCUGCGUGCCGUCCAGCUCCUUCUUGAACCCCUCGUUGGAGCUGGCGUAGACCAUCUUGCUCUUCACCUCCGCACUCGUCGGCGACCUUUCAUCAGAUAUAACCAACCAAUUACACCAACAACAUGUCAUCGUGCAUCCCACACAUUUGGUCACAUAGUCUGUAGAGGAGCACGAGUGCCUAUUUAAGAGAAACGUACCAGGAGAUGAAGAAGAUCUUGCUGCGGGGCGCCUCCCCGUCGGCGCCUUUGGCGGUGGCGUCGCCGACGGUGAAGUCGAGGUCGUAGACGGCGUAGCGGCAGUCGUCGGCGGGAGCGCCGCCGCGAGGUCGUCGAAGCCGGCGUCGCGGCCGCCCACCUUGUCCACCACCACCCGAUGCACGGCGUCGUCCAUCUUGUACACCACGAACCGGUGCGCGCGCCCCGCCCGCAGCUCCUGGAACGCCCUCACGCACUCCUCGCUCACCGCCACGCCCGACACCGCGUUCGCCUGCACGCAAAUCACCCCGAGUUAUCCACAAAUCCACGACGAAAAUACCCAAAGCACGAACGGAUCAAGAAUAAGAAUGCUAAGGAGAUCACAAAUAUGGAGUAACAUUUGCGUACCAUGCUGUGCCUGGAGGUUGGCUCGGGGAAGUCUAAAUCUUUGUGAUGAUGCUGCAACAAAGAACUGGUACGAGUAUUUCGCAGUGGAGUUCCGUUGUUAUUUCAGCGUGGUGUCGCCUGGUGCUUAAAUAAGAUGAUCAGGUGUACACGUGUGGGCUCUGGGGUGUCGCUCUCCGUCGGCCCGACUGUUCUGGACGUGGCGAUGUGGCAGCGGGAAGAAGAAGAAGAAGAAUUGGAGUGACUCACGCCGGAGAAUCGAAGCUUGGAAAGUCGUCUGGAGGGGGGAUGGUGGCCAGUUCCGCUUGCGUGGUCGGUCUGUAGAUCGAGGGUCAGGGCGUGCCUUUUCCAUUUGAAAUUGUAGCUUCAUUCGCGAAGAUCAGCUCAGCAGUUCGAUUGUGCUUCCGCGGUGACGUGCACAUUUCGGUUGGUACGCCUGUCAAUCACCGUGGAAGCUUCCUUUGCGUGUAUACUCACAUGAGUAGAAAUAGGAUUGAUCUGCGAAUUCCCGCCGUGCCGUUCAAGCUGACCGGUCCAGUAAACAGAAACAACCCGGGGGUCUCAAAUGGGUCUUCAACCCCUCGUAUUUAAACCAAAUAUGAGAUGGAUAUAUCCAAAACCCAAACACGUCUGUUAUGGGACUCGACAUGCCUACCUCACCACAAGUUACAUCAAAUUCAUCAAACCCUUCUCCCUAUAUCCGCCUCCCUUUUCUAUAUUUCCCACAUCCGAGCCUUCGUCCUCCGCCACCUUGCUCUCCAUCCUCGUCGCCGAUCGCGAUUGAAAUGCCGUCCAGCCCAUCCCCGACCAACGCCGCGUCCGUCUCCUUCACCGGCGUCCCGUCAUCGGCGUUGUCCUGCAAGCCGGAGAACGUCGUUCGAAGGGACCGUCGAUGGAGGCAACGAGACAGGGAAGUGUUGGCAUCACAGGGAGAAGAUGCAGACAUGGAGGAGUCGAUGCCCCCGCCCUGUGACGCCCGGGACCCCGUACCCCAUCCAUCCAGCCGUCGACAAGGAUCGCACCGUCGGACCUAGUUGGGACAGAGGAGGAUCCAACGGCUGGUUGGUGCAUUCCGAAGAGUUUUUGACCCACACAGAUGUCGGUGGUGGAUGUCUCUCAAUCACUGCAGAUGGUUCGUGCGCGGACAAGCAAGGCACCGGCGCCGCCCGGGUUGCCGACGACGUGUUAGACGGAAUGACAUAACAAGACUCGGUGUGUUCAUGUUGCUCUUGUCCGAUUAACUUUGCAUAUGCCAUGUUCAAUGUUUUGCAUAUACCCGUAGUUCAUUUCGGAGUUGAUGGAUGUUUGAUAAUUUAGGAGUUGAUCAUGUCGGGCAUGAUCAAUGAGAAUCAUGAUCCGGUCCGAAUGGAGUGCAAAUUGGGGGAUGAAACCGGUCCUACAAUUACAACAUCAAAUCCCAAUCUGAGCAAGAAGAGAAGAAGGCAAAGAUGACAAAGGCUAUAGGCCUGGCAUUAUCAACUUUUGAGAAUAUUUUGUUGGUCAAAUCUUGGUUGGUCACAACAAUGAUUCCAAUAUGCGGCAGGGAGCAAAAGGGGAACAAGUAUUGAGAGAAGAUUUGGAAAGAAUAUCAUAAACAAAAGCAACAUGUGGAGCAGUAUACUCCUAUCGUCACCAACCACAUUGUAGCGUCUCUCCAUCAUCGAUGGGGGACCAUUCAAUUGGAAGUGAACGAGUACGUUGGCUACUAUUCACAAGUCCUUGGCCACCCUCAAAGUGGGAUGGAAGUGGCAACACACGUAAGAUAUUUGACUUCACCUUGUUAUCAUUUGCAUAUGCAUGUUUUUGUUACAUUCUCAUUCCCAUGCAUAUUUUGUUUGCUAGAUUGCGGUGGGGGGCACUAUGUAUCACGAGACGGAGAAGAAGCCAUUUCGUUUUAGCCAUUGUUAGAUGAUAUUGAAUGGCAAACCAAAGUGGACACAACUUCUUGCCGAUCUCAAGGCCGAUAAGAAAAGUAAUGAUGGCUCAAACUCCCACCAAUUAAUUGGGUUGGAUGACAAAGUGGAAGAUGUUGUAGUGGAGAAUGGAAGAGCCACCGUGCCAAAAGAUUACCGGCGAGCUAUGAGAAACAAGUGGGAGAGGGCAAGGGCCUCCCGUGACGCCGCGGCUAAAAAAAUGUCCUCCACAUGAAUGGACAUUUUUUUGGUGAGGAGAACAAAAAAAGAUAGAUACAAGCUCAUGCUGUAUACACGAAAGAUGAGGAUGUAUUGGGGUCAGAAGAGCGUGGAGAAGAAGUUUAAUUGAGAGGGAGAAGAUCGAGUUGGAGAAGCAUUGGGCGACGAUCAAAUGGGAGCUCAAGAAGGCCAUGACAUUUAUAGAGAUUGAGCUUGAGAAGGAGAGGUUACAAAUUGCACGGAACGCGGAGGAUGCGAAGACCAUGUUGACGGACAAAAGCCUCUUGGAUGAGCAAGCAAAGAAGUGGCUUGAAGACAAGAAGAAGAAGAAGAUCAAUGACCGUAGGGAGUAUGAUGCGACAAGGCCAGCUAAGGCAACAACGGCGCAUGCGGAGAGGAUGCAGGAGGAGAUGCAGUCUGGAUGCAGGCAGAGCAGGACACAAUGAUGGCCUUACACAAGGUGACAUGGAUGUCAUCUAACGAGUGAUCCGGCCAGCCAACGAGCGACUGAUCGAACAUUGAUUUUAGUUUGGCAUGUCCAGAUUGUUUUUGAACCAUUGAUUUUGGAUAAUUUGUGUCGUAUGGUCGACGUGUGUGGAUUGCAUGGACUUGAGGUUCGCGCAUUUGAGGUGUGUGAAUGUGCGACAACCGAUAUAAGGGGUCGACCAACGUUGUCCGCGGACACGUCUUGUCACGAUCACGGGCGUAUAGGGGACAGGAUUUGCAACUCUGGUUAUAGAUGCUCUUAAGCUUUUUAUUUCUAAAUUUAUGCAAAAACCAUGACCUAAGUUUAAAAGAAACCCCACAUCUGAGGGAUGAAUGAAGAAAAAAAAGUUUAAGGACGUGUUCGGAACUCCUCCAACUUCUAACUCCAAUAACUUCACAGAUGAUUUGGUCCCGAAAGUUUGGGCUCCAACAAGCUAACUUCUUGAAGUUGAGCCCAACUGAAGUGCAACAAUGUGGAGAAGGGUUGGCCCAGCUCCACAAAUUGAAGAAUAUAGAGUUUGAAUAAUUUACAUCGAUAUGCCACCAUCAAACGUACCAUUUCUACCCCCCCCCCCCCCCCUCGAGAAAAAGAACCUAACGCUACAAAGAUCGACCCCCCUUGAAUCGAUAUCACCUUCCCCUCAAAUUGAUGCACUGGAUGACCCAAAUCGGGCUUCCUCCAGCCAGGAAGUCUACGCUAAACAAGCCACAACCCUCUCAACUGGGUUGCAAAGUUAGGAGAAGUUGCUGAUGCAUCCAAACAGAUCUGAAUCGCUACGUGGAGUUAGAAGCUACUAAAGACUUGUUUGGGACUGCUCCAGUUCAUAAAAUUCAGUUCUGCUCCACCAAAUCCACUUUGGAGUAGUCUGAGAUGUAAAUUUUAACUCUUUUAAGAGAGUGUUUGGCUUUUAUCUAGCUCCAGCUUUAAGAAUGAGAAAUUUGAUGAAAAGGAUAUAUCUGAUUGGACGAGUGGGGAGAAACGAAAGGGUAUCCGCUUACUCGUGGUAGUGGUGGGUAAUUUCCUUCCAACCCUAUCUUCUACAUUUUUUGAAGCACCUCCUAAAGAGCUUCACAAAAACCAUGGAGUUGUACCCGAGAUUCUAGUUUUUUUACGGAGCGGCAUGUCGUGGAGCUACCUCGUUUAGCUUGCAUUUUCUCGAGGGGAGCUGAAUUUUAUGAAGCGGAGUAGAGCUUGAUAUGUGACGUUUUGUGAAAAUAAAUGAGAUCCAAACACGCCCUAAGAGUCUUGCUCUGUCGCACGUUGAAGCGGCGCGCCAACGGCAGGAGCCGCUGCUGAGUGGACUUCAGUACGAGCUGAAAGGAUGUUGAGUGAACCAAAAGCGAGUAAAUUGCUCAAACCCACGAUUUUUGUGGCUAAGGUAAUGGAAUGCCAUCAUUUUUUCCAAAAAUCACAAAAGAAUGACCACCUCCAUGACAAGCGAGUAGCAAAUCACACUAAUUCAAAUUUUAGGUGUGUUUAACAGUGGAACUGGAGGGUAGGGCCCGUUUGUCGGGUUGUGCGAAGAGCAGUCCUAAUCAAUGCUUUAACCUGCUGAGGUGGACGGUGUCCCACUUGUCAGCAACAUGUUUUAUUUCCCCAUCUUCUCCUUCUUCAUCCCCCCGUGAUCUGCUUUGACGAGCCUAGCCUAGCCUGCGAACUCCGCCGACGAUAGGGCACUCAUGAUGACAUGGUCGGCGCGGCAAACAAGGGAAACCACCAACAUGCAAGCAUCUUGAUAGGGAGCUCGCUCUAGGCACGGGCGAUCUCACAUCGUCGUCGCCAUCGCCGAUGGAUCCACGUGCCUCUUUAGCAACCGCCAGUGAAAACAAGCACUUAUCUCGGCACAAGAAGCAGAAACACAUGCAACAGCGACAAAAGCAGCAUCAAGUGGCGGUGUAAGUAGCAGCAAGCGGCGAGGAAUCAAAAGCAAAGUGCAACGGAAACAGCAGCAAGCGGCGACAAAAUCAAGAGCAAAGGGCGGCAUACCAUGAACGACUUAACGGGCGUGGCCGACCUUGAAAGGAGUUUCUUUUACCCUGAAAAAUGUUAAAUGUGUAUAGAUUUUCUUUUACCAUGUAUAUAUAGAAUGAUAGUUUCUUUAUCAUGUAUAUAAAAAAUGCAAAUCAAGAAUUUAAAAAAACAUUGAAGAAGUAUUUGAAAAAUAUUAAUCAAGUAUUUGGAAAAUAUUAAACGUGUAUAGAAAAAUGUUGAUCAUGUGUUAAAAACAUGUUAAUCUUGUAACUGAAAAAUGUUAAUUUAUUUUAAAGUGGGUAAGUAAAAAAUGUUGUCCAUGUAUUCAGAGAAUGUUAACCUUGUAUUUUCAUUUUUGUUAAGCAAGCAUUUGAAAAAUGUUAAAUAAUGUGUAUAUAAAAAAUGUUGACUAUCUAUUAAAAAAUAUUAAAUUUGUAUUGUAAAAAUGUUAAACAUAUAUUAUAUAAAUAUUUUUGGCAUAUAUGAAAAAGUAGAGUGAAAAAGAAGACAAACAUACGAAAAACAAAAGGAAAAUAAGAAAUGGAGAAGGAAAAAAACAAAAAAUGAAGAAGAAAAAUGUAAAACCAAACAAAAAACAAAACAAAAUCUGUCAAAAAACAGAAAAAAAACGUGAAAACCAAUGGAAAACCCGCCUUUAUUGAAUUCAAGUACAGAACCGCUUGCCUAGUGCUUCUUACGUGCAAGACACGGGCUCGGUGGCUAGCACAGCGAGUCGUCUCCCAACUCCCAGGAUCCCCGCUUCUCUUAUUUUUAUUCCAAUUUUCAUUUAACUAUGCACAAAAAUGGACAGACUCAAUUACUACAGUCUCGCUUAAUGCAAGAAAUAGUCGGCUCGCCAAGUACUGACUGAAGCAGAGUGCGUGCAGGCUCCAGCAAGAAGAAGUCAAGGUCCGCAAGGAAGCCCAAACUGGGUCCAGAUAAAUAGCUGCGGCGCGUUUGGUUGCUUUCUGGCUGCAGCCUCGCUCGCCAGUGGAGCACGGCUCGAUGGGUGAGGAAAUACUUCCUCCGUUCCUAAAUAUAAGUCUUUCUACAGAUUUUACUAGUGAAUUACAUACGGAUGUAUAUAGACAUGUUAUAACUUAUAGAUUCACUCAUUUUACUCCGUAUGUAGACCACUAGUGAAAUUUCUUAAAAGACUUAUAUUUAGAAACGGAGGAAGUACAUGCGAAAAACUAAACAUCUGCAUAUUAUUUGAUCGCUCGCAUCUAGUCCUCUUACAUUAGGGAAGCAAUUUUGGCAUAACAUUUGGUGUCCUGUAUUAGUUCGGUUCAUGCAAUUACAUGAUGUUUGGUUGUAUACAUGGAAUAUGAUUAUGAGCUAACCCUUACACUUAACACAUAUAUUUGUAUCGUGCCUCACGACUACGGUGGACGGUGACCGCGACGUCGCGUCCGACACGAUGAGCAUGGAGUCUUCGGUGAGCGUUCUUGUUGACGCCGCGGCAAACUAGUUGCUAGCGUUGUUGUCGUAGAGAAAGUCCGUGCGGAGGAGCGCUGAGGCACAGGACGGGGGAGGAGAAAUGCAGUGCGUGUCGGACCAUGACGACUGUCAUGGAUGAUGGUCGUGGCGUCACGUCUGACACGACGAGCAUCGAGUCGUGGGUGAGCGACCCUGUCGGCAGCGUGACAUACUAGUUGCUAGCAUUGUUAUCCGCACGGAGACAGAGGACAAAGGAGUAGAAAUGCACGGCGCACGUCAUGGCAACGUCAAUGUAGUAGGACAAGAGAGAGGAGGCUGAGAUGAACAAUGCAGAAACGACUCCAGUAUAGUAGGACCUGGGGAAGGAGGUCAAGAGAAACAACGUCGGCAUCGACAUAGAAGAAUAUGAGGGCUCUGAGGCCGAGGACAGAGUUGAAGAAAUAUAGUUGUGUGCCAUGUCGGCGUCAGUGCAGUAGGAUCCUGGAUAUAAGGUCAAGAUGAACGACGGUGACGAUGACGCAACUACAGCGAGAAGCGAGAGAGGAGCUUGAGAGAAAUCACGUCGGCCUAGAGUAAUGAUUAAGUGUCUUUAAUGAUGAGCUGAUUAAGUGUCUUAAGUCACAACGCACAUAUGCAUAUGUACAAUCACAAGGAAAAUGUAGAUUUUCUCAUUUACGAUCGUCAAAAUAGAAAAUUUGCAACACGAAUGUGGUGUGGAACUGUAAGAUUAGGCUAUUGGUCAAAUGAAAUUCUAAAUGGUCGAUCGUGCGCGAUGAAUUUGACAAAAUUCGUUCAAAACAGCUUCAAACGUGAACACAAAAUUAAGCGUCUACGGUCAAGGAAACUACGUACCGAUCGUAAAAAAAUAUAACCGUAGCAUCGAUGUGCAUCUUUUGCGUGUGGAGUUUAUCUCGAAUACAAGCAUCGUUGUGUAGAUUAAAAAUGAGAAGGAAGAAAGUAGUUUAGUGCAGGUAGAAGAAGACAGGCCUAGAGGUACUUUUAAGUUUCAUGCUAUGUAGACCCAACAGUGAAUACAGAAAACCGAAUAACCGCAUCUCUCGAGCCUUCUCUCUUGCAAGGGUUUCAUCUAUGUAUCUGAGUGUUUCCAGCGAGACAAGGCUUAGUGGUACUUUGAGUUCCGUGCUAUGCAUACAAACACAGGGAACGGGCUACCAAACAUGUCCUGGGUGUCUCUGAAGCUACGGGCUAACCAUGUUUGAACUUUAGAAAAAAAAAUCAAAAAUACAAGUAUACAACCAUUUGCAGCACACCUGUUUGAAACAGGGAUACCCAUCCGCAAAGGCGGCCGUUGUUCCUCCAAGCGUGAAUACAUUUUAGUGAAUAGGCUUUCGUCCCUGAAAACAACCUCCUGCAAAAAUGUAGAAAAAGGUUAUGUACCGUAGAUCGAAAGCGGUCAGACACUUUUAGUGCACCGGGGCUCCUCUCUUUUAGGCUUUUACCACGUUUUAUACAUAAAGCCAACACCACGAAAACCAGGCACAGAGCAGUACAAAUAACAGCAACAAAGAUAGCACGAAGUCUGCUGGGAGGCACCAGCUCAACAAUAAGCCCACACACAAGUGUGAAUACUUCAUUCGAUGCAUUUACAUCCCUGAUGUGAACAGAGAGGCAGAGGGCUAUUCCAUUGUACAAUCUCUCUGUCAGAAUCAAAUUGAUGAACUCUCGAUGGUAGGACGACUCAGCAAAACAUCUACAUAAUAUUACCUGUAUGGCUGGAUUUGUUUACUUUGUUCUUGACAUUGUGUGCAGACCUUUGAAAAGUUAACAGAAGAAUUUGCUCGUAACUUGCUUAUCCGGACAUCGUUGAUCAUCAUAAAGAAGCUGCGUCAUCUCAAUGUCCUCACUACCGGCCGCCACGCCCCAUAGGAGAAGCCCGCGCAUUUGGCCGCCCGGUGGCCACACCUCGCGACGGUCGUGCAGCACACACAUCAUCGAUCAGUGAAUGUUUGCAACAGGUUUGCACUGCAGACAGUAGAAAAAGGACAGGCUAAUUUCAUUAUAUCUGGCAGUACAAGUUGAAGACCAGUAGGCGGGAGGAAAUGGAAACAAAACUAACCGAGUUCCAUGCGGCUGAUUCAGCGCAUCAGGAUCUUGGCCGUGCACAAGCAAAGAUGCCCCCCAUGAUGGAGGCGGUGAAUUUUCUCCCAAUAGGUUUGGUCCGAUUUGCAAUUUCCACUGUUGCUUGGCACGGCGGAGAGUCUCUAGGCGAGGAGUUAGCAUGGUGGAUAAACAAAACGUUGGGCCUAUUAGGAUGGUUCAUUGCAGCUGUUUGCCAUCCAUCCUUUAUCAUCUCUUCUACUCCAGAAUGGAGCGCGACUUCUUUUAGCCUUUUCAUGUGUGUGAUGUCGACGCCAGGAAGAUUACCUAGAGCUUCACAAAGUAUGUGAAGUGACACAAGGUAGGGCAUAGCUUCAUCUUGGAUUGUUAUGUCCUGCAUCCUUUGCUCGCCCACAAGGCAUAACCCCUUCAGGCUUCUGAAAUGUUCUGGUUUUAUGACCAAGUGCUCAAGCUUAUCUUCUACCAGCUUCAGAUAUUUCAGUGUCAUCCUUAGUUCAGACAGGCCAUCUAGGAUUGUGUCCCCGCUCAGAUUAGUUCUUGAGAGGCACAACUCCUCAAUGUAGUUCAGCUUUGCCUGGAACUGAGGGAGCUGCGUCAGCUUGCCUCUCAACUUGAGCGAGGUAAGACGGCCUGUAGCUUGCAGAGAAUCCAUGAAUCGUUCUGAGCAUUCUGUUGGGCAUCCUUGGAAGUCCAUAGACAAGGAACGGUCAACUCGUGUCAUAUCCAGGCCUUCGCGAAUGAAUUUCUUCAUGGCUCCUAACACAUGAUCCAGUUUCGUCACAUCUGCACUUGAAUCACACCAUAUUUUCACCUUCCUCAACUUCACCAUGCGUCCCAUCAGCUGGGCAAACCCUUCGCUUUUGUCGGUGACAAAUCCGGAAAGCCUCUGCAGUUCACUAUCUUCUGACAAGAGCUUCUCUAGCUUCUUCUGUGUGCAGUCACCUUCAAGUAGCUGAAGCUUUCCAAGGAGGUGUUUCAACCCGGGAAGGUGGAGGACUUCAAUUGGCAACAUUACUACCUGGGUUCUCCUCAUGUCUAGAGUCUCUAACCAUUUUAGCUUCACUAUUUUCCUUGGAACCUUGUCAAUACUGUCUCCGAGGCUCAGAUAUUUGAGCAGCAACAGGUCACAGAUUUUCCCUACAUGUUCUGCUUUCACAUCAGCACAUUCUUUGAGAUCCAAAACCCGCAGUAGCUUAUACUCGGCAUAAUUCAAAUUAGCUUGAUGCCUGGUGAUAUUUGUAUCAUCAGGGAAUACUGCCAGAGUAUGGAGACGAGAUAACUGUUUUGGCAAAUCCAGUGGCCCAUUUGCCGCACCAUUAAGAUGGAGGGAAAGCCGGCGAAUCUCUUUGCCUGGCAGAUUCUUCUCUGUUGUCUGGCCGCCACACAACAUGGUGAUGAAAUUCUGUGACUUGGAUUUGCUGGAAAUGGAGUUGAGCAUUAUCCCAGAAGUUUGGCAUUUCUUCACAUUUCCAUAGGUCCUCACUUGGAUCGGCUGAAUGAUGUUGCGGCUGAUGAGGCUCUCCAAAUUCUUGACCGCAACAUCCUGGGAAAAAAUCUCUGUUUCAGGCUGAGGAAACACAAGUCCUUCAGCCAGCCAUCGCCUUAUCAGGGGAUUCCUCCUGACAGGAUGAUCACGUGGGAACAUGCAGAAAUACAGCAAUAAGUCCUGGACAACGGGGCUGGAUAGGAUCUCUUUGCUGCUGCGGCGCAUUCUUGCCAGAGUGUCAUCACGAAGAUGGAGGCAGGAUUCCACAAAUCCACUCUCUGUCAGCUCCCCAAUGAAAACUUGGCUUGUGCUAUCCAUAGCAAGUGAUGAACCGUUGCCACAUUUGCAGCAUGUCGCUGCUGGUAGUUGAAUGGUCGUCGUCAUGAUAAUUCUGCCGUCCAUUCCAUCAGCCCAAGAGAACGCAGAUAGUACGUCGUACAACUCGUGUGUAUUCACGCCAUCAAUCACAAUUAAAUACCUACAAGAUAUUAAUGAAUGAAUCAGUUGAGGAUUAUUUUUUCUAGAAUACGCACAAGCAUGCGUAUCAUAUAUUGAUAGAAGAAGAGGCAAAGAAGCCGGAUACAAGCCUUUCGGCCAUUACAACGCCAAUCACAAAAGGAUCAACGCCAUAUGGCUGCAUGCAUCGAUUGAUGCAGAGGCCGGGGGUUUAACCUCCUUUUCUAAAAAAAAAACAUCCACAAUCAGUUGAGAAAAUAAAAAUCAUGAUUUUGACUUUUGGUUGCAGGCUUGCAGCUAUCAAUGUUUGCUUGCAAUCCUACUAGUCCAUACCAAUCACAGGUUACUGAAAAUUUGAAAUGCUGGCACCAAUUAAGUUCUCUGUGUGCUACUCGAGAACUUCGUUGAGUCAGCAUACUCAAGAUUGCAUUCAUUGGGAUAUCCUUCAACAAGUUUAACCUACAGUCCUAGACCACAUUCCAUCAAUCUAUUUUUAUCAGAAUCGACGUAAUUAUGUUUUAGAGAUUAAAUUUUCCUCACUCCGCAGUUCCGCUUUGUUGCUACGAUGAACCAGUUGAGGUCUACAGGUUAUCUACAAGCUCUUCAAAACAUAUUUGCCCUCUGCAGUAGCUCUAUCUAUUUUUAGCAUUUCAUUUUCUCACAAGAGGAUAUUCAGGGGCUUUUGCCCUACAGUCACAAAAAGAGAGGAUAUUCCAACUGAAUCAUGUUUUCAACAAGUUUACAACAAUAACACCGUUAAAAGCAGCACUGGAAUGCUGGCUAUGGCACAAAUUAAUAGGCGAUAAUAUAUUUUUCAUGAAGGGGUCUACUUUCUUAUAUGUGAAUAAUACCAAUUUUUGUGAUAACAUUGAUGUUAUGAAACAACAAAAUGAUGAUCAAGUCCAUGGCAUAGUACAACAAAUAUAAUUGCAGUAGAUUUAGAUAAGGGAACAAUAACAAAAAGAAAGAUGAACUGCAGAUUACAAGGUUCCCGUGAAUGAAUGUGCGCAAAUAGGGGGUGCGACUUAUAGAUCAAAACAAGCUAUGAAAAGACACAAUUUUUUCAUGUCCAACCAUCAUUCUUAUAUAUAAUUGCAAUAUAAGCUGAUGUGGCAUUUUUUACAAAAUGAAUAGCCCCGUCAACAUUUUGAUUUGUAGAGAAGACGCAACAAUGAAUGAUUAGAGAACAAUGAUAUACUACUGAAUAAUUUAUAUAAGGGCAUUUGUGUUCACCACAUCGCACUCAAGAUUGUUUUACGCAAUCUGGCACUAAUUGGCCUUUUAUCUUAUUAUUAUUGCAAAUAUAAUGGAUAAAUGCAAUAGAAAGCACCAUCUUAUCAUGACUACAUGUUAUCUUCCACUGUAUAUUUCAUUUAUAUUAUUAAGAACCUACUAAAUUUCCCCGCAGCAAUGGGCCGAUACUAGUUAAGGCAGAGGCUGUAUAAUCACCUUCCAGUCUUGAGUAGUCCGGCGAGCGGGUGGUCACUCACAGCAUGUUGGGCGUUUCCGUUGAUUUGUGGUAUGAUUUUGGAGUUGGAGGCAGUCUCACCAUGAUCCUUGGUAAUACUGAUUAACAUCAGUUGGUCAUGUAUUUUCUGAAGAAGCUUGAGCACACUCAUGCCCGGUGCUGCACGAACCCAGGCGUGCAGAGGGAACUGGCUGCGCACAUCCCUGUCACUGUAAACCUUGUGGGCAAGGCGAGUCAUACCUACUCCACUGAAGCCGGCGACGGAGAUGACCUUGAGAUUCCCCUCCGGUUGGCUCCGCGCAAGCAGGCCAAGAAGUUGCUCUUCCGGAUCCUGAUCAGUGCCACCAGGUGCAGAGGGGGGGUCAGGUGCCGGUGCGGCGGCGCCCGCGAUGCUGAUGCAGUUCUGUAGCUGCUCGAGAGUCUCCUUGGACCUCUUCUUCAGUUUGCAGAUCUUCCCAACGAAACUGAUUCUGCUCAUCUUCCCGACCUGGAAGCGGUCGAUGCAGUCUUCCAUGUCGUCCGCCAAGCGCCUGAGAUCACGGACCCAGAGGUCCGUGAUGGAUCUGCUGCCAUUCGAGCGGCCAAUGAUUUCUUGGAUCGACUGCAGGUCGCGCCGGAUGAAUCCGGCGUCUACCUCCAGGCUGUCCAGCUGCUUCCGUUUCCCAUCUAUCACCGAUAGGAGCUUUGGCAAGAGCUUCACUAUCGGCCCGACGACCACCGCAACCUCCAUCUCCCUGCUUGGAGGUUGAUCUCCUCGCUAUCUCCCAAGCUCGGAGCUGGUCAACAGUCUCUCUCCUCAUAAGGCACCUCUAGCCGAACGCCCCAACCCCUAUCUAUAAGAGCAACUCUAGCACACCCCGCAUCCCGUCCCGGUCCGAAAAAUAGCCGUCAAAAUACGGGUCGAGACGAAAAACCUGUCCGAUCAGAUCCCGCAUUCCGCCCCGACCCUAGAUAUUUUUGCGGGGCACGGCAAAAUCUCAGCCCCAACCCGCGUAUUCGCGGAUUUCCACCUCGCCGCUGCGGUGCCAUGCAUAUGAGCGAAAGCGGUUGAUGGGGGCAUUUCAGCCCGCGCUUUCCUCCACCAAAACAUAUUUCACGAAUAUGCUCUUUUACGAGGUCUGCAUCCGCAUCCGUAUGCGUCGGCCCGCACAGACGUUUUUACGCGAACUGUAAACACGUUUUAUGGGCCGGACGAAUGCGGGGUCUGCUAAAGUUGCUCUAAGACUAUAACUACUCGAAUGCUUUGCCUCAAAAAUAAUAAUUCCUCUGUCCCAAAAUACUAUCUUAAUAUUAAAUUUGCAAUAUUUAUUUUAACACAGAUUUACAAUAAUUAUUUUAAAACGAAAGAAAUAAUUAAAAAACUACUCGAAUGCUCUCCUAAAGCUUAAUUCCUCGAAAGUCAAAACUAAAACUAAGGAGUUAAGAAAGUGACUAGGCUUUAAAAUAGCUAACUUUCAAACCUUAUAAUAGCUAAUUUUCAGAAUAAUAUUCCCUGCUAUCCAAAUUAAAUGACACGGCUUUAGUAUAACUUUUCAAUUGGAGGGAGUGAUAUUAAAUGUUUUUUCAUCUUUUAUCACAUAAAUUUGUUAAAACAAUAACGUCCGCAGAUAUGACAUCUCUAUACUUCGUUAACACGUCUUAAUCUCUGUUUAUUCUGGUUUGGACGGAUCUUGACGAUUUUUUACGAAAUUGAAGUGUCAUAUAGGCCUACUAUGAUGUGUGGAGAUUAGAGCGCUUGUCCAUACGCGGUUUCCAGCUUCGCCGUGUGGGUGAACCGGUUCUCGCACCGGUUCUCGCUCACACGGACACCAUUCAGUUCAUGCCGUGUGGGUGAACUGCUACUCGCUUGCACGACGCUCGUACGGUGAAAGAUGGCAACUACAAUUUGUGUAUAUGUGACAACUAGCUAAUCACACAUGACAACUAUGGUUGAUCAUGCAUGACAAUUAUGGUUGGACAACACGUAACAACUAGUUAAUCACACAUGACAACUAUGAUUUGAUCACACAUGACAACUAUGGUUGGCAUACAUGACAUCUAUGGUUUGAUCAUGCGUGACAACUACCGUUAAUUAAACAUGUCAACUGUUGUUAACAAAAACAAAGAAAUUGCAAUGCUUUAAAACUAAAGUUGCCAUCCCUGGGUAACUAACGUUGCCAUCAAAAUGUCAGGGCAGAAUUGACUCUUUCCACACGUGCGAGGUGGGAAUAAGUAAUUUUUCUUAGGCGUGUAGCACGAAGUAGUUGCGUCCGGAUAUGUGGGCAGUUUUAUUGUUCACCCACACAGAAUCAUAUGACUUGUCUCUAGGAUAUGUCACACAGGAUUGUGUGGUUGGGUGUCUAAUAUGUCACAUGUGUGUUGAACAUCGCGAUCCUAAAUUUAAGGAACUACACGAUAUUUUAUCAAUUAUUCGAAUAGUUUAAAUUGGUCAUAUGCAGCCAUUCAACUACCAAAAAAUGUAUAAUUCAUCUCGCACAAUUCUAAUUAUAUACUCUCACCUCUCACGUGAAAAGAAGAUGUAAGAACAAUAAUCCACUUUGGUGUCUAGGCUCGUAUGAGCCUUGAACAGUAACAUGAUUAAAAAUAAAAAGUAAUCUAAAACAAUACAUUUUUUACAAGCAAGAUGCACAUGUGCAUGUUGUUUGUGCAAAAUUUCAUGAAGUGUGGACAUUCAAGGAGGACCCGAUAUUUGUGUUUUUACCAUGAUCUCCUCGAACGUCCAAACAAUAUGAAAUUUUACACAAAGAUCAUGCUUUGAACAUCUUGCAUCAGUUUUUUUGGGAAAUGUUUUUUCUAUUUUUUACGGCUUUACUGUUCAUGAUUGGGAUCAUCUAAGCCCGGGCACCAAAACGCUGAACCCAGGUAAGAGGGACCAUGUUAGAAGUUAAAAAGAUAAGAGCACUCACUCGAGUAGGGCAUUUUGAAGACGGGCUUCAUAAAGACCUUUAUUUUUAAAAUGUUCAAAUUCAAAAUUUUCACUUUAAAAAGUUAUGUAAACAAAUACACAUGCAUGCGAUGAUGUAAUGUGUAUGUGUGAAAAAAUUUAGGAUGAAGUACCUUCAAUUGCGAGUUGCACAAAAAAAACCAUAGACUUUGAAGAUGGAUAGUACGUAUGCUAAAAAGGCACAAAUUUGUCUUUUUGCGUAGCUCCCCUUUUUAACUCAUUUUAAAUUAAAAAUUUGCACACAUGUACAUUACUCCCUCCGUUCAGUUAUGUAAGGUGUAUUUUUUAGCACAAUCACCAAUGCACGAAAUUAUACACCUUAUAUAAAGAAAAUGGGGGAGGGGUAUGUAUCUAGGUAUAUGUGUAAAAAAUACUUUUUAAAACUGAAAAGUUUGCAUUUUGAAGUUUUUAAAUUAAGGCCUCCAUGGAGCUCGGUCUCCGUUUGGCUUUUUCGUACUUAGACCCACUACUUAAUAAAAUCAACGGCUCAGAUCUAUUGCAUACUCUUACCUCUUAUGUGAAUAAAUGAGGUAAGAAAAUAAGGUAAGAGGGACCUUGUUAAAUCUGCUAUUCCAAUUAAAAAUUGCAUAUACUUCAUCCAAAAGUCACCAAAUUGAUCAAGUUUAUCCUGAAAAUUACCACAUAACAUAUCUUAUGCUAUGAAUCAAGCUCUAUCAUCGAAGACUUGGUGCCUACUCUACGAGCUUGUCAUGAGAGCAGAAGCACGAGAUGGCUGCUCUUGCUGCGGCCUGGCAACCUCGUCGUGCCUAGCGGGUCGAGCAGGACUUGCUGACUAGUUAGCCCAAGGUCUCGGACGGCAAUCCCAUAUGAAGACGGGCUCUGAUGACGACACCACGCUUGUGCAUGCCAGCUUAACCAUGGUGUAGGCGCAGGCGCAUGCGCACUUCGAUACUGCCAUGGUGGAGGAGGAGUAGCCCGUGUCGGCUCAUAUGUCGGUGUUUCGGCAAGAACAUGAGGAGCAGCGGUACAACCCCUUGCUCCUCGAGUAGCACCGACUGGCAGAGGUCCAAAUUUAGGGUGAACAUGCAACGAGGAGACCUUGGCCGCCAUGGUCACGACGAACCUAAAUUUAAUUGCGGAGCAACGGACAAUCUGCGAGGUUGCACGUGCUCAAUGCGCCGCUCGUAACGAAGCGGCAGCGCAGUCGGACGUGGACACGACAUCACAUGCACAUGUGCUGGCGGGCGAUGAUGAGAACGUUGCGAGCUGCACGUCCUACGCAUUGCAGUCCAACUUACGGGGGGCACAUGUGGCAGGUGGACAGUGACGGCCUCGUACGUCUCCAACGUAUCUAUAAUUUUUAUUGUUCCAUGCUAUUAUAUUAUCAUGUUUGGAUACUUUAUAUGCAUUUUUAAGAACUAACCUAUUAACCCAAUGCCUAGUGCCAGUUGCUAUUUUCUUCGUGUUUUUUGAUCUUCAAGAAAUCGAUACCAAAGGAAGUCCAAAUGCUACCAACCUUUUCGAAGAUUUUUUAUGGACAAAAAUAAGACAUGAAAGCUUCGGAGGGAGGCCGAAGGCCGCACGAGGCCGUGCCACGGCAACAGGGCGCGUCCCAGUUGGUUAGGCACGCCGUGUUACCUUGAGGCCACCCCAUGGCUCCUCCUGACCUAACUCGUCCUUUAUAAAUUCUCUAAAAUCGAGAAAACACGAGAGAGCCACCCAAAAUAUAUUUUUAUGCCACCGCAAGUUUCUGUUUCAUCGUGAUCCCAUCUGGAGCCCUAUCUCGGUGCCAUGUCAGAGGGGGGUCAGUCACGAAAAGCCUCUACAUCAACCUUGUUGCUCCCAUGAUGUUGUGUGAGCAGCCUACCAUAGACCUAUGGGUCCAUAGCUAGUACCUAGAUGGUUCUCUCUCUCUCUCUCUCUCUCUCUCUCUCUCUCUCUCUCUCUCUCUUUCAUUCUCCAUCCCUCUCUAUGUCACGCCCAAGAUGCGACCCUAUCCUCAAUUUGGCACGAAGGCCUCGUCAGGGAUAGAAGCGCAUCUCGUCGUGUCGCGAGAAUGGAUAUCGUUACAAGUACAUGUACUGAAAAGAAGAUAUAUAUAUAUAUAUAUAUAUAUAUAUAUAUAUAUAUAUAUAUAUAUAUAUAUAUAGUUGGCUUACACUCGCCACAAGCUACAUCAGAGUCACAACAUCACAUUACAUAAACAUCAAGAGUAAGAGCAGGGUCCGACUACGGACGAAAACAAACGAGAAAAGAAGAACGACGUCCAUCCUUGCUAUCCCAGGCUGCCGGCCUGGAACCCAUCCUAGAUCGAAGAAGAAGAAGAAGAAGAAGAAGAAGCAACUCCAAAUGAACAAUCAACACGCUCGCGUCAAGUAACCUUUACCUGUACCUGCAACUGGUGUUGUAGUAAUCUGUGAGCCACAGGGGACUCAGCAAUCUCAUUUCCAAAGGUAUCAAGACUAGCAAAGCUUAAUGGGUGAGGCAUGGUUAAGUGGUGAGGUUGCAGCAGCGGCUAAGCAUAUAUCUGGUGGCUAAACUUACGACUACAAGAAAUAAGAGGGGGAUGAUCUACGCAUAACGGACGUGAACUACUGAUGAUCAAAUAAAUGAUCCUGAACACCUACCUACGUCAGACAUAACCCCACCGUGUCCUCGAUCGGAGAAAGAACUCACGAAAGAGACAGUCACGGUUACGCACACAGUUGGUAUAUUUUAAUUAAGUUAACUUCAAGUUAUCUAGAACCAGUGUUAAACAAAGUUUCCAUGUUGCCACAUAACCGUGGGCACGGCUUUUCAAAAAGAUUUAACCCUGCAGGGGUGCUCCAACUAGUCCAUCACAAAUUACCACAAGCCACAUAGAAAUCCUCAAUCACGAAGCUCGCGAUCUCGUCGGAUUCCCUAGUGGAAAACCUCAACUCUGAGAUUACCCAAAGCAUCACCGGAAUCCCGAUGCACAAGAUAUCUCGUCAAAGGUGAAACUAAUCUAGCAAGGUCGCCCGACGUGUCGACGAUCCCGAUAGGAGCCGCGUAUCUCGUUCUCAGGACACGACGGAUGAGCUAGACGUCGGGAUCGCUAAACCUCCGGGUGACCAGAGGGGCGCCGGACAUCGCUCAGGUGGGACCAAUACUCAUGAGGAGCACUGGCUCGGGGGUUGAUUAAAUUAUCCUCGGGGUCCGGAAAGUCCCUAUGCAAUUUUAUUAGGUGAUUAGGCAAAUGUAGUACCAAAGUUGGGCCUUGCCAGACCAGCUUUAAUCUAAAACGAAUUAUCAAGGGGGUCCCCAUAACAACCCCGAUCGUGUUAGGAGCGCUCAUUUAUGGAACAUAACACCGGUAGCCGAAAACUAAGGGGGCAAAGGUGGAACAAAACACCAGGCUAGAAAGGCCGAGCCUUCCACCCUUUACCAAGUAUGUAGGUGCAUUAAAUUAAAUAGCAUUUAAUAUGGUGAUAUAACAAGGAACUCAUGUUAUCACAUGGAAGCAACUGCACCUGCAACUAGCAACGCUACACAGGGUUAAGCAAGCAGUAACAUAGCCAGUCAGUGGUUUGCUAGGUCGAACAGGUUGAAGGAUUCAUGGCAUUGUUGAGAGGCUGAUAAUUAACAAGUGGUAGGCAGCGAGACGUAAGUGAUAGAAGCGAUAAAACUAGCAUGGCAAUUAUAGUAAUGGUAUCUGGGGAAAUGGUCAUCUUGCCUGAGAUCCCGCUUGGAAGAAGAAUGCCUCCGUGAAGCAGACGAACCGACGUAGUCGAACGGGUCCUCACAUCGGACACGCUUGCAAAACUCUAUCGAGCCAGAGGAAACCGGAAACACAAAUCAACACACGAUAUUCACCACACUGUGCACAACAUAAAUGAUGCAUGAGAAGCUGAAUACAUGCAAGUCACGGCAUGACAAUUCACACAAACAGACACUACACAUUAAGUGAAGUUCAAUAUGCAACGAGUUGCAUAUUGACGAAACUCCACGUUAACUUAUUUAGUUCUAUCCCGAUUAGGUACUCGGCAAUAUUAAAUGUGGUUAAACAUGGCAAGAGGUGAAGCGUAAUUAAACUACCUAUCUAGGCAUUUUAAAUGAGGUCGGGAAUGACAUAUAGCAUCUCCGAGACGACCUCACAUGUUAAUUUACAAUUCUGUCCAGAUCUGAACUAACACAUAUAAUUAGUUUUUAAAUAGAAAAACAAAUAGGUUCACGUGAUUCUACGCGUCAUUACAAGCAAUUUACACAUAGAGAUCAUCUCCAACGGAGCUACGGUUCAAAAGAUACAAGCACCGCAAGAUAUGAUGGCAUGAAUGCAAUAUGUGUGCAACUACGGUCACGAGCACUUCAAAACAUACAACCAGCAAGAGAAAAUGAAACUACACGAGAUUCUAAGCCAGUUUCAUGUAGGACACGAUCAAAACGGAGCUACAGUUCAACAACUACGAGCAAAACAAGAAAUCACUACAAUCUGCCAAAAUCAGCCACAUAGCAUUUUCUACGCCCCACAACUACGGGCUACACAACUCCGAUAAACUCAAGCAAGGCAUGACACGAAAGAGGGCAAGAAGCACUACUACAAAAAACUAACAACAACUAUCAUGGCAUCAUGGAUCACUAGGGAAAGAAGACACAAAAUGGCAUCUCACACACUAUUUCAGACUUAGUGAAAAUUACACCUCAUGAAAGUGCAGUUUUCGAUCUGAAGUCAUAUUGACAGCAGGAAAACCUAUAGCUACAGGACUCCAAAUGGCAUGAAAAUCCGCAGCAUGCUAGAGAAACACAAGGGCUACAACUAACUCCAUUGGACCAACCUCAAAAGAGCUACAGAUCACAAGAUACAAGCAAGACAAGACAGCAACAAAAUAUAACAGAUUCCAGACUUAGAAAUAUUUCAGCACCUCCAAAUCAGCACUAUUUCUAGCAACUUGAGAGCAAUCAAACCACACCUAAACAUGCAUUUCUAAUGCAACCAAAAAUACCAGGGGCUAGACAAAACAUCAAAGAUCAACUCUCUAGUUGACAACUUAAUCAAACGAAGCACGGAAUAAAUCCUACGAAAUAAACAAGAGGGCAACAUGGCAAAAUAUCUCACGAACUAACUUUCUCAAAAGCUAAAACUAAUUGCACAGAAAAAUCCCAUUGAUUUUUCUACCCCGAAAACAUAUAAAAUAUGUGGGGUUGCGCAACAAAAUAAUGCCACACGUAAAUGCGAGAAAAAUGCCUAUACACGAAAAAAAUAAUCUAGCGGCAAAUCCCUACACGCAAAAAUACGAGUGACUGCUCUAAAAUACAUGGAAAAAUGGUUUCUAAAACAUGGGCAUUUUAUCUAAGGCACUCGAGCAAUCCGGACUUGCGCGAAAAUUAAAUACGGGAAGUAUCCUAUUGGAACAGCACGUGUUUCUAGGCAUACGGCAUGCUAAACAACGUCAAACAACUAUGCAAGUUGCAAAAACGGAUUCUACGAGAGAAACUACACGAAAACCAUAUAUUACACGUCUCGAUCCGAUUUACAGUUUAGAAACUACGAAUGUUUGAAUAUCUAUAUAAUUCCUGAAAAUAUAAAUUCGCAGAAAAAACCUAAAACUAAAUGGGCCUAAUAGGGCGGCGCAUGUAAGCUAUACGCCGCUCGGGCGCAACAUAGGAGACCGGGGCUUACCUCGGCUCUGGCCCAGCUCGAUGGAGGGGAUCUGGGCCUCGGCAGGAGCAAGGUCCGGCCUGCUCGGCGGGUCAACGGGCCGAGGGAGGGAAGCCUGGGGCGCUGGGGCUCACUUCGGUCAACGCCAGUGGCGCAGCCUGUCGAUCCCGAUCGGGACGAAGCCCCAGGCGAUGGCGGCGCUCUUCGAGGCUUCAGCCACGACGCAUGGAGCAGGGGGACCCACGGGGCGAGGCGGAGAGUGCGAUAGCGGUGGUCCGACGAGACACGGUGGGUCCCUGGCGGGAUCUGCGGUAGCAAGGCGUCGCGGUUGGCAGAUCUCGCGCCGGUGACCUACCGCGGCAGGAUUCGGCCAUGGCCGGCGGGCUGGCUGCUCCGCGGCUCGGCCUGGCCAGGGGAGGCACUCGGGCCGGCGGGCACAAGGCGCGGGGCUGCUUGGGCAGGGAGGAGCGCGGGCUAGGGCGCGCGGAUCGAGGGGCAGGGAGGCUCGGGAGAAGCUGUGGUCGCCUGGACAUGUCCGGUAGGUGGGGAUUUGGACGAACCGGAGCCAUUAGAUGUAAAUCCAAUGGCCAGAUUUGGUCAGAGGGGUUGGGCUGCGGGAUUUAGAAGGGUGAGGGCUAGUAGGUGGAGUUUUUGAGGGGGGUGGCUGCAAAAAUGACCAGGGUAAACCCUAGGGAAGUGAGAGGGCUCUGUCUAGGGGGGUUACUUAUAUAAGGUUGAUCUCUGGUGGGGUGGACCUCGUCCGUCCGAUCGCGAUCCGAUGACCACGAACGAAGGAAGUGGCUAGGUGGAACUAGUGGGCUGUGUAGAGCGGUUAUCCGGAGACGAGAAGGAAAACGGGCGGCGCGGCAACGCGAUUUAAAACACCGGGACACGUCCGAUGAUAGACCGAAUACGGUGCCACUACGGUCAACCGUUCGGGUACCAGACGGACUCCGAUCGCGACGAAAUUCGACAGGCGGCCUAGCUACAACUAAUAAAGACCGCGCGUCAAAUCUCAACCCGAUCAGAGGAAGUUUUCAACACACUUUUAAAAACAAGGAUUUGACGAUGCCGCGGGCACGUGCGUGUGUGGUCGGGCUCGGAACGGACAACGAUGAGAACCGGCAACUAACAACGGAUGCACUUUUGAAAACUGGCGGCAACGGAAUGCCGAUGCAAUGCAGAUGAUGCGCAUGAUGCAAAGAUGAUGCGACAAAUAAAAAUAACCACACGACGAAAACGGAAAUAAAGGGGAAUCUUCUGGAACAUCGGGAUCGGGCUGUCACACUCUAUCUAUCUAUCUCUAUCUCUCUAUGAUCUUAAAUAUAAAGUCCAUCGCGAUUCCCGCAGUGGUCUAUUCGAUGUAAUCUUCUUUGCGGUGUGUUUGUUGGGAUUGGGAUUCGAUAAAUUAUGGGUUUAUGAUAAGAUUGUUCAUGAAUAUAUAUUGAUUUUUCUCUGAAUUCUUUAUGCAUGAUUCUUAUAGCUUCAUAUUUCUCUCUGAUCUAUCGGUUUGGUUUGGCCAACUAGACUGAUAUAUCUUAAGUGGGACUGGUGCAUUAUGAUGGGUUCAAAUUGCGGUGCCCAAGCCUAGUGACAGAAGGGAGCAUGAAACAUAUUUGUAUUGUUGCCAUUAAGGAUAAAAAGAUGAGGUUUAUUCAUAUUGAUUGAGUUUACUUUGUCUACAUCAUGUCAUCUUUUUCCAAGCAUUACUCUGUUUGAUAUUUGAUACUCUAGAUGCAUGUUGGAUAGCGGUCGUUGAGUGGAGUAGUAGUAGUAGAUGCACGCAGGAGUCGGUCUACUUGCUUAUGGACAUGAUGCAUAUAUACAUGAUCAUUGCCGUGAAUAAAUAUUUCAUAACUAUGCGCUAUUCUAUCAAUUGUCCAACAGUAAUUUGUCUACCCAUCAUAUGCUAUCUUCGAGAGAGAAGCCUCUAGCGAACACUAUGGCCCCCGGGUCUACUUAAACAUAAACACAAAAACCGUAAAAAUACCUCAAUGCCUUUUAUUAUUUGCAUUUACCUUUUAAUUUUUUAUUAUCUAUCUAUCACUACUUAAUCCUUGGAAGUAACGAGUUCAAGGAGCUUACAACCCUCUUGCUCGCGUUGGGUGCAAGUGUUUAGUUCUUUGUGUGUAGGUGCUCACGAUGAGAAUUUGUGUGGUUCUCCUAUUGUUUCCUUGGUUUUCACUUAGGAAAAUACUUAUCUCUAUUGUGCUACAUCUCCUCUCCUCUUCGGGGAAAAACCCAACGCAAUUUACAAGUAGCAGGAAGAAUUUUUGGUGUCAUUGCCGCGGAGAUAUCAUCAAAUUCUUAUCAGGUUCCUUCAUACAAAUUAUCAUUAGUUUGUUAUCCUUUUUGUUUUCCUUUAUAUUUGAUUGCAUAAAAAAUCAAAAACACAAAAAUAUUUAUCUUUGUUAGUUUACUUGCUUGCUUGUUACUAUGGCUAGUUCUCCUCCCGAUAUGUCUUUCCCCCUUACUUGGGAGAAGGUUCAAAAGUUUUAAAUUUUAAAUACUUGAGUGAUGAAUCUCUAAAAGAAGCUUGGGACUGAUUAUUGUAAAUACAAAUGAGAUAUAAUCCCAAGAGUCAUAUUAAAUUACUCCUUAGAAGUUUUUUAUGUUGGCUUAUCUCUAUCUCAUAGACGUGUCUUGGAUUCUAUGUUUGAAAAAUACUUUCUUGGAAAUAAAGCUUUUGACACAUAUGAAGAUGAAAAGUAUAUUUUGGCACCCAAAGAUAGAAACCAUUGAACCUACCAUAUUAGUGAGCAACCAUCAAACGAAGUUAACAAAAGAAACUAAGGCUACUAUGGAAACCAACUUUGGAGGUUUAUUCAACUUUUGUACUAAAAUUAACGAAAAUAUAGUGUCACAAAAUAGGAGAAUUGGUACUUUGGAACAAAAGGUUGAUGCACUUUUGUGUUUUGAAAGGUGAAUAAAAUUUCUCAAUGCCAAACUUGACCAAUUUGUUCAUAUCAUUGAUAAUGGAAAAGAGAGAAAAUUAUGAAGGGAAAUAGAUCCCUUGCAACCAAAGAUGAUAUCACUUGAUACUAUGCAUUAUGCCUAGCUAGGGGCACAAAACGAUAGCGCUUGUUGGGAGCUAACCUAAUCGUUAUCUUAAAUUGUUUGUGCCAAGUAAAGCCUUUGGGGUGAUUUGGAUGAUAGUAGAUUUGAUCCUGUGUAAAAACAGAAACUUCAUGUCCAGUACAUAUUUUCUGUGAUUUUACUGAAACGUCUUUUCGAUAUGAUUUUUUUUACACGUCGUUGAUAUACAAACGGUGGCUAUGUAAUAGCACGCUCUUUUCCUUCGGUCUCUUGAGUUAAAAGCACCAAUAACAGCUUCCUCUGCUGCAGUGUAAAGCUUAAAUGGCUCCCUAUGUUUGGGUGCUUUCAUCACCGGAGGAGUGCACAAAUAAUCCUUAAUCAUAUCAAAUGCUUCUUGCUGCUUCCCCCCCCCCCCCCCCGCCCCCUAAGUAAAAUUGGCAGCAUUCAUUAGCCGAAGGAUCCGAGUGAAUACUUCAACUUUCCCUCACAAGUUGGCUAUGAAUGUCCUCAAAUAGUAGACUUUGCCAAGGAAUAUUUGCAUAUCCCUCUUGCAUGUUGGAGCUUCACUUUUUGUAUCAUUUUUAUCUUUUUCGGAUCAAUCUCUACACCAUUUUCAUGAAUAAUGAAACCCAAAAACUCGCCAGCUGACACGCGGAAUGCACAUUUCAAAGGAUUCAUUUUUAGUCCAUAUUUUUUCAUUCUUGCAAAUGCUAAACGCAAAUCGGCUAGAUGAGAUUCAAAAGCAUCCACUUUGACAAUAAUAUCAUCAAUAUAAACCUCAAGUAUAACACCGAGCAAAUCAUGAAAAAUUAAAUUCAUAGCUCUUUGAUACGUGGCGCCAACAUUCUUUAAUCCCAAGGUCAUCACCGUCCACUCAAAUAAACCAAGGAAACCGGGGCAACGAAAAGCCGUUUUGGACAUGUCCUCUUCGGCCAUGAAAUUCUGGUUAUACCCCGCAUUACCAUCAAGAAAGCUAAUGACCUUGUGUCCAGAAGCAUCAUUGAUAAUCAUAUCAGCUAUGGGCAUGGGAUACUCAUCUUUGAGUGUAGCUCUAUUUAAAUCUCUAAAAUCAAUGCACACACUCAACUUGCUAGAGCCUUUCUUCUCUACUCGCAUAAUGUUAGAAAUCCACUCGGCAUACCUGCAAGGUCUAAUAAAAUUAGCUUUAAGUAAACGACCGAUCUCUUCCUUGAUCCAAUCAUAUGUUUUUGGAUUAAACUUCCUGUCUGAUUGCUUGUAAGGUCGAAAACCAACCUUUAUAGGUAAUCGAUGCUCGAGUAGCUCUCGGCUUAAACCUCGCAUCUCAUGAUAUUCCCAUGCAAAGCAACAAACAUAUUCUUUCAACAACUCGAUCAACUUAACUUUAUGAUCGACUAUUAAAUUUUUGUUUACAAAUGUCGGCCUAGGAAUUGAAUCAUAUCCUAUAUCUAUCUCUUCUAAUGGGUCGAACGACGUGAAAUCUUGUCCAAGUUUAUCCAUAUCACCUAACUCAUCUAUAGACUCAUACAUAUCAUUCUCAUUUGACCGAUAUUUGGUAAAUUGCUUUUAUAACCACUCAGAAUUAGGAUCCAUUUAAACACAUUAUGCUUUGGAGCCGAUUGCCACCAGCCAGAUUUAAACAAACAUGCACAAAACCAUUCUUUGUAGCGCAAAGGAAAUCAAACUUUGAUAGGUCGCGCCCCGUCAAGCAAGUAGCAUUGGGAUGUUGCCAAUCCACCAAUGCAUCCGCCAAAGCAACACAAGCCAAGGUAUCCGCAUGAAUGACUUCCACUUCAUCGUUAACCCACUAAAUUAAAACAUGCUGCAUAGUAGAUGGCAUACACUGGUUUGCAUGAACCCAAUCGCGGCCUAAAAUCACAUUGUAGUUACCUUGCACCUCGGCGACAAAGAAUGCAGUAGCCGAAGUUUUGCUUCCGACUAUAAACUCCAUAUACAUCACACCUUUGGCUUUGGUUUUCUCUUCGCCUUCAAAUCCAUUAAGCACCAUAUUGGUCUUUAUCAACUCUUUAUCGUGCAAGCCCAAUUUUUUGAAGACCUAAUAGGGCAUAAGAUUCACCACAGCACCACCAUCAACAAGCAUCCGAGUGAAUGGUGAUCCAUUAAUGUGACCUUUGAGAUACAACGGGUUCAAGUGUGUCACCGAUUCCUCUAGCUUUUCGAAUAUUGCAUUUUUAGGGACAAAAUCUAGUUGAGACACUUCCCCUUCUUCAUCUAUAGCACGAAACUCAACGGGUAAAUAAUACACCAUGUUGAUAUCCAUACCUUCAUGAACUGGUGUAGACUCGUAAUCCAAAAUACCAUCUUCCUCCUCGGGCGUGCCCAUGGAAUCUGAAAUUUGUUCGAGUGAAGAGUAAGUAAUAGGUGACGGAGACGAUGUCAUAACUACAUCAUCCUCUUCUGGUGAUGCAGGUGUUGCUGUGAUAGAUGUAGAAUCCGCUGCAUCUUGUAUUUGUUUAGGCUUCCACGCCUAUUUUGUAGGCACCAUGGGUCGAGUGUCAUUGAACAACUUAUCUCUUUGUUUUUCGUCCUCCUAUUCUGCCAUCUCUUGAUUUCUUAACCUAUGUAGUCUCCUAUUAUGUGUUUUUGUUAGCCCUAGAGGACACCACUUCGGCUGAUUGUAUUUAGGAUCUCUUGGCUUUUCUUGGCUCGUACUUGCUUCAUGAUCAUUAGCCGAAUGGUUUGGCACGAUAGCAAGUAUCGACUCAGUCGGGUUGCUAUGCACAAUCGGCUCGUGUAUGGUGAAUGUUUUGGCGCCCAAGAUGAGCGAGUCAACAUUGAUUUUUCCUUGUCUUUUCCUAACUCAUCUACUGUAGCACUUGGCGACUUCACACGCCAUUAUUCUUGAAAUAUUCACUCGGGCGCACAUUUUUACUCGGAUAGAAUCCACUUGGCCGCAUCCUCUCAUUCGGAUAGUUUGUACCCGGGUGCAAUCUUACACUCGGAUAUUUCCCAUCCGGUCGCAUAUUUUGGCCAGACGGCUGAUAAUCGCCCAUGUUCAGUCCGCCUUUAUAUGAGUAGUUAAGUCUAUUCCAAACAGAUUGUCGUUGCCUAUCUAGAAACGGUGUCAUUCGUCCAUUCGGUUCUAUAUACUGACUGAACAUAUCAGCUGAUGGUGACAUUGGCUACUUCAAGUUUGCUGACGGGUUAGAGCCUGAACCGGCCGAUUGAUUGGCAUACCUGUAUAGCAACAUGUCAAAAGUUGGCUUGAUCCGCUUGCGAUGUACCUUGCCUUCAUUCAUCUUCCACUUGCCAACUUCUGGACUCUUGGGCUUAACAAACUUGAUAUGAAUAUUCUCUUAUACUUGUGGUUAUUACCCCCCCCCCCAAUGUAGGAUUCUUGAUGGUGAUCUUAAUUAUCUCCUUGCCACCGGGUUGUUUGUCAAGCACAACUUGUCUCCCCAAGACCUUGUCGUCUUCCUUGCUUUUCUUGGGCUCACCUAUGACAACAUUGGACUUAUUAGCAGAUUCGGCAAGUGUCGAUGUCAAAACCGGCGGAUCUUAGGUAGGGGGUCCUAACUGUGGAUCUUGGAUCAAUGGGUAACAAGGGAUGAAGGAGACGAUGUUUACCCAGCUUCGGGCCCUCUUGAUGGAGGUAAAACCCUACGUUCUGCUCUUGUUUAUAUUGAUGAUGGAGUAUCAAGUACAUAGUUGAUCUACCUCGAGAUCAUAUGUUGUGAUCUAAACCCUAAUGAUGUAGAUGUUGUGUCUAAUGAAUAUGAGAUUGUCUAUCGAUUAGCCUGACCUCGAUUUAUAUAAUGCACCAUAGGCCUAGCAUAACAAAAGUUCUAGCAGGCUACGUCGGUGCGGAGGAGUCCUUGUCUUGGUCACCAAGUAUUGUGGAAUAUUAAUCGUAUAUGUCAUCGGUUGCCUGAAGUAGCCUAGGAGUCCAGCCCGUAGAGAUAGGCCAGCGGCCCGAGGACCCAUUAGUCCAGGACUCCCUCAGUAACUCCCGAACUGGCCACCAAUGGAGCAAUCUUGAUCCUUAGCGUCACGCGUCCAAAGUCUUAGGCUUGCGGGGCGAGUUCUUCUCCCCAUUUAUGUUCAGCCAACACCAGUUCGGCCGCCGAUGACUUCUCGAUUUCCGAGCAUAGGUCUUCAAGUUGGGGACGCUCCUUAGCUCUUCUGAACUGUUCUUCAUCUUUGGUCGUCGGUCUUGAAAACUGGUUCAACAAAUAAUCCCAUCACCGAUCUUGAGGAUCGUCGAGGUGAAUCCAAAGAGUUUCACACGACGGGCAUCAGAGGAGCCCCUUUAAGUUAUUGGCCUUUAUUAAUGCUUUGUAACUUUUCAUGCCACACCUCGGGUUUGAAAUGUUUCCCGUGUGGCGGUUUCCUCUUGUGUUCGAGAUCCAAUGUCAUACUGCAUCUGAGGUAUAUAUACUCUUGUGUUCGAGCUCGAACGCCAGACUGCAUUCGAGGUGUCUUUUUUGUAGCUGAGCUUCAACGUUGGUCGGCAUUCGAGGUGUCAGAGAUUACCUCGGUCUGUGAAAAAUUGAAGGAAUUCAUCCAAGCUUAAAUGUUGGAAUAGUCUUUUAUGGAGCCAACCAUUCGCAUCCAAACUAUAUGCCGGACUGCUUCCAAGGUGGUGCACCACCUCAGUCUCGGGCUGCUUUUUGCGGAAUUUAUUACCGAUUGGUGUAAUUUAUUCUUUGACGAGAUGUAUAACCAGUAGUGUUCGGGAACGUCGCAUGGGAAACAAAAAUUUUCCUACGCGCACGAAGACCUAUCAUGGUGAUGUCCAUCUACGAGAGGGGAUGAGUGAUCUACGUACCCUUGUAGAUCGUACAACAGAAGCGUUAGAGAACGCGGUUGAUGUAGUGGAACGUCCUCACGUCCCUCGAUCCUCCCCGCGAACAAUCCCGCGAUCAGUCCCACGAUCUAGUACCGAACGGACGGCACCUCCGCGUUCAGCACACGUACAGCUCGACGAUGAUCUCGGCCUUCUUGAUCCAGCAAGAGAGACGGAGAGGUAGAAGAGUUCUCCGGCAGCGUGACGGCGCUCCGAAGGUUGGUGAUGAUCUCGUCUCAGCAGGGCUCUGCCCGAGCUCCGCAAAAACGCAAUCUAGAGGAAAAACUAUGGAGGUAUGUGGUCGGGCAGCCAUGAGAAAGUCGUCUCAAAUCUGCCCUAAAAGCCCCAUAUAUAUAGGAAGGAGGAAGGGGGACCUUGCCUUGGGGUCCAAGGGACUCCCAAGGGGUCGGCCGAGCCAAGGGGGAGGAUCUCCCCCCCCCAAACCGAGUUGGACUAGGUUUGGUGGGAGGGAGUCCCCCUUCCUUCCCACCUCCUCCUUUUUUUUCUUUCUCUCUUGAUUUUCUUCUCCUUGGCGCAUAGGGCACUUGUGGGCUGUCCCACCAGCCCACUAAGGGCUGGUGUGUCUCCCCCAAGGCCUAUGGGCUUCCCCGGGGUGGGUUGCCCCCCCCCCCGGUGAACUCCCGGAACCCAUUCGUCAUUCCCGGUACAUUCCCGGUAACUCCGAAAACCUUCCGGUAAUCAAAUGAGGUCAUCCUAUAUAUCAAUCUUCGUUUCCGGACCAUUCCGGAAACCCUCGUGACGUCCGUGAUCUCAUCCGGGACUCCGAACAACAUUCGGUAACCAACCAUAUAACUCAAAUACGCAUAAAACAACGUCGAACCUUAAGUGUGCAGACCCUGCGGGUUCGAGAACUAUGUAGACAUGACCCGAGAGACUCCUCGGUCAAUAUCCAAUAGCGGGACCUGGAUGCCCAUAUUGGAUCCUACAUAUUCUAUGAAGAUCUUAUCGUUUGAACCUCAAUGCCAAGGAUUCGUAUAAUCCCGUAUGUCAUUCCCUUUGUCCUUCGGUAUGUUAUUUGCUCGAGAUUCGAUCGUCACUAUCCGCAUACCUAUUUCAAUCUCGUUUACCGGCAAGUCUCUUUACUCGUUCCGUAAUACAAGAUCCCGCAACUUACACUAAGUUACAUUGCUUGCAAGGCUUGUGUGUGAUGUUGUAUUACCGAGUGGGCCCCGAGAUACCUCUCCGUCACACGGAGUGACAAAUCCCAGUCUUGAUCCAUACUAACUCAACUAACACCUUCGGAGAUACCUGUAGAGCAUCUUUAUAGUCACCCAGUUACGUUGCGACGUUUGAUACACACAAAGCAUUCCUCCGGUGUCAGUGAGUUAUAUGAUCUCAUGGUCAUAGGAAUAAAUACUUGACACGCAGAAAACAGUAGCAACAAAAUGACACGAUCAACAUGCUACGUCUAUUAGUUUGGGUCUAGUCCAUCACGUGAUUCUCCUAAUGACGUGAUCCAGUUAUCAAGCAACAACACCUUGUUCAUAAUCAGAAGACACUGACUAUCUUUGAUCAACUGGCUAGCCAACUAGAGGCUUGCUAGGGACGGUGUUUUGUCUAUGUAUCCACACAUGUAAAUGAGUCUUCAUUCAAUACAAUUAUAGCAUGGAUAAUAAACUAUUAUCUUGAUACAGGAAUUAUAAUAAUAAUUAUAUUUAUUAUUGCCUCUAGGGCAUAAUUCCAACAGUCUCCCACUUGCACUAGAGUCAAUAAUCUAGCCCUCACAUCACCAUGUGAAUUACAUUGUAAUAAAUCUAACACCCAUACAGUUCUGGUGUCGAUCAUGUUUUGGCCGUGGAAGAGGUUUAGUCAGCGGGUCUGCUACAUUCAGAUCCGUGUGCACUUUGCAUAUAUUUACGUCCUCCUCCUCGACGUAGUCGCGGAUGAGGUUGAAGCGUCGUUUGAUGUGUCUGGUCUUCUUGUGAAACCGUGGUUCCUUUGCUAAGGCAAUGGCACCAGUGUUGUCACAGAACAAGGUUAUUGGAUUCAGUGCGCUUGGCACCACUCCAAGAUCCGUCAUGAACUGCUUCAUCCAGACACCUUCCUUAGCCGCCUCCGAGGCAGCCAUGUACUCCGCUUCACAUGUAGAAUCUGCUACGACGCUUUGCUUGGAACUGCACCAGCUUACUGCACCCCCAUUAAGAAUAAAUAUGUAUCCGGUUUGCGACUUAGAGUCGUCCGGAUCUGUGUCAAAGCUUGCAUCGACGUAACCUUUUACGGCGAGCUCUUCGUCACCUCCAUACACGAGAAACAUCUCCUUAGUCCUUUUCAGGUACUUCAGGAUAUUCUUGAUCGCUGUACAGUGAUCCACUCCUGGAUUACUCUGGAACCUACCUGCCAUACUUAUGGCCAGGCUAACAUCCGGUCUAGUGCACAGCAUCGCAUACAUGAUAGAACCUAUGGCUGAAGCAUAGGGGACGGAGCGCAUAUGCUCUCUAUCUUCAUCAGUUGCUGGGCACUGAGUCUUACUCAAUCUUGUACCUUGUAAAACUGGCAAGAACCCUUUCUUGGACUAUUCCAUUUUGAACCUUUUCAAAACUUUAUCAAGGUAUGUGCUUUGUGAAAGUCCUAUCAGGCGUUUUGAUCUAUCCCUAUAGAUCUUAAUGCCUAGAAUGUAAGCAGCUUCUCCUAGGUCCUUCAUAGAGAAACUUUUAUUCAAGUAAACUUUUAUGCUCUCCAAAAGCUCUACGUUGUUUCCAAUCAGUAAUAUGUCAUCCACAUAUAAUAUUAGAAACGCCACAGAGCUCCCACUCACUUUCUUGUAAAUACAAGAUUCUCCAACCACUUGUAUAAACCCAAAUGCUUUGAUCACCUCAUCAAAGCGUUUGUUCCAACUCCGAGAUGCUUGCACCAGUCCAUAAAUGGAUCGCUGGAGCUUGCACACCUUGUUAGCAUUCUUAGGAUCGACAAAACCUUCGGGUUGCAUCAUAUACAACUCUUCCUUAAGGAAACCGUUAAGGAACGCCGUUUUGACAUCCAUCUGCCAGAUUUCAUAAUCGAAAAAAUGCAGCUAUUGCUAACAUGAUUCUGACGGACUUAAGCAUCGCUACGGGUGAGAAAGUCUCAUCGUAGUCAACUCCUGGAACUAGUGAAAAACCCUUUGCCACAAGUCGAGCUUUAUAAACGGUCACAUUACCGUCAGCGUCCGUCUUCUUCUUAAAGAUCCAUUUGUUCUGAAUAGCCUUGCGGCCCUCAGGUAGUAUCUCCAAAGUCCACACUUUGUUCUCAUACAUGGAUCCUAUCUCGGACUUCAUGGCUUCUAGCCAUUUGUUGGAAUCUGGGCCCACCGUUGCUUCUUCAUAAUUUGCAGGUUCAUUGUUGUCUAACAACAUGAUUGAUAAGACGGGAUUGUUGGAAAUAUGCCCUAGAGGCAAUAAUAAAUUAGUUAUUAUUAUAUUUCUUAGUUCAUGAUAAUCGUUUAUUAUCCAUGCUAUAAUUGUAUUGAUUGGAAACACAAUACUUGUGUGGAUACAUAGACAAAACACUGUCCCUAGUAAGCCUCUAGUUGACUAGCUCGUUGAUCAAAGAUGGUCAAGGUUUCCUGGCCAUAGGCAAGUGUUGUCACUUGAUAACGGGAUCACAUCAUUAGGAGAAUCAUGUGAUGGACUAGACCCAAACUAAUAGACGUAGCAUGUUGAUCGUGUCAUUUUGUUGCUACUGUUUUCUGCGUGUCAAGUAUUUGUUCCUAUGACCAUGAGAUCAUAUAACUCACGGACACCGGAGGAAUGCCUUGUGUGUAUCAAACGUCGCAACGUAACUGGGUGACUAUAAAGAUGCUCUACAGGUAUCUCCGAAGGUGUUCGUUGAGUUAGUAUGGAUCAAGACUGGGAUUUGUCACUCCGUGUGACGGAGAGGUAUCUCGGGGCCCACUCGGUAAUACAACAUCACACACAAGCCUUGCAAGCAAUGUGACUUAGUGUAAGUUGCGGGAUCUUGUAUUACGGAACGAGUAAAGAGACUUGCCGGUAAACGAGAUUGAAAUAGGUAUGCGGAUACUAACGAUCGAAUCUCGGGCAAGUAACAUACCGAAGGACAAAGGGAAUGACAUACGGGAUUAUAUGAAUCCUUGGCACUGAGGUUCAAACGAUAAGAUCUUCGUAGAAUAUGUAGGAUCCAAUAUGGGCAUCCAGGUCCCGCUAUUGGAUAUUGACCGAGGAGUCACUCGGGUCAUGUCUACAUAGUUCUCGAACCCGCAGGGUCUGCACACUUAAGGUUCGACGUUGUUUUAUGCGUAUUUGAGUUAUAUGGUUGGUUACCGAAUGUUGUUCGGAGUCCCGGAUGAGAUCCAGGACGUCACGAGGAGCUCCGGAAUGUCCGGAGGUAAAGAUUGAUAUAUAGGAAGUCCUGUUUUGGUCACCGGAAAAGUUUCGGGCUCAUCGGUAGUGUACCGGGAGUGCCGGGAGGGGUGCCGGGGACCAUCGGGAGGGGUGUCACGCCCCAAGGGGUCUCAUGGGCUAUGGGAAGAGAUAAACCAGCCCCUAGUGGGCUGGAAUAAGUUCCCACUAAGGCCCAUAAGGUUUGAGAAGGAAAAAACACAAGGUGGAAAGAGUUUCCAAGUGGGAAGGUGGAAUCCUACUCCAAGUGGAAUUGGAGUAGGACUCCUCCACCUCCAAUUUCGGCCAAGCCUUGAGGGUUUGAGGCUGCCUCUUCCCUCCCCCUCCCUCCUAUAUAUACUGAGGUAUUAGGGCUGAUUUGAGACAACUUUUGCCACGGCAGCCCGACCACAUAUCUCCACGGUUUUUCCUCUAGAUCGCGUUUCUGCGGAGCUCGGGCGGAGCCCUGCUGAGACAAGGUCAUCACCAACCUCCGGAGCGCCGUCACGCUGCCGGAGAACUCUUCUACCUCUCCGUCUCUCUUGCUGGAUCAAGAAGGCCGAGAUCAUCGUCGAGCUGUACGUGUGCUGAACGCGGAGGUGCCGUCCAUUCGGUACUAGAUCGUGGGACUGAUCGCGGGAUUGUUCGCGGGGCGGAUCGAGGGACGUGAGGACGUUCCACUACAUCAACCUCGUUCACUAACGCUUCUGCUGUACGAUCUACAAGGGUACGUAGAUCACUCAUCCCCUCGCGUAGAUGGACGUCACCAUGAUAGGUCUUCGUGCGCGUAGGAAAAUUUUUGUUUCCCAUGCGACGUUCCCCAACAGUGGCAUCAUGAGCUAGGUUCAUGCGUAGAUGUCUUCUCGAGUAGAACACAAAAGUUUUUGUGGGCGGUGAUGUGCGUUUUGCUGCCCUCCUUAGUCUUUUCUUGAUUCCGCGGUAUUGUUGGAUUGAAGCGGCUUGGACCGACAUUACUCGUACGCUUACGAGAGACUGGUUUCAUCGCUACGAGUAACCCCGUUGCUCAAAGAUGACAGGCAAGUGUCGGUUUCUCCAACUUUAGUUGAAUCGGAUUUGACCGAGGAGGUCCUUGGAUGAGGUUAAAUAGCAACUCAUAUAUCUCCGUUGUGGUGUUUGCGUAAGUAAGAUGCGAUCCUACUAGAUACCCAUGGUCACCACGUAAAACAUGCAACAACAAAAUUAGAGGACGUCUAACUUGUUUUUGCAGGGUAUGCUUGUGAUGUGAUAUGGCCAAUGAUGUGAUGUGAUAUAUUGGAUGUAUGAGAUGAUCAUGUUGUAAUAGAAAUAUCGACUUGCACGUCGAUGGUACGGCAACCGGCAGGAGCCAUAGGGUUGUCUUUAUACUAACAUAUGUGCUUGCAGAUGCGUUUACUAUUUUGCUAGGAUGUAGCUUUAGUAGUAAUAGCAUAAGUAGCACGACAACCCCGAUGGCAACACGUUGAUGGAUGAUCAUGGUGUGGCGCCGGUGACAAGAAGAUCGUGCCGGUGCUUUGGUGAUGGAGAUCAAGAAGCACGUGAUGAUGGCCAUAUCAUGUCACUUAUGAAUUGCAUGUGAUGUUAAUCCUUUUAUGCACCUUAUUUUGCUUAGAACGACGGUAGCAUUAUGAGGUGAUCUCUCACUAAAAUUUCAAGACGAAAUUGUGUUCUCCCCGACUGUGCACCGUUGCGACAGUUCUUCGUUUCGAGACACCACGUGAUGAUCGGGUGUGAUAGACUCAACGUUCACAUACAACGGGUGCAAAACAGUUGCACACGCGGAACACUCGGGUUAAGCUUGACGAGCCUAGCAUGUGCAGACAUGGCCUCGGAACACAUGAGACCGAAAGGUCGAGCAUGAAUCGUAUAGUUGAUAUGAUUAGCAUAGGGAUGCUUACCACUGAAACUAUUCUCGACUCACGUGAUGAUCGGACUUGAGAUAGCGGAUUUGGAUCAUGUACCACUCAGAUGACUAGAGAGAUGUACUUUUUGAGUGGGAGUUCUUAAGUAAUAUGAUUAGUUGAACUAAUUGUCAUGAACAUAGUCUAAUGGUCUUUGCGAAUUACGAUGUAGCUUGCGCUAUAGCUCUACUGUUUUUAUAUGUUCCUAGAGAAAAUUUAGUUGAAAAUUGAUAGUAGCAACCUUUGCAGACCGAGUCUGUAAAACCGAGGAUUGUCCUCGUUGCUACGCAGAAGGCUUAUGUCCUUAAUGCACCACUCGGUGUGCUGCACCUCGAGCGUCGUCUGUGGAUGCUAUGAACAUCCGACAUACACGUUAGUGAUGACUACACGAUAGUUCAGUGCAAGAUACUUGAUGGCUUAGAAGCAAGGCGCCGAAAACGUUGUAAAACGUCACGGAACAUAAGUGAUGUUCCGAAGAGAUGAAAUUGUGAUUUCAUGCUUGUGCCCUUGUUAAGAGGUACAAGACCUCCAAACAAGAUUCUUUGUCCACAAAGUAAAGGAGAAAAGCUCAAUCGUUGAGUGUGUGCUCAGAUUGUCUGAGUACGACAAUCGCUUGAAUCAAGUGGGAGUUAAUCUUCCAGAUGAGAUAGUGAUGGUUCUCCAAAGUCACUGCCACCAAGCUAUGAGAGCUUCGUGAUGAACUAUAACAUAUCAAGGAUAGAUACUAUGAUCUUUUGAGUGAUUCGCGAUGUUUGACACUGCGAAAGUAGAAAUCAAGAAGGAGCAUCAAUAGUUGAUGGUUAGUAAAACCACUAAGUUUCAAGAAAGGCAAGGGCUAGAAGGGAUACUUCGUGAAACGGCAAAACAGUUGUUGCACUAAUGAAGAGACCCAAGAUUAAACCCAAACCCGAGACUAAGUGCUUCUGUAAUAAGGGGAACAGUCACUGAGGCGGAGCAACUCUAGAUACUUGGUGGAUAAGAAGGCUGGCAAAAGUCGAGAGAAGUAUAUAUGUGAUAUACAUAAUGUUGAUGUGUACUUUACUAGUACUCCUAGUAGCACGAGGGUAUUGGAUACCGGUUCGGUUGCUAAGUGAUUAGUAACGCGAAAUGAAAGCUACGGAAUAAACGGAGACUAGCUAAAGGCGAGGUGACGAUACGUGUUGGAAGUGUUUCCAAGGUUGAUAUAAUCAAACGUCGCACGCUCCCUCUACCAUCGGGAUUGGUGUUGAACCUAAAUAAUUGUUAUUUGGUGUUUGCGUUAAGCGUGAACAUGAUUGGAUCGUGUUUAUUGCAAUACGAUUAUUCAUUCAAAGAGAAUAAUGGUUACUCUAUUUGCUUGAGUAAUCACCUUCAAUGGUUUAUUGAAUCUCGAUUGUAGUGUUACACAUUGGUGCCAAAAGAUACGAGUUAAUAAUGAUAGUACCACUUACUUGUGGCACUGCCGCUUGAGUCAUGUUAGUAUAACUUGCAUGAAGAGGCUCCAUGCUGAUGGAUCUUUGUACUCACCUGAUUUCGAAUCACUAGUGACAUGCAAAUCAUACCACAUGAGCAAGGCCUUGUUUUCAUUGAGAUGAAAUAAGAUAGUAACUUGUUGGAAGUGAUACAUUUUGAUGUAUGCAGUCCAAUGGGUGCUGAGGCACGCAGUGGAUAUCAUUAUGUUCUUACUUCACUGACGAUUUGAGUAGAUACUAGAGUAUUUACUUAAUGAAUCACAAGUCUAAAAUGUUGAAAAGUUCAAUUCCGUUUCAGAGUGAAGUUCGUCGUAACAAGAGGAUAAACUGUCUACGAUAUGAUCAUGGAAAUGAAUAUCUGAGUUACGAGUUUUGGUACACAGUUAAGACAAUGUGGAAAUUGUUUCGCAGUUCAUGCCACCUGGAACAUCAUAGUGUGAUGAUGUGUCUGAACGUCAUAGCCACGCACUAUUUGGUAUGCUGCAUACUAUGAUGUCUCUUAUCGAAUUACCACUAUCGUUUAUGGGUUAUGCAUUAGAGACAACCGCACUCACUUUAAAUAGGGCACCGCGUAUUUCCGUUGAGAUGACACAGUAUAGACUGAGGUUUGGAGAAAUCUAAACUGUCGUUUCUUGAAAGUUUGGGGUUUCGACACUUAUGUGAAAAAGUUUCAGUCUGAUAAGCUCGAACCCAAAGCGGAUAAAUGCAUCUUCAUAGGAUAUCCAAAACAGUUGGGUACAUCUCCUAUCUCAGAUCCGAAAGCAAAGUGCUUGUUUCUAGAAACGGAUCCUUUUUCGAGGAAAGGUUUCUCUCGAAAGAAUUGAGUGGGAGGGUAGUAGAACUUGAUGAGGUUACUGAACCAUCACUUCAACCAGUGUGUAGAAGGGCGCAGGAAGUUGUUCAUGUGGCGCCUACACCAAUUGAAGUGGAAGCUGAUGAUGAUGAUCAUUGAGCUUCGAAUCAAGUUACUACAAACCUCGUAGGUCAACAAGGUCGCGUACUGCUGCAGAGUAGUACGGUAACCCUGUCUUGGAGGUCAUGUUGUUGAGCAACAGUGAACCUACGAGUUAUGGAGAAAGCGAUGGUGGGCCCAGAUUCCGACAAAUGGCUGGAAGCCAUGAAAUCCGAGAGAGGAUCCAUGUGUGAAAACAAAGUGUAGACUUUGGUAGAACUACUUGAUGGUCAUAGGACUAUUGAGUAAAAAUGGAUCUUUAAAAGAAGACAGACGAUGAUGGUGAUAAGUCACUAUUAAGAAAAGCUCGACUUGUCGCAAAGAUGUUUUCGAUAAGAUCAAACAGUUGACUAUGAUGAGACUUUCUCACUCGUAGUGAUGCUAAAAGUCUGUUAGAAUUAUGUUAGUUGUUGAUGCAUUAUUUAUGAAAUAUUGCACGUAGGAUGUCAAAACAUUGUUUUCUCGACGGUUUCCUUGAGCAAACAUUGUAUGUGAUACAACCAGAAGGUUUUGUCGAUCCUAAAGAUACUAGCAAGUAUGCAAGCUCCAGUGAUCCUUCAAUGGACUGGUGCAAGCAUCUCGGAGUUGGAAUAUACACUUUGAUGAGAUGAUCAAAGAUUUUGGGUUUCUACAAGGUUUAUGAGAAACUUGUAUUUCCAAAGAAGUGAGUGGGAGCACUAUAGAAUUUCUGAUAGGUAUAUGUGGUUGACAUAUUGUGGAUCAGAAGUAAUGUAGAAUUUCUGUAAAGCAUACAAGGUUGUUUGAAACAAGUUUUCAAAGGAGUACCUGGAUUACGCUACUUGAACGUUGAGCAUCAAAGAUCUAUGGAGAUAGAUCGAAAGCGCUUAAUAGAAGUUUCAACAAGAUGCAUGCCUUGACAAGUUUUUGAAAGAGUUCAAAACAGACCAGCAAAGAAGGAGUUCUUGGUUGCGUUGUGAGGUGUGAAUUUGAGUAAGACUCAAAACCCGACCACGGCAGAAUAAAGAGAAUAGACGAAGGUCGUCUUCUAUGCCUUAGCUGUAGAAUCUAAAGUAUGCCAUGCUGUGUACCGCACCUGAAGUGUGCCUUGACUCAAAGUAUGUUGAGAGGUACAGAGAGUGAUCCAUGAUUGAAUCACUAGCAGCGGUCGAAAUUUAUCCUUAGUAACUAAUGGACUAAGGAAUUUUUCUCGAUUAUGGAGGUGGUUAAAGAGUUUGUCGUAAAGGGUUACGUCAAUGCAAGCUUUGACACUAAUCCGGAUAACUAUGAGUAGUGAAACGGAUUCGUAUAGUAGAGUAGAUAUUUGGAGCAUUUCCGAAUAGCACGUAGUAGCAGCAUCUAUAAGAUGACAUAAAGAUUUUUAAAGAACGCACGAAUCUGAAAGUUUCAGAACCGUUGACUAAAACCUCUCUCACGAGCAAGACGUGAUCAGACCCCAUAACUAUAUGGGUGUUGGAUUCGUUGGAAUCACAUGGUGAUGUGAACUAGAUUAUUGACUCUAGUGCAAGUGGGAGACUGUUGGAAAUAUGCCCUAGAGGCAAUAAUAAAUUAGUUAUUAUUAUAUUUCUUAGUUCAUGAUAAUCGUUUAUUAUCCAUGCUAUAAUUGUAUUGAUUGGAAACACAAUACUUGUGUGGAUACAUAGACAAAACACUGUCCCUAGUAAGCCUCUAGUUGACUAGCUCGUUGAUCAAAGAUGGUCAAGGUUUCCUGGCCAUAGGCAAGUGUUGUCACUUGAUAACGGGAUCACAUCAUUAGGAGAAUCAUGUGAUGGACUAGACCCAAACUAAUAGACGUAGCAUGUUGAUCGUGUCAUUUUGUUGCUACUGUUUUCUGCGUGUCAAGUAUUUGUUCCUAUGACCAUGAGAUCAUAUAACUCACGGACACCGGAGGAAUGCCUUGUGUGUAUCAAACGUCGCAACGUAACUGGGUGACUAUAAAGAUGCUCUACAGGUAUCUCCGAAGGUGUUCGUUGAGUUAGUAUGGAUCAAGACUGGGAUUUGUCACUCCGUGUGACGGAGAGGUAUCUCGGGGCCCACUCGGUAAUACAACAUCACACACAAGCCUUGCAAGCAAUGUGACUUAGUGUAAGUUGCGGGAUCUUGUAUUACGGAACGAGUAAAGAGACUUGCCGGUAAACGAGAUUGAAAUAGGUAUGCGGAUACUAACGAUCGAAUCUCGGGCAAGUAACAUACCGAAGGACAAAGGGAAUGACAUACGGGAUUAUAUGAAUCCUUGGCACUGAGGUUCAAACGAUAAGAUCUUCGUAGAAUAUGUAGGAUCCAAUAUGGGCAUCCAGGUCCCGCUAUUGGAUAUUGACCGAGGAGUCACUCGGGUCAUGUCUACAUAGUUCUCGAACCCGCAGGGUCUGCACACUUAAGGUUCGACGUUGUUUUAUGCGUAUUUGAGUUAUAUGGUUGGUUACCGAAUGUUGUUCGGAGUCCCGGAUGAGAUCCAGGACGUCACGAGGAGCUCCGGAAUGGUCCGGAGGUAAAGAUUGAUAUAUAGGAAGUCCUGUUUUGGUCACCGGAAAAGUUUCGGGCUCAUCGGUAGUGUACCGGGAGUGCCGGGAGGGGUGCCGGGGACCAUCGGGAGGGGUGUCACGCCCCAAGGGGUCUCAUGGGCUAUGGGAAGAGAUAAACCAGCCCCUAGUGGGCUGGAAUAAGUUCCCACUAAGGCCCAUAAGGUUUGAGAAGGAAAAAACACAAGGUGGAAAGAGUUUCCAAGUGGGAAGGUGGAAUCCUACUCCAAGUGGAAUUGGAGUAGGACUCCUCCACCUCCAAUUUCGGCCAAGCCUUGAGGGUUUGAGGCUGCCUCUUCCCUCCCCCUCCCUCCUAUAUAUACUGAGGUAUUAGGGCUGAUUUGAGACAACUUUUGCCACGGCAGCCCGACCACAUAUCUCCACGGUUUUUCCUCUAGAUCGCGUUUCUGCGGAGCUCGGGCGGAGCCCUGCUGAGACAAGGUCAUCACCAACCUCCGGAGCGCCGUCCGCUGCCGGAGAACUCUUCUACCUCUCCGUCUCUCUUGCUGGAUCAAGAAGGCCGAGAUCAUCGUCGAGCUGUACGUGUGCUGAACGCGGAGGUGCCGUCCAUUCGGUACUAGAUCGUGGGACUGAUCGCGGGAUUGUUCGCGGGGCGGAUCGAGGGACGUGAGGACGUUCCACUACAUCAACCGCGUUCACUAACGCUUCUGCUGUACGAUCUACAAGGGUACGUAGAUCACUCAUCCCCUCUCGUAGAUGGACGUCACCAUGAUAGGUCUUCGUGCGCGUAGGAAAAUUUUUGUUUCCCAUGCGACGUUCCCCAACAGGGAUUACCGUACCACUCUGGAGCAGCGCGUGAUCUCGUCGACCUGCGUGGUUCAACAGAAACUUGAACUGGAGUUUCAUGAUCACCAUCAUUAACUUCCUCCUCAACCGGCGUCGCAACGACAGAGGUUUCCCCUUGCCCUGCGCCACCAUCCAGAGGGAUGAGAGGUUCGAUAACCUCGUCAAGUUCUAUCUUCCUCCCACUCAAUUCUCUCGAGAGAAACUCCUUCUCGAGAAAAGCUCCGUUCUUAGCAACAAACACUUUGCCCUCGGAUUUGAGAUAGAAGGUGUACCCAACUGUCUCUUUUGGGUAACCUAUGAAGACGCACUUUUCCGCUUUGGGUUCCAGCGUUUCAGGCUGAAGCUUUUUGACAUAAGCAUCACAUCCCCAAACUUUAAGAAACGACAACUUUGGCCUUUUGCCAUACCACAGUUCGUAUGGUGUCGUCUCAACGGAUUUUGAUGGUGCCCUAUUUAAAGUGAAUGCAGCUGUUUCCAAUGCAUAACCCCAAAAUGAUAAUGGCAAAUCAGUAAGAGACAUCAUAGAUCGCACCAUCUCUAACAAAGUACGAUUACGACGUUCGGACACACCAUUACGCUAUGGUGUUCCAGGCGGUGUCAACUGUGAAACAAUUCCACAUUUUCUUAAGUGAUCACCAAACUCGAAACUCAGAUAUUCACCCCCACGAUCAGACCGUAGGAACUUGAUCUUCUUGUUACGAUGAUUUUCCACUUCACUCUGAAAUUGCUUGAACUUUUCAAAUGUUUCAGACUUGUGCUUCAUCAAGUAGACAUAACCAUACCUACUCAAAUCGUCAGUGAAGGUGAGAAAAUAACGAUAUCCGCCGCGUGCCUCCAUGCUCAUUGGACCACACACAUCGGUAUGUAUGAUUUCCAAUAAGUCACUUGCACGCUCCAUUGUUCCGGAGAACGGAGUCUUAGUCAUCUUGCCCAUGAGGCAUGGUUCGCACGUGUCAAGUGAAUCAAAGUCAAGUGACUCCAAAAGUCCAUCAGCAUGGAGUUUCUUCAUGCGCUUUACACCAAUAUGACCCAAGCGGCAGUGCCACAAAAAUAUGGCGCUAUCAUUGUUUACUCUAACUCUUUUGGUCUCAAUGUUAUGUAUAUGCGUAUCGCUAUCAAGACUCAAUAUGAACAAUCCUCUCACAUUCGGUGCAUGACCAUAAAAGAUGUUACUCAUAGAAAUAGAACAACCAUUAUUCUCUGACUUAAAAGAGUAACCGUCCCGCAAUAAACAAGAUCCAGAUAUAAUGUUCAUGCUCAACGCAUGCACUAAAUAACAAUGAUUUAAGUUCAUCACUAAUCCCGACGGUAGCUGAAGUGACACUGUGCCGACGGCGAUUGCAUCAACCUUGGAACCAUUUCCUACGCGCAUCGUCACUUCAUCUUUCGCCAGCCUUCGUCUAUUCCGCAGUUCCUGUUUCGAGUUGCAAAUAUGAGCAACAGAACCGGUAUCGAAUACCCAGGCACUACUACGAGAGCCGGUUAAGUACACAUCAAUAACAUGUAUAUCAAAUAUACCUGAUUUUUCUUUGAGUCCUCCCCCUUGGACUCGGCCGACCCCCUUGGGGCUCCUUGACUAAGGGGUCCUCGGGCAGCCGACCUAUCUCUACAGGCCAGACUCCUAGGUUACUUUGGGCAGUCGAUGACAUAUACGAGGAAUAUUCCACAAGACUUGGUGAUCAAGACAAGGACUCCUCCGCACUGACAUAGCCGACUAGGACUCUUGUUAUCCUAGGCAUACGGUGCAUUAUAUAAACCGAGGCCAGGCUAGUCGAUAGACAAUCUCAUAUUCAUUAGACACAACGUCUACAUCAUUAGGGUUUUUACCAUAACAUAUGAUCUCGAUGUAGAUCAACUCGGUACUCGAUACUCCAUCAUCAAUAUAAACAAGAGCAUGACAUAGGGUUUUACCUCCAUCAAGAAGGCCCGAACUUGGGUAAACAUCGUCUCCUUCGUCCCUUGUUACCCAUCGAUCCAAGAUCCAUGUUUAGGACUCCCUACCCGAGAUCCGCCGGUUUUGACACCGACAGUGGGCACUGAAUUGCAUCAAAGUACUCGGGUUACGAUUUUUGAUAAAUCUGAUUUCUUGGUAAUUCAACACCAAACUUUUCCCGAAGCAUCUUAGUCAUCUCCAAAGUGGACAUUGAAGUUUCCUGCAGUGGCAUAACAGGAGUAGGAUUACUAGUUGUAGGUAGAAACUAUGGCAUGUAUGCCGAACCAUAAUUCGGCAGUGGUCUAGCAGCGUUUGCACCUAUAGGUAAUGCUUGGUUCGACGUUUCCACCGAACUUGGUAUGCUCAUGAUAGGACUAAUGGGGGCAGCCACAAUCUGAUUUGUUUGAGCAGGAUAAUAAUUCAUCGGCAUGGGAAGUGCCGAUCAAAUAGGUAAAGACAGAUUAGGGUUUUCUACACGAGUUGGCACACCAACAUUACGAGUAGAUGAUUGAGGCAUAUUUUUCCGAGCAUUAGUAUUUUCUAAAGAAGAUUGAUAGACCAAAUUGUUAGCAUCAGCAAUACGACUCUCAUUCUCAGCCCAUUGUUGAGGAGAAAAGGUAGCACUCACAUGGGGUUUAACCUGCUCGGCUUGAAGAGGAGGAAACUUGAUUUCUCCAAUCGGAGUGAUAUUGCCUUGGUGAUCCUUCUUGAAGUUUUCAAGGAACUCCUACAACUCCUUCUCUUCGCGCGCCUUCUUGUACUCCUUGUAAGCUUGGCGAUGAUCGGCCGAUAGUUCAUCAAGCUUGGUCUUAAUGAUGUUAUCAGCGUCUAUCUCAGAUGGGUUGGGAAGAUCAGACAUGAUGGUUGAUGAUAUGUCCCGAGCGGAGUCGCCAAAAAGUGUGUUGACACACGAACACGUCACCAUGUACCCUCGAUGCCAGGGGUGAUGCACCGCAGGUCAUGUCAAAGGAGGCCCGUCUGCUAGCGCGAUACGCAAGACAGCCAGCGGACGCUUUUGCAGACCCAAAACCCCGUGUGCCCGAGAGGGACCCCGUCAGGGAGUGCGACGGCUAUGGGCUGCCCUAGGUUGAAUCGCUCUCCCCUAGAGACUUGGGAUUUGCAGCUCUCAAACUUGAGGAAUAGCGAAGAACGAGAGACAAAAAUAAUGGAGAGAUAAAACGUAGAUAAAAAAGUAGUAUAGAUUGAUUUGUUCGAUUGUGUGUUGUUUCAAUCGACCGUCACGUCCAAUAUAUAUAAGAGGUGGCUGGACUUCCCGUACAAGCAAAUGAUUCAUCUAGGUUUUUUCUUACAAGAAAAUUGCACCAAAUCAUGUCCUAGAGUCCUAUUCUAGUUCAACUCGGAUUCAACCCGAAUCUGGCCCAAACUCAUGUCUUGCUUCUUGCACGGCCUGUAGAAUUUGCACAUGACCUCCGUUUGAGACGAUUCUUAUACCAAAAUCGACCACUUCGGUGAGACAAACAAUUCUUCUAUUGAUCACUUUUUUAAAUGAGGUAAUGUUGAGUACUUUACGAGAUCAUCUUGAACUCCUAGUCGGAUUCGGUCACAUGGCUGACUCGCAUUGUCCUAAUCUUGUACCAUUUCUGCAUGCUGCAUACCAUCUCAGAUAAUGAUGACUCCGAAAGCAAAGUUAACCACUUCGACGAUACACACAACUUUCGUGUUGAACACUUUUUCAUGUGAAGAUAUUUAUAUAACCUUUUGGGUCCAUCUUCAGCUUCCGGUUGGAUUGGCCAACGUUACUCGGAUUCGAACCUCUUCAAUCAGAUAUUAGGAUCCUUCACUCGCAUUGUGCAAUCAUAUUUCUUCAUUCUAAUAACAGUUUUUUUACCUUGACAAGAAACUUUUUAUUUGCCUGACAUCUUUUCAUUCGGCCGACAAACUUUUCACUCGGAUUACCGACUGAAACUUCAAUCUGAUCUUGCUUUGCCUCUCCAGGUUGCAUAUGAGCUCGGAUUGAGACGACGUAUAUCAAGAUCAAAUGGCUCGACGAGACGAAACUCUUUCAUGUUGUAAGUUUUUCCAUUCGAGGCUGUCUUGAAGACCGAAUAGCUUGCGCGCAGGGCCGGUCCUGGGAUUUUGGAGGGCCAGGGAGAAACUAGAUCUAGGGGCCCUUAAGAGAAACACAAGAAAAAUACAAGAACAUACGUAAAAUCGUCAACCAAAGGAAAACCAAUAAUAUCUAUAUUACAAAUCUCUUCUUCACUAAUAUGUCUCAUUAAGCUUUUCUAAUUUCUUUGACCAUAAUCAUCUAUAAUAAAAACCGAUACUUCGUCAUUUAAAUGCUCAAGAUCACUCACUUUUGUUAUCACACAGGAUGUAAAUCCCUCACCUCAUAUGGAUUAAAAAUUAGUUUAUUACUCCACAACAAUUAUCAACAUGUCGCCAAACAAAAAUAAUUGAUAAACCCAAUCAUCUAUGCAUAAACAGUAUCUAAUAAAUAGAUUAUAAGUGGCCAGUUGCAACAAUGAAGAGGCAAUGUUGAUGAUAAUUUUAUAUUUUUUAAUCAAUCAUCAUGAUAAAAUCUCAUACUAAAUAGAUUAUACCUAUAUAAAUAAAUAUCAUAGACAUACCUUCUUUCUUUCUAAUUUUGUAGUAGCGGAUUUCAUCUCCGGAGAGUCGGUAUAAUCAGCAUGUGAGGUAGUGAUUUGUUAUCUCUAGCAGUACGUUCCUCCUACGACUCAGGCCUACUCUCACUCGAGGCACCGCCAUGCACACACAAUAGAUGAAUAUCAAUCGUCGAGGCAGCACCAUGGACGCACAAGAGAUGAAUAUCAAUCGUCGAGGCAGCGCCAUGGAUGCACAAGAGAUGAAUAUCAAUCGUCGCCCGGGGAGAGAUCCAUUCUAUCGUUUUAGAAUCUGUUCAUACUCCUGCAGUACUCUCGAGGAGAGACCCAUUCUCGCGUUUCAGGCUCUGUUCAUACGGCUGCAGUAGUCUCGUGGAUUAAGGAAGUAAAUAAGAUUCUAGAAAAAAGGAAGUAACUCAGGAGCGAAUUCUUUUUCUAUAACAACCCAUAACUAGUCGCAUGCAAUAUCUAAUAUUUUCCCAACCGACCAGCAAGGCCUCUCAAUUUAGCAAGAAGGAAAUCAGGGCAAAGGAGUACUCCUGAAUUCUAGGAUUGUAGAUUUAGGAAGGAAGUCGUAGAUUAAGGAAAGCAUCCCUAAAACAAUGAAGGAAAUCAUAGCAGGAAUGAAAUCAGGGAUAGUACGUAAUAUAAUUGGGCAUUUUGGGGCCCUGCUGGCACCGGGGGCCGGGGGCGGUCGCCCCUCUCGCCCCCCCUCAGGGCCGGGCCUGCUUGCGCGACCCAUCAUACAUCAUCUAGGUGGUUGUCUGAUCCCUCACGCCACCCUUUGACAUCAUCUAGGUGGUUGUUUGAUCCCUCGCGUCGCUUUUUGCCUUAUGGUAGAGUCAUAUUCUGAUGGAUCUAACUUUUGCAUGCAAGCUCGGAUUGGAAUGAUUUUUAUAUCAAAAUCGACCGUUUCGACAAGAAGAAGACAAUCCGUGUAGAACAGUUUCUUAUAUGAAAUCAUCUUGAGGACUUAAUCGGCCGAACAUCACUCGAGAAGUAAAAUUCUGGCAUUUCGAAUGCAAUUUCGGCCCUUAAGAUGAGAUUGGACAACGAUGUCCUAGACAUCAAAAUUGUUCCAUUCGACGUUAUAGAACUUCUUUUUAACACCUUUUCAUUCGAUACCAUCUUAAUUGUAUUUUACACCAUGCCAAAAUCAGGUGUCAACAAACGUUGAAUGGCCUGCUUCCGCUCCGUGCCUGCAAAUUUACGAAUCAACAUUAGAGAUGCCCUCACAUAUUUUUGUAUCCUGAUUAGCCAUUAUCCGAUCUAAGAUUAAUAAUUAUCGGUUCAAUAUUCAUCACACAUGUGACAUAUUAGACAUCCACUCAUACAUCGUGUAUGGCGUACAUAGGAGACAUCCCACGCGGGUCGGCGAAUAAUAGAAUUGUCCACACGUGUGGGCAUAAAUACUUCAUGCCACACGUCCAACAAAUACUACUCAUCCCACCGGAUGCGUGUGGCAUGAAGCAAAUCUGCCCACACGUUCUGACGUCGCUGCGUUAGUUACCCGCGGGACGACACUUUAGUUACCCCCGAAGAUGUCAACUCUAGUUACCUGGAAUGGCAAAUAUAGUUGUAAAAGCAUGUCAACUCUAUAUUUUGGUUAACUAUAGUUACACACGAGAUGACAGUUUAGUUAUCCGGAGGAUAUUGCCAUGUGUGCCUAUCUAGUUGCCGCGUGUGGUCCAACUAUAUUUGUCAUGUUUGGUUAAUCGUAGUUGCCAUGUGUGUUUAUCUGGUUGCCAUGAAUGCGCAACUGCAGUUGCCAUCUAGCAACGAAUCAUAAUUGCCAUGCGUAUCUACAUAGUUGCCACGUAUGUGCAAUUGCACUUGCCAUCUAGCAACGUACGAGCGUCGUGUGGGUGAAGAGUAGUUCGGCCACACACGCGUGAACUAGGUGGUGACUGUGUGGGUAAAAACUGGUUCGCUCAUAUUUUGCAGUUGGCAACCGCGCGUUGUGGGUCGUGUGGGUGAACUUUCCAACGCCCACAGACGACAAUGUCUACGUGGCACUGAAAUUCUAAUAGAUGCGUGUGGGUGAAGUGUAACAUGCGUGACCGUUAUCAUUUUCCAAUAAUUAUUACCAGAUCUAAAAUUAAGAUUUUUUUCUGUGUGUUUUUUUUCGGAAAAAAGAAGGACGGGGUCGUCGUCUUCAACCUUCCUUCCCCUCCUGUUCCUCCACCCCAACCGCGCCAUUACCACUGUGGUCAGUAGUCCAGUAGCCCCCCUCCUCCCCUCCGGAAAGCUCACCGCUCCCCCCCUCCGGAUGGCCUGGUGGAGGCGCUCCGCCUACGACACCUCCGAUUCCACGCCCGCUUUCCCCGCCCGCGCAUCCACCUCCACGCCCGCGUCUCCCACCCGCACCCCCCGCCGCGAUGGCGGAUACCUUCUUCCGGAGACCGAGCACCGGCCCCGUCUGACCAGGCAGGGGCGGCUGCGCCAUGUCGUCGAGGUCGGGAGCUCCUCGCCUCCCCUGGACUAUUCGCUCGCCGCCGCGCCGUCAUCCUCGUAUUCAGCGAGGAGUGAUGUGGUCUGGUCUUGGCUCAUGUCCACGAGCUCGGCGCCGAUCUCGUCGUCGCAGAGUAGCAUGGAGGUGCCGCCGGCUAGGUCCUCGUCGAAACCCAUGCCAUUGCCCCACCCUCUGCCGCUGCCGCACGAGGAGGACGCCGCUCCGUCGUCCUCGGACCAAGCGACGACGGACGCGAUCUGGUCUGAGCUCGCGAACGCGAGCCCAGAGCGGAUCUCGAGUUCACGGAGUAGAAUGGAGGAGACCACACUGGAGGAGACGCCGGCGAGGUCGUCGUCGGAACCCAUGCCGCUGCCCGACAAGGAUGACGCUACAUACUCAGCGAGGAGGGACACGGUCCCGGUGAAGAUGGGGGGCAGUCCUGAUUCCGCUUCGCUUGAGGCAAAUAUGCAGGAUCCCCCCAUCACGGCUUUGCUCGGCCCCAUGGGUCGCCUCCUCCGGCGACUCCAUUCAUUCGAGUCUUCCGACCACCGUCUUCCAGGGGGGCUUACUGCGAACGGGAUCCGGCUUCUCAGAGAAGGUCUAGAAGGAUUGUACGACUGACUCAAGGAUGUGCCGGAUGCAGAUCUGGACCUCGGUGCCACGCCCAAAUGGUGGACCAAGGAAGUCCGGGAACUUGCUUACGACACGGAGGACUUAUUCGACAACGUUAUGCAAUCCGGUGCCGGCACCGGCGAUGGCGUUGCUGUCGGCAGAAGCUCUCUUCUUAGUUGGAUUAUCAAUAAGCGGAAGCAGCGCUUGCCCCAGAUUGCACAGGAUUUCUCACAUUUAAUGGCUCGUUUGGAUGAUGCGAGAGAAAGAUGCAAAAGUUUCCAGUUUGCUCCAGAGACAGCCAUCAAACCUGACCAUGGGCAAGCCAGUACCAGCCGCCACACACCUGAACUGCCCCUCGACCUGCCGGUGUCGGCCGUGUCGAUCUCCAAUGUCCAUGUGAACACCGCUGGCUGUAGCCUAGUUGGUGUAGAGCAACCCAUGAAGAAGCUUGUUAACUUGCUGGCUUUUGGCGAUGACAACCAGAAGCAACUCAAGGUAAUAUCUAUCUCUGGAUCUGCAGGAGUGGGAAAAACUACGGUUGCGAGAACCAUAUAUCAUCGGUAUGGACGGGAGUUCCAGUGCCGGGCUUUUGUAAGGGUGUCCCGAAAUCCCGAUAUGAGGAGGCUUCUCACCAGCGUCCUCUCACAAACUAAAGCACCACGGACUCAUUCCUUUUCUGAUGCGCAGGACCUUAUUGACAGUAUCAUCAAACAUCUUCAAGGAAAAAGGUAUUUCCCUAUUGAUAGUAUCACCUCGUGAGUCAUGAGGUGCAAAGUUUAAUCCGUCGCCGAAAUGAUAUUAUGGAAAUUUUAUUUGGCUGAAGUGGAUUUUAGUAAUUAUCAUAUCGCGCUUCGAAUUUGUCCUUUUCUUUUCUUGUAAGGUUCACAUUUCAUCAUAUGUAUCAUGAACUUCUAAAGGUAUCAUCAAUGUUCUAACAUGGCGUAUCUAUGAGUUUUAUGACAUUUUUUGAGAUGCUGACGUACUCAAACUCCAAACUCAUGGAUCCACCCUUUCAUGUAGACUGUCCAUUUUCUCAAAAGAAGUACAUUGUUCGCUCUCCUCAGAAAACUAAAAAAAAUCAGGAGAUAAGUCUAAUGUUUUUCUCAUAAACAUCGCCAAUUACUCUUUCCUUAGUUGUAUGUGUUCUUGUUCUUAUGUAUUUCUUUUAGAGAUAAAUCAAGUUUUGUAUUAAUUGUGUUUCUUUUGUGUAAGCUUGACCAAAUAUAUUUGUCAUGACUUGCAGCUAUUUCAUUGUAGUUGAUGAUUUAUGGGCAUCAUCAGAAUGGGAUAUUAUUAGCCGUGCUUUUCCUUAUGGUGAUCGUUGCAGCAGAAUACUGACAACCACACAAGUUGAGGAUGUAGCAUUAGCAUGCUCUGGUUAUGAGACAGAAUACAUAUUUGAGAUGAGACCUCUUAAUGAUGGUGAAGCUCGGAAAUUAUUCUUCAAUAAUGUUUUUGGUUCCGAAAGUGAAGAUGCUUGCCCUAAAGAGUUUGAAGUAGUUGCAGAUAGGAUUAUCAGGAAAUGCAGUGGUUUACCAUUAUCAAUUGUAAGUAUAGCAAGCCUGUUGCUCCCAAGCAAGUGGAACCCUGCAAUGUGGGAGAAGGUAGAAAGUUCUCUCCCCUCCAUUUUGAGGAUAGAUCCUACUUCCCAAGGGAUGAAAGAUGUUCUAAUCCUUAUUUACAAUAAGCUUCCAAUUCAUUUGAAGACAUGCUUGCUCUACCUUGGUAUGUAUCCAGAGGGCUGCACUAUCACGAAGGAUGAUUUGGUGAAGCAAUGGGUAGCUGAAAGUUUGGUCAGUGACACCGAUUAUGGUUGCUUCGACGAGCUCGUCAGAAGAGGUAUGAUCCAACCUGUUGACACCAACUACGAUGGGGAGGUGUUGUCAUGUACAGUUAAUCACAUGGUAAUGGAUCUUAUCAGGUACAAAUCUAUUGAGGAUAAUUUCAUCAUUGUUGUGAAAUAUUUUGAAUCAACUCUGCUGCUUCCUGACAAGGUUCGUCGAUUGUCCCUCCAGUUUGGAGGUUCAAAAAGUGCAAAGAUACCAGAAAGCAUCAGAAUGUCCCAAGUUCGAUCACUUCUGUUUUGUGGAUCCUCCAGAUGCGUGCCUUCCAUUCCGGACUAUUGCAUUCUCCAAGUCCUGAUUCUUCAUAUUUGGGCUGAUCAAGAUCAGAUGAGUUUUGACCUCACUAGAAUCAAUGAGCUAUUUCGACUGAGAUAUCUGAUGGUUGAGUGUAAUAUCACCAUCAAUUUGCCAGACAAGAUUAAAGGAUUGCAAUACUUGGAGACACUGCAAUUAGAUGGAAGACUAUCUUCUGUUCCAUCAGAUAUUGGUCAUUUGGAGAAUUUACGGCACCUCUGCCUUCCAAGCCAGCCUAAUGUGAGGGACCUUGACAGGCUGACCAAUCUCCAGGAUCUUCAUCUCACCCUUUCUACAGCACAGCCAAUUGAGAAUCUGGAGGUUACCUUGAAAUACCUGGGCUCAAUUCUCCACAAACUCAACAACCUCAAGUCUAUAAUUAUGGCAGCUGCAGGUUCCUUUCCUGUAAAUACUUCAAGUGUGAGCAUUUCGUGUGAUGGCUUGAGCAGCGUGUCCCCUGUUCUGGCCCAUCUUGAGAAGCUUGAGCUAUUGCCACGGGUUUGCAUCUUUCCCAGCCUCCCAAGGUGGUUUAAGACACUUGACAAACUCUGCACUCUAAAGAUAGCAAUUAGAGAGUUGUCUAACAGUGAAAUGGAUAUCGUUAAAGGAUUGCCUGCCCUCAGUGCUCUCUUGCUGUAUAUCCAGAUAGCGCCGGCAGAGAGGAUUGUCUUUGGCAAGUCCGGAUUUUCAGCUCUCAAGUACUUCAAGUUGAGGUGCACUGAACCUUUGCUGAAAUUCGAGGCUGGUGCAAUGCCUAAUCUUCGGAAGCUCAAGCUACUCUUCAGUGUCCAGGAAGUGCAGCAGCAUGGAGUUGUACCUAUCUGCAUUGAGCACUUGGCAGGGCUUAAAGAGAUAUCUGCUAAAAUCGGGGGUGUAGGUGCUGCUGGCACAGAGUCUGCCUUGAGGAUUUCUGUUAGCAAUGAUUCGAAAAAUCCAAAAAUCAACGGUCAACUGGUGAACUGGAAUUUCUGUGCCGAUGAAGAUAGAAUUAUCACGACACCAGACCAAGCAGUUGUGAUUAUGGAAGAACAAGGUGAGAUCCUGGAAAACACAGACUACGGGUACAAAGGGGAUGAUGGGGACCCACAACCUGAUAGCGGGUAUGGAUUUUUCCUUUCUUUUAUUUAUUGAUCUUCAACCUAUUUUUCUUGUGUGAUGCUAAACGGUUGCUGUAAUCAGGAUUUCUAUGCUGCCGGGGGCCUCUCCCUCGUUUCCUCAGAGACCCACUGACAGGCUAUACGGCCAGAAGCUCCUUUCUGCGUGGUCCAGGGCCAGGCGCACCUUGAAAGCCAGGCCCCAGACCUUGAAAGCCGGCAAUGAGGGCCACAACGGCCUCCUCCGGUGGCACAAUCUUGCACAAUGCAACGCUGGUGAGCUCUCCAUGGCUUAUGUCCAGGCUAAUAAUCUGAUGGAGGACCAUUGUCGCGUAGAGUCGUCUCCUACCCUCGGCACCUUUGUCGGUGUCUUUGAUGGUCACGGUGGCAACGAAGCUGCCCGCUUCACUUCUGAGCAUCUCUUCCCUAAUCUCCAAUCCGAAGCCACGUCUAACUGGCAGGGCGUGACAGAUGAAACCAUCAGGAAGGCUUUCCUGGACACAGAUGAAAGCUACAUCGCUCAUGUAGAGAAACAAUGGUCAGUCAAGCCCCAGCUUGCCGCCGUUGGGUCAUGCUGCCUCGUCGGCAUCGUGUGCCAGCGGACUCUCUUCAUCGCAAACCUCGGGAACUCCCGAGCUGUUCUUGGAAAAGCUGAUCUCAGUGGGCAGAUUUCCUCAGUGCAGCUGUCGACUGAACAUAAUGCCUCUGACGAGAGUGUCAGGCAGGAGCUCUGGGCUCAGCACCCUGAUGAUCCGCAUAUUGUGGUGUUUAAGGAUAAUGUCUGGAGAGUGAAAGGCAUCAUACAGGUCGUUCUUAUCUUAAUGUUUGGUUCUGUAUUGUUGUACGUGUAUUCAUGUUCAGUGCUUACGCGGUGGAUGAUGCAGGUUUCAAGAACAAUAGGUGACGCAUACUUGAAACACCAGCGGUUUAACAGGGAACCGCUCCAUAGUAUGUUUAAGCUCCGGGAACCAUUCAGCCGGCCUAUAUUGAGUGCCAGCCCAUCUAUCAUGUCACACAGUCUUCAACCAAGUGAUCGUUUCAUCAUAUUUGCCUCCGAUGGCCUGUGGGAACACUUGAGUAAUGAGACAGCCGUCAAGAUUGUUCACAAACAUGGGCGUACUGUAAGCCUCCACACUUGUAUAUUUUCUCUCAUUCGGCUUGUUUAUGUAAUAAUGCUUCUUGGUUUUCAACUGUUGCCUAAGAUGAUCUAAAAUCGACCAAUUUGUGAAAUCUCUAUGGCCAUAACAUUUACCAUCAAACACGUCUAUUAAAUCUGUAUGCCUUCAUUCAAACCUUUUAAUGCAAACUUAUAAACAUUGUUACAGUAGGGAAGUUUUGCUUUGCAUUAGAAAACUAGGAGUACCUGGGGAAUUGUUGUUAACUCUUUCCUUACUUCAUCCAGGCCAUGGAAGUAGUUAUCUACAUGCUAAAUAUGUACCGGGCCAUUCAUUGUAGGUACAUACAAGUAAUGAAGUCUAGCUACUUACAAGAAAAGAACACCAGUUAUUUCUAUUAUUUCAAGUUCCUAGGGAUUCCUGCCAUAUGCAUUUCUGUUUAGUGCUCUUGAUACUCUUGGUUUGUACUAUAACGCUAUGUCUGAAGCAGCCAAGUAAAGAUAAACAGAUAUGGCUUGCAAUUUGAGAUGCUCUGUAGUCCAUGUAAUGUGAACCAUAAAUUUAAUUCACUUGGUGCAAGGAUAGUUUUUGUAUUUAUUUAAUUAUUUAAUUUCCAAGAGAAAAAUUGUAUUUUUUUUAACUGGCAUGCCUUUUUUUUAUUCAGGGAAUUGCAAAAAGGCUUGUAAAAGCAGCUCUACAGGAAGCAGCGCGGAAACGUGACAUGCGUUUCUCAGAUCUCAAGAAGAUAGAUAGGGGCGUUCGGAGGCAUUUUCAUGAUGACAUAACUGUAGUUGUCUUAUUUAUAGAUCAUGGCGGCCUAUCAUUGAAAGAUCAUUCACAAGAAAGUCUGGCCCUUUCCAUUAGUGCACCUUCGUGCAUCGGCGAUCUGGCCUGGUCGUAACGUUGGUUUUACUGUGCUCACCCGUCAAACUACGUAUGAUGAUUAUUGGUUCAUAACUUUGAUGCUGCUGUGCUCGUCUGUCAAAGUAUGUAGGAUGAUGUCUAUUGUCUAAUCCCAAUGCUUUAUUAUGUUCCAUUCCAUAUAUAAAAUGGUCUCUAAAACCCCUUUCUCCGAAGAAGGUGGCUUUAACACAGCAUUUUCUACCGGGGAAAGCUGGGGUAUGACAUGCCCUUGAUCAUGCUUACCCGCGUAAUCCAGUGAACAUAGUUUUUGAACUAGUACUACUUGGGUUACCUUGACCAUGCUGGGGGCUGAGGGCUAUUCUGCUGUGGAGAGGUGUGGCAUUGUUUUUGGAAGUACAAGCUGGUUGGUUUGUAAAUAGAGAAUACUGCAAUAGCGAACUUGGAUGUCUUUUCAUAAAUGGUUUGCGUUUCUGUGUUCUGCUUUGUACUACUAGUACCUGAGUAGAGUUUUUGGCUGUGCCCGAUGACUGUUUGAGUGUUCAGCUUGGUUGUUCCUGUAUCAUGUAUCGCUAUAACCGGAUGCCUUUUUUUUAGGUAAACGCUUCUAGACGGCGCGUCGGCCGGCGCGCGCAACGUUCCAUCCCGCACAUCGCCCGCCUGCGUCUCGCUGCUUACACCACGCGCAUAGUUUUUUUUCCCUGUGUCUUAUCUUCUUCCACCUCCCGAAUUUUUAUCUAAACGCAGCCCUUGUCGCCAGGAUGUGAGGCGGCCAGUGGCCACAGAAAAACAACAACCACGAACGGAACAUGUAGCCAGGCGGCAUGCACAUCCUAUUUAUAUUUGUAUUAUAUACUCCCUUCGUUCCUAAAUAUAAGAUCUUUUAAAGAUUGUACUAUAAACUACAUACGGAUGUACAUAGAUAUAUUUUAGAGUAUAGAUUCACUUAUUUUGCUCUGUAUGUAGUCUCCUAAUGAAAUUCCUAAAAGGUCUUAUAUUUUGGAACGGAGUGAGUAUAAGCUGGUGAUGCCAUACACAAUCCUCUUCCUCCUGUGUUAUGUUUUGGAUGCAUGCAGUCUUCUUUUUUAUUUUUUGUAACCACAUGCAUUGGUAUUUCCUCACCGAAUGCAAACACAGCAACCGUGCAUGCCUGGCGGCAGGCCCUAGCCCUGUCUCUCGUUCUAUCCCGCACCUGGCUGCGGCAGGGGCUGCCGCCUUGGCAUGCGACGGCAGGCGUUACGUGUCAGCUGGCACACCCAUCGUCACGGUUAGGCUGGUCUGAUCUGGUAAUUUGUCUUAGAGAUGAUAUUUUUGUCAAUUCCAUUCGUCAGUUAGUCUUUUGGACAAAAAUUCCCACCUCCCUCCCUUUAUCCUCUUCCUCCCGUCACUCGCACCUCCUCCAUCUCUCUUUCUUUCUCCAGCUAGAGAAAUCCCCUCCAUGAGAUUCAGCACCGGCCGCUCCUACUAGUGUCGGCCAUGACCGCUCAGCCAACCCCCUUGCCCCUCCCAUCCUAGACCCGGAUGCUAGAGUUGCAACCACGGCCCCGUUGCCGGCAUGGUUUUGGUGCGUGUUACACCCAUGGCGAGGUAGUUCUGCGACCGGCGUCGUGCACUGCUAUGGCUACAACGUUGCGAUGCUACAACCGACAACUGGCUGUGCUCGAACCAUAUAUGCGGUGUGCUGGAACCGUGGGAAAAAAAAUGAUACAUGGAAGGACUACGUGAUGGGGGAACUGGCUGUCGUGAUGGGGGAACUGGCUGUCGAAGCUGCAUUCAGCUACUUCUUUUGCUACAUCCGACAUCAAUUUUUGCUGGAAGUAGUCAAGUAUCUGCUAUGGAAAAAGCUUCAAGCGAAAAAAGAUUCCAUCCGAAAGAAAAUGCUUCAGCCGUUUGUUGAAAAAGCUUCAACCGACUAUGAAAAAGCUUCAUCCGGCUAGAGAAAAAGCUUCGAAGUGGCAUGAGGAAAAUCUUCCACCGCGAAAAAAGCUUCAAUGGUGGAAAAUGCUUCAAGCGACGGUGGAAAAACUUCAACUGGUGAGAGGAAAUGCUUCAAGCGGCAAAUGACGGAAAAGCUUCCACAUGUGAAAAAAGCUUCAACUAGGGAGCACUGAUGGUAUGAGCGGACGACAACACGGUGGUGGCACGACGGACGUGCUACGCCGACGACGGGACUAGGUGCUGCAACGUUUGAGGCACGGGGCAUAUUUUCCGUUGAUUUUGCUACGAGGAGCGAUAGCGUCCUGCUGGAGCCGGCCGACGAUCGGCGACGGGGCGGGAAGUGACCAACUGCAAUCUGCUGCGAGAGGGGAGGGGGGAGGGGGGGGGGGCUAUGUGGGAAACUACCCACAGACGACAUAGGCCGUGGGCCAGCUGGCUAAUCGGGCGGCCAUAGACGCACUCAUCGGAUGGUUACGCUUCCCGACGCAUGUCACUCUCUUUUUUUAUCGGUUUCAUUUAAAAUGAAAGCAAGAGCAGAGAGCUCCUUAUAAACUGAAAAAAAAAUCGACUGCUGUCAUUAUGUUUUUUUUUCUGCUAAGGAAUAAACCAAGCACUCAAUUCUCGAAGAGAAAAACCACUCAAAUCAUUCACACAUGGAAGAACAUUAUUUGGAUCCAGUCGCCUGCGUGCGUGAUGGAUGGAUGUAUUAGCUCAAUUAGGUGGUGUAGUCCUUGAGGAUGUCGAGGGUGAGCUCGCUGGCGUCGGUGGCCUGCACGUCGAUCUGCACGCCGUCCAGCUCCUUCUUGAGCCCCUCCGUGGAGCUGGCGUACACCAUCUUGCUCCUCGAGUCGGCCGCCUCCGGCGACCAGUGGAUGAAGAAGAUCUUGCUCCGCGGCGUGUCCCCCGCCGAGUCCUCCGACACGAAGUCCAGGUCGUAGACGGCGUAGCGGCAGUCGUCGGCCGGCAUCGCCGCCGCCAGGUCGUCGAAGCUGGCCUCCAGGCCGCCCACCUUGUCGACCACCACCUGCUGCGCGUCCGCGUCGUCGUCCAUCUUGUACACCACGAACCGGUGCUUGCGCUCCGCCCGCAGCUCCUGGAACACCUUCACGCACUCCUCGCUCACCGCCACUCCCGACACAGAGUUCGCCUGCGCACCCAACCAAACUUUUAUGUAAAUUAAUCACGAACUAAUUCGAACUGAUCAAGAAGAAGAAGCAGAGCAGGUCGUAAUAGUGCUCACCAUUGUUGAUGGAUCCGGAGGUUGGCUCGAGCGAGGGAAAAUCUGUGUGUGCUGAUGCUGAGACAGGAGCUGCUCGUAUGAUGAAAGCUGAUGGUUGGCUGUGAUGAUGUGUUGUUGAUUGAGCAGUGUCUCGUGUGGUGAUUUUAUAGGAUGGGCGUGACCAUGUCGGCGAGAUAAAGUCAUGGAGGUGUACACGUACGUGUGGGCGCUCGGACGUCGCCGUCGACAUCGAUGGUGCCGACUGUUCUGGACGGGUGGAUGAUGGAGCGGGAAGAAGAAUCAUUGCAGUGAGUCACGCUGAAUAGUUUAAACUUAGGGAGGUCGACGGCGUGGUGUGGUGUGUGGCCAGUUCUGUUCCGCUCGCGUGGUCGGCAGGGUGCGAGGGAUGUGUCCUUUCGAUUGGCUUUAUCCUUACUAGCAAAAAAAAAAAAAAAAAGCCAUGCGUUGCAACGAAAAAGAAAAUAACACACGCUCUGAACUCAAUAUAUUUUCACAUGACAUCAUAUUUAUGUUGCCGACGAUGGUUUUAGUACUCACACAAUAAAAACGCGUUUGAAUGUACAAUCACUCGAAAUAAGAUGAAAAAUAUGUUGUUUCUCCCCACGAGGUUUUUCAAAGGUGAGCAUGUGUGGUUAACGAUGUUUUCUUUCCUCUCAAUUUGGUUUUAAUUUAACGGAUGUUUAUUGCAAUUCGUAUCGUCGCCGGAAAGAGAGAGAAAAAAGGACCGUACACUACAGAUUAAGUUUGCACCAAAAAUAAUAUUUAAGAAGUAUUCAACAGCUAAAAAUAACAUCCUAUUUAGAUUCUACAUAUUUUUUAAUCAAAUUUCAUAUAUAACAUGUUAAAAUCGGAGUUACGGUUUAAAAGAUAUGGAUAAUUUUGUUUUAGAUAAAAUUUGGAUUUAUUAACUGAAAAGUUAGGUUUUUUUUUUGUUAAAAUACGAAGCACGGAUUGAUUACGUGAAACAUCAGGGGGUUUUCUGAACAAUGCAAAAAAGGAUUCGUUUUCUGACUUAAAUCCGGACUGCGGGUUGAUUUCAGGAAACGUCGGGGGCUUUUUUUUUUGUAAAAGUGGCACCACGAAACGUUUCCUCACUUAAAAAAGGACCGCGGGUUGAUUAACUAAAAACGGAGGGACUUUUUCACAAAAAUGCCAGGACGGACGACCAGAAAUCAUAUUUGCUUUAUUAUUAGGGAGAGAUUCGGUCCAGAUCAGCGGCGGCAAUAAGGGCAACUAACGUACUCUAACGGAACGUUUAGAUUCGUACUGACAAAAAAUUAACCUAGUGCGUCGACCCAAACAUACGUGCGUUCGCUUUUUGUCCGCGUGCCGAUCCAUUCCCGGCUCAAUUUUAAGCUUGAUUUGCAUCAGCACGGACACGAAACAGACGUGCGUGACGCGCGCCUACUCCCCUCCCUGGCCCGUCAAUCGGCAGCAAAGCGGACACUUUUUCCUCCCACUUUCCCCAAACCCUCUCGCUCGCUCCCGCGCCUGCUCCCACCGCCAUGGGCGACGAACUCGAGGCUGCCACCGGCCUCGCCUCCCUCGCCUCGUACAACACCGCCCCCGCAGGUAGAGGCAAGCCUCGCACCUCCUGCAAGACCGCCGCACCGCCCAAGAAGAAGAAGAAGAAGAAGAAGAAGGAGUUGACGCCCGAUGAGCGUGGAGUUGACGCCCAAGCCCUUCCAUCUCUCCCAUUGCCGGACUGUCAUCAACGGGGAGGAGAAGUUCAAGGCGCAAUAUGCCGCCCUCUUGGCGGGUGGGGGGCGAGCUGUGGAGGACCAUGGUGACGGCGAGAAGGCUCGACCGCGGGGGAAGACCAACUCGAAGAAGGAGGACAAGCGGGACGCGACGUCAACCGCCUGGCUUCAAAAGUGGACGACAUGAUAAGCAAGAAAGACUUGAGGGAGGAGAAGCACCGGCAAGAAAAGGAAGAGCAAAUGAACGCCUUCAUGAAAAUUCAAAGGAGGAGGCUCGAGAUGGACGCGGAGAAGCAAGCCAAGAUGCUUGAGUUGGAGGAGGCGAAAAAAGCCAAGAUGCUCGAGAUCGAGGCCGCCAAUGCCAAGACCAAGGCGAAAGAAGUGGCUCUGCAAGCAUGAAGAUGGGUGUGGAGAUCAUGAAGGUUGAUCUAAACACUGUCUCGAGGAAGAAGCUAUGGUUUGAGAAGAUGCAGGCUGAAAUGCUCAAGUUCGACCAGUUAUGAUCUGCGACGGAGAUCAUGUCCCUUUUUUGUAUGCUGACAAGUGUACUGGCAUGACCACGGACCGACAUGGCGUGGUCGAAUUCCCGCUCCUUUUGGUGUGCUGGCAUGUGUGUCGGCCGCUGGCAAGUGUGCCAGCAUGAACCACUUGGUGGUUUUCUGUAGGCUGUAAUGUAUGCCUGCUGCUGGCAUCGUGUCGACAUGAACUCUUGGGCGUUGCCAUGAUCUAUGGUCAGGAGCCUUUUUAUCUAAAUGUGCGACAUUAAGUGAGUCGUCCGCGUUUGGGGCACGAUCGACCCAAAAAGAAAACAGGGCGGACGCCAAGCGGGCAGCCGACCCAAACGAUAAAAGGCGGACAAAGCGCGCGUACGUUUGGAUCGCCCCGUUUGAGUUGCUCUAAGAGUAAGAGCAACUCCAAUGGGGCGACCCAUUUCGUCCGUCUGCAUCCGUUUGGGUCGGCGCGGACAAAAGUGGACGCUCAAUGCGUCGACCCAAAGGCAAAUCGCGUCCGCCUCGCGUCCGUGCCGACCCAUUUCCGGCCCUAAAUUGCGCCUGGAAUGGGUCGGGUCGGACGCGAAGCGGACGCGCCGCGCGUCUCCUCGACGUCCGCCGCGUUCCCACCUGUAGGCCACCCAACCGCCAUCGGUCGUCUUAUUUAUGACGACCACCGACACCGGGCCCACUUGUCAGCCUCAGGAAGCGUCCUUUUUUAAGCACGCGUGCGACGAGGGGCCAGCCUCAUCCACUUCUCCCGUCCACAUCUGGCCCCCCACCACUCCCUUUACUUCCUCACCGGCGACAGGAAACCCUAGCCCGCCAUGGGCAUCUUCAGCAGCAACAAUGGCAAGCGCAAGGGCAAGGGCACCCCCGACGGCGAGGAGCAGAUGCGCUAUGAGGCCAUGCUCCAGCGCAAUGCGGAGGCGCUCCGGCUCGAGGAGGAGGAGGAUGAGCGCGUGCGGCUAGCCGCAAUGCCGCCGCCCCAGCAGAUGCCGUAGGAUGCUGUCGUGGCAGCGUACCAGGCGGCCUUCGGGUGGGCUGGCCCUACUCUCGCCUUCAUCGACCUCACCGGCGAUGGCGACGGCGACGUCGACGCCAAGGGCAAGGGUAAGGCCGACGACGUCUAGGGCAGCGUGUGGGGCGGUAGAAGGCGGGCGCAAACUUUUUUUUUAAUAUUUUAAUUAUGUUUAAGUGGAUUUUGGUCGUCGUUUGACCGGCCACUUAUAUGUUUAAUUAUGCUUAUUUUAAGUUUAUUUUGUGCAAGCAUUUUUUUUCAUACCGACAUAUUUGGGUCAGCCUCACCGUUGGACGGUCAAGCUGACCCAUUUUAGAAUGCGGACGCGCACGUCCGUCUGGCCGACCCAAACGGACGAAAAUCGGACAAAGCGCGUGUCCGUUUAGGUCGCCGCGUUGGAGUUGCUCUAACUUUUGAUUUUGCACACAUUUUAUUUUAUCACAGUCAGCCGAGUAGUAGCAUGCCAGGAAGGAUCAUGGUGGUUCCGGACAAAAAGACCUCAUGUAUCCUCAGCCUAAAAAAAGAUUGGAUAUGUGGCAUUUUAGAAGAUCCAUAGUGGUGCUUAUCCCCGGCUUGUUGCUUUAGACUAAGGAGUGGUUGUGAGUGGCUCUACAGAUCGCUUUUUCGUCAAUAAAUGCACCACAUAAGUAAGCUUUGAGGUUUAGAUGACACUCAUUUGUUCAUUUAGUUGGAUGGAGCGUAACUUUCACCUAGAUGUAGGAACUAACCAAGGCAAAGCUCACUUAUACCAUGCUGUCUUGUUACCUUUUUUAAUUGAUUAUUUGUUGAUAGUCUUUCGCUUUUUUGUUUUGUUCUAGGGAAGUUCAUCACCGUACAUAUGAAAAAAAUUUGUAUUGAUACAUGGAGUUAUGUAGGUAACUUUAGUUAUUGUACCUUUUCUCCUUUCAGUAUUUUCUUUGGAAUCAACAUCCGGUACAAAUGCUGCUGAAGUAUACCGAGUAGCACAACAACUUCUAAAGCAUUCAUCUAUUUUCCGUGCUUUGUCGGAUGUUUCAAUGAAACAAUGACAUGUAACUACCGUAUCUUGUUGUUCUGGAGAUUGUGUAUAUUUGAACAUUAUUGUUUUCUUGCAAUGAAGAUUAGCAAAAAAAUUACACGUCAAGUUGUCGUCUUUGGAUUAGUUGUUCGACCAUCGACAACAUGAACUUAAUAAAGAUAGUGAUGAUCGCUUCAGUUUGUUCAUGUGAUCUUGUUUUUCUUUCAGCCCAACAAACGCUAUUAUUGGUUAUGAAACUUGUAUGAUAAUGAAAAAACAUGUUUGAUAAUUAUCUGAUGGUAGUUCAAACGUGCAACUGUGCAAAUUUACUAGUCUUAUAAAAAGGCAGAAGAAAAUAGGAAACCCGGGACUCCCUCCUAACCACUUGGAUACACUUGAGCUCGUGUUUCUUUAGUUGGGCGUGCCCUACUUGAGACAUAAAGUAGAAGGGUGUGCCCUAGUUUUUCUUUUCUUUCUCUAUUUUCAUCAGUGUUAUUCGGUUUUCUUCCUUCUUUCGUUUUUAUGCUCUUAUUUAUUCUUUUUUUUGGUUUAUUUCAUUUGUUUCUUCGUUUUAUUUGUUUUUUCUUGUUUUCUUUUGUUUCCUCUCUUCUCUUCUUCUUUGGUUUUAGUUUAUUUUUCAUUUUUAAAUUUUUUACAUUUAGUUUAUUCUAGUUUUAGUUUAAUUCUUUCUACAUUUGUUUCAUUUUCAUCAGCGUUAGUCGGAUUUUUUUGGGCUCAUAUUUUAUUUUUUCAGUUUUUACUAUUUAUUUUUUCGUAUAUUUUUAUUCUGCAUUUUUUAUAUGUCAAAACAUUUUUCUAAUAGACAUUUAAACUUAUUGUGAUAUGAGUUUAACAGUUUUUAAUGCAUGGUCAAUAUAUUUUUCUAUACACAUGGUUAACAUUUUUUAAAUGAUUGAUCAACGAUCUUGAAUAAAAAACACUGUUUUUUACAAUGCACACUUAACAUUUAUCAAGUGCUUGACUAAUAUUUUAUAUAUGCAAUAUUAAUGUUUUUGAACACAUGGUCAACAUAUUUUCUAUACACAUUUAAUAUUUUCUGAAUGUUUGUCUAACAUUUUUGGAAAUGCUUGAUUACGAUUAUAUAUAUAUAUAUAUAAUGAAAAUAUUUCAUAUUUUUUUAAUAGACUACCAACAUUGCUUAUACAAAUUCAACAUUUUUAAAUGCUUGAUGAAUUUUUUUCAAAUACUUCUUUAACAUUUUUUCCAAAUGCUUAGUUAACAUUUUGAUAUACAUGAAAAAGAAGUUCAUCAUUUUUUAAUACAUGGUCAAUUUUUUACUAUAAAUAUUUAAUAUUUUUCAAAUUCUUGAUAAAAAAUUUGGAAUGCUUGAUUAACAUUUUUAUAUACAUGAUUAAAAACUUCAUCAUUUUUAAUGCAUGUAAAACAAAAAUUCUAUACACUUUUAAUUUUUUUCAAAUGCUUGAUCAAUGUUUUCAAAUACUUGUUCAUAAAACAUCAAAAUACUUGAUUAACAUUUUUCAAAUACAAUAUCUAAAAAAUUAUACACAUUUUUAAUACAUUUUUCAUAUACGUGAUAAACACUUUCUUUAUGCACAUCUACCAUUUUUCACAUGCUCGGUUAACAUAUUUUCAAUAUUUUAAUUCACUUUUUAGAGAUAUAUUUAAGAUAUUUUAUAGUAUAAGUAAAAUUUAAAUAAGAAAGGAAAAAACGAAAGAAAAAAUGUAAUAAAAACAGGAAAAAGGAGGAUAUGGCCACCCGUGCUGUUGGGCCGGCACAUCUUGGUCUCUUAUUCAGAGAGGGUUCCUUCCAUCUCGCUAAAGGUGAGACAUAGAGGUUCUCCAUGGAGAGAGGACUUCGACCGGCGAAGGCUAUACCGUCAUACUGAAAUGUAACUGAACGCACCCCGCAAAAAAAAUGUGACUGAACGUGAUUGCGUUUGACAACUAUGGGGGUUAGACAGAAGCUGCUCUCUCGCUGAAGGAAUCACCGUUCGUGCAGGUAGCUGGACCGGCUCAUGACCAUCCUUCUUUAAAAAGAAAAGACUGAGAAAAGAUGCAAUCAUGGAGGGUUCAACACCGGCAACUCAAGAUUGAAUGACGUCAAUGCUGGCCACUCUGCCCACCUGGGGUUCGUUGUUAGUUUUUUUGGUUAGUAGUAGGUGGCGUCUUUCUUGAGCUAAGAAGAGCCAUUUUUCUCUGUUUUUCCUUUAUUUUUUGUUUUUUUUGUUUUGCCUUCUCCGUAUUUUUAUUCCUUUUUCAUUUUUAUAUAAUGAUAAAAAACUCAUAAUUUCUUAAUACAUGGCCAAAAGUUUUUAUAUACACCAUUAAAAUGUUCAAAAUGCUUGUUUAACAUUUUCCAAAUGCUUGUUAAACAUUUUUUAAAAGUAUGUAUGAAAAUUUUAUACACAUGAUCACAUAAUUUCUUCAUUUUUCAAAGACAUGAUCAACAUUUGUUUUAUACACCUUCAACAUUUUAUGAAUGCCUGAUUAAGAUUUUUAGAACACUUGUUAUUUUUUUCCAAUGCUUAAGUAGCAUUUUUUCAAAUAAUUGUUCAAACUUUUUCAAAUACUUUUUUGACAUUUUAUGAAUGCUUAAUUAGAGAUUAGAGAUUACGAUUUCUUUUCUCUCGAUGCAACGCACAGACCAUUUUGCUAGUACAAACCUAUAAAUAUGUCGAUCAAAUUUAAAUGUUCAUGUACGAACUUUGUAUUUCCGUUAAGAAAUUAAUUCAAAGAGGGAUGCCCCGUUGAGAAAAAAGAUGUAUGAUUCCCAUUGGGCCGAUUUGUCAACGAAGAAACCACAUGUGAUUACGAGAUAAAGAAAAUUCGCAGAAAAACAUAAGCUGCGACCAAGUUCUUUUUCCUUUCGAAAAGGAGGACAAAUACAAGGAGGAGCUUGAUCCCUUCAAAAGUUCCAAUUACACUCCAGAUCUCUUAUUGCCAGAAUAGGGAGAGAUCUUUUUGGUCUCAAGAAACGAAACAGAUUUGCCAUACAAUCAUAUCUAUUCACCCGUUAUAGAUCGAUCUAACAGACGGUGGUGGAGGAAACGGGCUGGAAGCUGAAGUUGGUGCUCGACUCGUAGAUGAAGCUAACCGACCAGGCAGACCCCACUGGGCGGCCGCCGAAGAGGAUGCAGUUGGCGCCGUCGCUGUCCCGCCUGAUGGCGCUGGCCGGGAAGACAUUGAUGGUGUAGUUGAAGCCCGGGCACGCCAGCUUGAUGUUCUUCUGCGCGCAGUUGCACGUGUUGAUCACGCUCACGAAGUGCUGAGGUCUUCCUCCCGGGCCAGCCUCUAUGUUCGUGUUGACGACGAGAUCCGAAGCUCUGCACAACGAUGCAUCUGCAUUGCCUGCGUGAACACCUGGAAAGGAAAAGAGUCUCAGUGGAUGGCAUGGGGAUUCAUGAACAGUGGAUGGCAUGGGGAGUAAUAGGAUUGUCGACUUGGAGAUUGUUUGGAAUACUAUACCUGUGUUGGCAAUGCAAAAGAACAAGCCGGCGACAAGGAUCGCUACUAGUUUGGAGUCCAUGCCGAAGUUACAAUGCCUUUUUGUUGUUCCACAUCGCCUAUGGCUGUUCUAGCAGGCUAUUUAUAGGCCAACGAACCUGAGGAAGUUGGUUGGUGCAUGUAGUAGUAGCAGAUGAUGCGUUGUAGUAAUUACCUUGCUUACACGAUCUUGGGACGUGUUGUGAGGAAAGAGAUUGAUACUCAUUUAAUGUCCACACGAUGUACAAGCCCAGAUUUAGAUCUGAUUUAAAACAUAUACUCUGUUGGUUCUUGUACCUAGGCUAUAUAUGGUAUAGGUGCACUGUUUCAAUCUAGGAUGUAUUCUUUGUUUGAGGAAAGCACUUCGUUCACCUAAUCACGUUCACCAGAUUAAUUGGUAGAGCUUUAGUUAAUUCCCUAAAAGAGACUUGCAUGCCUUUGCUAAGUACUUACUCCCUCCCUUUUUAUCUACUUUGCAUAUUAGAUUUGUCUAGAGUCAAAAAAAUUAAAUUUUGACCAAGUUUAUACAAAAAAAUAUUAACAUCCAUGAUACCAAAUCAACACCAUUAGAGUCAUCAUUCAAUAUAUUAUCAUACCAUAUUUAUUUUUAUUAUGAAACUUAGUUUUUUUUAUAAACAGGUCAACCAUUAUAAAGUUUGACUUAGGUCAAAGCAAAUAUGCGGAAUAAAUGAAAACAGAGGGAAUACAUCCAUAGUAGAGUCAAUAAAAUGCUCACACCGCUCAGGCGGCUCGCAUGCAACCCUAGCCUCCCCCCGUGCCCUCCUACCUAUUAAGUCGCCGUCGAAAGAAGCCGGCAUGCUAAGCCAACCAGGCUGCUGACGGCGGUGGGCUCGUCACCUUGCCGCAGGGAGCCCUCCAGCUAGGGAGCGGCGCGGCCCUAGAUAGUGUGCACUCCAACGGAGCCCAAAUUCCAUGAAGGACCCCCCCCCCCCCCCCAAUGCCUGGUGGUGGUUUGCCGUGUCAGCAUGACACGAUGGUGGAUCAUUUGACCAUUUUCCCGUCUGCAGCGGAAGGUGUUCUAGUCAUCCAAUGGUGUGACCGAGAUCCUAUUUCAUGUCUUGGUUAUAGGGGACAUAUGGCGGUGAUGGCUCGCACCUCAAGGUGCGACAAAGGAGUGGAUGGCGCCCUAAGGCUGCCCGUAAUGGGAGUAUCUCAUAGGUAGUAUCAUGCAUGCCAACUAGGCAAUUUCGAUGAGGUGGCACAGAAUUAAAUGAAGAAAGAGAGGGUUGAGUAUCAUAUCAUGAUACCGUAUCAUAUUAAAUGAUGUGCUACUAUGUGUCUUGCAUGUCAAUAAAUGAACUAUACUAUGAUACUAACAUAUUAUACUAUGCAUUACGGAUGUAGUAUCAUACACUAGUAUCAUAUGCAUGAUACUAACAUAUGAUACUACCCAUUACAACCAGCCUAAUCCGCUGAGAAUUGGCAUCCCCUACUACGUAUAUGUCUUGUUCUUCAUGAUCCCUUUGGCGCAGAUACCGAUGGUGAUGCAACCGAUGGAGUCAUAGGCUACGCAACUUGGCCAAAGAGGCCAUUGGAGGUGGCACAUGCGAUGUGGCCAUGUGGUCCCUUAUGACAGUUUACCCUCCGCACCCUGCCAAUGCGAGGGGUGAACUUUAGCAGGUAUCCAAUGUGACUAUUUCAUUCUUGUUUUCGGAAUUUGGUGGCAACAUGGACAUUAAUUAGAGCAAGACUUCUUCUUGGCAAGUUGGUGGUGGCAACUCCUUUGGGAGCUUCGUUUUUGGUGGUGCUCUUUGAGUACCAAGCAUGGAGUUUUGGGGUGAAAACUCUACUCUGACACUUAUUAAAGCAAGUAUAAUAAGAUACAGUCAGCAGACUGUAAGGAUUAAAAUACUAUAUUUUUGCUGAGUUGGAUGAGAAAGAAGACAAGAGAAAAGGGAAGCGGGCUCUUCGUGAAGAGCUAGCUCUAGCACGUGCUCCUAGGUGCUUUGUGAGAAUGAAAGGUGGGCCAUAUAUAAUAAAAAUAGUAUUCUUUUAUAGCUAACCAUUGUACAAGAUAACUGUAAGAUGGGCUAUAAGAUGGCUUAUAGCCAGCAGUUGACUAUACUAUUAACCAUGCUCUUAGUUGUACUUGGUAGAGGGGUACUAUUAACCAUGCUCUUAGUUGUACUUGGUAGAGGGGGCUAUGCUCCCUUGUAGAAGACACUAGCCGGAGUCUGCUCAGACCUUCUUAGAAAGGUGAAAAAUCAAUGAUCUGUACUACUCCUUCCGUUUUAAAAUAAAUGUCUUAACUUUAUACUAGAUUUAGUCAAAAUUGUAUUAAAUUUGAGACACUAUUUUUGAGACGAACGCAGUAUAUGAUUGGAUAUGUCCAAUAUGACGUUCAUGCAUGAUUACUUUCCAGUUGGUGUCGCUAUUGGGGGACCUUCUUGGAGUUAUGGCGUUUCGUAUGGUGGUAGUAGUUUUUAUUGUUGUGCUACAACAGUUUGUUUCCCUCGUCUUACUUUGUCAGGUCUCUCUUUCUUUCCUUUUUGUUUUUGGUUGUGUUCAUCUUAGAUGUCUCGACAUCUAUGGAUAUCAUGUUGUUGAAAAGGUUGUGUGUAAUUUAAAUCAGCUUGAUAAUAAUAUAAUACCCUUUUAAAAAAUCUGAACAACAGAAUUAAAAUAAAAAAUGAUUGUUUUCCACUUAACUAUAGAAAUGACCGAUCAAUAUUUUGAUAUCCCUUUUUUGCAAGAAAUCUUUCAAUCUAUUCAUCAACUAUCAAGGCAGUACAAACAACAUCAAAAGUAAAAAAUUCAUGUUCAAAAAUUAGUCCAGUCGACCAGUUAACCUGUCGAUUAAUUCCUACUCGUAGGGUCACCGAGUAGUGGAUUAACUGAUAAAUAACCCGAUUAAUGGAUUAAAUGACUGAUUAACUUACCGAUUAGCCUAUUAACUGAGCAGUUACCAGUUAACGAUUCCAUCAACAAUGAAAAAAAAACAUAUAGGUCCGUUUACCAACUAACGACGACUACAAGCACUAGAGCAAGCCAAAGGUGUGCCGCCGUUCUCGCCUCACCCUCACCCGAACCACAAUCAAAAAGUAGUCGUGAUAAGAGUGUAAGACCCUACAAGGCCAGGCACUCGAGCAACAAUCGUCACAAAUGAAGAAAAGCUUAAAUUAGAGGGAUAAAACAUGUAGCCCACAAUCUAACGGAGACCGGAUGCACGUGGAUCCAUCAAAGACAAAUGCCGAUCGAAUCCCAUGAGAUCCACUGGAGACAAAUGCAUGCUAGGCGGACAGAAACACAUUCCAUAUUUUGAUAUCUCAAAAUCCAAAUUUACUUUGGUCUUCGAAUAUCAAGUUGCCUUCCAGUAAAAAACAAGAAUAUCAAACUAGCAAGAUUUGCUUUAAUUCUCGCCCCCACUAAAUGCAUUUGACAUUGAUGCGGCAACGGUUUGACAACAGUGGCUCGCAGUCAUCCCACAAGAUGCUAAAAAACAAUCAAUAAAGUGGAAAGAAAAAUGGAACGAAAAGGCCAUAUAUUUGAAGAUAUUUGUAAACAAGAAAAGCAUCACACUUGUUCCUCCGAGUUAAAAUUGUACACCGGGCUAGUUGGAUCAAAAGAGACGAGCAACCCAAUCAGUUAACGUGUAUACAUAAUCUCCGAACCAAUGAAUGAAUGAAUGAAUCAAGUCACCAAAUAUGUCCACAAAAGUACACGAAUGAAUGAACCAACUAACGAUCAAUACCUAGCUAAGCUACGAGUAUGUGUGUCUGUGUGCAGCGACGUACAAAUCUACACAGGUCGAUCACGAACUCUGUAGCAUAAGUAAAGUUAGCUAAUCAUCAACCUAGACGAACAGCUCGAGCAGGACGGGCGGCGGCUGCGCCACCGCGGCGGAGGCGGCCUCCUGCUCGCGGUGGCGGCGCAUGUGGCCCCCGAGCGCCUGCCCCAUCUCGAACCCUUGCCCGCAGACGUGGCACUGGUGCGCCUGCUUCUGGUCGGUGGCCUUCUUCUGCUCCGGCCCGGUCCCGGUCCCGGCGAGGGCGAGCGCGAGCCCGUUGCGGCCGCGGAGGUGGCUGGUGCGGUGGCCGCCGAGCGCCUGGAACGUCAGGAAGGAGCGGUCGCACGUCUUGCACAUGAACUCCCCACCGGCGGCGGCGGCGGCGCGGCGCGUCCUCUUGGUGCUCCGGUCGGCGACGGCGCCGAGGGAGAGCGAGAGGGAGAGGGACACGAGCUGCUCCGCCGAUGAUGCUCUCUGGUGCUUCGUCAUGGAGGUACUAUAUACGAGCUGCGAUGGAUCGACUGCUGAUCAACCAAACCAGUGGAUUCGGAGCGAAGGUGGCUGUUCGUGUCGUGAAGUUGCGAUGCUGUUGGGAUGGGUGUGUGCGGCUGGCCUUAUAUAUACGGCGUGGAAGGCGACGUAGGACGGUACGAGGGGCUAGCAGCCAGGCAGUUUGGCCACCGGUCACGUGCGCUCCACGUCGGGGCGGACGUCUGCGAGGCCAGGACUCACUCGACGUGGAUGCGCGUCGCCAUCGCUGGGCCGUCCCUCGCUCCCUUCCUUGCCCACCACUCACCGGGACGCGCUUGGAUUAAUUGACGCCGACGUACGUGCGUUCGCGCCGGCUUCGUUCACACAAUGCUGGUGGACGGAGGGAUCUUGGCCCAGCGGUGCUGCUUCGUGCUCCGGAAAAGAGAAGCAGCCGAAAGGCGCCGGCUGGAUGCCAAAAGAGUGUGCGCCGGGUCAAGUCUGACCCGGGAGACGUGGUCUCCCGCCCGACGAAAGAGAACGACAAUGGGCAUGGCGAACCAGACUAGUAUUUACUGUAUAAACGGUCCAGGCUUACCAGAUUUGGCCUAGUUUUUGUGGUCGGUGGGUCGUCUUGGAGAGAAGCCAGGUAUGGAUAGAAUGUCUUGGUCGUGAGCUUGUGUUACCUGUGUAUCGAUCGUGCGGAAUUUUCCGCGUGCGCCACGUACGCGCUUGCUCAGAAUAUGCCGUGCAUUGUAAACAUCCGAUCCAGGAACGUGGUGCUUGCGUGCACGUGUGUACGAGCGUGUUUCGUGUGCAUGUAAUUAAGAUUUGACACGUAAGGUACUAGUACUACGGAGUACGGAGUAUAUAUACUCCUAAAAAAGCAUGUAUUGUAUGCUAGUAAGAAAGUCCUUGCACAUUGACGUACGUACACACUAGAACUACCGUCAGUUCAGAUGAUCUCUGUCUCGGUUUGCGUACUAGCACGCGUGGAUCCCCAACCAACUUGCCGAGAAGCAACAUGUUGCAUCCAUGUCGCACCGAUGUGCCGAGGCCGUGUGCCAGUCAUCGGCCCUGUUUGGAUCCAUAGGCUAGAGUUAGUUUGAGCUAGUUGGGGCUCAAAUAGCUCUAAAGUAUCCAAACAUGAGAGUUAGAUUGAAGCUAGUUGCAUCUAACCCAUUCAAAAAAACUAGCCCAUCCAAGAGGUGAUAAUUGGAGCUAGUUUUCAUGGUGCCUACUAAAAAGUCAUUUUUCUCUCUCUAUCCACUAGAUAAUAGGUGUUAAUUGAAGCUAGUUUUCAAGGGACUCACUAAAAAAUAACUUUCCUCUCUCCAUCAAGUACAACUAAUCUAACCCUAUCAUCCAAACACCUUUUUGGCUAGAGUUAGUUUAGGGUUAGUCAUGAGCUAGAAACUAACUCUAACCUCUAGCUAAGUUAGAGUAUCCAAACAGGGCCAUUGACAUACGUCUACUGGUACGUACGUGAAGCGUCUGGCAGAUGAUCAAUUGAUGCCGACAAAGCGCGUGCUUGCUGUUUUGUGGGUACGUAGCACUCGACGCGUUACAACUUACAACGUACGUCUCUCUUUUAUAAUUUGUCCACAUGAAGGUAUUCUACUAGCCUUCCUUUCUUUUUCUAGUCGUGCCUUCUUCUUUUUUUAAUGCGUUGAAAAUGAUUUAGUAAGAGCAACUUUUAGUGGAUUACCAAAUACACCACACAUGUCUCAACUUGUCUGACGCGAUCACUUCGACUCCUAAACUUAUGGAAUAAAUAAGACUAAUGUCAUAACUUAUUCGAAUGUUUAAAUAUGGCGCCUUCAUCCGUAUUCGAACAUAUGCACUACCCACAAGGAGUGCUACAGUGUCGGUGGCCCACACGUCAAUGGAUGCGAGAGGAGCAGGCUGGUUGUUUUACAGAAGGAUCCUUGAACUUCAAUUCUUUUUGCAUAAGCUUUUAUCAUUUUAUUCAAAUAUGCCAAGCCGCAUUGAUACCAUAUAUACCUAGGUCCAGGACAGCAGCAACACAUCGGAUUACAUAAUGAUAAGAAAAAAGAUGAGUGGCAUCCGAAGUAUUCAAACCCAGUACCUGGGUGCACAACAUGCACACAUGUGCUAACCACUACGGCAAGAGUAAUUGUCUGCGUUAUUUGGAGGUAUUUAUCAAGGAUAUCGGUGAAAUAAUAAAUAUUCUUAAAAAAAAGUCGACUCACGGGAAAUUGAUUUUUUAAGAAGUUCUCAAGUUUGAAAAAAAGAACUAUUCAACAUAUUACCUGGCAUCAACUUACAAAAGUAUUAGUGCAUUUGAAAAAUAUUGAAUAUAUUUUAGGAAAAUUCUCAUGUAUAUUAAAAAAUUAUAAACGUGUUUUCGAAAAAUGUUCGUCAUGCAUUAAAAGACAAUACAACAUCUAUUUUACAAAAUGUUCAACAUGUCUUACAACAAUUACUGUGUAAAAUUAUUCUUAUAUAUUUACAAACACGCUUAACAAAUUUAUAUAAAUAAUAUUUUUUACACAAUGAUUUUAAUACAUGUUAAACAGUUUUCAAAAUAUAACAUUGUUGAUAUUUAAUAAUUAAGUAUUCUAAAAGUACAGCGAAGAUACAAAAUAAUUCGGCGUGCUUGUGGUCCUGAAUGAAGAAACGGAAAUUUUACGCAAUAUUUUAUAAUACACAUUGAACUGUUUAAAUUGGAAUAAAUUUUAGAAAAAUCUCAUGUUUACCUCUUCGAACGACAAAUGAUAAAAACAGAAUAAAAACUAUAUAAAUAGAAAAUAGUUGCACAUUACUAAUUAUUGUAUUUUUAUUGGAAAAAAUAGAUAUCAUAAAAAUCAAACAGUAUCUUGACUAAAAAACAGAAUAUAAAUUGCAGAGCGAUAGAUAGACUAUAUAAAUUUCCAGCUAACACGAGUACACAAUGUACUAGCAGUCUCGGUGGCUAGCGUGGGUGCUAUUUAACCUUUAGGUCUCCGGGUUGAAAUCCAUUCAACGACACAGUUUAUCAUUUUCUUUAUUAGCAUUUCAGAGCAAGGGCCUAUUUGUGACAUUUAAUUAAACAUUAGGGGUUUUCUGCAUAAUAUACUCCCACACAUUUUACUUGGUGCAGAGAUCACACCCAUUGAAAUGUGGGCCAGCCGUCAGCUGUGACGCCCUGAUGACAACACAUACAAUGGCAUAUCAGGCGGAGGUACCGUAUAUGCACCGUGCGACAAGUUGCAUGUAGCACCACCUUUGUAUUUUAUAAGUUUGAACAAUGAACUGACUUCAUUAGACAAGUUAAGGCAUCCACGAUGUAUUUGACUCUACUACUCCCUCCUUUCCGGUUUAUAUGGCUCAAAUCUAAAAUAUCAUCAACCAAUAAGGUGAAUUAUGAGUGAAUGACCCUAGUUUUAGCUAGCCAAUGAAAUAUUUCUCACAUAUUCAACUUCCGAGGCAGUAAAUGUAGCAUCCACUUUUUCAUUGGACUUGCAUGAUGGAUGUAAAAAAACGAUGCAUGCAUAGCCAUUCAUUUUUUUCUCUAAACUCUAUGAAUUAAAUAUGACGUGGGACUCAAAGCACUUUAGCUCAAUUAUACUCAAAAUGAGCCUAAUAUAAUGAAAAUCUGAAAUUUUUAAGAUGAGCCUUACAAACCGGAAAGAAGAAAGUAAGUGUUUAAUCUGAAAGCUCCCUAGAAACACCCUUUCCAGCUGCCAAAACUUGAACUCUCCAACAAAAUAAAAGGUAAACUCCUAGGCAACCAACAACUGCUCAUUCCGCCACCUUCCCCAACACCGGCGUCAUUAUGAUUGCUUGACGUCAACCCGUCGUCUGCCGCCUCUACGUGUGUUGGCAGGUCCUGAUGCAUCCCAAGAUCAGCCACCGCGAGAUCCAAUGCGGUGGGCUCAAGGUCUAGCACGGACAUGACUCCCUACAUGGUGGUCUUGUGCACUUUGGGGAGGAGCCACCGCAAUGGUCCGGCCCCCGAUGCAUGUUACACCCAAAAGGUGUUCAACGGAAAGGGAAGCCCAUUUUUUCCAUAUAUUUUUUUCAUUUUCAGUGCAAUUGUAAUUGAUUGUUUUUUUACGGUAAAUUGAAAUUAAUUGUUUCAGCAAUGUAACUGUUGAAUGCAACACAGACUAGCUUAAUAUUCGCAGUACUCGCCGUCAUGCCUUACUUUAGCUAUAUCUGCUUUCUAUGGUGUGGUGAGUAUAUACUGAGUAGUGGACAAAAAUUAAUCGAUAUUCAGAAGUGACUAUAGCUUAGUAUAUACUGUAGAUAUUGAUGUAAGUUCGUAAUUACAAGGUCGAUCAAUUAACCUUUCUCAUUCUAAAGAGAAGUACAAGUCCCGGGUUAAGAAUCUGAGAGACCCAGCUAGCAGGCUAGACGAACAGCUCCAGCAAGACGGGCAGCCGAUCGUCGGCCGCCACUUGAUCUGACAGCGCGACCCACCGGCCGAGCGCCAUGUCCUCGCGGUGCCGGCGCAUGUGGCCGCCGAGCGCCUGGCCCGUCUCGAAGCCCAGCCCACAGAUGUGACAAUCGUGAUGCUGCUCGUCCUCCUGCUGGCCCUGGCGACGCCGACGCCGAGCUCCAGCCCAUGGUGGCCGCGGAGGUGGCUGGUCCGGUGCCCGCCCAGCGCCUGGAACGUUGCGAAGGCCCGGCCGCAAGUCUUGCAGACGAACUCUCCCUCCCCCGACAUCGCCACCACUCUCCCCCCGCCGCGUCCUCUUCCUGGGCGCCGUCGCCGGCGCACCAGU